rnacentral:lncRNA from 1 species
AUAUAUAGGCUGAGUGAAUAAUUUGAGUUUAGUUAAAAUUGGGACAAUGUUGUUGCCCAUUAAAACAAACCCAAUAGACAAAUAAAAGAGCAAAAUUUCACUAAAUUUAUAUAUUUUCUCUUUCUUUCUUUUUUUUACAGAGCUCUAAAUUUUCAAUAUGUUUCUUUCUCUUUUUCUGUCUUUCACCCUAAGUGGCAAAGCCGAAAGCCCUCCAAGUUACCAAUUAACAGCAUAUAUGUCGUUGCCUACCUUGCUAUAAUUGUAUGCUUGAUAAAAUAUACAGAAUAUAUUUUAAAGUAAAAAAUUAUUAUUCAUAUAAAAUUUUAAUUUUAGUUAUAUAUGAUUGAUUGAUUUAUCCAAUAUUUAUCUAUAUAAUUUAUUUAUUUUUGACUGUAUAAAUGAAAAUGAAUAAUAUGGAGAUUGAAGGCUAAAGAAAAGACAUGUGAAGCUGAAAAGAUUAGAUAUUCAACUCAUAAAUAAUCUUUUUUUAUAUUAUAAUACUAUAUUUCAUAGAAUUAUUUUGUACUUUGAACUAUUAGACAUAUUUUUGUAUCAAAUUUUAGAUAAUGUUCUAUACAAAUUAAACUAUUGAUCGUAUGAUGUUGAGAAUUUUAAGCGGCUCGUUUAGGGCUCAAGCUCGCUCGACUUGAAAUUAGGCUCGCUCGAGCUCGGCUCGAAUUAAUUUCAAUCCAAGCUUGAGCUUAAAUUUAGGCUCGAAAUUAAUUUCAAGCCGAAUUUGAGCGGAGGUAAGCUCACUCGAGCUCGGCUCGUUUCCACCCCUAUGUACAUCCGAAUCAAAUGGUAAUUAAUUAGGACUUCUCAGAAAAAGAUAAAAGAGAUAUGAUAUAUAGUUUAUUACGUUUUAGUACAAAGAGAUAAACACACAUUUCUUUUUUCUUUAAAAAAAAUUAAUUACUAAGUGAAAGAGAAAUAAACACGAUUUUCUUUUUCGGGAUUUUAUGUUCAACUUUUUUUAUAUUUUUUUAAUGUGGGAGGAUAAUAUUUUUUUGAUUAUAUGUUUCCGAUUUUGUACGUGUAUACACUAGAUUUGGAGAGAACGAGAAGUUUUUUUGACUUCCAUUGUAUCUAUAAUUAGCGUGAAUUGCGCGAACGAACCACUCAACUUAUCUUAAACUCUAGGCUACCUAGAGUCAAAUUUUAGAUGGAAUAAGAUUAAUUUCCUCUGACCAACGUUGGAAUAUUCAUGUAGAGAGACCUUCUAAUUUAUGUUCAUUCCGAGAGAAGAAGAAAAAAAAUAGAAAAAACUCUCUCUCUCGACAAAUAUUAAGAUGAUUUUCCUUCCCGUCUAAGACUAAAACUCCUUAAGCCAAAUACUUAAUUAGCAUUAGUUUUAAUCUGAUAUAUAGUUUGCAUCAUUCCAAUUCGCGUUUCAAAUCCGUGCCCCGAAAAGUACGUUGGAAAAAUUGCAUGCACGUGCGUACGAACAAUUCUUUCCUGCUAUUUAUAACUCUUGCAGUCCAAAGCUUAAAACUUACCUAAGCCAAAUAUUUAGCAUUAAUUAACCAAAUAGUAAUUGACAUCAUCGCAACUCGCGUUUCAAAUCCGUGGAGAUCGAUUACUGCAAUACGGUCUUUGAAUAAUCGAAAGAGUAUGCUGAAAAUUAAAGAUCUAGAUAUAUAUGCAUUAGAACAAUUCCUUCAACUAAGUAAGUCCGUUGAAUUUUCACCGCAUCAUUUUGCUAUGCUAACAGCGUUGACCGAGGAUAACCUAAUAUAUAAUCCAAAAAAAGGGAAAACAAACUCAAAAUUUGAUUCCGAAACACUUUAAAUAUAUACUCCAAAUAGAUUAAAUGCACCAAUUAAAACCAUCUUGCUACCUAGCUAAACUUUUAAUAUUUCGCAAUUAACCGUCUAGAUCGAUCUAUCGCUUAUCUAUUUGAGGCGACUAAUAUUAACCAAAUAGUCAUGCUAUUAAUAUAGAUGAGUUUUUUUUUUAUAUUAAAAUUUACUAGAUCUUCUCGGUAAAAUUGGUCAUAAUUAUCACAUUUAUUUUUUACCGAUUAAAUGACAAGUAUAAAUCUCUUUACUGCAAAACUGAAUUUUAAUGUCAAAAAAAAUCUUUCUAUAUUACUGAUCUGCAUAUUAUAUUUUAUUGUUUCUUGAGCAUUUAGCUAUUAUGGCACUUCAAUUUAUUGACAAAAUAUAUGAAAUUUAGUUUAACCCUAAGCUUGCGCAUUUAACCCAACUUUAGCCUCACAAAUUUAUUGGAUGGGGACGAAACAGAAGAAAUUAUUGCUUAUGCCUGGUGUAUAAGUAACAUCUUGUGCACCACAGUGCUAAGACUCCACAAUAGAGACCUUAAGACUCCGUUUGGAUACCCCUAAAAACAUAUAUAUCUGUAGGAAUAUUAUUCUAUAAAGUGUUUGGCAGACACAAAAGAGCACCUAUUUUUUUGAAAAAAAUCCACCAUUUUUAGGCUCUCUCACCUCCAAGAUGUAUGAAAUUUUAAAUUUUGUUCAAUACUUAAAAUUUUAAUUUUUAAAAAAAUUUUAAUUUAAAAUUUUAAUUUUAAAGUUUAAAAUUUAAAAUUUAAAAUUUAAAUUUUAAACUGAGAUUAUAAAUUUUAAAUUUCAAAAUUUAAGCCUAGGCUUUAAAUUUUAAUUUUAAUUUUAAAUUUUAAAUUUUAUAAUUUGCAUUUAUAUUCAAAUUUUAAAUUUUAAAUAACUAAGAAUAAUAUGUACAAAACUUAUCUGAACUAUGGACCAUUUUGAGUUGACUAUCCAACCUUUCGAAAAUUUUAUUUUACCACCCAACCUUUAAUUUAUUUGAUUUAAAUCAGUCAACAUCAUUUUGACAUCAAAAUUAACUUUGAAUCUGUUAUAUAUCUUUAUAGAUUUAAUUAGUAUAUUUCAUUCAUUUUUUACAAGUAUAAAUACAUUAAAAUAAAUAAUUAGCUUAAAUUUUAAAGUUAAAGUGCUACUAAUUUACUCAAAUCUAACAAAUUAAAAGGUUGGAUAGUAAAAUUAAAAUUUUAAAAAUUUAAAUCAGUUUAAAAGUUUAAAAGGUUAGAUUUAAUUAGUGCUACUAAAUUUCAAAGCCAAUUCAAAAUGGUCCAUAGUUCAAAUAAGUUUUGUACAUUUUUACUUGUAAUCAGUUAUAUAUCAUGUUCAACGGCAUUCAAAAAGCUUACACAUCCAAAAUCUAAACUUAGACAACAAUUUCUUAUAAAUAAAACAAUGACUAAUUAAUCAUAAAAGAAUUCUCAAGACACAUGACUUUUAAUACAGAACUCUUUAACUAGAUAUUGCAAAUUGCAUCUGUCGUGUUAAGUUUAGUUUUCUAUAGUAUUAAUUAUUAAAUAUUGGGUGUGACAUAAGAAGUGUACAAAUACACAUAAUGCAGGACUAUUUUUGCACUUAACCCCCCAAUAAUCUAUUUUACAAAUAAUACUAAUAAAUUUAUAUUUGUAUAAAUAGUUCUCUUCUUGCCACGCGACCGCCUAGGUGGCAUUGGAUUACCAAGUUUAAGUUGAACACGAUGAUUCAAUCGCCGUAUUUAAAUACAGUAAUUGGAUUACCGUAUUCCUUUCUAUAUAUUUUUUUAUCGCUCUUAAGUUAAAAAAGAAGGAAUAGAAUAUGAAUAUGGAUACAGUGAUUCAAACACUGUGUUUAAACACAUGAUUCAAUCAUGCUUUUCAACUUAAAAUAUAUCAACAUGACGCUGGUGCGGCAAAGAGAUCGAAGGCAUAUAUAUAAAUAUAAAUUUAUUAUGACCAUUUGUAUUUUUUUUUUUUUUUUUUNAUGUAGGGAAAAAAUUUACCAAAGAAUUAAGUUCAAUUUCAAUUUGACCAAAGAAAGAAGGGUAAAUUUCAAAUACCAACCCUAUGAUUUCGCACUUUCUCACUUUAGUAUCCUGUAGUUUAAAGUGUAUCAAUUUAGUACUAUAUAAUUUUUUUUUUUCUUUCAUCAGCUCCUUCGUUAACAUUUCGUUAAAUUAUAUAUAAAAAAUUUCAGAUACCCCACCUAGGCUUAUCGUAUAUUAACUUUAGUACCUUUUAAUUAGUUUUAAUUUUAUCACUGAUUUAACAAAAAAAAAUUAGUGGAAGGGAUAAUAAAAAAAAAAAUAAAACUACAAGAUAUUAAAUCGAUAUACUUUAAAUCACAGACUACUAAAGUGAAAAAGUGUGAAAGUAACAGAAGGGUAUUUGAAAUUUUCCCAAGGAAGAAUUAAUAUGGAGACAACUACCUAGGAAAUCUCGUCGCCAUUGUGUAUUUUAGCAUCACUGUUUUUGUUGCUUUUCACAAACGGCGAUCUCAAACCUAAUUAGUAUACAAAGAAAUGUGUUAAAACAAAAUAAUAAUAGCAUUAUCAGUUUGACACUUAUUAAUUUCCCGCUGGUUGGCUUAGAUACGGUCAAAGUAUUAUUAUAUGUUCCAUUUAAAAUUCUAAAUCAAACUUAUUAGGGGAAAGUACAAAAAUUUAAUUUUAUUUGGGACAAAAAUAUUUGAGUCCAAGAUAAAAUCCAAAGUAUAUCCAAGUAAUCCGAUUUCAAUACGGAGACUAUUAAUUUAUUAACUGUAUCUAGAAGAGAGAUAUACAGUUAACGUGCAUGCACCAACGUAAGUACCUAUCUCACGUUUCCUUUUUCGCUCAUGCACCCACAGAUGUUUCUUUAUUUGCACUUUGCUCCUCCUAUCCAUGUAUAUAAAUACCACCUCUCACAAUAAAAAAAAAAUACCUCAAACACUUCACUUCUCUCUCUCUCUCUCUCUCUCUCUCUCCGCCAUGGCUAGCCCAACUCUCUUCUUUGCCAUUGUUCUCCUCAUCCAAGGUUGCUAAUUAACGAGCUCCGUAUUUUACACUACUUGCUUUGAACUUAUGCUUGAGAUCAAUAUAUAUGGGGACAAAAAAGGACCAAGUUAUAUAUUCAUGUGUUAAAACUCUAUGUUUUUUGUUUUGUUUUGUUUAUGAGUGUAUCUUUUAUUAGGUGUUAGUUCGACUACGUUUACGUUCACCAACAACUGCCCCUACACGGUGUGGCCCGGGGCGAUCUCCGGCGCUUCGUCCCCGCUGCUCCCGUCCACUGGGUUCGAACUCCAGCAGGGGGCCUCCCAGAGCCUCCAGGCGCCGUCUCAGUGGUCGGGCCGGAUGUGGGCCCGCUACCAAUGCUCCACCGACUCGUCGGGGAGGUUCUCGUGUGAGUCCGGCGACUGUGGCACUGGGCAGGUAUAAAAAAAUAAUCGUUUUUCUCUAAUAACUUAAGCUUACGAAUAUAAUUGAUGUUCUAUAUAUUAUUUUUGCACGUUCAUAGACAAAAAUUAUUAGUUUCACAUAAAUAUUCACGCAGAAUUAUCUAUUUCCAAAAAUGCCCUUGUAAAAUGUACAAUUUUUGUAUGUUACCGUUAUAAAUUGGCAGCUACGUUUUUUAUACGAAAAAUAUUAUUUUUUACCUUUAGUUGGUGACUCAUGCGGUAGAGUUGGUUCGUACUGUAUAAAGAAUUAAUUAGAGGGGAAAUUUGUGCAACAAAAAUAUAUUAUGUGCGUAGAAAAUUAACUGAACUUUUCAUAAAGAACAAACAUGAAAAUUCAGAUUUUGCAGGGUUUAUAAGUAGCAAAAAUCAUCACAAACCUCACUUUUUCUUUUCUAUUGCAAUUUCUCGACUAUUAUAUGAUGAUUUCUUCACUUUCCAUAUAUGAAAAGAGAUAGAUUAUAAAUAACAUUUCUUAUGUCAUCGACCGUCCCUAGAGCAAAGGGCUUGGUGGUUGGUACCCGAGACCCAAGUUCGAAUCCUAGUUGAUUCACAUUUCCAGCUAAGUUUAUUUCUAAAUGAAAUAAACGAAGCGGGUAGCGUACUAUCUAUCUCUCAAAAAAAAAAAAAAAAAAGAUGGAAUAUAAUGAAAUGGAGCCACUUUAGAGUUCCCUAUGAAAUGAGGCAUGGAACAGAGCCACUACGAAGAAGUUCCGGGAGUUACGAAGGAAGCUUCGGACUCAUAUUGUUCAUGGACUGAGAAUAGGAGAUUCGACCAUUUGGAAAGUUCUUUCCCGAUGAGGAGUGCAAUUAAACUAAUAAAUCAUUCUCUGAAUACUUCAUUUUAAGAAAUACAGAAAGUAAUAAAUAAAAAAAAAAGAUUCACAAUUAGAAUAAAAAGUAAUAAAAUUUUAAAAAUGAGAUGCUGCAACUAGGAUAGAUCUUUUCACGCAGUUUGGAUGCAUGAAUAUUUUAUUUCGAGUAUAUUUUUAAUUUACUCAAGAAGCUUUAGUAAUUGAUAGACAAGAAAUAUGAUCAAACUUCUAGAAUAUUGGAAUAAUAUAUUACACUUUUCAAUCAAUUUUAGGGAAUAAGAUAGAUCAACUUGUAAGUGAAAUAUGCAUGAUAUACGACUAUUUAAGAAGCAAAAAAAAUCAAACUUUUGCUUUCAAACAUAUAAGAAAAUUUUUAUGUCUGAUAAGUUAUUAAAAAGAUAAUUAACUUAUUCCAACAUACAAAGUAUCGGUGAUGACAAAGCCUUCAUGGUAUAGUUUGUUAGUGUACUCUUUUAUUUGAGCCAAACUCAUAUCUUUUUAUGCUACUAUCCCCAAUAAUUGUUUAAAUUUGAAAAAUUCUUAAUUGGAUUUUGACAAAUAAAUAUCUUUAUUAAUUCCUAGCUAUAGGAUCGUAAUUCUAGGGUGUAGAGGGAAAUCGCACUAAUCCUAUGUAGAUACACAACUCUCUUAUUUUCAGUAACUUCAACCAUGCACGACCGUGGGAAUAUUGCUUAAUUUGAAUUAUAAAAUUCUCACUGAAGAUAUUUAAUUAUUAGGGUUUGUUCUCUAAAUAUUAAACCAUCAGAAUACGGUAUUUUUAAUAUCUUUAUCUUCGUUGGAACGCAUGCGCGUGCAUACAGAUCGCAUGCGGCAGCUCCGGCGGGGCCCCGCCGACGACGCUGGUGGAGUUCACCCUGCAGGGCUCGGGUGGGCAGGACUUCUACGACAUAAGCAACGUCGAUGGCUUCAACGUGCCCGUGUCAGUCGCCCCGCAGGGCGGCGGUCCCCCGGGGAGCUGCAGCUCAACGGCGUGCGCCGCCAACAUCGACGGGGAAUGCCCGCAGGAGCUGCAGUACACGUCGCCGUCCAACGGGGCUGUCAUCGGCUGCAAGAGCGCGUGCUUGGCGUUCAACACCGACCAGUACUGCUGCCGGGGCGCCUUCGGCAGCCCCAGCACCUGCAAACCCACCAACUACUCGCAGUUCUUCAAGAAUGCAUGCCCUCAGGCGUAUAGCUACGCGUACGACGAUUCCUCCAGCACGUUCACGUGCACUGGGGCGAAUUAUCUCAUCACUUAUUGUCCUAAUUAGGGUUUAAAACCUCCAAUUGCCUCCAUGUGGUUUAACGCAUUAUCACUUCGUCGUCAUGCAGUUUAAAAACGUAUUAUUUUGCAAACCAUAGAAUGACAAAGUGAAAAUGCGCUGAAACAUAUGGAGGCUAAUUAGGGUUUACCCUAGGAAUUAAUAUAUAUAUUUAUGAUACUAUACAAUAAGAAAAAUGCUGUCUGUACACCUAUUUAUAGGUGUAAAUUUUACAAUUCUUUCAUCCUAGAGUUCAUAAAAAUCUAAAUUGGAAUUUAGUUUAAAAAAAUUGAUUAGAAAAGUAGAGGGUGAGAGCUCUUGGAUCAGUGGGAUGUAAAAUGUACAUCGAGUCUAGAAGUGUAUACCUAGCAUUGCUCAUACAAUAAAGUGUGUAGUGUUUCAAGCGUUGCUGCCUUGAAACAUAUACUGUAGCAAAAUUUACUAGUAAUAAUUAUCUUAUGAUUGAUAUGAUUGAUAUUACUAUGUUUUGAGGUUAAUUUCCUUAUGUGCCAACACAUGUACAUGUUUUGUGGUUUCCUUAUGUGUUUAACAGUGAUAAUUAGUGAUGAAAAAUAAAUGAGCAGUUACAUUUAACAAUAACCGAUAACGACACAUACGAAGGAAAGUUAAGCUUUUUUUUUUUUCUGAUCCAUGAUAAUACACUAUUGGAGAAAGGUCCCAACGAUCUCUCAUUAAUGAAGGAGUUUACUUAAGAUUAAUUAAUUAAUACUAUAUUGAACGAUAAUUAAAAGAAUAAAAGUUGAGGGGUUCAAUUUCAAAUUCAGAUAAAGUAUAUACCUGGGUCUCUAUAACUAUACAUUAUUUUCCAAAAAUAAAAUAUGUUUAAUAUAUUGAGUUCAAAUUUUUAAUCAUCUACCUGCAAAUUUUGAAAGUGUAGUACACUGAAAUCAAAAGUUGUUUUGAUAUUCACUUACACUCCGUUUCAGCUCCUAAUCAACUCCACAGCAACACUCGUGUAUUCGGUACGUGGUACGGAGCGAAGAGCAAUAUUGAGGUUACAAAUUAAUCUUUAAAAAUUUUAUAUGGGCUAAAUAAUUCGGUUAAAAUUUUAUUUGACCAAAUAAUUUUAUUUUAUCCUAACUCAGAUGAAACAAUAAUUGAAAGACGGUAAAUCAUUUACCGUCGUGAUUUAUUUUCUGUCAAUUUUUUAGAAAGAAAACAGUAAGAGGCUUUGGUUCUACAUAAAAUUAUGAAAAGUCAUUUUCAUUGGACAAAAUUUUCCAAUGGAAAAGUAGUUUCAUGGUUGUGGACGUUUGGUUUGGAAGAAAGAAAAGAAAGUAUUUGGUGAUAAAUCUCUAUGACAUGGAAUAAUAAAACUAAAUGCAUAGCAAUACCCAAAAUUAUAAAUAGAGUAAGAAACAAUUUACAGAACGCCAUAGAAAAAAAAAAAAAAAAAAACUCUUGAUCAAUUUACAAAUGUGAGAGAUUCAACUUGGGAUUGGAACAUUACCAACCAAAUUAACCUUGGGUGAUUUUGGUUCCCCUUCUAUCUCAGACACUCUCCUUAUAAUGUGGAAUAGAUAAUAAUUGUUCACCAUAAUGCUUGUGAGAAGGUGGCAGGAAUAGUAUCGUUUUAUGUAUAGUUCAGAUUGACUUUCUAUCAAAGUCUGAUUAUCAAUAGGGAAAAUAAUAAGUAAAUUCCUCACAAAAUCUUAUAAUACUUUUCUUUGAAACCAAGGCUAAGAAAAUUGUAUAUGUCGAGAAAGAUAUGUUGGUGAAAAACUCAAAAUUUUAAAAUUUGAAUUUUUUUCUAUUUGAAUUUUGAAUUAUUUAUUUAUUAUUUAUUGUUAUUUAUUAUUUUAUUAUUUAUUUAUUUACUUAUUUUAUUUUCUUUCUUAGUGAGAAAGAAACCAACAAGAUAUUUUUUCCGUUCCGUUUCUUUCGCCAAACGGAAUCUCAUUCCGUUGCCCGGGUUCCGCUUCUUUCUCGUAACGAGAAAGAGCGUGAAAUCCUCUUUCCUUUUAUGCCAUUUCUUUUUCUUCUUACUAAAGACAGAGCAGGUAGAAAAGAUAUUAGAUAAUUGGUUAAUCCCUAUCCAUUUAUUAUUUUAUCUUUUAUUUUUGAAUAUUUUCCUUAUCCACUAGGUGUUGAAAGAAUCUCCAUCAACCUCCUUCACGAUCGUGCUCGCAGGAGAAGGAAUUCCGGUCGUACCUUGGGGUGUUAUUUCCGGUUAAUUCCGGACGUAAGAACGGAAAUACCCCUUAGGCCAGUGCCUCACAUGCUUCUGGAUAAGAUCAAAUCUUUAUUGGAAUAUUUGCGUCUAUUUGUAAGUUGAUUUAUUUAUUUUCAUAAUAAAACUAGUUAGUUUUUAAUCACAAUUAUAUUUCUGUGUGGUAUUUGUUCCAACAAGAUAACUUUGGACAUGAGCUGGCACAAGGAAAAACUAGUUGAGGAGAAGAAUAUUAUGAGACAUCCAGCUGACUUUGAAGUUUGGAAUCAGUAAACAAUAUCCAUGGUUUGCACAUGAUCCUCACAAUAUGAGACUUGAUGUUGCAACUGCUGGUUUCAAUCCUUUCAACAACAUAAGUAACUCGUAUAGUAUGUGGCAUGUUAUAUUUAUACCAUAUAACUUACCACGUACCUUGGAAAUGAUUGAAGAGCAAUAUUUUAUGAUGUCAUUACUUAUUCUUGGACCUCAAGCAUCAGGAAAAGAAAUAGAUGCAUUUUUAGAACCAUUAAUUGAUGAGUUGAAGUAGUUAUGGGAAUCUGGCAUAAACACUUAUGAUGCCGUAAACCAACAAAGCUUUUACAUCCAUGUGGCAGUUUUGUGGAUUGUAAAUGACUUUCCAGCAUGCAGUGAUGUAUCUCGGUAGAGUACAAAAGGAUAUAAAGCAUGUCCAAUUUGUAAUGAAGAUACCUAUCCGCAAUGCUUAUGAGAAAACAUUUAUUACAUGGGUCACCGCGAUUAUCUACUCUCUAAUCAUGCUUGGAGAAAUUAAAAGUUUCAAAUUUAAUGGUAAGCGCGAACGUCAAUCCAAGUCUAAGGAACGAUCAGAAAAAGAAAUCUUGCUACAAUUGGAGGCUUUGAAAAGUUUUAAGUUUGGAAAGUAUCCAAACAACAAAAAAAGAAAGUGCUCUCCAAAAGAACGCAAUUGGACCAAUAAGAGUAUAUCUUUUGAGUUGCCAUAUUGGCAAAAAUUCAAAUGCAUUAUAAUCUCGAUAUUAUACAAGAUUUAAAAAUACAAAAAGAGCUAUAGAGAAAGCUCGUUUAGAUUUGCAAGAUUUAAAAAUACAAAAAAAGCUACACUUGCAGCAGAAGGGUGAUAAUUAAGUAUGUGAAGCCUCCUGCUUGUUUUACAUUAUCACUAAAAGAAAGACAACCGUUUUGUGAGUUUUUAAAAAUAGUAAGAUUUCUUGAUAGCUAUGCAGCAAGCAUUUUGAGAUGUGUGAGCAUCAAGGAAGGUAAAGUAUCGGGCCUAAAAGCCAUGAUUGUCCAUCCUUUUGCAAUGACUGCUUCCCAUCGGCAACCUUAAGCGAGUUGGCUAAUUUGUUUCAAAAAUUAUAUUCAAGUUAACAAUAAAGUUAGAUGUCCUAAAGCAACUAGAAAAACAAGAUUGUUAUAGUACUUUGUAAGUUGGAAAUAAUCUUUUUGCAAGCUCUUUUUCAUGUUAUGAUCCACUUAACAGUUCACUUGCCACAUAAGGCUCGACUUGGAGGAUCUGUGCAAUAUAGAUGAAUAUACCCAAUCCAAAGGUAUCUUGGUUGCCUUAAAUAUCUUGUGAGCAACAAAGCCUGAUCGGAAGGUUCAAUUACAGAGGCUUAUAUUGUGAAUGAGUGUUUAACCUUUUGCUCAAUGUAUCUCAAAGAUAUUGAGACUAGAUUUAAUCAAGAAGAAAGGAAUUAUAUAAUGGAGAAGAGGAACCUAGUGGAAGUUUAUCCAAAUUUUCACACGAUAUUCGCACUUUUGGGAAUUAAUACAACUUAUAGGACACUAACACAAGAGAAAUUCAAUUUGGUUCAUUGGUAUGUUUUUUAAAUAACUGUGAGAAAGUGAAACAAUAUCUAAUGUAAGAUGUUUGUUGGAAUGUUACAACUUGACUUAAAUUUGCUUGUCAUUUACUUUUGUAAACUCCUAAGCCUUUAGUUUUCCUCUUUAUUCCUACAACUUAUAAGCUUGCACUAAAUGUUAUAUAACCUUUGGCCUUGAAUACAUUGUAACCUAUAGGGCCUAUAGUGCCUAUAAAUUGGGCUCCUCUAUGCCUUUGAAGAUACAAUAUAUGCACAACUAAAAGCUAUAACAAAAACAGUAAGUAAUUUUCUAUUCCACUUGAGAGAGAGGCCAAAAAAAAUUCUUUUUCUUAGUGGAGUUUUGGGCUCAUCCAUUUGUGCAGAGUUGGUAAAGUCAUACGAUGAAAGUCGAGCCAUUGUAUCCUAGAAGGGACGAGUCAAUAUUCUGCUGCAUCAGUUUAAAGGCUUUGCUAACCACAGAGAGCUUGAAUCUCCUUAAAAAGAGCGACGAGAUUUCCGUACCUUAGCUAGAUCAACUGGGCAACACUUUUUAUAUUAUUUUGUAUUCUAACCUGUACUUUUGGAUAUUUUCACCAACAGAAUCAAAAUUUCUAUUUCCUUGUACCUUAUUUAAUUAUUAUCAUUACCUUCAUUCUUGGGUGCGGGCUCCACCUACUAUUUUUCGCUCUUCUCCCUUGGACUAGUUUUUCUUCUCUAUUCAUUCUUGGGUUCUGUAUAGUUUUGACUCUUCAUCUUCUUUGUAUGGGUUUCUCUCCUCUUUUGAGCCGGAUUAUCUCUUUCUUUGAAUCAAACCGGCUACUGUCUUCUCUUAAACGGCCUCCUUACCUUUUCUUGAACUAAACCGGCUUAUCUCAUCGUUCGAACCUAGCUUUCUCACAUGACAUAUCAUUUUCCCACCUCAUCAUCAAUCGUAGGCUUUUUUGCAUGACCUUUCACUUCCUCACCUCAUCAUUCAUCACCAUUUAAUCUCUUUCUUGCCUCUCUUCGGUAUUUUCUCUUAUCCCCACAGCUAUUUUAGUCUGUCUCCUGGGUUUUCUUGAUUUUGCCUCCUCUAUUCUCUCUCCCCGUCACUCGCUAUUCAAACCAUCAUUUUUCUUUCUAUGCCAGCGGAGGGGUGGCGCUGGUACAUGAUGCAAAAGUUGUGUCUCUUCGACAGCAGGAUCUUUCUCAUCGCCCAUGAUUUUGAGUUUUGCUCUCUUUCUCUCUCCCUCCCUCUCUCUCCCGUGCUCCAUCUACGGCACCUUCACCAAAACCCUUAGGGGGCAAGUGAGAAUGAAGGGGAGAAAGAGAGGAACAUGAGGCUGGAGAAACCACAGGGGUGGCUGCUCUAUAUAGACAAUUAAUGCUGCAAAUUUAUCUUUUUAUUAUUGAUUCCACUAAUUUUUUUCGUUAAAUUAAUGACAAAGUUAAAACUAAAAGGUACUAAAGUGAAUAUUCGAUAAAUCUAGGUGGAGUAUCUAAAGUUUUUUGUAUAUAAUUUAACGAAAGAUUAAUAGAGAAGCUAACGAAAAGAUAAAAAUGAAACCACAUGACACUAACUUAAUACACUUUAAACCACAGGAUACUAAAGUGAGAAAGUAUGAAACCAUGCACAGAGGUGGUAUUUGAAGUUUAUCCUAAAAAAUGAUUGGCUUUUAGUCUCUCUUUUAUAAUUUUUUUGGCUCAUUUAUUGAUUAGUUAGUUAUCAUUCAUAAUAUUAAAGCCCACAAUUUUACAACUACUACUGUGGAUGUUAUUUUGUGCAUAGAGGUGAUAGAAUACAUUUUUGGGGAAACUUCAAAUACCUCCCGUGAUUUCGCACUUUCUCACUUUAGUAUCCUGUGGUUUAAAGUGUAUCAAGUUAGCACUCUUUGGUUUAGCACUUUCUCUCUUUAGUGCCCUGUGGUUUCAAGUGUAUCAAGUUAGUGCUAUGUGGUUUCAUUUUUGUAUCUAGUUAGUACUCUAUGGUUUCAAUUUUCUCUUUUUAUUAUUUAUUUCGGGAUAUAUAAUUUAACGAAAUAUUAAACCACAUGGUACUAAAGUGAGAAAGUGCGAAACUACGAGGUACUAACUUGAUACACUUUAAACCACAGGAUACUAAAGUGAGAAAGUACGAAACCAUAGGGUACUAACUUGAUACAUUUUAAAUCACAGUGUACUAAAAUAAGAAAGUACGAAACCACAAGAGGUAUUUGAAGUUUUCCCCACAUUUCUUGUCAUUUCUUCAUUCUAUAUGUCAUGUGUAUCAUGACUCAUAUAUUUCAAAAGUCAAAUCUUUCGAUCUAUAUAUUAUUUUCUUUAUUGCUUAGAAGUGCAAUUAUUAUUUUUAUUCGCGAGUUAUAACAUCACUGUUCUAUAAUAUAUACAUAUGACAUUCACUUUAUUUUUCGAUAAUCAAUCAUAAGUAUAUAAAUAGAGAAAGGACAUAUGAUCAUUUCUUUACAAGCUUGGCAUAUUUGAAAUGACAUAACAUAUGACCAUUUUUUGAAAUAGUAAGAUUUAAUAAAGAUAAUCAUGAAUAUUUAUUCUUAGUUCUAUUAAUAUACUUAUGAUUGAUUAUCGAAAAAUAAAGUGAAUGUCAUAUGUAUAUAUUAUUUUCUUUAUUGCUUAGAAGUGCAAUUAUUAUUUUUAUUCGCGAGUUAUAACAUCACUGUUCUAUAAUAUAUACAUAUGACAUUCACUUUAUUUUUCGAUAAUCAAUCAUAAGUAUAUAAAUAGAGAAAGGACAUAUGAUCAUUUCUUUACAAGCUUGGCAUAUUUGAAAUGACAUAACAUAUGACCAUUUUUUGAAAUAGUAAGAUUUAAUAAAGAUAAUCAUGAAUAUUUAUUCUUAGUUCUAUUAAUAUUUUUAUUAUCCAUUUUUUUUUUCUAACAAUAUCUAUCCGCUGUAUCGCAUGGGUUUCUUACUAAUAUAAAAUUUAGAGGCAAUUCCUUAUAUACCCUUGAAAAGUUUUCGACUUUCCGAUUUACCCCUCUUAGAAGGCUAAUAUUGAAAAUACUCUUUCUACGUUCCAACCUAUUUCUAAUAUAUCCCUAAAGUUAAAAUCUGUUAAUUAACUCUAUUAUCUUUGUAUAAUUACUAUUUUGCCCUUUCAAAUAUACCCUUCUACCAUAAUUGACUUUCUUAUUUGCCCUUAAAGUCAGGGGCACAAAAAAUAUUUUGACUUUUGGUCUUUUUCAAUAUACCCCUCUACCGUCACCAACAUUUCUUAUUUGCCCUUAAGUUAAGGGCAAAAUUAGCAUUUUAAUUUUUUUAACUAUGGUAGAUAUUUAACUCACAUUUAACCCAAGUUAACUUUCAGGGGUAUUUUGUAAUAACAGUGGAACAUAUGAGGAGUAUUUUAGAAAGAAAAAAAAAAGUAGGGAUAAAUCGGAUAUUUUCAAACGUACGAGGGGUAUAUAGGCAAUUAUCCCUAAAUUUUAUGUAUACUUAUUGACCACAAAUAUAAGAUAAAUAAAUUUAUAACAAAUUAAUUUGUAUGCAACAUUAAAUCCUUAUGUGAAUGGAUUCUUCAAGGUCCACGUCAUUUUAAUAAGUAUGAUGACUAUUCAUGGAUGGAAUUUAACAGAUUUUUGUGGAUCCCACGCAGUUAGAAAAAGUUCAAUAUAAGCUAAAAGAUUUAGUCUACGAAAAAUUAGAAAAAGUUCAACGUAAGCUAAGAGGUUUAGUCUACGAAAAUUAUAAUUAAAAGUUAAAAAAGCAAUGGCCAAUAAAGAAACACGAAUGGAUUUUCCAAAUCCACAACAAAAACAAUGCUACGGCAUUCCAAUGCGUGGCCGAAACACGCCACCUUCACUGAACCAUAUUACGUGUACAAUGUUCCAAAGAAAACAAUAUUUUUAUUUAAUAAUUUUUAAAAGUCAUCAUAAUUCGGUCCUAUUAGAUAGUACAUAUAAUAAAUAUAUAUAUUAUUGUUCAUCGAUAUCUUAGUAGAUCUAUAUGGCAUGUAAGAAUAAUAAAACUAAAUAUAUACUAAUAUCAAUGAUCAUAAACAGAGUAAACAAUAAUUUAUGGAGUGCCAUAUAAAAGACUCUUGAUCAAUCCGUGGAAGCGAGAGAUCCAACUUGAGGUUUGAACAUCACUUCUCGCUUUAUCUCAAGCACUCUCCGCCAGAAUGCCCGUGAGAAGGUAGCAGAACCAAUACCCUAUUAUAUAGAGUCUAAAUUGAUUUUCCAUCAAAGUCUAAUUAAAGUGAUGCUUAAUUUAACAUAUUAAUUAAGCAAUCUUAUAUCGGCUAGAAUUGACAUUUAUUUAUAGUAAAUUUAGAUUUGAAUAUAAUUAAUUGGGCCACAUUCGGAUCAUACAUGUUAGUUUUGAUAGAAAAGAAGAAAGAAAAAUAUUUUACUUUUUUUUAAUUUUAGUAUAAAUUUCAUAUGAAAUAUAUUACACAUGUUAAGAUAAAAUUUAAAUAAUACACACAGUCAAAAUUAGAUUGCAUAUUACAUAUUAUUCAUAUACUAUAUUUACCGUAAUGCACAUAUUAUUAUAUUUUAUAUUUUAUCAAUCAAAUAUAUUUAAAAUAAUAUCAUAUGAUAACUAUGUAAUAUAGUAUAAAUAACUAGCAAUGUGCCCGCACUCUGCAGUGGUUGUGAUUUUUAACUUCAUAAUUAUUGUAUUAUAUAUUAUGUAAAAUUAUUUAAUAGAGUCUUAUAAAAGUAUUCAAUAUAUAUAAGUGUUCUUUGGAGCAAGAUAGUUAAAUUCACAAAAGUUAUUCGUCCUCUUUAUAGGAUCUUAUGCAAGGACUUUUUAUACAUUAUGUAAAAUCACUUAAUAUAGAAUCAAACAAUAAGUGCCAAGUUUUAUAAAAAUAUUAUUCAAUACAUGUGAGUGUUAAUCUUUGGGGCAAGAUAGUAGAAUUCACAAAAGAUAUGCCUCCUCUUUGUAUGAUGCUAUGCAAGGACUUCUCAUUCUUCGGAAUGUUGUAGGCCAUCUUCGUCAAACUUACGCAAAAAAAAUAAUAAUCGUUAUAUUUAUUUAUAAUUAAGGAAGUUAUGAUAGAAUAGAAUGUAGUAAUCUAUUUGCAAGUCUCUACAAUCUCAGCAAUUAAUAUAUUCAUCUAACGGUACUUCAAUUUCCAUGCAAUCUAUAAACAUUCCAGUAUCGUAGCUCUAAGAACAAUUCAUAGCUUGGCAUUCCGUAUGAGAGCUGGUAAGUGAUUUAUUGCAAUAUAUACUUGAAGAAAAUUAUUCCCGACAAAGUUGCAUCACAAAAAAGUGCUUAAAUGUUAGUUUUUCAAUUAGCAACUCCCACCCAAAGAUUAGCCAGGUUUGUUGUAAGUUUAUAUUAUUAAAGUAGCAUGAAAAUUUCGUACGGAGCAUAGUCAACUUUUAUCUUAAUAAAUCAAAUAUUAUUUUACAAAUAUUAUUAUAAGAAAAUACAAAAAAAAAAAAAAAAAAACACAAUAUCUAAAAACCAUCAAAACUUAUAAGCAAAUACCUAUUCUUUGAUAGAACAACAGCACAUAAAAACUUAUAAGCAAACACCUAUUCAUUUUUUAUAGAAAAAGUGCACUUAAUCUACUUUGUACAACAAAUUACGCGAAUGUAGAUUAAAUGACAAAAGCAUGAAAUAUAACUAAAAUCACAUAAAUUCUUGGUACAUACUGUACUUUUUUUUUUUAACUUCAUUAGUAGUUGUGCUUCUUCACCGAUAAUAGAGGCUUGUAAGGGAAUUAAAAAAAAGUACCAAAGUAAUUAGUUAAAUAUUUUGAAAAUUUUGCAAAAAUAAGUUGUUAAUGAAUAAUUUAUCUUUUCUUGUAAAUUGAUUUAACUAUUUUACAAUCAUUCAAUUUACAAAAUGCUAUAAAUCAAAGAAAAUAAAUCAACUAAAUGCAUAUUAAGAAAUAGUAGAAUUUUAAACAAUAACAUAUCUGAUGGAGGAUUGUAAGAAGAAAAGGCUGCAAAAAAGUUAAAAGUUGCUAUAUAUAUAUAGUUGAAUAAAUUUUUUUUUUUUAUGUAUCAAAAGAUGUAAAAAUUUCUAAUCAAGACAUGUAGGCAAAUGACUUUUAGGUGUCAAGAAAUAAAGCUUGCAAGUGACGAAAAAAAAACUUUGUGAGUGUCAAAAAAAAAAAUACAGCUAUCAAAAAGCUUGAAACGAUAUAUCGAAGUUUAAGCUUAGUUAGUUAAUUUGCCUAUAAUUCGCGAAUUAUUCGUGAAUUUUUAGAAAACCGAAUUAAACGCUCGCAUCCGCAUUUUUCCAAAAAAUGCGUUAAAAAAAGCCUUUUUUUCAUCAAAAAUAAUUAUCCGCGAACCAUUAGCGAUUCGCGAAUGAUUCGUCCAAAAAAACGGCGGUCGCGGUGUAGUGUUCCUGAGCUUUGGAUAGGAUUGGCUUCAGUAUUAGUGACUGGUCGACAUCUCUGGAGAGUGUCGGACUGAGUCGGAGUCAAUUCUGCACGAAUUGGAUGCAGAAUUGGACUCGGCGCACUCAAAUAGGCAAAACUGGAGUUUUGCCAGAUUCGGGCGCCCAGAACAUUUUUAGGGUCGCCCAGAACUGAGUGUUGAAUUUAACUGAAACUGGAAGCCAAUUCGGAUCCCAUGUUCCGGGCGCCCAGAUGUGGGUCCGGAAAUUCGACAUCGUGAAUAUCGCUUGCUUCGACGCGUGGCAGGGCGGUAGGUGAGUUCCGCCGGAGCCAUUUACGGGCGCAGCACACCGCGAGCGGAGAGUCCGAGGAGCCCGGUUUGUGCAGUCGGGAUGUUCUGGUCGCCCAGAACAUGGUUCCGGGCGCCCAGAAACGCCCGUUUCUGCAGGAACACUGGAUAGCAACUGUUUUUCCUGGGGCUUAUCUUAUCCCUCCAGCAGCCUAUAAAUACCUGGUAUUCGUCCCCAUUGAGCUCUUUUACCUGUUCUUCACAGAGGACUUAGAAUUUUCAUCCCUAAUCCCUCCAAUCUUUCCAAUUUGCAUCAAGAUCCACCUCUCCAAGAAUUGCAAGGUGCUGAUUCUGCAGUUCUUCAGCGACGACCUCCAGUGUUUUGGCUCGUGCGCGACGUAGGAAGGUCGGAUUUCGACGAAACUUGGUUUGCUGGAUUCUAGACUUCCAGAGGAAUCCACGAAGCCCUGAAUUGCAGAUUUUGGUUGAGGUUAGCUUGGUCGAACUGAGGUUUUUCUGGACUGCUGUUGACUUUGAGCUGAAAUUGGAAUUUUUGAGCUUUUCUUGAUGCUAACUUUGUAGGCAGUGGGAUUUUGGACCUGAGAUUGAUCACCCAUCAGUAGUUGCUGGAUUUGGAUCUGUCCUCACCCGAUUUGGAGAUCAUUAGGUGAGUUUUGACAUUGGAAUUGAGAUAAUUAAGCUUAAGUGCUGAAAUUUUGGUAAAUUGAUGGUUUUUAUUGGAUUUUUGGGUGAAUUGUAAAUCCAGAUCUUGAGGGGCUUUGUUGCUGGUUUGGAGGUGUUUCCAGCAGUGUUGCUUGUGAUCCGAGACCCUCUUGCUUCCAGGAUUUUCACUAGAGGUGGGUGUAUCAUCGGUUUCGCUCCUAAGUGCAUGUUUAGUCGACGUGUAUAGUUCGAUUUUUGUAUAUCAUGCUUUAAUUCAUCGAUUAGCAUCUUGAAUGUAAUAUGAAUGUAGAAGCAUGCUGAAAUGAAUAUUUAUAUUAUACAUGUUGGACUUGAAAUUUGACUUAGGAGAAAACCUGCGUUUUGACCCGUCAUAUGCUUAAACUACCAGAUUUAGCUCUAGGAGUCGUGAUUCGAUUGUAUCGUUGCAGCAUCAGUGCGAUGGAUACCUGGAAUAGUUUAGAAGGCAUUUACGCUCGUGCUGGGAUGCCGAGCUUAUUUUUCAGCAGAGUUUAGGCUGUUUCAGGUUGUUGGGUGCCGUUCGGGUUAGCGGUGGACCCAGAUUCUUGUUUUGGUAACAGAUUGUGUCGAGGGCACGUGGGUUUGGUUUGUAGACCUGUUUUGACCCUGUUCACUUGACUUUGGCUAGUUUGAGCCUAAUUGAGCUCGACAGAGAUACGCUGCAUACUCGGUUUGGUAGCGCCCACGAGUGCCACUCCGGAGUCAGGCUUUGUGCUUUCGCGUUGGUGUCGCUCAUGCCAGUUGGACUUGCUCUCCACGGACCAGUUAGUGUGGAUAGAGCCCGAUAGUCGCAACCGGGCAGGAACGGGUGUAUUCACAGUCCCGGGGACGGGUAUGCUUACAGUCCCGAUUGGAUUGGGUCAGAGUGGAUAUUUUCUACAGUUGGUUAGUGUAGAGCAUGAUAGUGUAGUGUUUGAUAGCGGUAGACUUUAUUCCUGCAUUUACUACUAUUCUUGCUCCCUUCUGUAGACUUAGUGGGUGUACGAUGUUGUUUUGGGCGGUACCCACUGAGGACUACUUGUUUUUACAGUAGUUCUCACGCCCUGUUGUUACUUCAUUUUUUUUGCAGAGCUAUCGUCUUCGGCUGCUGCUAUUGCUGAUCAGGAUCGAGGCAAGGGCGUCGCGAGUUAGAGCUCUACCCGACGAGCCGAGCUAGGGGUGCCCUACUGCAGGUAGUAGUUUUGUUGGAGUUCAUGUACUUACCUACCUUUAACUCGCCAGUGCGAGUAGUUUUUAUGUAUCUUGGAUUUUGGGGUAUGUGUAUGGAACUCAGUUGGUUUUCUCCGUUUCUCCAAGCAGCUCUAUACUACUGUUUGUAGUAUUGUUUGAUUUACAGAUACAGCUAUCGCUUCGUAUACAGGGAAAAUUUCUUUGUAUACGGCUGAUUUGUCGGCACGCCCGGGGAAAGUGUAAUCCGGGGUGUGACAGAUUAAGUUGGUAUCAGAGCUUUGUUGUAGGUCGUUGGGACCUAGAAACCCUAAGUUUGGCAAACCUUAGGAAGGCAAGACGCAAGAUGCGUGAUUUAUCGCGAAAGUCAAUGAUUUGUUGUUCUAACUCCUCCUAUAGUGGAGUGAGUGAUUGGAGGAGUUCCUGUUUUGUCCUGAAAAAUUAUGUUUACUGCAGACGACAUAAUUUUAGGGAGAAAUAGGGGCCGCCUUCUAGACUUUCGUUUGAUUGGGUCGAGAGUGUUUUGUUGUAUCUGACCCCUGUUUUGCUCUUUACAGCUAUGUAUCGUUGCCGAGGCCGACCGUCGUUGCGGGAGCGUGCGCAGUUGGCGCAGGAUCGUGCUAGAUCUCCUGAGAUGCCUGAGCAGGCAGAGGCGAGUGCACCCCCAGUUGUAGAGCAGAGGGCCGGACCGGAGGCGAGUGCAUCCCCGGAUUUGAGUGCACAGUUAGCCGCUCUGACAGAGGUGACGAGACGGCAGGGGGAGUUAUUGGAGAGGAUGUGCGAGAGGUUGGUUGCGCCCCAGAGUUCUGUAUCGAGAGUACCAGAGUCGCCAGUUCCACCCCCGACUACUCCAGUGAAAGCACCAGCUGCAGCAAUUCCUCCAUCGGCAUCAGUUCCAGUAGCGCCAGUUGCGCCUGCUAGGGGGUCAGUACCGUUGACUGAGGCCGAACAGGAGCGGUGGUCGGAGAGGUUAGCUCGUUUUCGCCGAUUUGACCCACCGAUCUUCGAUGGCAGAGGCAUUGAGGCCUGGAUUGUUGAGGGAUGGGUAAAUGCGAUAGAGAAGUUAUUCGAGGAUCUGUUCGUUCCAGAGUGGAAGCAGGUACCUUUGGGAGUACACUGUCUGUCAGGUGAUGCACAUGAUUGAUGGCGGAGAGCGAGGCGAGACUAGGGACUGGUGGCGACGCAGUUGAGGUGGGAUGAGUUCUGUGGAAUGCUGUAUGGGAUGUAUUUCCCCAACAGCAUGAAACAAAAGAUCGAGGAGGAUUUGAAGAAGAUCCAGCAGGAUAAGCGGACAGUUCAGGAGUAUGUUCGGGAGUUUACUAGGCUCCUGAACUUUGUUCCGUUCGUGGCCAAAGACGAGGCACAUAGGGUCUACUUGUUUGAGCAGGGAUUGAGACCCGAUCUUUUCAAGUUCGUUAGGGCGUAGAGGUCGAGGACUCUGGAUGCGUCCAUUGAGCAGGCAUUAUGGGAGGAGAGAGGAGAGGUGUCGCUCAGAGAGAGGGCUCAGGGGCCGGGACCGAGCCAGGAUAGGAAGCGCCCAGCUCCAGACGACGGAGGCCAGUCGAGUAGCAGACGUCCGCCAAGGCCUCCACGAUCGCGUUCUCAAGGUCGUGGGUUCUCGGGACGCCAGCGAUCCAGGGACUCUCGUCAGAGGGGACAGCCAGAGAGGACGCCGCAGUGUGUGAUCUGCGGAGGACCACACUGGCCCAGACAGUGCGAGCAGAGGGAGGGCCAGUGCUACGGGUGUGGUCAGCCGGGACACAUGAGGGCAGCUUGUCCUCGAGCAGCAUCUCCAGCACCAUCAUAAGCUUCAGCUCCACCGGCACCUCAGCAGUCAUUCAGAGCAGCACCGAGUUACCGCCAGGAGGAUAGAUCAUCCAUGCCGCGACAGGGUGAGCAGCGACAACAGGCUCCGAGUGGCAGAGUCUAUGCAGCACAGGUGGAGGACUCUACAGCAGCCGACCGAGUGGUGGCAGGUAUCACUUUGAUUUCAGGUAUUCGUACUCGCACUCUUUUUGAUACCGAUGCCACGCAUUCUUUUGUUAGCCGAACAUUUGCAUUAUUGUAUGGUCUAGAGUUAGGGUCCUUGUCACAGGCACGAGAGGUGCAGAUCCCCGACCAUGUCUUGCAGGUUACAGAGUGUUGUUGGUCCUGUUCGGUGCAGUUAGACUCUUGGAUCAUGCCCGCAGACCUGUUAGUGUUAGGGCAGCUGCAGGACUUCGACGUAGUGCUCGGUAUGGAUUGGCUGGCGUGGUGCUAUGCUACUAUCGACUGUGGAGCGAGGAUUGUGACGUUCCGGAAGCCAGACCAGGAGGAGUUCACCUUCAGAGGCUGCAGGAGCACGUUGUUUGCCACCUGGAUAUCUUCGGCGAGGACUCGACAGCUGAUGAGUAGAGGAUGUGUUGCUUUUCUAACGACUGUGGCAGAGGUGCCUACGGCGGUGCCGGAACUCAAGGAUAUCCCUAUAGUCCACGAGUUUCCGGACGUGUUUCCCCCGGAGUUGACGACGAUGCGCCGGAGAGGGAGAUAGAGUUUGUGAUUGAUGUAGUUCCUGAAACUGCACCAAUCUCAAAGGCGCCUUACAGGAUGGCACCGGCAGAGCUGAGAGAGCUAAAGGCGCAACUUCAGGAUCUGAUGGAUAGAGGGUUUGUGAGACCCAGUGUGUCGCCUUGGGGAGCGCCGGUGUUAUUUGUAAAGAAGAAAGAUGGUUCGCUCAGGUUAUGUGUUGAUUACCGGGAGCUGAAUAAAGUGACCAUCAAGAACAAGUAUCCUCUGCCGCGCAUUGAUGAUCUAUUCGAUCAGCUGCAAGGAUCUUGUGUCUUUUCGAAGAUUGAUCUCCAGUCAGGUUACCACCAGCUAGGGUGAGGGCCGAGGAUGUUCCCAAGACGACUUUUCGGACUCGGUACGGGCAUUAUGAGUUUACGGUGAUGCCGUUUGGAUUGACGAAUGCCCCUGCCGCAUUCAUGGAUUUGAUGAACAGAGUGUUCAAGCCGUUCUUGGAUAGGUUUGUGGUAGUCUUCAUCGACGAUAUCCUGAUUUACUCCCGGAGUGAUGCUGAGCAUGAGGAGCACUUGAGGAUUGUGCUACAGCUUCUGCGCGAGAAGAAGUUGUAUGCCAAGUUAAAGAAGUGCGAGUUCUGGCUACGGGAGGUUGCUUUCUUGGGCCACGUGAUUUCAGCUGAGGGCGUAGCAGUGGACCCGAAGAAGAUUGAGGCGAUUCGAGAUUGGCCUAGACCGACGACGGUUACUGAGGUACGGAGCUUCCUGGGACUGGCAGGAUAUUACCGUCGGUUUGUGGAAGGCUUUGCGAAGCUUUCCACACCCCUCACACGCUUGACGCGGAAGGGGAUUCGUUUUGUCUGGAGCGACGACUGUCAGAGGAGCUUUGACGAGUUGAGAUUGAGGUUGAUGUCGGCUCCUAUCCUUGCCCUUCCUGUUAUGGGCGAAGGAUUUGUGAUCUACAGUGAUGCAUCGCACAGUGGACUUGGUUGCGUGCUGAUGCAGCAUGGUAGGGUGAUUGCUUAUGCUUCACGGCAGUUAAAGGAUUAUGAGAAGAAUUACCCUACGCAUGACUUGGAGCUUGCCGCGGUGGUUUUUGCUUUGAAGCUCUGGCGGCAUUACUUGUACGGCGAGCACUGCGAGGUUUUUACCGAUCAUAAAAGUCUCAAGUAUCUAUUCACCUAGAGGAAAUUGAAUGUAAGGCAGCGCCGGUGGUUGGAGUUACUGAAGGACUAUGACAUUAGUAUUCAGUAUCAUCCCGGCAGGGCGAAUGUGGUGGCAGAUGCGUUGAGCAGGAAGUCAGUGCAGAGCCUGAGUUUGAGGAUUACUGAGCAGAGACCCCUACUCGAGGAGCUACAGCGGCUGGGACUCGAGAUAGUACCCCCUGGGUCUACGGCGAGGCUGACGUCUCUAGUUUUACAGCCCACUCUGUUGGAUAGGAUCCGAGAGAAACAGAGUGGAGAUCCGUACUUGUUGAGGAUUAGAGAGCAGCUAGACAGGGGGCAGGCUGAGGGUUUUGCUUUGGACAGUUCGGGAGUACUACGGUACAGGGACCGACUGUGUGUGCCUGUGGAUCCGGAGAUUCGAGCGGAUAUUCUGAGAGAGGCUCAUUGUUCCCCUUAUACGGUUCACCCUGGGGGAACCAAGAUGUAUAAGGAUCUUAAGGCACGGUUCUGGUGGCCUGGAAUGAAGAGGGACAUUGGCAGAUUUGUGGCUCAGUGUUUGACUUGCCAACAGGUGAAGGCCGAGCAUCAGGUGCCUGCUGGCAAGCUUCAGAGUCUGCCAGUUCCCGAGUGGAAGUGGGAGCACAUCACGAUGGACUUCGUCGUUGGAUUGCCUAGAGCGCAGGGUGGCUACGACGCGAUUUGGGUGAUAGUGGACAGACUGACCAAGUCUGCUCACUUCCUACCGGUUCAGACUACCUGGUCCAGGGAGAGACUCGCGCAGCUAUACUUGGAUGAGAUCGUUAGGCUGCACGGCGUGCUAGUGUCGAUUGUAUCAGAUAGAGACCCGAGGUUCGUAUCCCAGUUUUGGAGGAGCCUUCAGACAGCCUUGGGUACACAGCUACAUUUCAGCACAACAUUCCACCCACAGACAGAUGGUCAGUCAGAGCGGACCAUUCAGACUCUAGAGGACAUGCUGAGGGCAUGUGUCCUGGACUUUGGAGGAGGGUGGUAUCGACAUUUGAGACUGGUUGAGUUUGCGUACAACAACAGCUAUCAAGCGAGCAUCCAGAUGGCUCCGUUUGAGGCGUUGUAUGGACGCAGAUGUCGAUCCUCUCUGUUUUGGAGUGAUGUGGGUGAGAGGAGGACGUUUGGGCCUAAGAUUCUGAUCGAGGCUGAGGAAAAGGUAAAAGCGCGACGGCACAUAUUAGCAGCCCAGAGUCGACAGAGGAGCUAUGCUGAUACCCGGAGACGAGACUUGGAGUUCCAGGUGGGAGAUCAUAUUUUUCUUAAAGUCUCGCCGUCCAGAGGGAUUCGCCAAUUUGGAGUACGUGGAAAGCUCAGUCCACGUUUUGUAGGCCCUUUCGAGGUAUUGGAGCGAGUCGGGCCAGUUGCUUACAGGAUUGCUCUACCACCACGGCUAGCCGGCAUUCACGAUAUUUUUCACGUCUUGGCUUUGAGGAAAUAUGUGUUUGACCCCUCCCACGUGAUUGACUUCACUCCGCUUGAUUGACUUCACUCCUCUUGAGAUUAGCGAGAACCUGAGUUACGAGGAGCAACCGGUGCGGAUUCUGGCUCGUGAGUCGAGGGAAUUGUGCAACCGGAUCAUACCCUUUGUAAAAGUGCAGUGGAGUAAUCACGAGAAGCGGGAAGCGACUUGGGAGUCGGAGACGGUAAUGAAGGAGUCAUACCCCUACCUGUUUGAGGCCCUGGAUUGAGGUAUGUUUUCAGUUUCGCGGACGAAACUUUUUGUAGUGGGGGAGGAUGUAGUGUUCCUAAGCUUUGGAUAGGAUUGGCUUCAGUAUUAGUGACUGGUCGACAUCUCUGGAGAGUGUCGGACUGAGUCGGAGUCAAUUCCGCACAAAUUGGAUGCAGAAUUGGACUCGACGCACUCAAUUAAGCAAAACUAGAGUUUUGCCAGUUUCGAGCGCCCAGAACAUUUUUAGGGUCGCCCAGAAACGAGUGUUGAAUUUAACUGAAACUGGAAGCCAAUUCGGAUCCCAUGUUACGGGCGCCCAGAUGUGGAUCCGAAAAUUCGACAUCGUGAAUAUCGCUUGCUUCGACGUGUGGCAGGCGGUAGGUGAGUUCCGCCGGAGCCAUUUACGGGCGCAGCACACCUCGAGCGGAGAGUCCGAGGAGCCCGUUUUGUGCAGGCUGGAUGUUCUGGUCGCCCAGAACAUGGUUCCGGGCGCCCAGAAACACUCGUUUCUGCAGGGACACUGGAUAGCAGCUUGAGUUCCUGAGGCUUUUUGGAUCAUUCUAACUCACUAUAAAUAGAUGGAAUGCGCCCCUUUGCUGCUCUUUUCCUCCCUUCUUCACAGAGAAGUCCCUUUUAGCAUCUCAACACUCGGAUUUGCCUCAAUUUGCAUCAAACUUCCAUUGAUCCAACUUGAUGGAGUGCUGAUUCUGCAGUUCUUCAGCGACGACCUCCAAUGUUUUGGCUCGUGCGCGACGUAGGAAGGUCGGAUUUCGACGAAACUUGGUUUGCUGGAUUCUAGACUUCUAGAGGAAUCCACGAAGUCCUGAACUGCAGAUUUUGGUUGAGGUUAGCUUGGUCAAACUGAAGUUUUUCUAGACUGCUGUUGACUUUGAGCUGAAAAUGGGAUUUUUGAACUUUUCUUGAUGCUAUCUUUGUUGGCAAUAGGAUUUUGGACCUGAGUUUGAUCACCUCUCAGUAUUUGCUGGUUUUGGAACUGUUCUCACCUGAUUUGGAGAUCAUUAGGUGAGUUUUGACAUUGGAAUUGAGAAAUCCUAAGCUUAAAGCUGAAAUUGAUGAAUUUUAUUGGAUUUUGGGUGAAUUGUUAUAUCCAGAUCUUGAGGGGCUUUGUUGCUGGUUUGGAGGUGUUUCCAGCAGUGUUGCUUGUGAUCCGAGACACUCUUGCUGCCAGGAUUUUCACUAGAGGUGGGUGUAUCAUCGGUUUCGCUCCUAAGUGCAUGUUUAGUCGACGUGUAUAGUUCGAUUUUUGUAUAUCAUGCUUUAAUUCAUCGAUUAGCAUCUUGAAUGUAAUAUGAAUGUAGAAGCAUGCUGAAAUGAAUAUUUAUAUUAUACAUGUUGGACUUGAAAUUUGACUUAGGAGAAAACCUGCGUUUUGACCCGUCAUAUGCUUAAACUACCAGAUUUAGCUCUAGGAGCCGUGAUUCGAUUGUAUCGUUGCAGCAUCAGUGCGAUGGAUACCUGGGGUAGUUUAGAAGGCAUUUACGCUCGUGCUGGGAUGCCGAGCUUAUUUUUCAGCAGAGUUUAGGCUGUUUCGGGUCGUUGGGUGCCGUUCGGGUUAGCGGUAGACCCAGAUUCUUGUUUUGGUCACAGAUUGUACCGAGGGCACGUGGGUUUGGUUUGUAGACCUGUUUUGACCCUGUUCACUUGACUUUGGCUAGUUGGAGCCUGAUUGAGCUCGACAGAGAUACGCUGCAUACUCGGUUGGGUAGUGCCCACGAGUGCCACUCCGGAGUCAGGCUUUGUGCUUUCGCGUUGGUGUCGCUCAUGCCAGUUGGACUUGCUCUCCACGGACCAGUUAGUGUGGAUAGAGCUCAAUAGUCGCAACGGGGCAGGGACGGGUGUAUUCACAGUCCCGGGGACGGGUAUGCUUACAGUCCCGAUUGGAUUGGGUCAGAUUGGACAUUUUCUACAGUUGGUUAGUGUAGAGCAUGAUAUUGUAGUGUUUGAUAGCGGUAGACUUUAUUCCUGCAUUUACUACUAUUAUUGCUGAUCAGGAUUGAGGCAAGGGCGUCGCGAGUUAGAGCCCUACCCGACGAGCCGAGCUAGGGGUGCCCUACUGCAGGUAGUAGUUUUGUUGGAGUUCUUGUACUUACCUACCUUUAACUCACCAGUGCGACUAGUUUUUGUGUAUCUUGGAUUUUGGGGUAUGUGUAUGGAACUCAGUUGGUUUUCUCCGUUUCUCCUAGCAGCUCUAUACUACUGUUUGUAGUAUUGUUUGAUUUACAGAUACAGCUAUCGCUUCGUAUACAGGAGAAAUUCCUUUGUAUACGGCGGAUUUGUCGGCACGCCCGGGGAAAGUGUAAUCCGGGGCGUGACACGCAGACUCGCGGGUCGCGUCGUGGCCGCCAUCGUCGUCGUCGUCCUCCUCCUCCUCCGCCGCUUUCGUCGCGGAACUUUGGAUCACCGUAAAAUCCCUCCGAAGAAAAAUUUUUCGCUAAAAAUUUUUUUUCCCAAACAAUGGUUGUCCCUAAAUUUUGUUUUGAAAAAAUUAUUUUAUAAAUUUUGGGGAAAAAAUCGAGUUUGGGACUUGGGAGCUCGCAAUAGAAAUGGCCCUGGCGUGGCGUUUGGGAAUUGGAAAAUCGCGGCGUUUGGGGAAGAAGAUGGCGCGCGGUCCACGAAGGCACUUCAGCCUCGUGGACCGCAUGAGAGAGAGGUCCACGGUGGACCUCCCUCUCAUUAGUCAUUAUAUAUAUAUAUAUAUAUAUAUAUAUAGAGAGAGAGAGAGAGAGAGAGAGAGUUGGGCUGGGAUGCUAUUGAUAGCACCCAGCCAACUUUGCCACCCAUUUUGUAACCCUUGGAUCGCAUCGAGAUCCGUGCAGCCCUUUUAGUGAAAACUUAGGAAAAGCUCCGUUAGAUCCCCUCCGUUAUCCCUUUUUCUCUCUCUCUCUCUCUCUCUCUCUCUCUCUCUCUCUCUCUCUCUCUCUCUUCUUUUCUUUUUUGUUUUCCUUUCUUCUCCAUAGACCUCACCUCCCACCAAACCCUCCCUCCUCCACAGCACGCCCACCUCCCACCUCGCCCACUCGCCCCCUCGCCACAGUUUUUGCCCGCCCGCUUGCUCUCUCACUUUCUCUCUUUCUUCUUUUCUUUUUCUUUUUCCUUUCUUCUCCACAGAGCUUACCACCAAACCCUCCCUCCUCCAUACCCUGCCCAUCUCCCAUCUCGCCCACCUUGCCCACUCGCCCCCUCGCCUGCUCGCUCGCUUGCUGGCUGGCUCACCCCCUCGCCUACUUCUCAGGUUUGAUUCUUUGUUUUUCUUUUUUUUAGUUGUUUGGUGAAUAAAUUAUAGGAAAAAAAUAUUAUUUGGUGAAACAAGUUACAGAAAAAAAAUUUUAUUCUAUUUUUAAAAAAUCUGAAAAAAAAAUCUGAUUUUAUUAUACAAAAUUUGAAUUUAUUAUAAAAUCUGAUUUUAUUAUACAAAAUCUGAUUUUAUUACUCUAGCAUCUAUUUUAUUAAUAUCUUGGCUACUUGCAAUUCUUGUCCUUAGAACUAUUGAUAUUGAGUAAGUGAUUACACAGGGUUCGAUUCUAUGAAAGGAAAGAUAGUGUGCGGAAUUCAUGUGUAUUAGCAUUCUUUGAUGAUUUUUUUCUAUUUACAGAGAAGGUUGCUUUUCUUAUUUCUUAACUACAUUUCUGCAAUUUUGAAUGAGAGUUUUUAUGUGUUUAAUGUUUUGAGUACAGUGAUUUAGAUUACUGAAAUCUAUAGUUGAUAAAUAUCAUGCGUUUUGCUUAUUUUAUUUUAUUUUUUAUUUUUUUUGAAGGUUGGAGUCAGGUGGAUUAGAUAAUAAUGUUGAGAUAGGUGAAGUCUGUCUCAGAUGGUCUGUCACAGUAAACUGAAAAGGAUGGUGCUACAUAUACUACAAAAGGCCAAGAAGAGGCAGAUAGCUCAAGUGACUCUGUAUGAAGAUAAACUUGUAACAUGCGUAAACAAUGGCUGAACUCGGCUUCUUGUUUGUAGUAUGUAUUUUGCUAGUAAUAACUCUGAAAUAAUACUUAUUAUCUGGAUAGUUUAACUUGUAGAAUGUUCAAGUGAUCUGGAUGAUUUAACUUAUUGUAGAAUGUUUAUCAUUGACAGGUAUUUGUUGCUUUCUGCUGUCUCCUUUUCCACUGUUGUUAAAAUUUGGUGUUCUGCUCUAUGCUGUAGUGUUUCAUUUGCUUUGUGUAAUUCUGCUCAUACUGACUUCUCUGGAAGUUCUGGCUGGACCAAAUUAACUUUGCCCUUAAUAGGCACCAAAAGUACGAUAGAAUGUUUGAAUGUUUGGUUUUAUUAUUAGGAAUACUGAUUUGAAGAAUUUUUUUUUUCAAACUGCGGAGUUUUUAAGCUGCAAAUGACUCUCAACCAGCUAUAGUUAGGCUAUGUGUGGAUUAUUGCAUUUGUGGAUUAUUGCAUUUAUUCUGAUUUGGAGUUUUUUUUUUUUCAAACUGUACCAUAGAAUGUUUGAAUUUUUUUUUCAAACUGUGGAGUUUUCAAACUGUGGAGUUUAUUCUUACCUAUAAUUAAGCAGGCCUAUCAUGAUAAUGUGGACAACAAAUCUAUUCUUUAAAAAUAGUGGCCUAUCCUGACCUGUGAGAUGGCUACUUGACAAAUUGGUAUUUAGUGUAGAACACAAUCAAAUUAAAGAUAUAAAAUCAUACAACACAAUCAAAUUAAAGAUAUAAAUUCAUUAAUUAAAAAUAGUGGUUACAAACAUAGUUCAAAUAGCCUUUAGUUACAUUAAAAUCUUCACAUACAUCAUUGCGACGAAGACAAACAAUACAACCAAAUACAACUUUAUCUUAAAAAUUCUUCUAUUUGUAAACUAAGAAGAAGUAAUUUAAUUACUAUUUUAUACGAAACCACAUUUAUACUAAACAAGGAUCAUGGAACAAGGAUGACAUUAUGCUCAAUCUCCACCAAAGGGGCAGAAUCAGACAGUUCUGCUAUGUCCGACCAAGAAGCUGCCGCCCUGCAAACCAAUUCAAACGGAGAAGCUAAGCAAGUAGAAACCAGCUUGAAUGGCAAUAAUUCCAUUCAUCUGGAAAAUGAGAAACAAAUUGAUCUUGGGAAGCGCCCUAGGGAUGAAAGUGUGGAAGAAAACUGCGACGAGGAAUUAGGCAAGUGCUUCGAACUUGUGUCCUGAUAUAAAAAAAUUAGAUUUUAUAAUAAAUUUAGAUUUUUGAAAAUCAGAUUUUGUAUAAUAAAAUCAGAUUUUAUAAUAAAUUCAGAUUUUGUAUAAUAAAAUCAGAUUUUUUUUUUCAGAUUUUUUAAAAACAGAACAACAUUUUUUUUCUGUAAUUUUUUUCACCAAAUAAUAUUUUUUUCCUAUAAUUUAUUCACCAAACAACUAAAAAAAAGAAAAACAAAGAAUCAAACCUGAGAAGUAGGCGAGGGGGCGAACCAGCGAGCAAGCGAGCGAGCAGGCAAGGGGGCGAGUGGGCGAGGUGGGCGAGAUGGGAGGUGGGCGGGGUGUGGAGGAGGGAGGGUUUGGUGGUAAGCUCUAUGGAGAAGAAAGGAAAAGAAAAAGAAAAGAAGAAAGAGAGAAAGUGAGAGAGCAAGCAAGCGGGCGAAAACUGCGGCGAGGGGGUGAGUGGGCGAGGUUGGAGGUGGGCGUGCUGUGGAGGAGGGAGGGUUUGGUGGGAAGUGAGGUCUGUGGAGAAGAAAGGAAAAGAAAAAAGAAAAAAAGAAAGUGAGAGAGAGAGAGAGAGAGAGAGAGAGAGAGAGAGAAAGAGAGAGAGAGAGAGAGAGGGGAUAACGGAGGGGAUCUAACGGAGUUUUUUCUAAGUUUUAACUAAAAGGGCUGCACGGAUCUCGAUGCGAUCCAAGGGUUACAAAAUGGGUGGCAAAGUUGGCUGGGUGCUAUCAAUAGCAUCCCAGCCCAACUAUAUAUAUAUAUAUAUAUAGUAGGUCUUGUGUGUUAUUAGGAGCACGGAGGCUUUCGUGCUUCUAAGUCGUUUUCGAUAAUAGAGUUUCCAAAUCGACGAUGGACUCCGUUAGACUUGAUCUAGCGUAUUUGAAGUAUUUAGAAAAUAAAUUUUGCGAUUUUUCGGUAUCAUUUACCUGCUAAUCGAAAGGGUUCAAAAUCAACGGCUGAAAAUAAAAAUCUCAAAAAAGUGGUGAUAUAGCAUUAAAAUUUUCGAUCAGAGAUAUUGAUCUUACUGUAAAUAGUAUAAAGAAUUUUCUAUCAAAAUUUCAUCUGAAAAUGUGGCAAUUUGGUCGUUCAUAGGGUAUGGCCGGCAAUUUUUAACAGUUUAAACACUGGAGAACUAGCAUUCCAUUUACUACAGCUUUUUAAUAUUUUAAAUUAAAGAUCUUCAAAAUUUACGACAUUUAUUGCAAAUUGCUACACCUAGCAGCUAAGCCUUCGAGAUAGUAGCUUUUAUUGAAUACUCAUGCUCCCGCUAGCAUGAGUAUUAUCAUAUCAUCGGCCUGGGAUAUAUAUAUAUAUAUAUAUAUAUAUACACAUACAUACAUACAUAUUAAUACGAUGAUAUGAUAGUUAUCAUGGUUCGAGAACCAUGAUAACUCAAAAACCGGCAACCUAUUUUCCUACACGCCAACCUUACUAUCACCAGGGAAUCCCAACUCACCCACCAACCAAAUUAUCAUAUUAGAUUGCCCACCUUUACUAGUUUCCCAUCUAGAUUACCAUCUUUUGAGUUAUCAUGGUUUCCGAACCAUGGUAGUUAUCAUAUCAUCAGCCUGAUAUAUAUAUAUAUAUAUAUAUAUCUCAUCCAGAACACACGAUAAUCCUCGUGCCUCCUGAGGCACGAGUAUUCGGCAAAAAAUACUACCUCAAAGGUUUAGCUGUUAACCGAGGCAAUCUGAACUACAUCGCAUAAAUUUGAUAGAUCUUUUAUUUAAAACGCUAAAAAGCCAUAGUAAAUGGAUGGCUAGCUUUCUCAAGUUUUAAUUAAUAAAAAUUACCAACUACAUAUCGCAAACGUUGAAAUUGCCACAUCUUCAGAAGUUUAANUAUUAUUAUAUAAUAUUUUAUUUAUAAGGAUAAUAUAGUUUGUUAUUUUUUUUACUUAAUUAGCUUAAUUUUGUAGCUCUUUAUUCUUAUAUUCUUAAGAAAUAUGAGUAUUUAUACUAAUAGCAUAAAUCUUGAGAGAAAAAAAAUUUAAUUCAAUAGCCGAAUUUUUUAUCCCGAAUUUUUAAUUGGUGAACGUAUAAUAUCCGUAUAUAUCACAUAUCCGAAUAAUUAUCGAAUCCGUUUUUUAGCCGUAUUUUUCAACGAAUUUAAAAAUCAGAAGACGAAUUUUAUCCGAAUUAUACCCGUACCGAAUUUUUGCCGAAUCCGAAUUAACUAACUAUGAGUUUAAGUCCAUAAACAUAGCACCUGAUUCAACCGAAUCAUCAAGUUGAUCAUUGUUGACUCAAUUGUUGAGUAUCAUAGAGAGCAAGUGGAGAAAAAAUUUUAUAGAGAGAGAAACAAAGAGAGAUGAACAUUAGCGCUAGAUGAUAAACAUGAUUCAUUCAAUACUUACCUUGAAACACUAAAUCUUUACAUCUCUUACCAUAACGGUGCGGAUGGGCCUAUCUCUGUUGCUUUCCUUCUAUGACCUAAACUAUUGUGCUGCAGCUAUAUAUCGAAACCAAUGUCAACUCCAGAUCGACCCCCACGAAGAUCGUCUACCCCCUAAACCAUUCCGUCAUUGCUGUCAAGUCCGGAUCAACUUUGGAUCCACCUCGGCGAUGAUCCUCUUUAACGUGGGAGGUGGCAGCCCAACCCUCUAUGCCAUUAACUACUCAAUCACCGCUGCCAAGUGAGUCGUCAAAUUUAGAAAUGAUCUUCUCUGCCAUACGAAGCGACGAUGGUGCACUCAACAACUUUCGCAAAUACGUGUGACAGAGAAAAUUAAGAUAGGAACGAUGGUAGGAUAGGGCAGGCAGAGAAAAAGAAAGUAAGAGAAAGAGAGGAGUCAAAAAGAUCCUUAUAAAAGAGAAAAGAGAAAUUAAGAGAGGAGUCUCAUAGGACUCAAAAAUUAAUUUUAGAGAGAGAUAGAAAGGAAAGCAUUAAAUAAAAAAUUUACACUUAAUAAAAUCAAAAAUAAUUUUUUAAGAAGGACAUGUGUUUUGUUUGGAGAGAGAGAAAAAUGAGCAUUAAAUUAAAAAUUAAUGAGGCAGAGGAAAAACGAUUUAAUUAAAAAAGUAAUUAUUUUUGAAGAAAGAGCACAUAAUUGUUGACAAAAAAAAAAAAAGGCACGCACACUUCUCCGUGGCUUAUUUCAUUUCAUGAGUACAAUAUAUGAAUAGUCCUUGCACAACUCAACUUUGAAAUUUGGUGCAUUUACUUUGUAGUUCAAUAUUUAACUUUUAAACUUUCAAAUAUAGUAUAUUUUACUCAUAAUUUAAAAAAGUAAAAUUAAGUAGUUUAAAAAUGUAUAAUUACUAGAAUCAAAUUUUAAUUUUUUUAAGAAAGUCAUAUCUCUUGUUUGGAAAAGGAGAGAAAAGAGAGGAAUAAAUUAAAAAUAAAAGUGAGAGAGAGCACAUAUUUUAAUCAUAGAAAAUGAAAAAAGGAAUACAUAUUUAAACUACUUAAUUUUACUUUUUUAAAUUAUGAGUACAAUAUAUGAAUAGUCCUUGCACAACUCAACUUUGAAAUUUGGUGCAUUUACUUUGUAGUUCAAUAUUUAACUUUUAAACUUUCAAAUAUAGUAUAUUUUACUCAUAAUUUAAAAAAGUAAAAUUAAGUAGUUUAAAAAUGUAUAAUUACUAGAAUCAAAUUUUAAUUUUUUUAAGAAAGUCAUAUCUCUUGUUUGGAAAAGGAGAGAAAAGAGAGGAAUAAAUUAAAAAUAAAAGUGAGAGAGAGCACAUAUUUUAAUCAUAGAAAAUGAAAAAAGGAAUACAUAUUUCUUGGUGAGAGAGAGGAGAGAUAAAAGGUAUGUCUCUUAUUUGGAGAAAGGGAAGAAAAUAUUAAAUAAAAAUUAAAUUAAGAGAGAGAGAAAGCACUUUCAAUCUUUAAAAUACAAUGUAUUUUACUUAUAUUUUAAAAAAGUAAACGUUAAGUAAUUUUAAAAAUAUAUAAUUGCUACAAUCAAUGUAGUGUCCCUGGGGUUCAGCUACCUGUGUGACUUCAGCAUCUGUAGCUUGUCGACACGUCUGGUGGGUGUCGAGACAAGUCGUAGUUGUUUUGGCGCAAAAUGGUCGCAAAACGGACUCAGCAUAGAGCAAGAGUGCAUAGCUGACACUGAAAUCUGCAAAGUGUGGGAUUUCAAUGUUGAGUACCGGUAUCUGAGAGGAGUACCGGUACCCCAGUGGAAUUUUUGAACUGGAUGCUCUUGGGUUUGCGCAGUGUGAUGCUGAGUACCGGUACCUGUUGUUAAGUACCAGUAUCGAGCUCGAGUACCGGUACUGUAUCGGGCUGAUAGCAGUACCCAGCGCACGAGAUUGCGGCUUGAGGGUCGAGUACCGAUAUUCAAGCUAAGUACCGGUACUCCAGGUGGUAAAGUAAGUUGGUAAAGGGUAUUUUGGUCCUUUUGAUAUGUCGUUCAUCCCAACCUAACCCAGCUUAUAUAUAUGCGCAGGGAGCCUUAGAGAUCAAGAUACUUCUUCUCUUCCUCUCUCUUUCUAGCUGGUAUACGCCGUUCGUUGGGAAGUCGAGGAUCGAGCUUGUUCGAAUUUGUCGUUUCUCCAGAAGACCGUUCGUGCGCGUAGGAGUCACAAUUGAGUUGUUGGAGGUCGAGCGAGCGCGCUGGAUUCCUCCUGUCGACUUCUAGUCGACGUUGGACGAGCGGUCGAGAUGGAUUAAUGUUUACCAAAAUCGUCGGAUUUCCUUCUAAGUCAUAGAAUUAUCCGCAUAUAUUCUUGGUAUUAUUUAUCAUGUUUAGUAGCUCGAAUUAAUCGAUUUGCAUGUUUUUAUGAAAUCUGAAUUUGAAGCAUAGUUUAGUGAAUGUUAGAUGAAAUUAUACAUGUUGAACUGGAAUUUGACUUAGGAGAAAACUCGUUAAACCUAUACUGUCAUUUUCUAAAAAGUUACCAUAUUUAGCUUCGGGAGCUGUUAUCCUUUAGUAUCGCCGCUGUUAGUGCGUAAUAGAUACUCAGAUUAGUGUAGAGUGAGUUUACGUUCGUACUGAGAGGCCGAGCUCGUUUUAUAGUAGAGUGUAGACUGUUCCCUAUUGUCGGGUGCCGUCGUGGUUGACGGUGGACCCAAAUUUCUGUAUCUUGCAUCAGAUUGUGCCAAGGGCACGUGAGCUUUGGUUGUUAGACCAGUUUGACCCAUUUACAUUGACUACAGCCUGUGAGAGCUUGAUUGAGCUCGGCAGAGACACGCUUGCAUACUCGGUUGGGUCGCGCCCACGAGUGCCGCUCCGGAGUGAGGCUUUGACUUCUGUUGAUGUCGCAGUCGUCCUGUUUGGACCGUUUACUUGGACCGGUGUAAGGACUGAGAUUUUUACAGUGCUACUAAACUCUCUGUUGAUGAUGUUUAUGUGUGUAAUCUAAUUAUUUAAACACUCGUCAAGUUUCAAAAGAAAAUGAGAUAGAACGGAGAAGUUACGUGAUAAAUACUAAUCACUUAAGUGAAUAGUAACUCCGGUUUUCCGGAGAAGUUAAUAGGAGAAGAUGGCUUCUGGCGCGUAUCGGACUCCGUUCAUAGCGAUCCAUUAGCUCGUUUCGACCGGUUCAGUUAUUCUGGAACUAAUGGCACUGACGGAUUUUGAGUUUGACGCACGAAUUUCGAGAAAAUCAGAAAAUACAUGUUUUAUAUGCAAUUGUGCGUCAUAUUUGGCCUAUUAGAGAAAGAGCGGAUUUCGCCGUGAAUCCGCGACCGUUUGAGGUGAAACGAAAUCGCAGCCUUGUUGUCUCCGAGGUGCUGAUCGCACUGGUGCGAUCUGUUCGCAAAUCGGACAGACGGAUCUACGGAGAGUGCACGUUGAUCGAGGAGAGGUCGGUGUUGGCAAAACGGUAUUUUCGCAAAAGUCGCGACAUUUUAUGUACCGUUUCGCGUGAAAUCGCACGUGGAGGGGUAUUCGCUGCGUUUUUCUGUUGGAUUGUGAGGGACUGAGAUUAAAUUGUUGAUGUCUUGGAGGACUUUUUUCCGCAAAAAUACACUUACAUAUAUACUGUUUGAUGUUAGGUGUUUGCUUAAACCCUAACCCUAAUACGCCAACCCUGGCCUCCCUGAUGCACAGCCGCCUAGGAGGGCCCUUGGCCCACGCCGUGCUUGCACCGGCGCGGCCAGCGCCCGUCGCCGGAAAAGGCUUCCCCAAGCUCCAACCUUCCUCCCUCUCCCUCCACCUUGGCCGAGGAAGUUCCAAGCACCAUCCUGAGCCGGCCAGGCCUCGGGUGAGGUGAGCCCCGACCCAGGCACCCCCGCCGGCACCGUCACCGCCGACCCCCACCGUCGCCGUGCGCCGCCGGAGCCGCCGUAGCCGCCUGCGGCCCCAGGGACACCACCCAGGCCGAAGCUGGGUGGCUCGGGUGUGUGAGCCCUGCCGCCGUUUCCCGACGGCCGCGGAGGUCUCCGCCGACCGUCCGGCGACCACCGCGCCCGACCCCGGCCACCCUCGAGCGCCGCCGGCCGCCGCAGGAGCCCCCUGCCGCCGCCUUUGUGCUGUACGGGCCGAACGCGGGCCGCCUUCACUCCCGGGCAUCGCCGCCACUCGCCGACGCAAGCUCGGCCACCGCCUCGACCCCCGGCAUCGUCCCCGACCGACCCCGACCAGCCCCGGCCGCCGCGUCGCCGCCGGCAACUGUUGGAAAGCACCAAACAGCAAAGGAGUUGGCGGCUCCGUACGCCGCCGCCACACCUCCGGCCGCCCUGCGCCGCCUGACUAGGAGUGCCCCGGAGCCCCGCCACCUGGUGCACCCCUCCCCGGCCGGACCGCCAGCCGGAAUACCGCCGGCGGCCAACCCUAGUUCCCCCCUCACUGUGAGUGUCCACUUAUGCAUUCCAGCACUGCUUUCCCACUUUUCGGUAACUAUUUCGGCAAUCCGAAUGGUCUUUUUGACCUCGGGAAGAGAGCACGAUGAUCCUUAGGUCGUGCUGAACAUCGUGCUCACUUCCGUCCAGCCCUGCGAUGCCUUGGUUGCUCGGGCAACCGCGAUUUUCCUGCGGUGCGCGCUGCUUCGCUGACCUUCGCGUCGCUCGUGCGCGCACCGCAGUCGCCGAAUGUGCUCCGAAUGGUGAGCACGGUCUCCGACACGCUGAAACCUAUCAGCGGGUGCGACGGUUGACCCAGCGAACCUCGUAUCGCAAGAUCGGGCCAUAAAACUGUCGGAAAUUGCAUAAAAUGAUAGAUUUUAGGGUUCUUGAUGUGCUUUCUUGCAAAUAACUUCGACUCGGUCGCUGUGGACAGCGUGUAAAUGCUGAGGGUAACCUCUGGACUGAUCGUCCAAGGCCCCAAGCCACUGCGGAGAUCGAAAAGCCUUUUUCGGGGCGCUUCACUGCGAAAUUCGUCGACGGAACGCGAUCUUAGUUCGAUUUUUAUCCGACGGUGCCUCGGGAUCAGGAUGUCGCUAAGCCUUCUUGGAGGGUCACCCGUGUCGUUUCGGGGGUUCGGAAACGACGGGUGAGCGACUGGUGGGUUCCGGUGUCGAAAACGACACUUUCGGGAACCCGGAUCGAGACGUUUAGUCAACGAUGUCUGUCCCGAGGCGAGGUGUGGUGUCUGUUCGGGAUUGUAAGUUAGUUGCUGACAUUAGGGUUUCCUUCUGACCUAGUGGACCCUUCGUAGGUCCGGUUGCUCUGCUCCCCGUCGUCGUGAGAUCUGAUCCAGAGUUGUACAGGUGGGUACUUCGAUCCGACGUCGGUACAGUGGUGCAUGUUCGAUAAUGGUUUCUUACCCUUGCCCUCUUACUAUUAUCUGUGUGCAUAUAUAUUGAGCCUUGCACCUGCUUUUAUAUUUGCAUUCCUCUACUCAGUUAGUUCCAUGUUGAUAUCAUGCUUAGGAGUAGAGUUGACAUACGUAGUUCACUACAUCUGUGAUUUGGUUGGGCGGUUCCCCUAUUUUGAUAUCUAUGACCUAUUCGGUCGAGUUGCUACAGUUCUAUCUUGACAUACGUAGCCGAUUAGUUGCUGAUGGCCUAUACGGUCGGUGUGCCCUGAGGGGCUGGAUUGUCGGCUAGUUGCCGAUGGAUGAUCUUUGAGCAUACUACAUUGAUCGCCACUGCAGGUACGCAUUUCACGAACACCAGCGGUCUGAUCCACCGCAAGAGGGUGUUCUUUUCCGGAAAAGUGGUUGGAUUGCCAACCCGUGAGCCCAGGGGCUUUAUUGCGAGGGUAUAUGCUUCUGACCCAGGGGCUUCAUUGCGAGGGUCAGGUACUAUGCUUCUGACCCAGGGGCUUCAUUGCGAGGGUCAGGUACAGGUUGAGCAGUGUGGCAUGGGCCUGAGGUCUUCGGACCAAUAGGGCAGCGAGAUUGGGUACUUUUGAGGUUAUCGUCAGUUGACGCAUGCAUACAGUAGCUGUAGUGUUUAUUUCCAGUACAUCCUUAUCUGUUUAUUGUAGCUACUGUUUUAUUUACCUGCAUCUAUACUUGUCAGCUCCUUACAUAUCUCUUUCGUUUAUUAUUGUUGCUACUAUAUUUCCACUGACCCGUGUUGUUGUAUAGCUCUUCCUGAUCCGGUGAGUACUCCUCGCCUUCUUCGGCUUGCGGUACCCACUGGGAGGGGAGACAUGUUUACAUGUUCUCACCUCCCCCACUAUUUUUCAGGUAUUGCGGGCGAUGAGUAGUGGGACGAGACGUGAGGCACGCGUGUAGCGGUCGAUAGAGCUUCCGACCCAGGUUAUUUCGGUAUAGUUAUUACCCCUAUUAUUUCUGUUAUUGCAUAGUUUAGUUGGUUUAUGUGGUUCAGUAUUUCAUUACAUUAAAAUAAAAGGAUUUCUGGAUUUUGUAAAAUAAAAGGUUUUCUACCCCUCGUGGUAGCGUUUUUAAAAGAUAAAAGUUUCCGUGUAGGGAACAGUUUUUAAAAGAUUUUCUGUGAUUUUUGUAUCUUAGUAUUUCAAAACCUGUUUCUGUGGUUGGAAACAUUUUAACUAAUAGAUGUGAAUCUGUGGUGAAUGGUGUAUGAAUAUAUAUAACGGUUGGUUAUUUGUAUGUUCACCUGGUUGUGGUUGUAUCAUGUUUGAACUCUUGUACUUGUGCGACGCCGUGCAAAUACAGGGGAGACUCUGUCCGUGUGAACAGUGGAUUCCCUGUAUUUGUGGCGGAUCUGGCAUACUCUGGGGUCAGGUUUUCAAAAAAAAAUUCAGACGCUUUUCCGCUUUGUUCUAAACUGAAAAGGGACCCCGGGGCGUGACAACCGGCCAUCCCCGUGGGUGGUGUACGGUGUAGUUUGGUUAAGGAAAGGUUGGUCCGUUUUGGCAACCCGUGGGAGAUUGGUGGAAAAAUGAACUAAUAUAAGUAUACUGCCAGAUGAACUACUAAUAUAUUCUGUAGGAUACGAAAGAUAAAAUCAGCUCAUUGCAAUUGAAAUGAUAUAGAAUCCGACAAGAGGAAGAUAGAAACAUACUAAGGCCAGUUGUUCUCAUUCUUUUCUCUUAGCGGAAGUCCGACACCCCAGUUGUUUGUUUCAUAACCGAAGUCCAGCCUUUUCAAACAUGGGGGAAAAAAUGAACAAAGAGAUGAAGAAAUAUGUGCUCAUAUGAACAAAGAGAUGAAGAAAUAUCUGCUUCCUCUUAAUCUUUAUGAAGAAUGACCAUAGAUGAUAAAAAAUUAUACAACUCCGCAAACAAUCAAAGUGUUACGGCAAAAGCGGAAAAGAUCUAGUUCAUCGAGCGUUUAGCCAGACACCAUCAAUUUUUUUUUUAUUCCUAUUAGAUUACUAGAAAUCUUAAAAAGAUAGCAUAGCGUGAACCAAACCAACCCGUAUAAUUAAAUUAAAUUUGUUAUUUAUGUGAGCAUGUGUAUACAGUGAAAUUACAGUUCCAGAUCGAAAAUCAAAGUGAGUCAUUCCAAUUAAUAGUUCAAUUAAUUGCACAGGAGCAGGCACAGGGAGAGUGCCAGGGCUAGACAGAGCAGAGCAGAGGGCCCGGGAGCGGGUGGUUUCGAAGCGGGAGCUGCGGCGGGGGCGUAGAGGGACGGAGGGUUUUUGAGUGCGGGUGCGGGGAAGGGGAAGGGGAAGGGGAAGGGUGAGAGGGACGCACCUGAGAAGUAGGAAGAGCACCGGAGUGGGAGGAGCGCAGCAACCGGCUGGCGGAGAGAGCGCAGUCGCCGGGGAGGAGUAGCCAUCGAAGAGGGUUUCUUGGGAGGAGGAGGUUGGGGGGNAUUUGUUAUUUAUGUGAGCAUGUGUAUACAGUGAAAUUACAGUUCCAGAUCGAAAAUCAAAGUGAGUCAUUCCAAAUAAUAGUUCAAUUAAUUGCACAGGAGCAGGCACAGGGAGAGUGCUAGGGCUAGACAGAGCAGGGCGGAGGGGCAGGGAGCGGGUGGUUUCGGAGCGGGAGCUGCGGCGGGGGCGCGGAGGGACGGAGGGUUUUUGAGCGCGGGUGCGGGGAAAGGGGGGGCUGAGGGCUGGGGGGUGGGGGCUGGGCUAGGCUGACCGAGGGGGAGCUCAGGCCAGGCGGGGCCCGAGCUCGGGGAAGGGGAAGGGGAAGGGGAAGGGGAAGGGUGAGAGGGACGCACCUGAGAAGUAGGAAGAGCACCGGAGUGGGAGGAGCGCAGCAGCCGGCCGGCGGAGGGAGCGAAGUCGCCUUGGAGGAGUAGCCAUCGAAGAGGGUUUCUCGGGAGGAGUAGGGGUGUAAACGAGCCGAACACGAGCGAGCUGGGUCGGCUCGUGUUCGGCUCGUUUAAUAAACCAGCCCAACAAGAGCUGGCUCGUCGUUAAAGUAUCGAGCCAAAAAAUUUAGCUCGUGUUCUGCUCGUUAAUAAAUGAGCCGAACACGAGCUGACUCAUGAGCUGGCCAACGAACAAUAAGUUAAAAGAAUUAGAUUGAAUAUAUAUAUAAAAUAAAUNNNNNNNNNNNNNNNNNNNNNNNNNNNNNNNNNNNNNNNNNNNNNNNNNNNNNNNNNNNNNNNNNNNNNNNNNNNNNNNNNNNNNNNNNNNNNNNNNNNNNNNNNNNNNNNNNNNNNNNNNNNNNNNNNNNNNNNNNNNNNNNNNNNNNNNNNNNNNNNNNNNNNNNNNNNNNNNNNNNNNNNNNNNNNNNNNNNNNNNNNNNNNNNNNNNNNNNNNNNNNNNNNNNNNNNNNNNNNNNNNNNNNNNNNNNNNNNNNNNNNNNNNNNNNNNNNNNNNNNNNNNNNNNNNNNNNNNNNNNNNNNNNNNNNNNNNNNNNNNNNNNNNNNNNNNNNNNNNNNNNNNNNNNNNNNNNNNNNNNNNNNNNNNNNNNNNNNNNNNNNNNNNNNNNNNNNNNNNNNNNNNNNNNNNNNNNNNNNNNNNNNNNNNNNNNNNNNNNNNNNNNNNNNNNNNNNNNNNNNNNNNNNNNNNNNNNNNNNNNNNNNNNNNNNNNNNNNNNNNNNNNNNNNNNNNNNNNNNNNNNNNNNNNNNNNNNNNNNNNNNNNNNNNNNNNNNNNNNNNNNNNNNNNNNNNNNNNNNNNNNNNNNNNNNNNNNNNNNNNNNNNNNNNNNNNNNNNNNNNNNNNNNNNNNNNNNNNNNNNNNNNNNNNNNNNNNNNNNNNNNNNNNNNNNNNNNNNNNNNNNNNNNNNNNNNNNNNNNNNNNNNNNNNNNNNNNNNNNNNNNNNNNNNNNNNNNNNNNNNNNNNNNNNNNNNNNNNNNNNNNNNNNNNNNNNNNNNNNNNNNNNNNNNNNNNNNNNNNNNNNNNNNNNNNNNNNNNNNNNNNNNNNNNNNNNNNNNNNNNNNNNNNNNNNNNNNNNNNNNNNNNNNNNNNNNNNNNNNNNNNNNNNNNNNNNNNNNNNNNNNNNNNNNNNNNNNNNNNNNNNNNNNNNNNNNNNNNNNNNNNNNNNNNNNNNNNNNNNNNNNNNNNNNNNNNNNNNNNNNNNNNNNNNNNAUUUUGAAUUUGAAAUUUCAAAUCGAAGUUUGAAAUUAAAUUAGAAUUUAGAAUUCCAAAUGUGAAUUUGAAUUUAAAAUUAAAAAUUUAAAAUUAAAUACAAAAUCAGAAUUUGAAUUCUAAUUAAAAUUUGAAUUCAAUAUCAAAUUUUAAAUCUUUAAAUUAAAUUUUUUUUUGAAUUUAUAAAUUUAAUGGGUUUAAUUACACCAUUGGUCCUCAACAUUUACACCGAUUUUCAAUUUGGUCCCCAAUCCCUUUUUUUUUUUGCAAUCCGCUGACACAGCACCACCGUGGCACCGACACGACGCCUCCGUGGCACUGACAUGGCGCCUCCGUGGCACUGACAUGGUGCUGACGUGGCAUUUUCCGUCAAUUUUAACAGUUAUCUAACGACUGGGACUUAAUUGAAAUGAAAUCAAGAGUUUAGGAACUUGAUUGCAAAAAAAAAAAAAGGUUUGGGGACCAAAUUGAAAAAUAGUGUAAAGGUUAGGGACUAUUGGUGUAACUAACCCUAUUUUAAAAGCUUACAAGAUUAUGUGCAUAAUUCACAAUCAAAACAGAUAAACAAUUAAUAACUAUAGUUGAAGGAGCCUAAUAACUAAAAUAGUAAGUUCAAAUGGUUGUUUGCGAAAAAAGGCUUUAGAGUUAUGAUGGUGAAUUUCAGAGCUCUUUUAUAAAAUGCAAGUUCUGAUAGCAAUUCACAGUUACAGCGAGUGAAACAUUGAUUAAUAGAGAAUGCACUUCUUUAAGCAUCAUAUUUGGAUAACAUUUAUCCAUUACAAAAGUCAUAAAAUGGCUGUGCUGCAUUAGACCACGUUGAUCAUGCACAUUACUCCAAAAGAACAAACUUCAUAAAUAAAUUUUACAGCAGAAAACCAAAGAUAUAUUCGACGUUACAGGUGGGAUACGCUAGUCCUAUCAAAAAGAUAUUGUAAAGACUAUAACAGGUCUCAUAUCUCAUCGUGCAUUACAAAACCAAGUAAAUGAGCACAGAUCUCAAGGAUAGGGUGACGGGCAAUAAGAACAAGUAGAUGACAAAGUUGCUAUAUAUAUAUAUAUAUAUAGUUGAAUAAAAUUAUAAUUGUUUUUUCGAUUUACCAAAAAAUGUAAAAAAUUUCUAACCAAUACAUGUAGGCAAAUAACUUUUAGGCGUCAAGAAAUAAAACUUGCAAGUGACGAAAAAAAAACUUUGCAAGUGUCAAAAAAAACAGCUAUCAAAAAGCUUGAAAUGAUUGUUAACUCAAUUGUUGAGUAUCAUAAAGAGCAAAAGGAGAAAAAAUUUUAUAGAGAAAGAAACAAAGAGAGAUGAAUAUUAGCGCUAGAUGGUAUACAUGAUUCAUUCAAUACAUACCACGAAACUCUAAAUCUUUACAUCUCUUACCAUAACGAUUUGGUGGAGGAACUUUAGGGCACCCUUGGGGAAAUGUUAAGCAUUCUGCCAGCGUUCAUCCUGAGGCAGGAUCGAACUCUCCAUUUGUAUUCAUGCGCUUCAGAUUAUCCUGAAGUUCGCUCGUGCGGAUGGGACUAUCUCUGCUGCUUUCCUUCUAUGACAUAAAUCGUUGUGUUGCAGCCAUCAAGCCUAGUGUCAACUCCAGAUCGACCCCCACGAGGAUCGUCUAUGCCCUAAACCAUUCCGUCAUCGCCGUUGAGCCCGGAUCAACUUUGGAUCCACCUCGGUGAUAAUCCUCUUUAGCGUGGGAGGUGGCAGCCCAGCCCUCUAUGCCAUUAACUACUCCAUUACCGCCGCCAAGCGAGUCGUCAAAUUUAGCAAUAAUCUUCUCUGCCAUACGAAGCGACGACGGUGUACUCCUCAACAACUUUCGCAGAUGCAUGUGAUAGAGAAAGUUGAGAUAGGGACGAUGGAAGGAUAGGGCAGGCAGAGAAAAAAAAAGUAAGAGAAAGUGAGGAGUCAAAAAAAUCCUAAUAAAAGAGAAAAGAGCAGAAGAAGAGAAAUCUACAAAAGAGAGGGGAUGAGUAAGAGAAGAAAGAGCAUCUUGUGCUCGAUCCCAUGAUGGUUGUCGUUUUUAAUUAAUUUCCAGGUGAAACAUACGAAUAGCUCCUACAUAAGUCAGACUUUGAAAUUCGAUCCAUUUACUUUUGACUUAAAUAUUUUUAUUUUUAAACUUUCAAUAAUAAAAAAUUAUAAUUACUAAAUUUAAAUUUAAUUUUUUUAAAAAGGCAUGUGCCUUAUUUGAUGAGAAAGAAGAAAGCAUUAAAUUAAGAAUUUAAUGUGAAAGAGCAAAUAUCUUGGCCAUAGAGAAAAAAAGAUAUGCAUAUUUCUCGGUAGAAGAGAGGGAGAGGAGAGAGAAAAAUCAUGUCUUAAAAAUUAAUUUUUAGAGAGAGAUAGAAAGGAAAGCAUUAAAUAAAAAGUUUACACAUAGUAAAAUCAAAAAUAAUUUUUUAAGAAGGACAUGUGUUUUGUUUAGAGAGAGAGAAAAAUGAGCAUUAAAUUAAAAAUUAAUGAGAGAGAGGGAAAAGGAUUUAAUUAAAAAAGUAAUUAUUUUAAAGAAAGAGCAUAUAAUUGAUGACAAAAAAAAAGGAAAGGGCAGGCACACUUCUCCAUAGCUAAUUUCGUUUAUGGAGUACAAUAUAUGAAUAGUCCUUGCACAACUCAACUUUGAAAUUUGGUGCAUUUACUUUGUAGUUCAAUAUUUAACUUUUAAAUUUUUAAAUAUAAUAUAUUUUACUCAUAAUUUAAAAAGUAAAUAUUAAGUAGUUUAAAAAUGUAUAAUUACUAGAACAAAUUUUAAUUUUUUUAAGAAAGUCAUGUCUCUUGUUUGGAAAAAGAGAGAAAAGAGAGGAAUAAAUUAAAAAUAAAGGUGAGAGAGAGCACAUAUUUUAAUCAUAGAAAAUGAAAAAAGGAAUACAUAUUUCUUGUUGAGAGAGAAGGGAGAGAUAAAAGGUAUGUCUCUUAUUUGGAGAGAAAGAAGAGAAUAUUAAAUAAAAAUUAAAUUAAGAGAGAGAGAAAGCAUUUUCAAACUUGCAAAUAUAAUGUAUUUUACUUAUAUUUUAAAAAAGUAAACAUUAAGUAAUUUUAAAAAUAUAUAAUUACUACAAUCAAAUUUUUAUUGUUUUAAAAAAGUUAUGUCUCUUGUUAUACACUUUUAAAAAUAAUCUAUUUUUACUUUUCUAAGAGAAAGUGCACAUAAUUUGAUCAUACAGAAUGCAAAGAGGAAUCCACAUUCCUCGGUGAGAGAGAGAGAGAGAGAGAGAGAGAGAGGAGAAAAAAAAAAAAAGGCAUAUCUCUUAUUUAGAGAGAGAGAGAAGAGAGAGGAGAAAAGAAAAAGUAUCUCUUAUUUAAAGAGAGAGAAUAAAACAUUAAAUAAAAAUUAAAGCGAGAGGGAGUAUUUUUAAACUUUCAAAUAUAGUAUAUUUUACUCAUAAUUUUAAAAAAAAUAAAAACUAGGUAUUUGUAAAAAUGUAUACUAAAUUCAAAAUUAAUUUUUUUAAAAAAAAUCAAGUCUUUUGUUUGCAGAAGGAAAAAAAAAAGAGAGCAUUAAAUUAAAAAAUUAAAUUGAGAGAGAGAGGAAAGAGGCAUAUAUAUUUCUCAGUGAGAGAAAGAGGACAGAGAAAUGGUACGAACAUUAAAUAAAAAAUUAAAGUAAGAGAGAUAGAGCACACAAAUAAGGUUUAGGAUUUGAAAACCCUUUUUUUCCAUUAUAAGUUUUUUUUUAAAAAAAAAAUUAUAAGAUUAAUGAGAAAAUGUUGACCUAUGAAUGUUGGUGGAUGAAUAGUGUAACAUUUAUAUUUACUUUUGGAGCGCACAAAUAAGGUUUAGGAUUUGAAAACCCUUAAUUUUCUUUUAAAAAAAUUAUAAGAUUAGUGAAAAAAUGUUGACCCAUGAAAGAAUGUGGUAUAAAAUUUAUAAAAUUUAUAUUGCCUUAAAGCUAGGUCUGAAACAAAUCAAUAACAAAGAACCAUAUAUCAUUGUAACAUCCUAAUCUACCAGUCCUAGCAAUUUGUUAAGCUCAAAUCACUGGCCCAAAACGCCUAAGUUAUCAGUAUUAAAGUAUUUAAUCCUUCUAUACAUAAAUACAAUCCCUUCUCUAUUCAAUAUGAGAUUACGUCACAAUUAUGAUGAAAUCAAAUAAUUUAGCUUUAAUUUAGACAAAAUUGCUUAUACCAACCCUACACAUCCAAUAAAUAUUGUAAUAUUUCCAACAUCAAGGCAAAUUCCCUCAGACACUCACAACAUUUUCCACUUGGCAAAUACACAAGAAAGUAGAUAUAUCUAUUGCUAGUAAAUAUAAUAGCAACCAAAACAAGCAAUAAUACAACCUAAUUUGAUUUCCGAUAAACUGCAAUUAGUUCCAUUGUGGUUGAUUGCAUUUUUUCCUUUACCAUUGUUUUGCUUAAACUGUUCUACUUUGGUUUUACGUAGUUUUAAUUUUGUUUUACUGUAAGAACCUGCCGUUAAGUAGGAUAACAAGGUAUAACAAUUCACAAACCACAACAUAGUAAAAUAUUAAUUUUUACAAACCAUAGGAUGGUAAAUUAUGGCAGUUUACUACUUGGUAGUUUACACUUCACCACCUUGUGGUUGGUGAAAUAUAACACUACGCUACUCCUUCCUAAUGGCAGGUAGUUAGGCGCCAGAUCGCAGAGAGACUAAUUGAAGUUACCCUUUGAUAUUUCUAACUGAUUAAACAAAAAAAAAUACUGACCCAUAGUGAAUAAAGGGAAGAUAUAGAAACAAAUUUAUUCGGACAAUUAAUAGAGAUAUUCCUGUUCCAGAGUUUAUGUUUAUGCAGUCAAAUUUAUUCUACUAGAAUAGUUCGGAUAACUUCUUCCGACCUAAUUCUUAUUAGCCUUUUAUUCAUACAUCAUUUAGAUGUGAUUAUGAAAAAUAUACUCACUAGCGCCAGUUGAUACAUUAAGGAGUGCCCCGAACUUCAACAAAAACUGCUGUGGUUCUCUGAGAAACAGUGAAGCGACCGGCGACCGCCUCAUACGUUGAUUUUUUUACCAACUCAUCCACCGAUUUCAGCUGCGCCAGUUUCGAUUCACAUUAAAUUAUGGCAGGACUUCCCAAGCAUAGUGCACAAAUCGAAUGACGAAUAAAUACAAAUAAUAAUACCUGCACAGGGUGCAAUUCAAGUGGUCUCGACCUGAGCGCAGGAACUUCUAUAGAGACUUCAGAUGGGCAUGCAUUGAAGACAACUACAAUAUAGGAGUAGCUGAAGCAAAAUAUUGAUUGUGAUUAAUUUAUAUGAAACUAAAAAAUUUGCCACCAAAAAUAUUGAAACCAGAAAUUGAAUGAGCAAACGUAUACUACUCACAUUGGAUCUAAUUGGGUAAUGCCUGGUUUUCCAUCAUGUCCAUCUUCAAUGCUCAUAAUGAUUGCUCCAUGGACCCAUGACGAACCUGUGUCAUGGAAUCGAACUCGUUCCUACAUAUUAAUGGUGGGAAUCAGUAUGUGGAAUUAAGAAAGAAAUAAGGUGAAACACCGAAGCUAAUGAAACCCCUAUAUUAUGUUAGUGUUCACCUUGAAGUUAAAUCUAGUGGCAAAAUUGCACUGCAACAGGGUGAGAAUCAGGUAUACGAUGCCAAUUAUUUUGACCUCCAAAUAUGCAAUUUGCAUUGAUCUCAUCGAUUAGACCCAUGCAUUUAAAGUCCAAUUUUCAAAACUUAGGCUAUAAGGGACAAAUUUUUCUUGGGUUAAUUGCAUAUAAGUCCCUACAAACAUAGUGAAUUGCAAAUAUAUUCCUACAAAAUUCAACUUUCCUGUAUUGUCCCUGCAAAAGUCAAAAUGUUUUCAAAUAUGUCCCAACCGUUAGAAUUCAUUAGAAAACUUUAGUUAACCAUAGGUAAAAUACUUAACCCUAGUUAGUUUAUGAGAUAACUUGACAAUAUUACCUCUCUUAUAUUAUACUGUUGUGGCUUUUGAAAAAACAUAUUUGUGAUGGCAAAAUUGGCAUGUCACUUAUUUGCUGUUAAAAUAUAAACAGCUCUCUAACGGUAGCAAACCAAAGGAACAUAUUUGAAACCAUUAGAAUUUUUGUAUGGACAACAUAUGAAAGUUGAACUUUGUAGGGAUAUAUUUACAAUUCACUGUGUUUGCAGGGACCUAUAUACAUUUAACCCAUUUUUCUUUGAGGGAAAAUGCAUAAAAUCUAUUAUAAAGGCGGCCAUAUAUCUAUCACAUCAAUUUGCUGUAAGCCAAGGAUGUAAGUGUCGUGGCACGGGAUCAUGCCGAAACUUACCAGCACAGCACGGCACGAUGCAUGUCGGUCCGUGCCAAUGCGUUCGAUCACAAAAAAUAUGUGUGCCGACACGUAAUAGCGUGAAAUAUUUAUUUUUUUUAGCAACAAAUUAUGCCAAUUAUUUAUUAUAUAUUUUUUUCAAAUCUUUUGAACUUUAUUUAGAAAAUUACUUACUAAUUUCAAAAAUAGAGAAUUUUGAAUUGUGCCAUCGGCACAAGAGCUGUAUUGUGCCGAUAUCUUGCUAGCACGACACGGCACGAUAGAUACGACUUGUGCCGAUGGGCACUUUAAUCCUUGUUGUAAGCUUCACUGUGUUACACGAAGGAAUUUGAUAGAAUAUUUACUUAUUAUUAAGAAAAGUGGUUCAUUCUGACUUAAACCUUCAAUAUUAUCAAAUGCCAAAUUUCUUCUUAACAAAUUUGGCUAGAAUCAGAGUUGCUUUCCAAAUAUGAAAGUGUUUAAUUGCACAAUAACACAUUCAGUGGUAAUUAGAAUAAAUUGGUUUUAAGAAAUCAAAACUGAAGAUUGAGUAUAUAGCAUCUAACAAUUUGAACCAUAUUGAACUGAUACAACGUAUUUGAAAAUUGGAAGUAAUAAACAUGAAAAACAAAAUUUGCUGAGAAUAUAAAAUUCUACCUGAAUGCAAUUUGCUGUCCCCAAACGAAAAAGUGGUUAGGAGUAUCUGAUCUUCAAAAGGUCGACAAAAUUAUCAAGUGCAGCAAGAAUGUGACGUUUCUCAGGCUUGAAGGAUGGUUGGCCAACCGUGGUUUGAUCCUGGAAUUAUUAUUAAGUAUUAUAAAAAUAGGAAACUUGCAAACUGCCCAAUAAGUUACAUACUAGCACUUUGUUAAUAUAUACCGAAAAAAUGAACUAAUAUAAGUAUACUGCCAGAUGAACUACUAAUAUAUUCUGUAGGAUACAAAAGAUAAAAUCAACUCAUUGCAAUUGAAAUGAUAUAGAAUCCAAAAAGAGGAAGAUAGAAACAUACAAAGGCCAGUUGUUCUCAUUCUUUUCUCUUGGCGGAAGUCCGAUACCCCAGUUGUUUGUUUCAUAACUGAAGUCGAACCUUUUCAAAUAUGGGGGGAAAAAUGAACAAAGAGAUGAAGAAAUAUGUGCUCAUAUGAAAAAUAGCUUUUCGUAAUGUUUCUAUGUGGUCGUUUGGAAACCAUUACAUUUAGGUUGUUUAAUGACCAACCUGUUAAACCAAUCACCGGAGUUAUACGAGUCACGAUCAAGUGAUUUGGACCGCAAUAUCUCAUCACCAGCAUGGAAAAAUGGUACUCCCUAUGAAGAUGAAGUGAUUAGGCAACAAAAUUUGAUUAGUCUGAUGGCCUCGCAAUAGCAGUAGAUAAUCAGAGUGCUUUUCGAAAAACGAUUUCAACUUCCAACAGUCAAAAAUUAGUCAUUUCACCGCCGCUGGCGAUUACUCCAGAAAGAGUGAGCAUAUCACUGGUCUUUCUUGUAUAAGUUAGUUUUCUGAUUUUCUAACAAGAGCCAUAAGGCCCAUUACAAUGGCAGGCAUGAUUUCUGAAAAGGAGAAAAACUAGUUCCCAUUCCAACAAAACUUAUAAAUUACAGUGACGGCAUAUCUUAUGAGCAAUUACAGUGAGAGUGGCAAAUCUUUAUAUAAAUUAAGCACGUAUCUGUUUCCUCUUAAUCUUUAUGAAGAAUAACCAUAGAUGAUAAAAAAUUAUACAACUCCAUAAGCAAGGCGUAUAACUGCACACCUAAAAUUAAUUACAAAAAGAAUUGCAAACUAAUGACUAGGACAUGAUAAAAGCAUUGGGACAAACCUGGGACAAUGCUAUGAUGCUUGAGGCCAAAUGAUUAAUCCUACAUCUGUCAUCUACAGUGAGUUCCACUGGAGUCUGCAUAACAAAAAGAGAAUAUAAGAUGAAAGGGCUUUUACUUCAUAUAUGAUGUAUAAAGGACAAUAUAAAUCUUUGCUCACAUACAUGAAAAAGAAGUGAAAUAUCAGGAUUUGAUGGUGCGGAACCAACAAUUUAUUGCUAAAGAACACCAAGAAGAAAUUUUUGGAGAAUGCAAUUGGGGAUCAUCAUCAUAAAGAUAUUUUAUUUUGAAUUUUUCUCUACAAGAAAUUAACUAUGGAAUAUCUUGAAGAGUAUUCGUAGACAAACAGAGCAAAGCCUUUCAACCAUUUUUAAAAAGAUGACCAAAGAAAGAUGUAUUCAAAAUAGAUCAAUGUACCUUCAAGCUGACAAUAUCAAACAAAGUCUCAUUGUCAUGAGCAGACACGUAGUUGACCUGAAAAUGAUACACCAACAUCUUUUGCUCAUGAGACUUGUGUUAUCAAAAGAUGUGAACAUUAUAUAUGUUAAUUUCCAAACAAACCCAACGAACAAAAUGAAGUAUAGUGUCGACUGUUUAAAUUUACAAACUAUAUCAAUUAAUGCAAGAUUGAAGUAGGUUAUGCUAAUUUUGUUUAAGAAUUAGCUAUAGCUAGACUUACCGUUUCCGUGGGGGACAAAGCAUACCCAACUGGCAUUCCAUCAUUAGUCGGAACUUCCGAUCCUUUCAUCUGUUAAUAACACAUAAAUAGGAUCACUAGUAUGGUUAUAGUCAUAGGCUAAGUUAAAAAUGGCAAAUGUGAAAAAACAGGAAAUAACUCAUGAGACUUCACAGGAUUACAACCUGUCAAUCAAAAAAAUUGUAGAAAAUGAACUAGAAAUAGUUUGUUACUAGCGCAUGUAUCCUGAAAUUUCUGCAGAAGUUGAGGGCUCUUCUGCACUAAAAACGUGCAAAUAAAUUAAGACAUAAGCCAAAGGAUCUCAAGCGUUAAUCUUACAUACAAUACCGCAAACAAUCCAAGUGUUACGGCAAAAGCAAGCGGAAAAGAUCUAGUUCGUCGAGCGUUUAGCCGGACACCAUCAUAAUUUUUUUUUAUUCCUAUUAGAUUACUAUAAAUCUUAAAAAGAUAGCAUGAACCAAACUGACCCGUAUAAUUAAAUUAAGUUUGUUAUUUAUGUGAGCAUGUGUGUACGGUGAAAUUACAGUGAAACCAAAUUGAAGCAGAUCGAAAGUCAAAGUGAGUCAUUCCAAUUAAUGGUGUUCAAUUAAUUGCACAGGAGCAGGCACAGGGAGAGUGCUAGGGCUAGACAGAGCAGGGCGGAGGGGCAGGGAGCGGGUGGUUUCGGAGCGGGAGCUGCGGCGGGGGCGCGGAGGGACGGAGGGUUUUUGAGCGCGGGUGCGGGGAAAGGGGGGGCUGAGGGCUGGGGGGUGGGGGCUGGGCUAGGCUGACCGAGGGGGAGCUCAGGCCAGGCGGGGCCCGAGCUCGGGGAAGGGGAAGGGGAAGGGGAAGGGGAAGGGUGAGAGGGACGCACCUGAGAAGUAGGAAGAGCACCGGAGUGGGAGGAGCGCAGCAGCCGGCCGGCGGAGGGAGCGAAGUCGCCUUGGAGGAGUAGCCAUCGAAGAGGGUUUCUUGGGAGGAGGAGGUUGGGGGGAGAAAGGAGAUCUAUUUUUUUUUUUUGAGAGGGAUAAUGGUAUUUUGGAGAGAGGCGGAGGGGAAAAGAAAAAAAUAUCUAGUAUAUAAAUGUAUUUAGUGUAUAGUUUAUAAUACUAUAGUAUGUAGUCUAUAACUAUAUAUUUUUUAAAACUUAGGCUACCUAUAUUAUAAAUAGCAGCAGUCAUUUGUUAUCAAGUUUUGGCCAUUAGAUGUAAGGAGACGUGUGCGUGUAGGAUGAUGUGGGGUUCCCCUAGGAUUGAAGUGGGUGUUGUUCUGGUUGGUUGAAUAGUAUGAUCUAACGAGGGAAAACGAUAAAAUAAUAAAAUCUAACGGCAGAAGAACUGGUAGCCAGCCAACGGUCGUUUACGGUAUGUAAGUAACAUUGAGUAGCCGGAUCCCUUUAUAGUAUAUAUAUUUAUUUAUUUAUUUAUUUAUUUAUAUAUAUAUCUCAGGCCGAUGAUACAAUAAUUAUCGUGCAUUGUGAACCACGAUGGUUCAAAAGACGGCUUGCAUUCUUUAACUUAUACUAGUGUCAUAUACACUAACUUGUUCUUUGUGCUCACAUAUAUGCCACUCUAGCAAUUGACUAAUUUAUUAUUCUCGUAAAUCAUACAAUAAUCAAAUUAUAACUAGUAUAAUUACCAAUUAAAUAAUUUUAUAUUAUAAAUCUUUUAUUAUUUAAUUGCACGGGAGCAGGAAGAGUGCAAAGAAAUCAUAUCAAUAAUAUAAGAGAGAGAGAGAGAGAGAGAGAGAAUCUUUAUUCUCUAUUUAUUUAUUAGUUUUUCGUUUCAAUAAUUAGAAUGAGAAAGAUGGGGGUGAUGCAUGCAGAUGUUUUACAUGUACUGUAGUAAUAGAUACAGAUGUUGUAGCAAGAUGCAUGUCGAAGAAGAUUCGCGUACGGGCAUUUGCAGCAGCUAGCCAUUAGGACCGUGUUCGGUGAUCCGCAUGUCCUCUUCGAGGAAGCCGAAAGGGUACCAGCCGAGAGUGUAUCGCUCGAAGCCGCAGGCAUCGAGGGCAGCGGCGAACUUUUUGAUGCCCCACGUACCCGGGGGAUUGAAUUUGCCGAUUCUGUUGUACAUCUCUUUGUAGCACAUGUAGUCCACCGUCAUGUCCAUCAAGUUGGGCCAUCCCCAGCUCCAGAACGGCCAAUAUUGCCAAGCCACGGCCUGCUCCGGCUGGCUCAUCAGCACUAGCCACGCCACUGCCGCCACCGCUAACCACCCACUCCUGCUCGUUGUCGUCAUCCUCUUCGUAAGUAAUUGAUCCCCCUCCUCGAUCCCUCCCUUUCUUUUUUCCUUUUCACUUACUCUAUAAUUUAUUACUCUCCUCUCUCUGCCUCUUCUGGGAUUGCGGCACAUACCAUUUUAUAGACGCAAUUUGGUAGUAACAAGGAAGUUUUAUAUUUAAGUUACAUCUAACGACAAUAAAUGUACCAAUAUUUUCAUAGUCCUGCUGAAGAUAAAUUUGUGCGUUUGAGUAUGACAUAAUUGUUACGCAUGCGUUUGCUAUUAAUUAAUUAAGCGAUGCGUAUUGUUUCGCAACAAACAAAAUUAAUUAAAUGUCGGUUAGCUUCAAAUACAUGCUUUUAACCUAAUAAAAAAAUUUAUCUCUUUUGCAAACGCUUGGAAAAUUUAACAUUAGCAAAUUAAUUCGGUUUCUUAAAUUUUAUCAAAUAGUUGAAUACAGAGGCCUCUCUCUUUACUUGAAUUGCAAUCCUCAUUACCGUUUAAGCCUAUAUUUUGAAUAUAAUCAUAUAAAGCUUCAAAACGCGAUUCUUUUUCCCCAUGGUCUAACAUAGAAAUCAAAAAAUGAAGCUAGAUCGAUUCAUCCCGUCAAAGAGAAAAAAUAAUUUUCUUUUCAAUAUUUUAAAGGGUUAAUUACACCGGUAGUCCCCAACCUUUCUUUUUUGCAAUUGAGUCCCUAAUCUCUUGAUUUUAUUACAAUUACGUCCCAACCGUUAAAUCAACUGUUAAAAUUAAAGGAAUCGCCACGUCAGCGUCUAUUUGUCAAUCUUUUACAUGUCAAUUUAGGUCCGUAAACAUUGCACAUUUUUCAUUUUAGUCCCUAAAAAAAAUUUCAAAAUUUUAAAUUUAAAUUCAAAAAUAAUAUUAAAAUUAAAAUUUUAAACUAACGAGAAAUUAGAAUUUUGAAUUUAAAUUUAAAGCUGAAUUAAAAUUUUGAAUUGAAAUUCAAAUUUUUAAUUUAAAUUUUUAAUUGAAUCUAAAUUUUGAAUUCAAACUUAAAAUUUUGAUUUUGAUUUUGAUAUUUCAAUUUACAUUUAAAAUGAAAGUUUUGAAAACAAUAUUUAAAUUUAAAAUCUGAAUUAAAAUUUAAAAUCAUAUUCAAAAUUUUGAUUUUAAAUUUUAAAUUUGAAUUCAAAAUUUAAAUUUGAAUUUAAGAUUUGAUAUCAAUUAUAAAUUUGAAUUUAAACUUCGAAUUCAAAUUCACAUUUUGAAUUUCAAAUUUCAAAUCGAAGUUUGAAAUUAAAUUAGAAUUUAGAAUUCCAAAUGUGAAUUUGAAUUUAAAAUUUAAAAUUUGAAAUUAAAUACAAAAUCAGAAUUUGAAUUCUAAUUAAAAUUUGAAUUCAAUAUCAAAAUUUAAAUCUUAAAUUAAAAUUUUUUUUGAAUUUAUAAAUUUAAUGGGUUUAAUUACACCAUUGGUCCUCAACCUUUGCACCGAUUUUCAAUUUGGUCCCUAACCUUUUUUUUUUUUGCAUUCCGCUGACACGGCACCACUGUGGCGCUGACAUGACGCCUCCGUGGCACUGACAUGGCGCCUCCGUGGCACUGACAUGGUGCUUACAUGGUAUUUUCCGUCAAUUUUAACCGCUAUCUAACGGCUGGAACUUAAUUGAAAUGAAAUCAAGAGUUUAGGGACUUGAUUGCAAAAAAAAAAAAGUUGGGAACCAAAUUGAAAAAUAGUGUAAAGGUUAGGGACCAUUGGUGUAACUACCCCUAUUUUAAAAGCUUACAAAAUUACGUGCAUAAUUCACAAUCAAAACAGAUAAACAAUUAAUAACUAUAGUUGAAGGAGCCUAAUAACUAAAGUAGUAAGUUCAAAUACUUGUUUGCGAAAAAGGCUUUAGAGUUCUGAUGGCGAAUUUCAGAGCUCUUUUAUAAAAUGCAAGUUCUGAUAGCAAUUCAUAGUUACAGUGAGUGAAACAUUGAUUAAUAAAGAAUGCACUUCUUUAAGCAUCAUAUUUGGGCAACAUUUAUCCAUUACAAAAGAACAAACUUCAAAAGAACAAACUUCAUAAAUAAAUUUUACAGCAGAAAACCAAAAAUAUAUUCGACGUUACAGGUGGGAUAUGCCAGUCCUAUCAAAAAGAUAUUGUAAAGGCUAUAACAGGUCUCAUAUCUCAUCGUGCAUUACAAACCCAAGUAAAUGAGCAUAGAUCUCAAGGACAGGGUGAGGGACAAUAAGAACAAGUAGAUGACAAAGUUGCUAUAUAUAUAGUUGAAUAAAUUUUUUUUUUUUUUCGAUUUACCAAAAAAUGUAAAAAAUUUCUAACCAAUACAUGUAGGUAAAUAACUUUUAGGCGUCAAGGAAUAAAGCUUGCAAGUGACAAAAAAAAAACUUUGCAAGUGUCAAAAAAAACACAGCUAUCAAAAAGCUUGAAAUGAUUGUUGACUCAAUCGUUGAGUAUCAUAAAGAGCAAAAGGAGAAAAAUUUUUAUAGAGAAAGAAACAAAGAGAGAUGAACAUUAGCGCCAGAUGGUAAACAUGAUUCAUUCAAUACAUACCUUGAAACUCUAAAUCUUUACAUCUCUUACCAUAACGAUUUGGUGGAGGAACUUUAGGGCACCCUUGGGGAAAUGUUAAGCAUGCUGCCAGCGUUCAUCCUGAGCCAGGAUCGAACUCUCCAUUUGUAUCCAUGCGCUUAAGAUUAGCUUGGAGUUCGCUCGUGCGGAUGGGGCUAUCUCUGCUGCUUUCCUUCUAUGACAUAAACCGUUGUGCUGCAACCAUCAUGCCUAAUGUCAACUCCAGAUCGACCCCCACGAGGAUCAUCUACGCCCUAAACCAUUCCGUCAUCGCCAUUGAGCCCGGAUCAACUUUGGAUCCACCUCGGUGAUAAUCCUCUUUAGCGUGGGAGGUGGUAGCCCAGCCCUCUAUGCCAUUAACUACUCAAUCACCGCCGCCAAGCGAGUCGUCAAAUUUGGCAAUAAUCUUCUCUGCCAUACGAAGCGACGACGGUGUACUCCUCAACAACUUUCACAGAUGCAUGUGACAGAGAAAGUUGAGAUAGGAACGAUGGAAGGAUAGGGCAGGCAGAGAAAAAGAAAGUAAGAGAAAGUGAGGAAUCAAAAAAAUCCUAAUAAAAGAGAAAAGAGCAGAAGAAGAGAAAUCUACAAGAGAGAGGGGAUGAGUAAAAGAAAAAAGAGCAUCUUGUGCUCGAUCCCAUGAUGUUUGUCAUUUUUAAUUAAUUUCAGGGUGAAACAUACGAAUAGCUCCUACAUAAGUCAGACUUUGAAAUUUGAUCCAUAUACUUUUGACUUAAAUAUUUUUAUUUUUAAACUUUCAAUAAUUAAAAAUUAUAAUUACUAAAUUUAAAUUUAAUUUUUAAAAAAAGGCAUGUGCCUUAUUUGAUGAGAAUGAAGAAAGCAUUAAAUUAAGAAUUUAAUGUGAGAGAGCAAAUAUCUUGGCCAUCGAGAAGAAAAGAUAUGCAUAUUCCUUGAUAGAAGAGAGGGAGAGGAGAGAGAAAAAUCAUGUCUUAAAAAUUAAUUUUUAGAGAGAGAUAGAAAGGAAAGCAUUAAAUAAAAAAUUUACACAUAGUAAAAUCAAAAAUAAUUUUUUAAGAAGGACAUGUGUUUUGUUUGGAGAGAGAGAAAAAUAAGUAUUAAAUUAAAAAUUAAUGAGAGAGGAAAAAGAAUUUAAUUAAAAAAGUAAUUAUUUUAAAAAAAGAGCAUAUAAUUGGUGACAAAAAAAAGGAAAAGGCAGGCACACUUCUCCAUGGCUAAUUUCAUUUCUGGAGUACAAUAUAUGAAUAGUCCUUGCACAACUCAACUUUAAAAUUUGGUCCAUUUACUUUGUAGUUCAAUAUUUAACUUUUAAAUUUUCAAAUAUAAUAUAUUUUACUCAUAAUUUAAAAAGUAAAAAUUUAGUUUAAAAAUGUAUAAUUACUAGAACAAAUUUUAAUUUUUUUAAGAAAGUCAUGUCUCUUGUUUGGAAAAAAGAGAGAAAAUAGAGGAAUAAAUUAAAAAUAAAAGAGAGAGAUAGCACAUAUUUUAAUCAUAGAAAAUGAAAAAAGGAAUGCAUAUUUCUUGGUGAGAGAGAGGGGAGAGAUGAAAGGUAUGGCUCUUAUUUGGAGAGAAAGAAGAUAAUAUUAAAUAAAAAUUAAAUUAAGAGAAAGAGAGAAAGCACUUUCAAACUUGCAAAUAUAAUAUAUUUUACGAACUAGGCCGGUGUACUAUCGGUAGCACGGAGACCUCCGUGCUACCAAGUUGUUUUCGAUGAUGCGGCUUCCAAAUCAACGAUCGGCUCCGUUAGACAUGAUCUACACUAUUAAAAGUAUUUGAAAACUAAAUUUCAUAAUUUUUCGACAUCAUUUAGCUAGUGAUUAAAAGGUCUCAAAAUUGACAAUUUUAAUGGUAGAUGUGGUGCGUUUGUGAGUUUAAUGGUGUAAAACAAUCCAAAUCUGAUGAAAUUUUUAUAGAAAAUUUUUUUUACUAUUUAGAGUAAGAUCAGUACCUCUGAUCUUAAAUUUAAGUUUUUUAUCAUUAUUUUUUAUGAGAUUUUAUUUCCAACCGUUCAUUUUUAGACUACUCAUUUGAUAGGUAAAUGAUACUAAAAAUUUAUGAAAUUUAGUUUCCAAAUACUUUUAAUAGUGUAGAUCAAGUCUAACGGAGCCGAUCGUCGAUUUAGAAGCCACAUCAUUGAAAACAACUUAGUAGCACGGAGGCCUCCGUGCUACUGAUAGUAUACCAGCCUAACUCUGUAUUUUACUUAUAUUUUAAAAAAGUAAACAUUAAGUAAUUUUAAAAAUAUAUAAUUACUACAAUCAAUUUUUUUUUUUAAGUUAUGUCUCUUGUUAUACACUUUUAAAAAUAAUUUAUUUUUACUUUUCUAAGAGAAAGUGCACAUAAUUUGAUCAUACAGAAUGUGUAACGACCCAGCCCACUAGCAACAAUAACUCGUUAGGCCCAACCAUCAGCCCAAAAUGCUUAAGCCUAAUUAUUAUUACUAGUGUCUAAGUCUCUUAUAAAUCCAAUGACAAUAACAUGUCUUUUGUUUGCAUAAAGGAAAAAAAAAAGAACAUUAAAUUAAAAAAAUUAAAUUGAGAGAGAGAGGAAAGAGGCAUAUGUUUCUCACUGAGAGAAAGAGGAGAGAGAAAUGGUAUGAACAUUAAAUAAAAAAUUAAACAGAGACAGAGCACACUCCGUGAGAGAAAAAAAUAUAAGGAAAAUAUGUUUCACAUUAUUAGAACAUUUUAUCGGAAGGCCCAAUCAAAAUAGAAUAUAUUCAUGGUUUACACUGCAUUGCCAACAUGUAGCGCACUCAUAGAUAUUUGAUCACAUUCUUCAUCGAUCAUAUAUUACAAACUUUUUUAGUAAAUUAAUAAGAUAUGCUUAAAAUAAAAAAUACUCGUGCAUCCAAACAGGAUCUAAUACUCCUCGUCUACAAAAUAUUACAUGCUUCUUUUAAGAACAUAGAAAAAUAUAUAUAAAAAAUAAGAUGGACAUGGAUCCAAAGGAAACUUAAGGGUUCACCUAUCAUUUAGUGCAAUUUGGAAAUAAAACUCCAUCCUGUACCAGCAAUUACAAAUCAAUUCAUCCAUAAACCAAAUUUGAAGCAUCAUCCAAAAUAAACAUCGGAAAAUAUGGCAUAAAUCUUACACCAACACAUCCUAGGGUCUACAAGCCUUUUUUUCCAUUAUAAGUUUUUUUUUUAAAAAAAAUUAUAAGAUUAAUGAGAAAAUGUUGACCUAUGAAUGUUGGUGGAUGAAUAGUGUAAAAUUUAUAUUUACUUUUGGAGCGCACAAAUAAGGUUUAGGAUUUGAAAACCCUUAAUUUUCUUUAAAAAAAAUUAUAAGAUUAGUGAAAAAAUGUUGACCCAUGAAAGAAUGUGGUAUAAAAUUUAUAAAAUUUAUAUUGCCUUAAAGCUAGGUCUGAAACAAAUCAAUAACAAAGAACCAUAUAUCAUUGUAACAUCCUAAUCUACCAGUCCUAGCAAUUUGUUAAGCUCAAAUCACUGACCCAAAACGCCUAAGUUAUCAGUAUUAAAGUAUUUAAUCCUUCUAUACAUAAAUACAAUCCCUUCUCUAUUCAAUAUGAGAUUACUAAGAUGUCACAAUUAUGAUGGAAUCAAAUAAUUUAUCUUUAAUUUAGAUAAAAUUGCUUAUACCAACCCUACACAUCCAAUAAAUGUUGUAAUAUUUCCAACAUUAAGGCAAAUUCCCUCUGACACUUUCACAACAUUUCCAACUUGGCAAAUACACAAGAAAGUAGAUAUAUCUAUUGCUAGUAAAUAUAAUAGCAACCAAAACAAGCAAUAAGAUAACCAAAUUUGAUUUCCGAUAAACUGUAAUUAGUUCCAUUGUGGUUGAUUGCAUUUUUUCCUUUACCAUUGUUUUGCUUAAACUGUUCUACUUUGGUUUUACGUAGAAUUAAUUUUAUUUUACUGUAAGAACCUGCCGUUAAGUACGAUAACAAAGUAUAACAAUUCACAAACCACAACAUAGUCAAAUAUUAAUUUUUACAAACCAAAGGAUGGUAAAUUAUGCCAGUUUACUACUUCGUAGUUUACACUGUACCACCUUGUGGUUGGUGAAAUAUAACACUACGCUACUCCUUCCUAAUGGCAGGUAGUUAGGCGCCAGAUCGCAGAGAGACUAAUUGAAGUUACCCUUUGAUAUUUCUAACUGAUUAAACAAAAAAAAAUACUGACCCAUAGUGAAUAAAGGGAAGAUAUAGAAAGAAAUUUAUUCGGACAAUUAAUAGAGAUAUUCCUGUUCCAGAGUUUAUGUUUAUGCAGUCAAAUUUAUUCUACUAGAAUAGUUCGGAUAACUUCUUCCGACCUAAUUCUUAUUAGCCUUUUAUUCAUACAUCAUUUAGAUGUGAUUAUGUAAAAUAUACUCACUAGCGCCAGUUGAUACAUUAAGGAGUGCCCCGAACUUCAACAAAAACUGCUGUGGUUCUCUGAGGAACAGUGAAGCGACCGGCGACUGCCUCAUACGUUGAUUUUUUGACCAAUUCAUCCACCGAUUUCAGCUGCGCCAGUUUCGAUUCACAUUAAAUUAUCGCAGGACUUCCCAAGCAUAGUGCACAAAUCGAAUGACGAAUAAAUACAAAUAAUAAUACCUGCACAGGGUGCAAUUCAAGUGCUCUCGACCUGAGCGCAGGAACUUCUAUAGAGACUUCAGAUGGGCAUGCAUUGAAGACAACUACAAUAUAGGAGUAGCUGAAGCAAAAUAUUGAUUGUGAUUAAUUUAUAUGAAACUUAAUAAUUUGCCACCAAAAAUAUUGAAACCAGAAAUUGAAUGAGCAAACGUGUACUACUCACAUUGGAUCUAAUUGGGUGAUGCCUGGUUUUCCAUCAUGUCCAUCUUCAAUGCUCAUAAUGAUUGCUCCACGGACCCAUGACGGACCUGUGUUAUGGAAUCGAACUCGUUCCUACAUAUUAAUGAUGGGAAUCGGUAUGUGGAAAUAAGAAAGAAAAAAAGGAGAAACACUCGAGCUAAUGAAAGCCCUAUAUUAUGUUAGUGUUCAGCUUCAAGUUAAAUCUAGUGGCAAAAUUGCACUGCAACAGGGUGAGAAUCAGGUAUACGAAUGUUUCGUAUGUUAUGCCAAUUAUUUUGACCUCCGAAUAUGCAAUUUGCAUUGAUCUCAUCAAUAAGACCCAUGCAUUUAAAGUCCAAUUUUCAAAACUUAGGCUAUAAGGGACAAAUUUUUCUUGGGUUAAUUGCAUAUAGGUCCCUACAAACAUAGUAAAUUGCAAAUAUAUCCCUACAAAGUUCAACUUUCAUGUAUUGUCCCUGCAAAAGUCAAAAUGUUUUCAAAUGUCCCUGCCGUUAGAAAACUUUAGUUAACCAUAGGUAAAAUACUUAACCCUGAUUAGUUUAUGAGAUAACUUGACAUUGGCACCCCUCUUAUAUUAUACUAUUGUGGCUUUUGGAAGAACAUAUUUGUGAUGGCAAAAUUGGCAUAUUACUUAUUUGCUGUUAAAAUAUAAACAGUUCUCUAACAGUAACAAACCAGACAGACAUAUUUGAAACCAUUAGAAUUUUUGUAGAAACAACAUAUAAAAGUUGAGCUUUGAAAGGAUAUAUAUUUGCAAUUUACUAUGUUUGUAGAGACCUAUAUGCAAUUAACCCAAGAAAAAUUGGAACCAUAUUGAACUGAUACAACGUAUUUGAAAAUUGGAAGUAAAAAACAUGAAAAAAAAAAUUGCUGAGAAUAUAAAAUUCUACCUGAAUGCUAUUUGUUGUCUCCAAACGAAAAAGUGGUGAGGAAUAUCUGAUCUUCAAAAGAUCGACAAAAUUAUUAAGUGCAGCAAGAAUGUGACGUUUCUCAGGCUUGAAGGAUGGAUUGGCCAACCGUGGUUUGAUCCUGGAAUUAUUAUUAAAUAUUAUAAAAAUAGGAAACUUGCAAACUGCCCAAUAAGUUACAUACUAGCACUUUGUUAAUAUAUACCGAAAAAAUGAACUAAUAUAAGUAUACUGCCAGAUGAACUAAUAAUAUAUUCUGUAGGAUACAAAAGAUAAAAUCAGCUCAUUGCAAUUGAAAUGAUAUAGAAUCCAACAAAAGGGAGAUAGAAACAUACAGAGGCCAGUUGUUCUCAUUCUUUUCUCUUAGCGGAAGUCCAACACCCCAGUUGUUUGUUUCGUAACUGAUGUCGAGCCUUUUCAAACAUGGGGAGAAAAAUGAACAAAGAGAUGAAGAAAUAUGUGCUCAUAUGAAAAAUAGCUUUUCGUAAUGUUUCUAUGUGGUCGUUUGGAAACCAUUACAUUUAUCUUGUUUAAUGACCAACCUGUUAAACCAAUCACCGGACUACCGGAGUUAUACAAGACACGAUCAAGUGAUUUGGACCGCAAUAUCUCAUCACCAGCAUGGAAAAAUGGUACUCCCUAUGAAGAUGAAGUGAUUAGACAACAAAAUUUGAUUAGUCUGAUGGCCUCAUGAUGGCGGCGCAAUAGCAGUAGAUAAUCAGAGUGCUUUUGAAAAAACAAUUUCAACUUCCAACAGUCAAAAAUUAGUCAUUUCACCGCCGCUGGCGAUUACUCCAGAAAGAGUGAGCAUAUCACUGGUCUUUCUUGUAUAAGUUAGUUUUCUAAUUUUCUAACAAGAGCUAUAAGGCCCAUUACAAUGGCAGGCAUGAUUUCUGAAAAGGAGAAAAACUAGUUCCCAUUCCAACAAAACUUAUAAAUUACAGUGACGGCAUAUCUUAUGAGCAAUUACAGUGAGAGUGGCAAAUCUUUAUAUAAAUUAAGCACAUAUCUGUUUCCUCUUAAUCUUUAUGAAGAAUAACCAUAGACGAUAAAAAAUUAUACAACUCCAUAAGCAAGGCGUAUAACUGCACACCUAAAAUUAAUUACAAAAAGAAUUGCAAACUAAUGACUAGGACAUGAUAAAAGCAUUGGGACAAACCUGGGACAAUGCUAUGAUGCUUGAGGCCAAAUGAUUAAUCCUACAUCUGUCAUCUACAGUGAGUUCCACUGGAGUCUGCACAACAAAAAGAGAAUUUAAGAUGAAAGGGCUUUUACUUCAUAUAUGAUGUAUAAAGGACAAGAUAAAUCUUUGCUCACAUACAUGAAAAAGAAGUGAAAUAUCAGGAUUUGAUGGUGCAGAACCAACAAUUUAUUGCUAAAGAACACCAAGAAGAAAUUUUUGGAGAAUGCAAUUGGGGAUCAUCAUCAUAAAGAUAUUUUAUUUUGAAUUUUUCUAGACAAGAAAUUAACUAUGAAAUAUCUUGAAGAGUAUUCGUAGACAAAACAGAGCAAAGCCUUUCAACCAUUUUUAAAAAGAUGACCAAAGAAAGAUGUAUUCAAAAUAGAUCAAUGUACCUUCAAGCUGACAAUAUCAAACAAAGUCUCAUUGUCAUGAGCAGACACGUAGUUGACCUGAAAAUGAUACACCAACAUCUUUUGCUCAUGAGACUUGUGUUAUCAAAAGAUGUGAACAUUAUAUAAGUUAAUUUCCAAACAAACCCAACGAACAAAAUGAAGUAUAGCGUCGACUGUUUAAAUUUACAAACUAUAUCAAUUAAUGCAAGAUUGAAGUAGGUUAUGCUAAUUUUGUUUAAGAAUUACCUAUAGCUAGACUUACCGUUUCCGCGGGGGACAAAGCAUACCCAACUGGCAUUCCAUCAUUAGUCAGAACUUCCGAUCCUUUCAUCUGUUAAUAACACAUAAAUAGGAUCACUAGUAUGGUUAUAGUCAUAGGCUAAGUUAAAAAUGGCAAAUGUGAAAAAACAGGAAAUAACUCAUGAGACUUCACAGGAUUACAACCUGUCAAUCAAAAAAAUUGUAGAAAAUGAACUAGAAAUAGUUUGUUACUAGCGCAUGUAUCCUGAAAUUUCUGCAGAAGUUGAGGGCUCUUCUGCACUAAAAACGUGCAAAUAAAUUAAGACAUAAGCCAAAGGAUCUCAAGCGUUAAUCUUACAUACAAUACCGCAAACAAUCCAAGUGUUACGGCAAAAGCAAGCGGAAAAGAUCUAGUUCGUCGGAUGCGAAAAUAUCAAAAGAGACACAAAAAAAAGAAAAAUAAAGUCAUAUCAGAAUACUAUAAAUGCUUAAAAAGAUAGCAUGAACCAAACUGACCCGAAGUAAUAGUAAAUUAAGUUUGUUAUUUAUCUGAGCAUAAGUGUACGGUGAAAUUACAGUGAAAACAAAUCUCGAAAAAGAUCCAAAGUCCAAAAUAAGCUCAAUCCAACUAAUGCCGUACGUUCAAUUAAUUGCACAGAAGCACACAUCACGCACAGCGCUAGAGCUAGACAGAGCUCGGCUCUCCCACUCCAAUGUAUGGCUCGGCUUGGUUCUUAAUGCAUCCGAUGCACCACUACUGCUACUCCUAUGUACAAACCUCCAGCACCUCUUAGCUUUACACCAAACCACACAUGACUUUGAUUUGUUACUAGCAUGUAUCCUGAAAUUUCUGCAGAAGUUGAGGGCUCAUCUGCACUAAUAACGUGCAAAUAAAUUAAGACAUAAGCCAAAGGAUCUCAAGCGUUAAUCUUACAUACAAUACCGCAAACAAUCCAAGUGUUACGGCAAAAGCAAGCGGAAAAGAUCUAGUUCGUCGAGCGUUUAGCCGGACACCAUCAUUUUUUUUUUUUCAUUCCUAUUAGAUUACUAGAAAUCUUAAAAAGAUAGCAAACCAAACCGACCCGUAUAAUUAAAUUAAAUUUGUUAUUUAUGUGAGCAUGUGUAUACAGUGAAAUUACAGUUCCAGAUCGAAAAUCAAAGUGAGUCAUUCCAAAUAAUAGUUCAAUUAAUUGCACAGGAGCAGGCACAGGGAGAGUGCUAGGGCUAGACAGAGCAGAGCGGAGGGCCAGGGAGCGGGUGGUUUCGGAGCGGGAGCUGCGGCGGGGGCGCGGAGGGACGGAGGGUUUUUGAGCGCGGGUGCGGGGAAAGGGGGGGCUGAGGGCUGGGGGGUGGGGGCUGGGCUAGGCUGACCGAGGGGGAGCUCAGGCCAGGCGGGGCCCGAGCUCGGGGAAGGGGAAGGGGAAGGGGAAGGGGAAGGGUGAGAGGGACGCACCUGAGAAGUAGGAAGAGCACCGGAGUGGGAGGAGCGCAGCAGCCGGCCGGCGGAGGGAGCGAAGUCGCCUUGGAGGAGUAGCCAUCGAAGAGGGUUUCUCGGGAGGAGUAGGGGUGUAAACGAGCCGAACACGAGCGAGCUGGGUCGGCUCGUGUUCGACUCAUCUAAUAAACGAGCCGAACACCAGCCGGCUCGUUAAAAAUUCAGCUCGUACUCGGCAUGGUUAAUAAACGGGCCGAACAUGAGCUAACUCACGAGCUGACCAACGAACAAUAAGUUAAAAAAAUUAGAUUAAAAAUAUAUAAAAAAUAAAUUUGUAAAAUCUUAUCUAUUAGACUUUGAUCUAAUAGUUGAAAUUUUACAUAUAAAUGAGUUUUUUUAUAAUUGAGCUCACCUUUAUAUUUUUAUUUUGCUAAAAAUUAAAUAAUUAAAAUAUAUAUUAUAUAUAUAAUUAUUUAUUUAUAUAUAAAUAUAAAUUAAAUAAAUUAUAUAAAUAUAAAAUAUAUGUAUUCGAGUUGUUAUUGAGCCGAACACGAGCGAGCUGACCCCAGCUCGUGUUCAGCUCGUUUAAUAAACGAGCCGAACUCGUGUUCGGCUCGUUUACUAAACGAUCGAUUCGAUCUCGAGCUCAUUUCGAGCCGAACACGAGCUGACUCGCGAACAGCGAGUUGAAUUGCCACCCCUAAGGAGGAGGAGGUUGGGGGGAGGAAGGAGAUCUAUUUUUUGAGAGGGAUAAGAGUAUUUUGGGGAGAGGCGGAGGGGAAAAAAUUAUAUAUAUAUAUAUAUAUAUAUAGUGAGCUGGUAUGUUUCUGGAAGUACGGAGCCUUCCGUGCUUUCAAAUCGUUUUCAGUGUUGGGNUAUAUAUAUAUAUAUAUAUAUAUAUAUAUAUAUAUAUAUAUAAAACUAGGCUACUAUAUUAUUAAUAGCAGCAAGUCAUUGGUGUUAUCAAGUUUUUGGCCAUUAGAUUAAGAGACGUGUGGUUAGGAUGAUGUGGGUCCCCUAGGAUUGAGUGGGUGGUUGUCUGGUUGGUUGAAUAGUAUGAUCUAACGAGGGAAAACGAUCAAAAGAAUAAAUCUAACGGCAGAAAACUUGGUAGCACCAAGUGUUACGUGCUAUUAAUAACAUAGUAGCCGGACUCUAUAUAUAUAUUUAUUUAUUUAUUUAUUUAUUUAUUUAUUUUAAGAUGCAGAGCUCACAGAGCUUAGAGGCGUUUUGAGGUGUUAGAACAACCGUCUCUUAGCAACCACCUCUACAAGCGCUUUUUUUUUUAGUAUUUAUGAAUCUUAUUCAUAGCUUCAAUCCGUUUUCGAACUGGUCUCAAAGCUCACAUAUAUGCCACUCCAGCAAUUGACUAAUUUUAUUAUAACUAGUAUAAUUACCAAUUAAAUAAUUUUAUAUUAUAAAUCUUUUAUUAUUUAAUUGCACGGGAGCAUGGAGAGUGCAAAGAGAUCAUAUUAAUAAUAUAAGAGAGAGAGAAUAUUUAUUCUCUAUUCAUUUAUUACUUUUUCGUUUCCAUAAUCAGAAUGAGAACGGUGGGGGUGAUGCAUGCAGAUGUUUUACAUGUAGUGUAGUAAUAGAUACAGAUGUUGUAGCAAGAUGCAUGUCGAAGAAGAUUCGCGUACGGGCAUUUGCAGCAGCUAGCCAUUAGGACCGUGUUCGGUGAUCCGCAUGUCCUCUUCGAGGAAGCCGAAAGGGUACCAGCCGAGAGUGUAUCGCUCGAAGCCGCAGGCAUCGAGGGCAGCGGCGAACUUUUUGAUGCCCCACGUACCCGGGGGAUUGAAUUUGCCGAUUCUGUUGUACAUCUCUUUGUAGCACAUGUAGUCCACCGUCAUGUCCAUCAAGUUGGGCCAUCCCCAGCUCCAGAACGGCCAGUAUUGCCAAGCCACGGCCUGCUCCGGCUGGCUCAUCAGCACUAGCCACGCCACCGCCGCCACCGCUAACCACCCUCUCCUGUUCGUUGUCGUCAUCCUCUUCGUAAGUAGUUGAUCCCCCUCCUCAAUCCCUCCCUUUCUUUUUUCCUUUUCACUUACUCUAUAAUUUAUUACUCUCCUCUCUCUGCCACUUCUGGGAUUGCGGCACAUGCUAUUUUAUAGACGCAGUUUGAUAGUAACAAGCAAGUUUUAUAUUUAAGUUACAUCUAACGACAAUAAAUGUACCAAUAUUUUCAUAGACCUGCUGAAGAUAAAUUUGAGCGUUUGAGUAUGACAUAAUUGUUAUGCAUGCGUUUGCUAUUAAUUAAUUAAGCGAUGCAUAUUGUUUCGCAACAAACAAAAUUAAUUAAAUGUCGGUUAGCUUCAAAUACAUGCUUUUAACCCAAUAAAAAAAUUUAGCUCUUUUGCAAACGCUUGGAAACUUUAACAUUAGCAAAUUAAUUCGGUUUCUUAAAUUUUAUCAAAUAGUUGAAUACAGAGGCCUCUCUCUUCACUUGAAUUGCAAUCCUCAUUACCGUUUAAGCCGGUAUUUUGAAUAUAAUCAUAUAAAGCUUCAAAACGCGAUUCUUUUUCCCCAUGGUCUAACAUAGAAAUCAAAAAAUGAAGCUAGAUCGAUUCAUCCCGUCAAAGAGAAAAAAUAAUUUUCUUUUCAAUAUUUUAAAGGGUUAAUUACACCGGUAUUCCCCAACCUCUUUUUUUUACAAUUGAGUCCAUAAUCUCUUGAUUUUAUUACAAUUACAUUCCAACCCUUAAAACAACUGUUAAAAUUAACGGAAUCGCCACGUCAGCGUCUAUUUGUCGAUCUUUUACAUGUCAAUUUAGGUCUCUAAAUUUUGCAUGUUUUUCAUUUCAGUCCCUAAAAAAAAUUUCAAAACUUUAAAUUUAAAUUCAAAAAUAAUAUUAAAAUUAAAAUUUUAAACUAACGAGAAAUUAGAAUUUUGAAUUUGAAUUUAAAGCUGAAUUAAAAUUUUGAAUUGAAAUUCAAAUUUUAAAUUUAAAUUUUUAAUUGAAUCCAAAUUUUGAAUUCAAACUUAAAAUUUUGAUUUUGAUUUUGAUAUUUCAAUUUACAUUUAAAAUGAAAGUUUUGAAAACAAAAUUUAAAUUUAAAAUCUGAAUUAAAAUUUAAAAUCAUAUUCAAAAUUUUGAUUUUAAAUUUUAAAUUUGAAUUUAAGAUUUGAUUUCAAUUCUAAAUUUGAAUUUUAACUUCGAAUUCAAAUUCACAUUUUGAAUUUAAAAUUUCAAAUCGAAGUUUGAAAUUAAAUUAGAAUUUAGAAUUCCAAAUGUGAAUUUGAAUUUAAAAUUUAAAAUUUAAAAUUUAAAAUUAAAUACAAAAUCGAAAUUUGAAUUCUAAUUAAAAUUUGAAUUCAAUAUCAAAAUUUAAAUCUUAAAUGAAUUUUUUUUUGAAUUUAUAAAUUUAAUGGGUUUAAUUACGUCAUUGGUCCUCAACAUUUGCACCGAUUUUCAAUUUGGUCCCCAACCAUUUUUUUUUUUGCAAUCCACUGACACAGCGCCACCGUGGCGCUGACACGACACCUCCGUGGCAUUGACAUGGCCCCUCCGUGGCACUGAGAUGGUGCUGACAUGGCAUUUUCCGUCAAUUUUAACAGCUAUCUAACGGCUGGGACUUAAUUGAAAUGAAAUCAAGAGUUUAGAAACUUGAUUGCAAAAAAAAAAAAGGUUGGGGAGCAAAUUGAAAAAUACUGUAAAGGUUAGGGACUAUUGGUGUAACUAACCCUAUUUUAAAAGCUUACAAGAUUACGUGCAUAAUUCACAAUCAAAAUAGAUAAACAAUUAAUAACUAUAGUUGAAGGAGCCUAAUAACUAAAGUAGUAAGUUCAAAUGCUUGUUUGCGAAAAAGGCUUUAGAGUUAUGAUGGUGAAUUUCAGAGCUCUUUUAUAAAAUGCAAGUUCUGAUAGCAAUUCACAGUUACAGCGAGUGAAACAUUGAUUAAUAGAGAAUGCACUUCUUUAAGCAUCAUAUUUGGUUAACAUUUAUCCAUUACAAAAGUCAUAAAAUGCCUGUGCUGCAUUAGACCACGUUGAUCAUGCACAUGACAUCAGCAUGUUACUCCAAAAGAACAAACUUCAUAAAUAAAUUUUACAGCAGAAAACCAAAGAUAUAUUCGACGUUACAGGUGGGAUACGCCAGUCCUAUCAAAAAGAUAUUGUAAAGACUAUAACAGGUCUCAUAUCUCAUCGUGCAUUACAAAACCAAGUAAAUGAGCACGGAUCUCAAGGACAGGGUGAGGGACAAUAAGAACAAGUAGAUGACAAAGUUGCUAUAUAUAUAGUUGAAUAAAAUUACAAUUUUUUUUUCGAUUUACCAAAAAAUGUAAAAAAUUUCUAAUCAAUACAUGUAGGCAAAAAACUUUUAUAGGCGUCAAGGAAUAAAGCUUGCAAGUGAUGGAAAAAAAACUUUGCAAGUGUAAAAAAAAACAUAGCUAUCAAAAAGCUUGAAAUGAUUGUUGACUCAAUCGUUGAGUAUCAUAAAAAGCAAAAGGAGAAAAAUUUUUAUAGAGAGAAACAAAGAGAGAUGAACAUUAGCGCUAGAUGGUAAACAUGAUUCAUUCAAUACUUACCUUGAAACUCUAAAUCUUUACAUCUCUUACCAUAACGAUUUGGUGGAGGAACUUUAGGGCACCCAUGGGGAAAUGUUAAGCAUGCUGCCAGCGUUCAUCCUGAGCCAGGAUCGAACUCUUCAUUUGUAUCUAUGCGCUUCAGAUUAGCCUGGAGUUCACUCGUGCGGUUGGGGCUAUCUCUGCUUCUUUCCUUCUAUGACAUAAACUGUUGUGCUGCAGCUAGGGGUGGCAAUCCAGCUCGUUAUUCGCGAGCCGAAUAUGAAUUGGAUUUUUCAGCUCGUUUAAUAAACGAGCCGAACAUGAGCUGGGGUCAGCUCGAUCGUGUUCGGCUCGAUAACAGCCCGAAUACAUAUAUUUUAUAUUUAUAUAAUUUAUUUAAUUUAUAUUUUUAUAAAUAAAUAAAUAAUUAUAUAUAAUAUAUUUUUAUUAUUUAAUUUUUAGCAAAAUAAAAAUAUAAAUGCAAGCUUAAUUAUAAAAAAACUCAUUUAUAUGUAAAGUUUCAACUAUUAAAUCAAAGUUUAAUGUAUAAGAUCUUAUAAAUUUAUUUCCUAUAUGUAUCCUUUCUAAUUCUUUUAACUUGUUGUUCAUGAGCCAGCUCUUGUUCGGCUCGUUAAUAAAUGAGCCGAACAUGAGCUGAAUUUUUCGGCUCGAUACUUUAACGAGCCAGAAAACGAGCCGAACACAAGCCAACCCCACCUUACUAGUGUUCGGCUCGUUCACACCCCUAAUUAUAGGCAUGGUAGGCAUCACAUACAUAAAGCUAGCUCACUUCUAGCCGUGUGCUAAAUAAUGUUGUGCUUUUAGUGACAUUUAAUUUCUAAUUUGUAUCACAAAAGAAUCUGUGAGCUAAGCAACAAUGAAAAAGGAAAUAGAAAACGGGACCCAAAAAUAUUGGAAAUAAAUUUAAGCUGAGGUCAUGGAUAUGGAAAAAAAAAAGGCUCUUCACACAACCAAUCAGCACAUUGGAUUAAAACAAAAUUGGUGAAAAGCCAAAGUUAAAAAAGCUAUAAAUAAACUCUUGAUAUUUUCCCAACUUGAGAACUGAGACAAUCUUACAACUUGCAAAGCUAUAUAAGAGGAAAAAUUUCUAACGUAUGAAUUCGAUUUUCAAAAUUUAAGAUUUUGGUUUCUCAGAUUGAGUCAUAAUUAACUAUCUUUCUUAGAGAGAAAAUAUAAGAAAAAGUUGCUCACGUUGCUUCUUAUAUGUUCUCUUUGUCAAUCACCCUACUUAGUAGGCUAACACACACACACACACACACACACACACACNGCUAUACACUUUUAAAAAUAAUUUAUUUUUACUUUUCUAAGAGAAAGUGCACAUAAUUUGAUCAUACAGAAUGCAAAGAGGAAUCCACAUUCCUCGGUGAGAGGGAGAGAGAAGAGAAAAAAAAAAGGCAUAUCUUUUAUUUAGAGAGAAAGAGAGGAGAGAGGAGAGAAGAAAAAGUGUCUCUUAUUUAAAGAGAGAAUAGAACAUUAAAUAAAAAUUAAAGCGAGAGAGGGAAUGUAUACUAAAUUCAAAAUUAAUUUUUUUUAAAAAAAUCAUAUCUUUUGUUUGCAGAAAGGAAAAAAAAAGAGAGCAUUAAAUUUAAAAAAUAAAUUGAGAGAGAGAGAGGAAAGAGGCAUAUAUAUUUCUCAGUGAGAGAAAGAGGAGAGAGAAAUGGUAUGAACAUUAAAUAAAAAAUUAAAGUAAAAGAGACGAGCACACUUCGUGAGAGAAAAAAAUAUAAAGAAAACAUGUUUCACAUUAUUAGAACACUUUAUCGGAAGGCCCAUUCAAAAUAGAAUAUAUUCAUGGUUUACACUGCGUUGGAUACAUCCUAUUUAAUAAAAUAUCAUAUUUCACAUGUGAUGUAAUUUUUUAAAUUUUUUAAAAAUGAUUUGAAUGCCGUAUAUGAUAUUUCAUUUACACAUUUUCUUUUCGAGGAAAAAAACCCUGUAGUGCACUCAUAUAGAAAUUUGAUCACAUUCUUCAACUAUCAUAUAUUAUAAACCAUUUUACUAAAUUAAUACGAUAUGCUUAAAAUAAAAGAUACUCAUGCAUCCAAAUAGGAUCUAAUACUCCUUGUCUACAAAAUAUUACAUGCUUCUUUUAAGUACACAAAAAAUAAGAUGGCCAUGGAUAACUUAAGGGUUCUCCUAUCAUUUAGUGCAAUUUGGAAAUAAAACUCCUCAUCCCGUACGAGCAAUAACAAAUCAAUUCAUCCAUGAACCAAAUUUGAAGCAUCAUCCAAAAUAUACAUAGGAAAAUAUGGCAUAAAUCUUACACCAACACAUCCUAGGGUCUACAAGCCUUUUUUUCCAUUAUAAGUUUUUUUUUAAAAAAAAAAAUUAUAAGAUUAAUGAGAAAAUGUUGACCUAUGAAUGUUGGUGGAUGAAUAGUGUAAAAUUUAUAUCUACUUUUUGAGCGCACAAAUAAGGUUUAGGAUUUGAAAACCCUUAAUUUUCCUUAAAAAAAAUUAUAAGAUUAGUGAAAAAAUGUUGACCCAUGAAAGAAUGUGGUAUAAAAUUUAUAAAAUUUAUAUUGCCUUAAAGCUAGGUCUGAAACAAAUCAAUAACAAAGAACCAUAUAUCAUUGUAACAUCCUAAUCUACCAGUCCUAGCAAUUUGUUAAGCUCAAAUCACUGGCCCAAAACGCCUAAGUUGUCAGUAUUAAAGUACUUAAUCCUUCUAUACAUAAAUACAAUCCCUUCUCUAUUCAAUAUGAGAUUACGUCACAAUUAUGAUGAAAUCAAAUAAUUUAGCUUUAAUUUAGACAAAAUUGCUUAUACCAACCCUACACAUCCAAUAAAUAUUGUAAUAUUUCCAACAUCAAGGCAAAUUCCCUCAGACACUCACAACAUUUUCCACUUGGCAAAUACACAAGAAAGUAGAUAUAUCUAUUGCUAGUAAAUAUAAUAGCAACCAAAACAAGCAAUAAUACAACCUAAUUUGAUUUCCGAUAAACUGCAAUUAGUUCCAUUGUGGUUGAUUGCAUUUUUUCCUUUACCAUUGUUUUGCUUAAACUGUUCUACUUUGGUUUUACGUAGUUUUAAUUUUGUUUUACUGUAAGAACCUGCCGUUAAGUAGGAUAACAAGGUAUAACAAUUCACAAACCACAACAUAGUAAAAUAUUAAUUUUUACAAACCAUAGGAUGGUAAAUUAUGGCAGUUUACUACUUGGUAGUUUACACUUCACCACCUUGUGGUUGGUGAAAUAUAACACUACGCUACUCCUUCCUAAUGGCAGGUAGUUACACACCAGAUCGCGGAGGGACUAAUUGAAGUUACCCUUUGAUAUUUCUAACUGAUUAAACAAAAAAAAAUACUAACCCAUAGUGAAUAAAGGGAAGAUAUAGAAACAAAUUUAUUCGGACAAUUAAUAGAGAUAUUCCUGUUCCAGAGUUUAUGUUUAUGCAGUCAAAUUUAUUCUACUAGAAUAGUUCGGAUAACUUCUUCCGACCUAAUUCUUAUUAGCCUUUUAUUCAUACAUCAUUUAGAUGUGAUUAUGAAAAAUAUACUCACUAGCGCCAGUUGAUACAUUAAGGAGUGCCCCGAACUUCAACAAAAACUGCUGUGGUUCUCUGAGAAACAGUGAAGCGACCGGCGACCGCCUCAUACGUUGAUUUUUUUACCAACUCAUCCACCGAUUUCAGCUGCGCCAGUUUCGAUUCACAUUAAAUUAUGGCAGGACUUCCCAAGCAUAGUGCACAAAUCGAAUGACGAAUAAAUACAAAUAAUAAUACCUGCACAGGGUGCAAUUCAAGUGGUCUCGACCUGAGCGCAGGAACUUCUAUAGAGACUUCAGAUGGGCAUGCAUUGAAGACAACUACAAUAUAGGAGUAGCUGAAGCAAAAUAUUGAUUGUGAUUAAUUUAUAUGAAACUAAAAAAUUUGCCACCAAAAAUAUUGAAACCAGAAAUUGAAUGAGCAAACGUAUACUACUCACAUUGGAUCUAAUUGGGUAAUGCCUGGUUUUCCAUCAUGUCCAUCUUCAAUGCUCAUAAUGAUUGCUCCAUGGACCCAUGACGAACCUGUGUCAUGGAAUCGAACUCGUUCCUACAUAUUAAUGGUGGGAAUCAGUAUGUGGAAUUAAGAAAGAAAUAAGGUGAAACACCGAAGCUAAUGAAACCCCUAUAUUAUGUUAGUGUUCACCUUGAAGUUAAAUCUAGUGGCAAAAUUGCACUGCAACAGGGUGAGAAUCAGGUAUACGAUGCCAAUUAUUUUGACCUCCAAAUAUGCAAUUUGCAUUGAUCUCAUCGAUUAGACCCAUGCAUUUAAAGUCCAAUUUUCAAAACUUAGGCUAUAAGGGACAAAUUUUUCUUGGGUUAAUUGCAUAUAAGUCCCUACAAACAUAGUGAAUUGCAAAUAUAUUCCUACAAAAUUCAACUUUCCUGUAUUGUCCCUGCAAAAGUCAAAAUGUUUUCAAAUAUGUCCCAACCGUUAGAAUUCAUUAGAAAACUUUAGUUAACCAUAGGUAAAAUACUUAACCCUGGUUAGUUUAUGAGAUAACUUGACAAUAUUACCUCUCUUAUAUUAUACUGUUGUGGCUUUUGAAAAAACAUAUUUGUGAUGGCAAAAUUGGCAUGUCACUUAUUUGCUGUUAAAAUAUAAACAGCUCUCUAACGGUAGCAAACCAAAGGAACAUAUUUGAAACCAUUAGAAUUUUUGUAUGGACAACAUAUGAAAGUUGAACUUUGUAGGGAUAUAUUUACAAUUCACUGUGUUUGCAGGGACCUAUAUACAUUUAACCCAUUUUUCUUUGAGGGAAAAUGCAUAAAAUCUAUUAUAAAGGCGGCCAUAUAUCUAUCACAUCAAUUUGCUGUAAGCCAAGGAUGUAAGUGUCGUGGCACGGGAUCAUGCCGAAACUUACCAGCACAGCACGGCACGAUGCAUGUCGGUCCGUGCCAAUGCGUUCGAUCACAAAAAAUAUGUGUGCCGACACGUAAUAGCGUGAAAUAUUUAUUUUUUUUAGCAACAAAUUAUGCCAAUUAUUUAUUAUAUAUUUUUUUCAAAUCUUUUGAACUUUAUUUAGAAAAUUACUUACUAAUUUCAAAAAUAGAGAAUUUUGAAUUGUGCCAUCGGCACAAGAGCUGUAUUGUGCCGAUAUCUUGCUAGCACGACACGGCACGAUAGAUACGACUUGUGCCGAUGGGCACUUUAAUCCUUGUUGUAAGCUUCACUGUGUUACACGAAGGAAUUUGAUAGAAUAUUUACUUAUUAUUAAGAAAAGUGGUUCAUUCUGACUUAAACCUUCAAUAUUAUCAAAUGCCAAAUUUCUUCUUAACAAAUUUGGCUAGAAUCAGAGUUGCUUUCCAAAUAUGAAAGUGUUUAAUUGCACAAUAACACAUUCAGUGGUAAUUAGAAUAAAUUGGUUUUAAGAAAUCAAAACUGAAGAUUGAGUAUAUAGCAUCUAACAAUUUGAACCAUAUUGAACUGAUACAACGUAUUUGAAAAUUGGAAGUAAUAAACAUGAAAAACAAAAUUUGCUGAGAAUAUAAAAUUCUACCUGAAUGCAAUUUGCUGUCCCCAAACGAAAAAGUGGUUAGGAGUAUCUGAUCUUCAAAAGGUCGACAAAAUUAUCAAGUGCAGCAAGAAUGUGACGUUUCUCAGGCUUGAAGGAUGGUUGGCCAACCGUGGUUUGAUCCUGGAAUUAUUAUUAAGUAUUAUAAAAAUAGGAAACUUGCAAACUGCCCAAUAAGUUACAUACUAGCACUUUGUUAAUAUAUACCGAAAAAAUGAACUAAUAUAAGUAUACUGCCAGAUGAACUACUAAUAUAUUCUGUAGGAUACAAAAGAUAAAAUCAACUCAUUGCAAUUGAAAUGAUAUAGAAUCCAAAAAGAGGAAGAUAGAAACAUACAAAGGCCAGUUGUUCUCAUUCUUUUCUCUUGGCGGAAGUCCGAUACCCCAGUUGUUUGUUUCAUAACUGAAGUCGAACCUUUUCAAAUAUGGGGGGAAAAAUGAACAAAGAGAUGAAGAAAUAUGUGCUCAUAUGAAAAAUAGCUUUUCGUAAUGUUUCUAUGUGGUCGUUUGGAAACCAUUACAUUUAGGUUGUUUAAUGACCAACCUGUUAAACCAAUCACCGGAGUUAUACGAGUCACGAUCAAGUGAUUUGGACCGCAAUAUCUCAUCACCAGCAUGGAAAAAUGGUACUCCCUAUGAAGAUGAAGUGAUUAGGCAACAAAAUUUGAUUAGUCUGAUGGCCUCGCAAUAGCAGUAGAUAAUCAGAGUGCUUUUCGAAAAACGAUUUCAACUUCCAACAGUCAAAAAUUAGUCAUUUCACCGCCGCUGGCGAUUACUCCAGAAAGAGUGAGCAUAUCACUGGUCUUUCUUGUAUAAGUUAGUUUUCUGAUUUUCUAACAAGAGCCAUAAGGCCCAUUACAAUGGCAGGCAUGAUUUCUGAAAAGGAGAAAAACUAGUUCCCAUUCCAACAAAACUUAUAAAUUACAGUGACGGCAUAUCUUAUGAGCAAUUACAGUGAGAGUGGCAAAUCUUUAUAUAAAUUAAGCACGUAUCUGUUUCCUCUUAAUCUUUAUGAAGAAUAACCAUAGAUGAUAAAAAAUUAUACAACUCCAUAAGCAAGGCGUAUAACUGCACACCUAAAAUUAAUUACAAAAAGAAUUGCAAACUAAUGACUAGGACAUGAUAAAAGCAUUGGGACAAACCUGGGACAAUGCUAUGAUGCUUGAGGCCAAAUGAUUAAUCCUACAUCUGUCAUCUACAGUGAGUUCCACUGGAGUCUGCAUAACAAAAAGAGAAUUUAAGAUGAAAGGGCUUUUACUUCAUAUAUGAUGUAUAAAGGACAAUAUAAAUCUUUGCUCACAUACAUGAAAAAGAAGUGAAAUAUCAGGAUUUGAUGGUGCGGAACCAACAAUUUAUUGCUAAAGAACACCAAGAAGAAAUUUUUGGAGAAUGCAAUUGGGGAUCAUCAUCAUAAAGAUAUUUUAUUUUGAAUUUUUCUCUACAAGAAAUUAACUAUGGAAUAUCUUGAAGAGUAUUCGUAGACAAACAGAGCAAAGCCUUUCAACCAUUUUUAAAAAGAUGACCAAAGAAAGAUGUAUUCAAAAUAGAUCAAUGUACCUUCAAGCUGACAAUAUCAAACAAAGUCUCAUUGUCAUGAGCAGACACGUAGUUGACCUGAAAAUGAUACACCAACAUCUUUUGCUCAUGAGACUUGUGUUAUCAAAAGAUGUGAACAUUAUAUAUGUUAAUUUCCAAACAAACCCAACGAACAAAAUGAAGUAUAGUGUCGACUGUUUAAAUUUACAAACUAUAUCAAUUAAUGCAAGAUUGAAGUAGGUUAUGCUAAUUUUGUUUAAGAAUUAGCUAUAGCUAGACUUACCGUUUCCGUGGGGGACAAAGCAUACCCAACUGGCAUUCCAUCAUUAGUCGGAACUUCCGAUCCUUUCAUCUGUUAAUAACACAUAAAUAGGAUCACUAGUAUGGUUAUAGUCAUAGGCUAAGUUAAAAAUGGCAAAUGUGAAAAAACAGGAAAUAACUCAUGAGACUUCACAGGAUUACAACCUGUCAAUCAAAAAAAUUGUAGAAAAUGAACUAGAAAUAGUUUGUUACUAGCGCAUGUAUCCUGAAAUUUCUGCAGAAGUUGAGGGCUCUUCUGCACUAAAAACGUGCAAAUAAAUUAAGACAUAAGCCAAAGGAUCUCAAGCGUUAAUCUUACAUACAAUACCGCAAACAAUCCAAGUGUUACGGCAAAAGCAAGCGGAAAAGAUCUAGUUCGUCGAGCGUUUAGCCGGACACCAUCAUAAUUUUUUUUUAUUCCUAUUAGAUUACUAUAAAUCUUAAAAAGAUAGCAUGAACCAAACUGACCCGUAUAAUUAAAUUAAGUUUGUUAUUUAUGUGAGCAUGUGUGUACGGUGAAAUUACAGUGAAACCAAAUUGAAGCAGAUCGAAAGUCAAAGUGAGUCAUUCCAAUUAAUGGUGUUCAAUUAAUUGCACAGGAGCAGGCACAGGGAGAGUGCUAGGGCUAGACAGAGCAGGGCGGAGGGGCAGGGAGCGGGUGGUUUCGGAGCGGGAGCUGCGGCGGGGGCGCGGAGGGACGGAGGGUUUUUGAGCGCGGGUGCGGGGAAAGGGGGGGCUGAGGGCUGGGGGGUGGGGGCUGGGCUAGGCUGACCGAGGGGGAGCUCAGGCCAGGCGGGGCCCGAGCUCGGGGAAGGGGAAGGGGAAGGGGAAGGGGAAGGGUGAGAGGGACGCACCUGAGAAGUAGGAAGAGCACCGGAGUGGGAGGAGCGCAGCAGCCGGCCGGCGGAGGGAGCGAAGUCGCCUUGGAGGAGUAGCCAUCGAAGAGGGUUUCUUGGGAGGAGGAGGUUGGGGGGAGAAAGGAGAUCUAUUUUUUUNGCCGAUCGUCGAAUCGAACAUCCUAUCAUCGAAAACAACUUACAAGCACGGGGCCUCCCGUACUUUCGAAAGUACGGGAGACGGACUCUAUAUAUAUAUAUAUAUAUAUAUAUAUAUAUAUAUAUAUAUAGAGUCCGGCUACUAUAUUAUUAAUAGCACGAAACACUUGGUGCGACCAAGUUUUCCGCCGUUAAAUCUAUUCUUUUGAUCAUUUUCACUCGUUAGAUCAUACUAUUCAACCAACCACCCACUCAACCCUAGGAGGCCCACAUUAUCCUAACCACACAUCUCUUAAUCUAAUGGCUAAAAACUUGGUAGCACCAAUGACUUAAUAGUAUAGUAGCAUAUAUAUAUAUAUAUAUAUAUAUAUAUUAUAUAAUAUUUAUUUAUUUAUUUGAUUAUUGUAUUUAUAUAUUUAAGAUAAUGAGCUCACAGAGCGUCUUAGAGGCCGCUUUGCCAGUGGUUAAGAAACAACCCGUUUUUAGCAACCGCCUCUACAAGCGCUUUUUUUUUUUAGUAUUUAUGAAUCUUGUUCAUGGCUUCAAUCCGUUUUCGAACUGGUCUCAAAGCUCACAUAUAUGCUACUCUAGCAAUUGACUAAUUUAUUAUUCUCGUAAAUCAUACAAGAAUCAAAUUAUAACUAGUAUAAUUACCAAUUAAAUAAUUUUAUAUUAUAAAUCUUUUGUUAUUUAAUUGCACGACAGCAGGGAGAGUGCACAGAGAUCAUAUCAAUAAUAUAAGAGAGAGAAAAUCUUUAUUCUCUAUUCAUUUAUUACUUUUUCGUUUCAAUAAUCAGAAUGAGAAAGGUGGGGGUGAUGCAUGCAGAUGUUUUGCAUAUAGUGUAGUAAUAGAUACAGAUGUUGUAGCAAGAUGCAUGUCGAAGAAGAUUCGCGUACGGGCAUUUACAGCAGCUAGCCAUUAGGACCGUGUUCGGUGAUCCGCAUGUCCUCUUCAAGGAAGCCGAAAGGGUACCAGCCGCCGGUGUAUCGCUGGAAGCCGCAGGCAUCAAGGGCAGCAGCCCACUUUCUGAUGCCCGACGUACCCGGGGGGUUGAAUUUGGCGAUUCUGUUGUACAUCUCUUUGUAGCACAUGUAGUCCACCGUCAGGUCCANCCACCGCACCGAUCACGACUACUCGGUCGGCCUCGUCCGGCACCGAACCGUUAUGACCGGCAAGACCUCGACCCCUACCGGGUUGAACUACCUGUAGCCGCCACCGCUAACCACCCGCUCCUGUUCGUUGUCGUCAUCCUCUUCGUAAGUAGUUGAUCCCCCUCCUCGAUUCCUCCCUUUCUUUUUUCCUUUUCACUUACUCUAUAAUUUAUUACUCUCCUAUCUCUGCCUCUUCUGGGAUUGCAGCACUUGCCAUUUUAUAGACGUAGUUUGGUAGUAACAAGCAAAUUUUAUAUUUAAGUUACAUCUUAACGAUAAUAAAUGUAUCAAUAUUUUCAUAGUCCUGCUGAAGAUAAACUUGUGCGUUUGAGUAUGACAUAAUUGUUACGCAUGCGUUUGCUAUUAAUUAAUUAAGCGAUGCGUAUUGUUUCGCAACAAACAAAAUUAAUUAAAUGUCGGUUAGCUUCAAAUACAUGCUUUUAACCUAAUAAAAAAAUUUAGCUAUUUUGCAAACGCUUGGAAACUUUAACAUUAGCAAAUUAAUUCGAUUUCUUAAAUUUUAUCAAAUAGUUGAAUACAGAGGCCUCUCUCUUCACUUGAAUUGCAAUCCUUAUUACCGUUUAAGCCGGUAUUUUGAAUAUAAUCAUAUAAAGCUUCAAAACGCGAUUCUUUUUCCCCAUCGUCUAACAUAGAAAUCAAAAAAUGAAGCUAGAUCGAUUCAUCCCGUCAAAGAGAAAAAAUAAUUUUCUUUUCAAUAUUUUAAAUGGUUAAUUAUACCAGUAUUCCCCAACUUUUUUUUUUGCAAUUGAGUCCCUAAUCUCUUAAUUUUAUUACAAUUACGUUCCAACCGUUAAAAUAAUUGUUAAAAUUAACGGAAUCGCCAGGUCAGCGUCUAUUUGUCAAUCUUUUACAUGUCAAUUUAGGUCCCUUAAUUUUGCACGUUUUUCAUUUUAGUCCCUAAAAAAAAUUUUCAAAAUUUUAAAUUUAAAUUCAAAAAUAAUAUUAAAAUUAAAAAUUUAAACUAACGAGAAAUUAGAAUUUUGAAUUUGAAUUUAAAGCUGAAUUGAAAUUUUGAAUUGAAAUUCAAAUUUUAAAUUUAAAAUUUUAAUUGAAUCCAAAUUUUGAAUUCAAACUUAAAAUUUUGAUUUUGAUUUUGAUAUUUCAAUUUACAUUUAAAAUGAAAGUUUUGAAAACAAAAUUUAAAUUUAAAAUCUGAAUUAAAAUUUAAAAUCAUAUUCAAAAUUUUGAUUUUAAAUUUUAAAUUUGAAUUUAAGAUUUGAUUUCAAUUAUAAAUUUGAAUUUAAACUUCGAAUUCAAAUUCACAUUUUGAAUUUGAAAUUUCAAAUCGAAGUUUGAAAUUAAAUUAGAAUUUAGAAUUCCAAAUGUGAAUUUGAAUUUAAAAUUAAAAAUUUAAAAUUAAAUACAAAAUCAGAAUUUGAAUUCUAAUUAAAAUUUGAAUUCAAUAUCAAAUUUUAAAUCUUUAAAUUAAAUUUUUUUUUGAAUUUAUAAAUUUAAUGGGUUUAAUUACACCAUUGGUCCUCAACAUUUACACCGAUUUUCAAUUUGGUCCCCAAUCCCUUUUUUUUUUUGCAAUCCGCUGACACAGCACCACCGUGGCACCGACACGACGCCUCCGUGGCACUGACAUGGCGCCUCCGUGGCACUGACAUGGUGCUGACGUGGCAUUUUCCGUCAAUUUUAACAGUUAUCUAACGACUGGGACUUAAUUGAAAUGAAAUCAAGAGUUUAGGAACUUGAUUGCAAAAAAAAAAAAAGGUUUGGGGACCAAAUUGAAAAAUAGUGUAAAGGUUAGGGACUAUUGGUGUAACUAACCCUAUUUUAAAAGCUUACAAGAUUACGUGCAUAAUUCACAAUCAAAACAGAUAAACAAUUAAUAACUAUAGUUGAAGGAGCCUAAUAACUAAAAUAGUAAGUUCAAAUGGUUGUUUGCGAAAAAAGGCUUUAGAGUUAUGAUGGUGAAUUUCAGAGCUCUUUUAUAAAAUGCAAGUUCUGAUAGCAAUUCACAGUUACAGCGAGUGAAACAUUGAUUAAUAGAGAAUGCACUUCUUUAAGCAUCAUAUUUGGAUAACAUUUAUCCAUUACAAAAGUCAUAAAAUGGCUGUGCUGCAUUAGACCACGUUGAUCAUGCACAUUACUCCAAAAGAACAAACUUCAUAAAUAAAUUUUACAGCAGAAAACCAAAGAUAUAUUCGACGUUACAGGUGGGAUACGCUAGUCCUAUCAAAAAGAUAUUGUAAAGACUAUAACAGGUCUCAUAUCUCAUCGUGCAUUACAAAACCAAGUAAAUGAGCACAGAUCUCAAGGAUAGGGUGACGGGCAAUAAGAACAAGUAGAUGACAAAGUUGCUAUAUAUAUAUAUAUAUAUAGUUGAAUAAAAUUAUAAUUGUUUUUUCGAUUUACCAAAAAAUGUAAAAAAUUUCUAACCAAUACAUGUAGGCAAAUAACUUUUAGGCGUCAAGAAAUAAAACUUGCAAGUGACGAAAAAAAAACUUUGCAAGUGUCAAAAAAAACAGCUAUCAAAAAGCUUGAAAUGAUUGUUAACUCAAUUGUUGAGUAUCAUAAAGAGCAAAAGGAGAAAAAAUUUUAUAGAGAAAGAAACAAAGAGAGAUGAAUAUUAGCGCUAGAUGGUAUACAUGAUUCAUUCAAUACAUACCACGAAACUCUAAAUCUUUACAUCUCUUACCAUAACGAUUUGGUGGAGGAACUUUAGGGCACCCUUGGGGAAAUGUUAAGCAUUCUGCCAGCGUUCAUCCUGAGGCAGGAUCGAACUCUCCAUUUGUAUUCAUGCGCUUCAGAUUAUCCUGAAGUUCGCUCGUGCGGAUGGGACUAUCUCUGCUGCUUUCCUUCUAUGACAUAAAUCGUUGUGUUGCAGCCAUCAAGCCUAGUGUCAACUCCAGAUCGACCCCCACGAGGAUCGUCUAUGCCCUAAACCAUUCCGUCAUCGCCGUUGAGCCCGGAUCAACUUUGGAUCCACCUCGGUGAUAAUCCUCUUUAGCGUGGGAGGUGGCAGCCCAGCCCUGUAUGCCAUUAACUACUCCAUCACUGCCGCCAAGCGAGUCGUCAAAUUUAGCAAUAAUCUUCUUUGCCAUACGAAGCGACGGCGGUGUACUGCUCAACAACUUUCGUAGAUGCAUGUGACAGAGAAAGUUGAGAUAAGAACGAUGGAAGGAUAGGGCAGGCAGAGAAAAAGAAAGUAAGAGAAAGUGAGGAGUCAAAAAAAUCCUAAUAAAAGAGAAAAGAGCGGAAGAAGAGAAAUCUACAAGAGAAAAAGGGGAUGAGUAAAAGAAGAAAGAGCAUCUUGUGCUCGAUCUCCAUGAUGGUUGUCGUUUUUAAUUAAUUUCAGGGUGAAACAUAUGAAUAGCUCCUGCAUAUAUAUAUAUAUAUAUAUAUAUAUAUAUAUAUAAUAUACUAUAGUAUAUUAUAUAUAUAUAUAUAAUAUAUAUAUCAGACUUUGAAAUUUGAUCCAUAUACUUUUGACUUAAAUUUUUAUUUUUAAACUUUCAAUAAUAAAAAAUUAUAAUUACUAAAUUUAAAUUUAAUUUUUUAAAAAAGGCAUGUGCCUUAUUUGAUGAGAAAGAAGAAAGCAUUAAAUCAAGAAUUUAAUGUGAGAGAACAAAUAUCUUGGCCAUAGAGAAGAAAAGAUAUGCAUAUUUCUCGAUAGAAGAGAGGGAGAGGAGAGAGAAAAAUCAUGUCUUAAAAAUUAAUUUUUAGAGAGAGAUUGAAAGGAAAGCAUUAAAUAAAAAAUUUACACUUAGUAAAAUCAAAAAUAAAUUUUUAAGAAGGACGUGUUUUAUUUGGAGAGAGAAAAAUGAGCAUUAAAUUAAAAAUUAAUGAGAGAGAGGGAAACGGAUUUAAUUAAAAAAGUAAUUAUUUUAAAGAAAGAGCAUAUAAUUGGUGACAAAAACAAGGAAAAGGCAGGCACACUUCUCCGUCACUAAUUUCAUUUCUGGAGUACAAUAUAUGAAAAAUCCUUGCACAAUUCAACUUUGAAAUUUGAUGCAUUUAUUUUGUAGUUCAAUAUUUAACUUUCAAAUUUUCAAAUAUAAUAUAUUUUACUCAUAAUUUAAAAAGUAAAAAUUAUGUAGUUUAAAAAUGUAUAAUUACUAGAACAAAUUUUAAUUUUUUUAAGAAAGUCAUGUCUCUUAUUUGGAGCGAAAGAAGAGAAUAUUAAAUAAAAAUUAAAUUAAGAGAGAGAGAGAGAAAGCACUUUCAAACUUGCAAAUAUAAUGUAUUUUACUUAUAUUUUAAAAAAUAAACAUUAAGUAAUAUUAAAAAUAUAUAAUUACUACAAUCAAAUUUUUAUUUUUUUAAAAAAGUUAUGUCUCUUGUUAUGCACUUUUAAAAAUAAUUUAUUUUUACUUUUCUAAGAAAAAAUGCACAUAAUUUGAUCAUACAAAAUGCAAAGAGAAAUCCACAUUCCUCGGUGAGAGAGAGAGAAGAGAAAAAAAAAGGCAUAUCCCUUAUUUAGAGAGAAAGAGAGGAGAGAGGAGAGAAGAAAAAGUGUCUCAGAGAAUAGAACAUUAAAUAAAAAUUAAAGCGAGAGAGGGAGUAUUUUCAAACUUUCAAAUAUAGUAUAUUUUACUCAUAAUUAAAAAUAAAAAUAAAAACUAGGUAUUUGAAAAAAUGUAUACUAAAUUCAAAUUAAUUUUUUUUAAAAAAAUCAUGUCUUUUGUUUGCAGAAAGGGAAAAAAAAAGGAGAGCAUUAAAUUAAAAAAUUAAAUUGAGAGAGAGAGGAAAGAGGCAUAUAUAUUUCUCAGUGAGAGAAAGAGGAGAGAGAAAUGGUAUGAACAUUAAAUAAAAAAUUAAAGUAAAAGAGACGAGCACACUCCGAGAGUGAAAAAAAUAUAAAGAAAAAAUGUUUCACAUUAUUAGAACAUUUUAUCGGAAGGCCCAAUCAAAAUAGAAUAUAUUCAUGGUUUACAAUGCGCUGGAUACAUCCUAUUUAAUAGAAUAUCAUAUUUCACAUGUGAUGUAAUUUUUUCAAUUUUUUAAAAAUGAUUUGAAUGCCGUAUAUGAUAUUUCAUUUACACAUUUUCUUUUCGAGGAAAAAAAACCUGUAGUGCACUCAUAUAGAAUUUGAUCACAUUCUUCAACUAUCAUAUAUUAUAAACCUUUUUAGUAAAUUAAUAAGAUAUGCUUAAAAUAAAAGAUACUCAUGCAUCCAAAUAGGAUCUAAUACUCCUUGUCUACAAAAUAUUACAUGCUUCUUUUAAGUACAUAAAAAAUAAGAUGGUCAUGGAUCCAAAGGAAACUUAAGGGUUCACCUAUCAUUUAGUGCAAUUUGAAAAUAAAACUCCUCAUCCUGUAUGAGGAAUUACAAAUCAAUUCAACCAUGAACCAAAUUUGAAGCAUCAUCCAAAAUAUACAUCGGAAAAUAUGGCAUAAAUCUUACACCAACACAUCCUAGGGUCUACAAGCCUUUUUUUCCAUUAUAAGUUUUUUUUAAAAAAAAAAAAUUAUAAGAUUAACGAGAAAAUGUUGACCUAUGAAUGUUGGUGAAUGAAUAGUGUAAAAUUUAUAUCUACUUUUUGAGCGCACAAAUAAGGUUUAGGAUUUGAAAACCCUUAAUUUUCCUUAAAAAAAAUUAUAAGAUUAGUGAAAAAAUGUUCACCAAUGAAAGAAUGUGGUAUAAAAUUUAUAUUGCCUUAAAGCUAGGUCUGAAACAAAUCAAUAACAAAGAACCAUAUAUCAUUGUAACAUCCUAAUCUACCAGUCCUAGCAAUUUGUUAAGCUCAAAUCACUGGCCCAAAACGCCUAAGUUAUCAGUAUUAAAGUGUUUAAUCCUUCUAUACAUAAAUACAAUCCCUUCUCUAUUCAAUAUGAGAUUACUAAGAUGUCACAAUUAUGAUGGAAUCAAAUAAUUUAGCUUUAAUUUAGAUAAAAUUGCUUAUACCAACCCUACACAUCCAAUAAAUGUUGUAAUAUUUCCAAUAUUAAGGCAAAUUCCCUCAGACACUUUCACAACAUUUCCCACUUGGACCGACCGUCCCUAGAGCAAAUGGCAAAAGGCUUGGUGGUUGGUACCCGAGACCCAAAUUCGAAUCCUAGUCGAUUCACAUUUCCAGCUAAGUUUAUUUCUAAAUGAAAUAAACGAAGCGAGUAGCGUGCUUCCUAUCUCUAAAGAAAAAAAAAAAAAAAAAAAAAAAACAUUUCCCACUUGGCAAAUACACAAGAAAGUAGAUAUAUCUAUUGCUAGUAAAUAUAAUAGCAACCAAAACAAGCAAUAAGAUAACCUAAUUUGAUUUCCGAUAAACUGUAAUUAGUUCCAUUGUGGUUGAUUGCAUUUUUUCCUUUACCAUUGUUUUGCUUAAACUGUUCAACUUUGGUUUUACGUAGUUUUAAUUUUGUUUUACCGUAAGAACCUGCCGUUAAGUAGGAUAACAAAGUAUAACAAUUCACAAACCACAACAUAGUAAAAUAUUAAUUUUUACAAACCAAAGGUGGUAAAUUAUGCCAGUUUACUACUUCGUAGUUUACAUUGUACCACCUUGUGGUUGGUGAAAUAUAACACUUCGCUACUCCUUCCUAAUGGCAGGUAGUACAAUUUUACAAACCACAAAAUGGCUAGUUAAUAACGCGCCAAAUCGCGGACGGACUAAUUGAAGUUACCCUUUGCUUUUUGUCACUGAUUAAACAAAAAAAAUACUAAUCCAUAGUGAAUAAAGGGAAGAUGUAGAAACAAAUUUAUUCAAACAAUUAAUAGAGAUAUUCCUGAUACAGAGUUUAUGUUUAUGCAGUCAAAUUUAUUCUACUAGAAUAGUUCAGAUAACUUCUUCCGACCUAAUUCUUAUUACCCUUUUAUUCAUACAUCAUUUAGAUGUGAUUAUGUAAAACAUACUCACUAGCGCCAGUUGAUGCAUUAAGGAGUUCCCCGAACUUCAACAAAAACUGCUGUGGUUCUCUGAGGAACAGUGAAGCGACCGGCGACUCCCUCAUACGUUGACUUUUUGACCAACCCAUCCACCGAUUUCAGCUGCGCCAGUUUCGAUUCACAUUAAAUUAUCACAGGACUUCCCAAGCAUAGUGCACAAAUCGAAUGACGAAUAAAUAAAAAUAAUACCUGCACAGGGUGCAAUUCAAGUGCUCUCGACCUGAGCGCAGGAACUUCUAUAGAGACUUCAGAUGGGCAUGCAUUGAAGGCAACUACAAUAUAGGAGUAGCUGAAGCAAAAUAUUGAUUGUGAUUAAUUUAUAUGAAACUAAAUAAUUUGCCACCAAAAAUAUUGAAACCAGAAAUUGAAUGAGCAAACGUGUACUACUCACAUUGGAUCUAAUUGGGUGAUGCCUGGUUUUCCAUCAUGUCCAUCUUCAAUGCUCAUAAUGAUUGCUCCACAGACCCAUGACGGACCUGUGUUAUGGAAUCGAACUCGUUCCUACAUAUUAAUGAGGGGAAUCAGUAUGUGGAAAUAAGAAAGAAAAAAGGAGAAACACUCGAGCUAAUGAAACCCCUAUAUUAUGUUAGUGUUCAGCUUGAAGUUAAAUCUAGUGGCAAAAUUGCACUGCAACAGGGUGAGAAUCAGGUAUACGAAUGUUUCGUAUGUUAUGCCAAUUAUUUUGACCUCCCAAUAUGCAAUUUGCAUUGAUCUCAUCAAUAAGACCCAUGCAUUUAAAGUCCAAUUUUCAAAACUUAGGCUAUGAGGGACAAAUUUUUCUUGGGUUAAUUGCAUAUAGGUCCCUACAAACAUAGUAAAUUGCAAAUAUAUCCCUAUAAAGUUCAACUUUUAUGUAUUGUCCCUCCAAAAGUCAAAAUGUUUUCAAAUGUCCCUGCCGUUAGAAAACUUUAGUUAACAAUAGGUAAAAUACUUAACCCUGAUUAGUUUAUGAGAUAAAUUGACAUUGGCACCCCUCUUAUAUUAUACUAUUGUGGCUUUUGGAAGAACAUAUUUGUGAUGGCAAAAUUGGCAUGUCACUUAUUUGCUAUUAAAAUAUAAACAGUUCUCUAACAGUAACAAACCAGAGGGACAUAUUUGAAACUAUUAGAAUUUUUGUAGAAACAACAUAUAAAAGUUGAACUUUUUAAGGAUAUAUUUGCAAUUUACUAUGUUUGUAGGGACCUAUAUGCAAUUAACCCAAGAAAAAUUGGAACCAUAUUGAACUGAUACAACGCAUUUGAAAAUUGGAAGUAAAAAACAUGAAAAAAAUAAAUUGCUGAGAAUAUAAAAUUCUACCUGAAUGCUAUUUGUUGUCUCCAAACGAAAAAGUGGUGAGGAGUAUCUGAUCUUCAAAAGAUCGACAAAAUUAUUAAGUGUAGCAAGAAUGUGACGUUUCUCAGGCUUGAAGGAUGGAUUGGCCAACCGUGGUUUUAUCCUGGAAUUAUUAUUAAGUAUUAUAAAAGUAGGAAACUUGCAAACUGCCCAAUAAGUUACAUACUAGCACUUUGUUAAUAUAUACCGGAAAAAUGAACUAAUAUAAGUAUACUGCCAGAUGAACUACUAAUAUAUUCUGUAGGAUACAAAAGAUAAAAUCAACUCAUUGCAAUUGAAAUGAUAUAGAAUCCAAAAAGAGGGAGAUAGAAACAUACAGAGGCCAGUUGUUCUCAUUCUUUUCUCUUAGCGGAAGUCCGACACCCCAGUUGUUUGUUUCAUAACUGAAGUCCAGCCUUUUCAAACAUGGGGGGAAAAAUGAACAAAGAGAUGAAGAAAUAUGUGCUCAUAUGAAAAAUAGCUUUUCGUAAUGUUUCUAUGUGGUCGUUUGGAAACCAUUACAUUUAUGUUGUUUAAUGACCAACCUGUUAAACCAAUCACCGGAGUUAUACGAGUCACGAUCAAGUGAUUUGGACCGCAAUAUCUCAUCACCAGCAUGGAAAAAUGGUACUCCCUAUGAAGAUGAAGUGAUUAGACAACAAAAUUUGAUUAGUCUAUGGCCUCAUGAUGGCCUCGCAAUAGCAGUAGAUAAUCAGAGUGCUUUUCGAAAAACGAUUUCAACUUCCAACAGUCAAAAAUUAGCCAUUUCACCGCCGCUGGCGAUUACUCUAGAAAGAGUGAGCAUACCACUGGUUUUUCUUGUAUAAGUUAGCUUUCUGAUUUUCUAACAAGAGCCAUAAGGCCCAUUACUAUGGCAGGCAUGAUUUCUGAAAAGGAGAAAAACUGGUUCCCAUUCCAACAAAACUUACAGUGACGGCAUACCUUAUGAGCAAUUACAGUGAAAGUGGCAAAUCUUUAUAUAAAGUAAGCACAUAUCUGCUUCCUCUUAAUCUUAACAAAGAAUAACCAUAGAUGAUAAAAAAUUAUACAACUCCAUAAGCAAGGCAUAUAACUGCACAGCAAAAAUUAAUUACAGAAAGAAUUGCAAACUAAUGACUAGGACAUGAUAAAAGCAUUGGGACAAACCUGGGACAAUGCUAUGAUGCUUGAGGCCAAAUGAUUAAUCCUACAUCUGUCAUCUACAGAGAGUUCCACUGGAGUCUGCAUAACAAAAAGAGAAUUUAAGAUGAAAGGCUUUUCAUAUCUGAUGUAUAAAGGACAUGACAAAUCUUUGCUCACAUACAUGAAAAAGAAGUGAAAUAUCAGGAUUUGAUGGUGCGGAACCAACAAUUUAUUGCUAAAGAACAUCAAGAAGAAAUUUUGGGAGAAUGCAAUUGGUGAUCAUCAUCAUAAAGAUAUUUUAUUUUGAAUUUCUCUCUACAAGAAAUUAACUAUGGAAUAGCUUGAAGAGCAUUCGUAGACAAAACAGAGCAAAGCCUUUCAACCAUUUUUAAAAAGAAAUGCAAAAUAGAUCAACGUACCUUCAAGCUGACAAUAUCAAACAAAGUCUCAUUGUCAUGAGCAGACACGUAGUUGACCUGAAAAUGAUACACCAACAUCUUUUGCUCAUGAGAUUUGUGUUAUCAAAAGAUGUGAACAUUAUAUACGUUAAUUUCCAAACAAACCCAACGAACAAAUUGAAGUAUAGUGUUGACUGUUUAAAUUUACAAACUAUAUCAAUUAAUGCAAGAUUGAAGUAGGUUAUGCUAAUUUUGUUUAAGAAUUACCUAUAGCUAGACUUACCGUUUCCAUGGGGGACAAAGCAUACCCAACUGGCAUUCCAUCAUUAGUCAGAACUUCUGAUCCUUUCAUCUGUUAAUAACACAUAAAUAGGAUCACUAGUAUGGUUAUAGUCAUAGGCAAAGUUAAAAAUGGCAUAUAUGAAAAAACAGGAAAUAACUCAUGAGACUUCACAGGAUUACAACCUGUCAAUCAAAAAAAUUGUAGAAAAUUAACUAGAAAUAGUUUGUUACUAGCAUGUAUCCUGAAAUUUCUGCAGAAGUUGAGGGCUCAUCUGCACUAAUAACGUGCAAAUAAAUUAAGACACAAGCCAAAGGAUUUCAAGCGUUAAUCUUACAUACAAUACCGCAAACAAUCCAAGUGUUACGGCAAAAGUGGAAAAGAUCUAGUUUGUCGGAUGAGAAAAUAUCAAAAGAGACAAAAAAAAAAAGAAAAAUAAAGUAUACAAAUAUUUACGUGGUUCGACCGCUGGCCUACGUCCACUAGCGAAGUAAUAGUAAAAAGUUUUAUUACUAUCGAAGGCGGAAUACAAAAAUAUAUCUCUCAAAAGAUCCAACUCCCAAAAUAUGCUCGAUGCACCUUAUGCCGUACGUUCGAUAGUUACGAAGCCACAUCACUCACACGCGGAUCUGAUGACUCGGCUCUCCCACUCCAAUGUAUGGCUCGGCUUGGUUCUUAAUGCAUCCGAUGCACCACUACUGCUACUCCUAUGUACAAACCUCCGGCACCUCUUAGCUUUACACCAAACCACACAUGACUUUGAUUUGGCUUAAUUUCCAAUCCACGUGUAGCUAUGUGUAUAUAUAGGCAUCUGGCCCAACUUAAUUAAACUAGUGUUCCAAGAAGCAACUAAGUAGGACUCAACGACCAAUUCUAUCCUCAUUAGGACUAAUUAUACUACCUCUCUAAGGCACAAUAGAUCCAGUCUACCAAUUCACCAACUCUAAAUCCUAAUCUAUUUCCAAUAGAGUUAGGAUAAUUACCUAUCAUGAGUCCUCUUAAUUUUGCUCCACAAAUUUUAGGCCGCAUCACAAAGCAAUUUGGGUCGAAGAAAUUCAAGACAUAUUUAACAAAUCUCCACCUUAACUCGAAUUCUUUGUCUUCUCCAACAAACCCCUGAAGGGGCUCCUUAAGUGCUGCUGCACACACCGACCAAAUUCAUGCAAUGCUUAGACUUAGUAAUCGGAAGAGGCUUAGUCAACAUAUCAGCUGGAUUAUCUGUUGUACCAAUCCUCUUUACAAUAAUAUCACUCUAUGCUACCACAUCACGAACAACAUGAUACCUGACAUCAAUAUGUUUCGUUCUCUUAUGAAAUAUUUGACCUUUAGAAAAGAUUUAUACCACUUUCGCUUUCAUAGUGGAUGAUAGAGUCUCCUGACUAGAAGUAAGCUCUUACUAUAAGCCUCUCAACCAAAUAGCUUGUUUUACAACCUCUGUCAUAGCAAUGUACUCUACCUCAGUAAUAGAUAAAGCAACAGUAGACUGUAAAGUGGCUUUCCAACUAAUAUAACAACCGCAAAGUGAGAAAAUAUAUCCUGUAAGUGACCUCCAUAUGUCCAAAUCGCCAGCAAAAUCUGCAUCAAUAUAACCAAGUAGAGAGUCAUCAGAUCUCUCAAAUUCCAGACAUAUAUUAGAAGAUCCUCUCAAGUAUCUGAGAAUCCACUUCACCACCUGCCAAUAUGUCUUGCUAGGAUUAGCCAUACAUCUACUCAUAACAUUGACAACAUGUGAAAAAUCUAGACGGGUGCAGGCCAUUGCGUACAUAAGACUUCCAACUGCGCAAGAGUAGGGAACAUAUGACAUGUAACUCUUAUCCUCAACCGACUGUGGCGACAAAGCAGCUGAAAACCUAAAAUGGGGAACAAUCGGAGUACUCACAGGAUUAGUGUUUUUCAUUCCAAAACGCUCUAAAACUUUCUCGGUGUAUUUCUUCCGAGUCAAAUACAAUAUCUCAAACUUUCGGACCUAAACUCUCCAUAGCGAGAAUCUUCUUAGCUGCUCCCAAAUCUUUAAUCUCAAAUUCAGGACUUAACUGUGCUUUUAACAUACUAAUUUCAUACAUGUCUUUGUAAGCAAUAAGCAUAUCAUCAAUAGAAAGAAUCAAAUAAAUAAAACUGCCAUCAUCAAGCUUCUUAAAAUAAACACAACUGUCCAACCAUAAACGAGUCAAAUCGCUUAUACCAUUGUCGAAAGACUUUCAAACUAUUUAGUGAUUUCUGUAAAAGGGAGACAUGAUCCUCUUUACCCUACACAAUGAAACCCUCAAUCUGAUGCACGUAAAUUUGUUCUUCAAGCUAGCUAUACAAGAAAGUUGUUUUCACAUCAAGCUGCUCCAACUCCAUACCAUGGGUAGUGACUAAGGAGAGUAAAAUACAAAUAGAGUCAUGUUCGAUAACAUGUGAGAAAAUAUCAUUAAAAUUAAUAUCCUCCAACUAACUAUAGCAUUUUGCAACCAAUUUUGCCUUAUAUCGAACAUCUUCAACAUCUGGAAUACCCUCCUUCUUUUUGAAAAUCCAUUUACAACUAACGAUUUUCUUACCUUCGGGUGGUUCUACCAACUCUCAUGGGUGGUUUUUGUGGAAAACCUUCAUCUCCACAUUCAUUGCAAAGGUUAUCUGUCAAAGUUAACACUAGAAGUAGCUUCUAUGCAUGUGGAAGGCUCAUCAGCAUCAAUUGUCUCCUCAGCUAUCGAUAAAGCAUAGGCCACUAUAUCUAUAAAUCGUUGUGGUGGCUUUAUCUACCUUCUCUCUCGACUUAUAGCAAUAGUAUAUUGCUCUUGUGUGUAAGUUUUUUUUUGCUUCAAAGCCGUCAUGUACCUGAACUAGAUCAGAUGGAGAAAAGAGACCUUUCUACAGAGAUACUGAGUCAUCAGUCUCAAACUCGACCUACUUCUUGACAUCCUCCAACUUCUCUAAACUAGUGUCAACAGAAGACUUCUUUUUCAUGUGAAACAUAGCAGACUAAUCAAACUUAACAUCCCUACUAAUAAGAAAUUUAGAUACUCUGGGACCAGGUACCAUAAUUAGCCCUUCACCUAAGAUGCAUUGCCAAUAAAAAUGCUUUCUAAAGCUUUAGGUUUGAAUUUACCAUUAUUAACACGAACAUAUACAGGGCAUCAAAUAUUCGUAAAGUAGAAUAAUCAGCGGAUUAACCAGACCAUACCUCCUCCAUAGUCUUACACUCAGUAGCUCUAUUCGGGAAAUGAUUUACCAAAUAAGAAAUAGUAGAAAUUGCCUCUGCCCAGAAGUCCUUCUCUAAACCAGCAUUCAAAAGCAUACACUGUGCUCUCUCCAAGAGGGUCCUAUUCAUACACUCCACCACUCUAUUUUAUUGUGGAGUAUGUCUAACUAUGUUGUGACGAACUACACCCUCCUUACAAAAUUCGUCAAACUCGGAUGAGCAGAAUUUCAAACCAUUAUAUGUUCUGAGUUAUUCAAUUUUCUUCCCAAUCUGAUUUUCAAUCACAUCCUUCCAAUGCUUGAAGUACUUGAACAGCUCAUCUUUAUGCUUCAACAUAAAUACCCAAACUUUUCUAGAAUAAUCGUCGAUAAAAGAAAGCAUACAUCGAGUGCCACCUUUAGACAAAACACAUGUGGGUCCUCAAGGAUCAGAAUAAAUAUAAUCCAGAGUGCCUUUUGUCUUGUGAAUUGCAUUAGUAAAAGACAUCUCUUACUUAAUUCAGUCAUCCCACGCUUGCUCAUGUGCCCGAAAUGCAUGUGCCAUUAUUUCAUAAUCUUCGAAAUCUGAAUCGGAAAAUGAGGAAGUACCCGCAGAACUAGCGACAGUAGACCAUUGCAAUAUGUAUAGAUUUUCAUACAUUUCGCUUUCAUCAAAACAAGAGCACAUCUGCUAACCGUCAUAACUUCACCUUCGAGUGGUGUACUUAUAUCCAUUAGCGUCAAGGACACCUAAAGAGAUAAAGAUUUUUCUUCAAAUCCGGAACAUGUCGAAUAUUAGAUACGAGUCAUAACCAUGUCGUCAUGUGUCUUAAUUUGCACUGUUUAUCCCAAUAGUUUUGCAUGAAGAAUCAUUACCCAUCAAAACAAAUUCACCUUUAAUAGAUUCAUAUGUGAAGAACCAAUCCCGAUUGGGAUACAUAUGAUAGGAGCAAGCCAAAUCCAUAAUCAAAUUAUUCUUAAGUUUAUUUUCAUCAGACAUGAAGAGAACAAAUUCCGAACCAUCAAAACUGCUAUUAGCAACACUAGCCUGUACUAGUUUCUCCUUUUUUUGCCCUUAGUGUUCUUCAUUAUUUUUCUUUAAUUCGAAGCAUUAUGAUUUGAUAUGCUCUUUAUUCUUAUAGUAAUUACAAAUCAAAUCCUUAUGCAGGGACCUUGAUUUGGAUCUCUGUUUGUUGUUACAAAUCAAAUCCUUUAGGUCUUCCCUCGCAACUAGGUCCUCCGCAGUACAUUCAGUCAGGCUGCCAUCAAUCUACUUAUCAAUAUGUUCUUUGGAGAGUAGAGACGACUUGACAUCUUCAAUAGAUAGGGUAUCUCUACCGAAAAAGAAGGUUUCUCUAAAGUGCUUAAAUGAAGAAGGCAAAGAACAUAACAAUAAAAGAUCUUCAUCUUCUUCCUCGAUCUUUACAUAUAUUGAUUGUAAAUCUAAAAUAAUAUAAUUAAAUUCAUCAAGAUGAGAUUUAAUAGAUGUACCUUCCAACAUGCGUAGAAUAAAUAACUGGUGCUUUAAAUAUAACUUAGUUGUGAGAGAUGUCGUCAUAUAAAAAGACUCGACCUUUAACCAUAGAGCCAUGGCAGUCUUCUCGUUGAGAACUUCAGGCAGAACCUCAUUAGAGAGACAUAACUGAAUUAUUGUAAAAGCUUUGGUGUAUAUAUCCUCCUUUUGCUCCUCCGUCAAUGUGCUAGAGAUCUUUUGUCCCUAACAGUGCCUUUUGCAACCCUAGUUGCUUUAGAAUUAUGCGCAUCUUAACUUGGCACAGUACCCAACUGUUGGAUCGAUCAAACUUCUUGAUCUCAAAUUUCAUAGACCUCUUGAAUACCAAUAUGAACAAUCCGGUUCUGAUACUAGUUUGUUAUGACAAAAGCAAAAAAAGAUCUAGUUUGUUGGAUGAGAAAAUACCAAAAGAGAUACAUGAAAGAAAGAAGAAAAAUAAAGCACACUAAUAUUUACGUGGUUCGAGCACUGGCCUAUGUUCACGAGCAAAGACAGAGAAAAAACUUCCAUUACUAUAGCGAGGAGUAUAAGAAUAUUUCUAUGAAAAGACCAAAUCCCAAAAUAUGCUUGACACACCUUAUGUCCGACGACCAAUAAUUACAAAGCCAUAUCACUCACAUACGGCUCCCAAGACUUGGCUCUUAAUGCAUCCGAUGCACCACUACUGCUACUCCUAUGUACAAACCUCCAGCACCUCUUAGCUUUACACCAAACCACACAUGACUUUGAUUUGGCUUAAUUUCCAAUCCACAUGUUGCUAUGCAUAUAUAUUGGCAUCCACCCCAACUUAAUUAAACUAGUGCUCCAAAAAGCAACUAAAUAGGACUCAAAGACCAUUCCUAUGAUGAUUAGGACUAAUUAUACUUCUAAUCCAACCCACAGCAGACCCCGUCUACCAAUUCACAUAGGCCAACUCUAAAUCGUAAUCUAUUUCCAAUAGAGUUAGGAUAAUUAAAACUUAUGAGUCCUCUUAAUUUUGCUCCGCAAAACUUUAGGCUGCAUGACAAAACGAUUUGGUCCAAGAAAUUCGAGACAUAGUUAACACUAAGUGAUUCAUUGCUCAUCAACUUAUUACUGUUAAUUUAUUUCAAGAAACUACUAUAUCUUAAAUAUUGAAAAAAUAAUUUUCCCACGAAAAUGUUUGGAUGGAACUUGUUACUGCUAAACUUACCUUUUAUAUGUACCUCAGAUUUUGCCAUGACAAUGUAUACAACAUAAAGCAUAAUUAUACUGUUAUAGUGAAUGAAUUAUAGCUUAACUUUUUUUUUGUUUUGAAAUGACAACGGGGCUAGCACUUAUAGAUACUAGAUCUUUCACCAAAACUACGCAUUUAAUUGGUUAUUCAAAAUCCCUAUCCAAAAUCAUGGUUGUAGCAUGUGGUGAAAACUGUUUCCAGCUGAUGUCCGAUGUUAUAAGGCUGUAUACCAAUCUUAUUGCAUUGCAGCCCACUAUGCAUUGAACAUCAAGGCAUGCAAGUAAAUUACUGGCCCUUUUGACAAAUUAGGAAUUCAGCACAGUAGAGGGGCAAAUAUUUGUCAUAUCGUCUCUUACGGGUAACCCAGUGUGGCAUGUUAGAACAAAGUCCCUUAGAUUUCCAGCUAAUCCAACCUGCGAAAACACAGAAUUCAUCACUCAAAAUUGCCUUCAAAGUUCAAACCUUAUUUAAUGAGAAAGGCAUAAAAAAAGCAGUAAUAACUACUCAAUUGACUAUCACCAUAGGUGUCAAUCCUUGAAUGGUUAAAAAUCUGGAAAUAAGGAUAUCAGCAUUCACCUAAAUGGACCCAAAAGGCAUGCUAUGCUAGGAGGUGAGAGGAGGUUAUGACAGAUGAUACUGAAGUAAAUAGACAAGGAAGUUCACUGAGCAUUAGAUGGUGAUAGCUCAUGCAACUUUGGGAGUAUUAUUGGUUACGAAUAUGUUACAGCAUAGUCUAUAGGUUUACUGUGCAUUCAAAACGCCAAGAGCAACAUUCUUUCCCCUUCAAAAAGGUUUCACAACUCCUAAUUUAAAUUAGAAGACAUACUUCUCGAUUUAGCAUACAAGAUUUCUCUUGCAUGCACUUCAAGAGUGCAGAGAAAUUUGAAAAAUAAUACAUUAGUUUCACUUUCAUGCAAUUUUCAUGUUGUACGGAAGAAAGCUUGAGUCUUAAGCUUAAAAAGAAAAAAGAGAAAUUACAAAAGAGUACAUGUAUUUGCUUACUUCGAUGACCUAAACUUGCAUUUAAAUAACGUUCUGCAUGAAUCCAUGUGGAGUAACUCCAUACAGAAGCAGCAACACAUGGAUAGAACAGCAGAAUAUCGUGGCUACCACGUGAUUUUUCCACACACAUAAAUUAGUCCUUAACCAUAAAUAUUUAACAUUCCUUCCAAUUGUCUUGUGCAUAGCAAUUACUUUUCAUGGAAGUAUUGCACCUGCACCCCCCACCCCCCCCCACAAACAAAUAUAUAAUAUAUAUAUAAUCUAUAUACAUAUAUAUAUAUAUAUAUAUAGAGUUUUUACUAGAAUACUAUCGGUAGUAAACGAGCUUUUACUACAAUUUGUUUUCGAUAUAAGAGCUUCAAUUAACGAUCGUCUCCGUUGAACAUGAUCUAUACCACUUGAAGUGUUAGAAAUCAAAUUUCAAACUCUUUCGACAUCAUUGCCUAAUGAUCAAAGGGUUUCAAAAAUUUGUAAAUUUUAAUGGGUCGAUAAGAGGCGUUUUCUCGUUAACGGCCGUAAAAGAUUCCAAAUCAAUUAAAUUUUGUUCGAAAAUUCUUUAACUAUUUAAAAACAAGAUCUAUGCUCUUGAUCUUGAUACAAGACUCCAAUCAUCAUUAUAUUAAAGAGUAUUCAUUUUCAACCAUUCAUUUUUCUGUUCACUUGAUGAAUAAAAAACAAUAUCGAAAGGCGUGAAAUUGAUUCUAGAUAGUUUAAAUUGGUUUAGAUGAUAUUUAACGACGCGAUCGUCAAUUGGAAGCUCUAUCAUCGAAAACAAAUCGGUAGUAAAACGGCUCGUUUACUACGAUAGUAUUCUAGUUCAACUCUAUUAUAUAUAUUAAUUAAUAUAUAUAUAUAUAAUAUAUAUAUAUAUAUAUAAUAUAUAUAUAAUAUAUAUAUAUAUAUAUAUAGAGCAGCUGGUAUACUAUCGGUAGCACGGAGGCCCCCGUGCUACAAGUUGUUUCAAUGAUGCGGCUUUCAAUCGACGAUCGCUCCGUUUAGACUUGAUCUACAUAUUAAAAAUAUUUAGAAACUAAUUUAUAAUUUUCAACAUCUUUGGCUAGUGAUCAAAGGUCCAAAAGACCAUUUAAUAGGUAAGAUGUGAUGCAUUGUAAAUUUAACGGAUAAUAACAAUCCAAAUCAGAUGAAUUUUUUAUAGAAAAUCUUUUUUUAACAUUUAGAGUAAGAUCUGUACCUCUGAUCUUAAAUUCACGUCUUCUAUUCAUCACUUUUUAUGAGAUUUUUAUUUUCAGCCGUUCAUUUUUAGACUAUCUCGUUUGAUAGAUAAAUGAUAUCGAAAAUUAUGAAAUUUAGUUCCAAAUACUUUCAUAUGUGUAGAUCAAGCUACGGAGCGCGAUUGUCGAUUUGGAAGCGCCCAUCAUUGAAAACAAAUUGGUGCACAACAGAGCCUCCGUGCUACGAUAGUAUUACCAGCCUAGCUCUAAUAUUAUAUAAUAUAUAUAUAUAUAUAUAUAUAUAUAUAUAUAUAUAUAAUGACUGAAUCGCUAUAGAAUAUAGAUAUGCAAUAUUGAGCAAGAAUCUGGAAAUAGCAUCGUCAGAUAGUAAAUAUUUCAAACUACGAAAGUUCAAACUACAGAAGUAUAAAAUUAAGGCAAACAACCUGAAUGUGAUCAGCUGAUGAGGAGAGCAUUCUAUCCGUAACAGAUUUAUCACCUUGAUCAUAUCCAUUAGGCUACACCAACAAAAGAAAAAAAAACCAAAGAAAAAAACAAAGUCAAAAACCAAGUAAUAAUUAAUGAUCACAUUUGAUCACUAUGAGAAAUAAACAUGUGGACAGGAAAUAAAACGAGCAUUUGAACUUGAACUAUCCGAAGAAUGAGUGACCGCUUGGUAGGGUGAUGAAAGAAAUGAAAGAAAUUUUUUUUUUGUUUUUUUUUUCUUCAUUUGCCUCUUGCUCCUUUCCCCUUCUUCAACAGCAAUUAUGUGUUUUCAGUGUAUUCAGCAUUUGAUUAUAACCUAAAUUUUCAAGUCUUAUAGAUUUAAUCCUUUUGCAUAUUUCCAGAUACGAUAGGUUGUCAGUACAAUUGCCCUCAAAACCACUUUUCGGGUAGCUUGCUCAUUCUGUCAUACCAUGAAAUACAACUAAUAUCCAAUCAACAAGAAACGUCCUUUCUAGUUUCCUCUAUUUACCACUCUAAUCUAUAAAGCUUUCUUUUCGUUUAUAAGCUAUCCUUAAUAUGUAUAUACACUGUUUCUUUGCUAUUUAACUCUGGCUAGGAUCAGUUGAAGAUCUCUUAUGAAUCUUCUUCAUGUAUAUGAUUAAGUCUAUUUAUAUUUGAAACAAAAGCAACAGUUUUUCUAUGUCCAGUGUAAUCCGUGGCCAUCAAUAAAACAGUUUUGCGUUUAGUAACAUCAAGUGAAGAAGAAGAAUCUUGUGAUCAAAUCGAUUCUGUGUUUCCUCCAACAGCUUGCAUUCAAUCAACCUCCCCACACAUUUUACAAAACCAAAUACACAGUACUUCUCAACCACCACCUAAUUCACAAAAUGGCCACGUAGUAUAUGAACUCCCACUCUUCAAUUAACAAAAAGAAUUGAACCAGAAAAAUUGAUCCUACUGUAUUCGCUAUUAGAUUUGUAGCUAGAAAUAGCAUAAUGGGAAAAAAAAAAUCUCUAAAGACUGCAUCUCAUUAUAAAAGCAGGAUCACUGAGUUCAUAGAGAACAAAUAAUUUCUAAUUUUGAAAACCAAAAAAAAAAAAAAACCAUUUACCACCAGAAAACAGAAACCAAUAGCAGCGAAAGAAGACAAUAUAGCAGUUACAUCUACCUCCAAAGAGAGACCAGUGACAAAUCCCUGUUGAAGCGGAUUACCAAAUGGAGAUCCGCCUAGAACUGCAUCUCGAAUUCGAUCAUUGAAACUGCAAGUCAGCAGUAGAAGGUUGACUUCAACAUUAUUCAGAACAAAAGACAGAAGCCAAUAAUAUACUCAAUUUGAAGAGAUUCAUUUAGAGAAGUAGGCAAAGAAUGUGCAGGUUGGUACAUGUUAUCACAUUAUAUCUAUUAAUAGCAACAUCUUCCUGACAUGCUAAGGAGAAAGAAUUUAAGUGCAUGGCACUUGCCAGCCUGGUAUGGCAUGAUGUGUGCUAUGUCGUGUCGAGUAAUGUCAUUGACACCAUACUUGUUCACAACGAUUUAAGAGCGGUGGCACGGGAUCAUGCCAACAACUUGCUGGCAUGGUGUGUAUCAUGUCAUGCCGAUGUGUACCAGUUCUAAAAAUACUUGUGUGCCAACACACUUUAACAUAAUAUAUUUAUUUUCUUUGACACCGAUAUGCUUAUUAUUCAUUUCUAUCAAUUUUCUUGUACUUUAUUGAGAUAACUAAUAGUUAAUUUCAAAGAAAAGAGGAUGUUGAGCUGUGCUAUCGGCACGGAGGUCGUAUCAUAUCAAUAUAUUUUCGGCACAAUACAACUCAGUGGACACAACUCGUGCUGAUGGGCACUUAAAAACUUGCUUGGACAUCAAAAUAGUUUGGCAUGACAAAGCUUAACACCAGUAUAUUCUACUUGCCCUCAAUUUUUCUUUUAUCAAAUUCUUUAUACUCUAUUGAAAUAAUUACUUACUAAUUUUGUAAAAGAAAAAAGUUCUGAGCGAUGCCAUCGGCAUAGGGGUCAUAUUAUGCUUGUUGACACGAUGUGGCACAAUGAGCAUGGCCUCUAUUUUAGGAGUUAGAGAGAAAGAGAGAGAGAGAGAGAGAGACCCCCCUUCUCCACUACUAAUUUUUCUUCUAAUUUUCCACUAAACCAGCCUUUCCACCAUCUCUCCUACUUAGCUUAUUUUCUUCCAACUAGCCUUACUACUCUUACAGUCAAAGAUUUAAGUGUCGUGGCACGGGAUUGUGCCGGAAACUUGCUGGCACGGUGCGUGUUAAGCUUUGUCAUGCCAAACUAUUUUAAGUUUUUGAAUUAAUUUUAAGAUUAAUUACGGAUUUAAAUUCAAAAUUUUGAAUUUAAAUCCGUAAUUAAUCUUAAAAUUAAUUCAAUGAAAUAUUUAUUUUCUUUAGCAACAAAAUAUUAUAACGGUUUAUUAUGUAUUUUUAUUAAAUCUUUUGAACUUUAUUGAGAAAAUUAUUUACUAAUUUAAUGAAUAGAGGGUUUUGACUUGUGCCAUCGGCAUGGGAGCUGUAUCUGGGCCGAUGUCUUGUUGGCAUGAUACGGCAUGGUAGAUACGGCCCGUCCCGAUGGGUACUUAUAUUCUUACUUACAGUCACCAACGCAACAAACCACUUACCCACUACUAGUUGCCGGAGAAAAUCAUUUCUUGAUACACAACAGUUUGAGAGAAUACUUAUCAACUAGUUAAGGGCCCGUGCGAUGCGGCGAGAAGAUAUUAUUACAGUAAAUUAUUAUAAUUAAAAUUAAUAUAUAUAUAUAUAUAUAUAGUUCAGCUACUAUUCUCUUAUGAGUAUAGACCUUUUUGUACUUAUAAGUUUUUGAAUUAAUUUUAAGAUUAAUUACGGAUUUAAAUUCAAAAUUUUGAAUUUUUAUUUUUGGGGACUAAAGUGCAAAAUAAAGUUUAGGAUUAUAAAACCUCUUUUAAGAGUGUCAUUUUAUUGCGAUAAAGUCAAGAGAUUUAAAAAUUUGAUUGCAAAAAAAGAUUAAGGACCAAAAAGAAAUAGUUAAAAGGUUGGGACCAAUGUGCGAUUAAUUCUAAAAAAAUGGCAUGUAGGCCCCACAACACCCCCAAAAUAAAGGUAGGCCUUCUUCAGGGUUCACAAUUCAUGUUUAGGUAAGGGCUCGCGCGAUGCCGCGGGAAGAUAAUAUUUUAGUUAUUUUUCACAAUAUAUAGCAAUACACAAAAUAGAAAAUACACUCUCAUAAUAAUACACUCAUAUACAAUUAAAAAAUAAGCAAAAACAAAAAAAAGGUAUACAUAAUUUUUUUAACUAAAAAGCUAAAGCCCAAUGUCUUAUACACUCGGUGUACAACUUUUUUACACCGUAUUUAUAAAAUUUUAUUAUAAAGGUAAAAAUCUAUUAAGUUUUGUAUAUAAAUUUUUUAUUAAUUAUAGAUUGUAUUUAUUAAAUAAAAUUUUAAUUUAGUUAUAUUAACUAUUAAAAAAAAGGGUUGGCCCAUGCGAUAAAAUUUUAUAUUUGGUGUAGGCAAAAAUAAAAAAGAAAAGGUGUUGAAAGAAAAAAAAUAAAAAAAAGAAAAGGUGUAGGAUGUGAGAGAGAGUGAGAGAGAAAAAAAUGUAGGCCCAUAUGUGUGUGUGUGUGUGUGUGUGUGUGUGUGNNNNNNNNNNNNNNNNNNNNNNNNNNNNNNNNNNNNNNNNNNNNNNNNNNNNNNNNNNNNNNNNNNNNNNNNNNNNNNNNNNNNNNNNNNNNNNNNNNNNNNNNNNNNNNNNNNNNNNNNNNNNNNNNNNNNNNNNNNNNNNNNNNNNNNNNNNNNNNNNNNNNNNNNNNNNNNNNNNNNNNNNNNNNNNNNNNNNNNNNNNNNNNNNNNNNNNNNNNNNNNNNNNNNNNNNNNNNNNNNNNNNNNNNNNNNNNNNNNNNNNNNNNNNNNNNNNNNNNNNNNNNNNNNNNNNNNNNNNNNNNNNNNNNNNNNNNNNNNNNNNNNNNNNNNNNNNNNNNNNNNNNNNNNNNNNNNNNNNNNNNNNNNNNNNNNNNNNNNNNNNNNNNNNNNNNNNNNNNNNNNNNNNNNNNNNNNNNNNNNNNNNNNNNNNNNNNNNNNNNNNNNNNNNNNNNNNNNNNNNNNNNNNNNNNNNNNNNNNNNNNNNNNNUCAGCUCUAGGUGUGUGUCUGUCUUAUCUGGAGCACCUGGCGUGCGUAGGGCGAUGAGGGGAGACGGUUUUUGGGGCUUGGAUAAGUGACAAGUCGAAGAAGCAAAAGGCGCCUGCUGGUGCGCACUCCUUUACCUUAGGCGUCGUCGCUAGGAACGAAGGCCGCGGCCUCUUUCGACGCUUUUUACUGCUGCUGGGGUCGCCGCUGCUGCGCUCGCCGCCACUGCUCUCGCCGUUGGUCUUGUCGCUUUUUUUUUUGGAGUUGGCUUUUAGCGACAGCGGCUAAAAAAGUCGCUUCAUAAGUGUCCUUAGCGUUUGUUAAGUGCUUAUUCCAUAAAAACGACUUUUUUAGUACAAGAAAAGGCAUAAAAAACCUUUUUCUACUUUUAGCCGCAAAUUAAGCGUACAAUUUUUCAUGCUCUUAUUAAUCUUAUGAAAUAGUUGUGCUUUCUCUUUAUUGACUCCGAUGUUAAUCAUGACUAACUACAAUAAUCUCUCCUGUUGUGUGGUUAUACCUUGUGAUUAACUACACUUAGUUAUUGUUGAGUUUAAACUUUAACGUAUCUAGUUGACCAUUUAUGGUACGGUGAGCGCCUGUUCUGCGUCAGCCUUCUUUGUUGAAAUAGUGAGUUAGUGCCUUAACUUGUGGACGGGGGUAGAAAUUCAUGCACUAACCAUUUUUUCUUAAGUGUGUUGUAGAUUUAGCGUGAUUUCAUAGUUCGGCAGUGUUUCGAGCUUCAACGUGUUUAGCUCCGUUUCUCCGCGCUGUUAGCGCUUUAGUAUCGUGUAUCCCAUUUAACUUAAGCGCGAUAUUUCUAUUGCUUCAAAAAUCAUUAAGUUAUCGUUUCCUAGGUUUUUUUUUGUUACCAUUUAGUGAUUUGCAUGUUUCAUUGGAUCAACCAUUAUAAUUUUAAUUAACUUUUACUCUACGUAGGGUUUUAUGAUUAUAGUAUAUAUAUUCCUUCCUAUCGAUAGUAUUAUAAUUCCCUAACUUUAUUAAUUUUAUAUAAAUUUUAUUUUUUCAGAAAGAUGGACGGUAGAUUAAUCAUUAAUCUAUUUAAAUGUGAGAUUCUGGUAUAUAGAUAUUUUUUAUUCUUUAAAGAAUAUUAUAUUAAGUUUUUACUUUAUUUGAGAGAGUAAGAGAUCUUUUUUCUGAUUUCACACGAAGGAUAAAGCUCUUUAUAUUAUCGAUAAUGGUUGGAUUUAAGAGUUUAAUAAUAUAUAUUUCUUUUAUACUUUUUCGUAAAUCUUUUUUAAUUAAUUUUAAUUUAUUUUUUUUUAUUAAUCUUCUAUUGUUUUUCUCUGCUUUACCAAGUUACGUGAUCUACAUAUUCUCAUUUAAAUGAACUUUUACUCUACGAUAGUGUUUUAUGAUUAGAGUAUACCAAUUCCCUCCUAUCCAUAGUAAAUCUAACUUAAUCUGACCUUAUUAAUGUUAUGGUGAGUUAGUGAAAGUUAUCAAGAUGGACGGUAGUUCAACCGUGAUAAAUAGAUAUGUGAGCUUACGAGAUUUAUAGAAAGAGUUUGAGCUCUCGUUACUCUAUUCUUUUAUAAUAAGAUUUUAGAUUUUUGUGAGUAAGAGAUAUUGGAGCUGAUAUAAUACGUGUGAUAUUAAGAAAUUAAUAUGAUAGUGAUAGAUUGGAUAUAAGAGAGACAUCUGAAAGAUUUUUUUAUAAUUUUAAACAUAUCAUAACUUAAUUUUAAUUUAUUUUUUUUUAUUACGUUAAACUGAUUUGCAUGAUUCAUUAGAUCAACCAUUAUACAUUUUAAUGAACUUUUACUCUACGUCGGGUUUUAUGAUUAGAGUCAAUAAUCUCCCUCCUAUCCAUAGAUAUAUAUAUUCUCUAAUCCUUAUUAAUUUUAUAUCAAUUAGAGAAAGAAAGAAAGAUGGACGGCAGAUCAAUCAUAAUAUUCAGAUAUGUGAGAUUCGAGUAUCGAGUACGUUUUGACUUUCGGCCAUGAAGACGAAGAGUCAAUAAGUUUUUAUAGUCGAGUUAGUAAGAUAGAUUGGAGCUGAGAUAGAAAGAAGGAUAAAGAAAUUCUUUUGAGAUCGAUCGAUAUGGAUAUACUAGAGAAUUACAAAAGAUUUUUUUAACUCAUUUUAAAAAUAUCAUAACUUGAAUUUAUAAUUUAUAUUUUUUAUUAUAUUAACAUAUUUAAAAGUUUUUGACUUUAUUAUACUGAUUUUUUAUACUGUCAUUCUUGGUUUGUGUCUUUAUGAUGUAAGAAUCUUUAUGUUACUUAUCUUUAUUGUAAGAGCCUAUAUAAAGAUGAUGUUUAUUAAAGAAUAUCACGCUUGGUUUGUGCGAGAAUUUCAUUUUUUUAUAUCGCAAGUGACAUUACGGCUAAUUACUGAGCUCAGUAAGUUAAAAUGAAGUAAAGCUUAUACUGAACUAAGUUCGAGCUAGAGUGUACUAGUAGAGCUUACACUGAGUUCGGUGGAUUGACAAGCACGGUGUCUCAUACUACGAAUAGAGUAAAUUUGGUUGUUCUACUUAAACCUUCUCAAUCAUUGCAUCCGAGCUGCCUUCAGACUCAAAAUGUUCCACUUGAGACCAAUACUUUUGAUUUGGUGAAGAUGAUAUUAAUUUAGUUUCAUUUUUACGAUAAUUUGAGAACUGAAAUCUAAAUUAAACUUUGUUCAUUAAAAUAUAAAAAUUCAUUAUUUUAAAUUUUUUAUUAACACUUGUUGUUCCGCGAAAUAACUGACGUUGUUUUUAAUUAACUUAGUACUCCUCGACUAACGUAAUCAUGCUACUGAGGUCGGCGUCAGCGGGAGUAGAAAUAAUAUAAAAUAAUAGCAAAGCAAAAUUUGACAGAGAACACUAAGGAAUUAAGACUUUUACUUUAGGCGCUGUUUCCCGGGGUCCGGGGGUCUGCUCACCGCGCCCACUCGGCUAGGUGUGCACCGGGGUGUCACUUUACUGAAUCAAGGAGGCGGCUGGGCCUAGCGCAGCAUGGAAUAAUUAGGUUUUGUGCAAAAAGUAAACGAAGGGGUUGUUCAUUUGGGCGCUCCCCAAUACCUCGUGCACCUUGUCCUUCCCCGGCAUUGGCGGGCGUUUAGAGUAGCACGCGCGCGCGCAGGCCGCGCCGCAUCUCAAGCUGCCCAGGGUUCAAACUUCGGAAGGGAAUUUAUGAGGCGAGAGAGGGCCAGAGGGGACCAGGAAGGUUGAGUUUUUAGAAGUUGCGGGUUAUUAUAAGGAAGGGCAUAUAAAGGGUGGGAUUUGGGCCGGAUAAUCAAUUAAGCGUACGAGUCGUCGAGAGAGUGAGGACUAAUUAAUUAAUUAAUUAUAGCUAUAGCUAGGCGCGCGUAAUAAUCGAUCAGUGUGGUAUUGCCCGUACCUGCUGAGCUGGAGUAGGAGGAGAUUACCCACGAGGGGGUGGCUCGCGAGUGGCCGGCGCUUCAGGGGCACGAGCAGUAGCAGGAGGAGCGACGUGCGCGGGCGCGGGUGCGGCAGCGACUUCGCGUUCCGGCCUUCCUUCUUCAAGGCCCUCUGCGCUGUGGGCCACAUGGCGCCGCACGCCAGGGCCUUGCCCCCCUCCACCCACACGCUCCACGCCCUCGGCGUAUUUUUCUCGGCCUAAACCGAGCCCUGCAUAGGGUGCGGGCUCUACCGCCGCGCCCGCGUGCUGCACCGCCGGGAGCGUGAAGCGCCGCUCCGCCGCGGGGAGUUGAAGGGCCUGAGGCACACCUUCGACGGCGCUCGCCCAAGCCCCAGCCGCCUGCUGCAGUCCAAGCGGCGGCGCUUUCGUCGGCUCUACAAGGCCGGAACACGCGACGUGCUUAGUGGUGGCGACAACUUCACCCUCUGUAGCAGAGGUCGUUUCUUCGACGGCCGUGGCGGAAGCUGACUAGUCCCGACCUAUCCUCUUCGGCUACUCCUCUUCCACCAGGCUGGCCGCCGACACAUAAACCUACUCCUCGACCACAAGUUAUACGUCCCUAAUUACCUACUGUACCGGUUCCCCUACUACGACUGAGGCGGUCGAGACGCUUCCCGCAAGCUGACCCUACGUCUGCUUACGCGUCUCCUAACCUGUGAAACCCGACUAAUUUUAUAAUAUGCAUAUAUCAAUGAGCGCAGUAAAAAAAAAAAAUUUAGUAAAUAAAUAAAUAAAUAAAUAAAAAAGCGACGUUACGGUCGAUGGUCAAAAAAAAGAAAAAAAAGAAAAAAAAAAACUCUUUAUCCAUCGUGUGAUGGGCAAAGUAAAUAACAUAAAUUUUUAUUUGAAUCAACCUUUACACUUAGUUGAUCUUAAGCUUGAACCCAAAGCUCAUAAUUGGUAGUUUAGGAAACGGUGAACGAGAUCCCUGCCAGCCAUCGAUGGUCGUAAUCAACGACUUGACGUACAUCUUAAUCAAUCUUUAAUUUUUGUAAUUCUAUCUGUCUGUCUGCAAAUAAAACAGAAAACAACUUUUGUUAUUUUUUUCUCAUUUCCAUCUCAAUGUUAAACCCCGGCGAUAGAGACACGUACAAGAUAGGACAAUACUACAUGUUUAAACCUUCUAUCAAAUUAUAAAAGAAAAAAGGGGGAAAACAUUCUUUUUUUUUUGUUUUGUUUUGAACUAUCAACUAUGGUCCAUUAUCACGAAAUUAAGAGUUCGAAAGAUGGACAACCUAACUCGUACCAAACGUUAACGGUCUCCGGAUGUCCGAUAUGUGGGUGGCUCAACCGGUUCUUCUCCUAUACUAGGGGCUUUUAUUUCCCCGGGUCCGGGACUUUGAACUAAAAGCUCUUGUUAGGUGGUCUUAACGCACGAUGCCAAUUAAAACCCAGUCAAAUAGUUAGGUCGAACCGGGUCAAUCUUGUCGAGCUAAGUCAGGGUCCCGCCUCAACCCAGUCCCUGAGCCCACGGAAUUUGAGCCUAGUGGAAGCCGGGUUCAAAAAAAGCAAGCCGGAGUUUCUCCGGGUCGGUCUGGGUUGAGUAACUGUCAACUACGCGAUAGGGAGAGACGAAGCGUAAGGGGAGGCAGGUGACCCUCUUCCUUUUUCUUUUUCUUUUUUUGUUUUUGCUUUUGUUUUGUUUGGACGUUUUUCGUAUAGUAUCUCCGAACGUACUCCCCAAACGGGUACUAGGUUAAAUCAAAAAGUUAGGUCCGUAUUUUAGUUAAUCGAGAAAAGCUGAAGCUCUCAAAAAAAAAAAAAAAAAAAAUUUAUUUUUCAAUUAAGUUCAGACGUUGGUUCCGAUAAUCCACCUCAAAUUGAUUUUUCGAAAUAAAAUUGGCGAGAUAUAUUUAAAUGGAAGAGUCUUCGAGAAGGGCUCUGUUUAACUUGGAUAAAGUUAAAUCUUAAGGUCUGAUACGAAGUCGAGUACGUUACCUCUCUGUUUCUUUAGGUUACUUAGAUAUUUUCCUGAUACGUUGUACGUAGUAAAGGCGUGAUCGUACACGUCGCAGUCAACGGAUUCAACGGAAGAGAUAAUAUAUGUAUGUAAGUUAUCUUGUUAAUUACUAUCGGCGGGAUGUCGGUGUAUGCAACAAUUGAUUUGGCACUGUCAAAAAGAGAGGUAGAAAAUGGAAGUUUUUUUUUUUUUUCUUUUUUUUUAUUAUUUAGGUAAAAAUUUUAUUAGGUGUUUUAGUUACUCAUCCAUUAUAUUGCGUUUUUCGAUAGGUUUGAGGCAUGUGGCAUCGUGCUCUUUGAGAGCGACGACUCACGACCGAACAACGGAAAAGAUAAUGGAUAUCGUAGAUCUCUUUUGGUGCUACCGUAAGUUUAUAUACUUUUGGUAUCCAUGCACAUCCACGUGUAAAGAAAAGUUGCUGAGUACCGAACGUUAGAGUCGUAAGUAGUUUUUUUCUUUCUUUUUCUCUUUUUUUCGCGUCUAAUUAGCUCACUUCACGUCAUCGGAUCCAGGUAGUUGGUCCAAUAACUUCUAGAGGACGUCGACUUAUCGCGUCCUCGAGUUCAACAAAUUAAAAGUCGUCCUCUAACAUUAGUUCACGAUCGAGCAGUGUACUAAGUAGUUUUACCCGGUCGCAUUUUCCUUCGUAGUAUUCAUGAUCGACAAAAGCGUUCCGUGAGAAAACGGAACCCGUCUCCGUGCUUUUAGAAGCGAAAUUAGUUAACGGCACAACCGAGGACUACUGUAACAGAAAUUACCGCUUGAUUAACAGGAAUGAUUAACAGGAAUUACCAGGGAGUUUACCUUUCUUCACACCCUUAAUGUUAUAGAAUAUAAAUGACAGCAAAAAGGAACGCCUUCCUUUUCCCUUGACUUCUAUUUUAUUUACGACCCCCGAUUCGCCGUGGAGACCCGAGACCGGAUUCGUUAGUAUUAGUCGUUUGUCUCUUUCCAUGUUCUUUAUGCCUUCGGCUGUAUUUUAUAAACCCCGCCAAGUUAAUUUUCGAUCGAAAAGCUUAAGGAUCAAAUUGGAUAAACACCAAACACGGUACCUGUGAAAAACGAAAUCAACUUGAUUAGAAUCUUACAUUCUAAAGAAUCAGGAAAGCAACAGUAAUUAAAGUAAUUUUUUUUUUCUAUUUAUAUACCUAUCUUACUCAUGGCAGGAGGUUGUAUCUAUCACAGAUGCAGACCUGACUUCUCUUAAAAUACAGUGAUAAAAGGACUCGAUUUUGAUCACCUUGAUUUUGGUUUAUACCUUACCUUCUUGUAUAUAUAUAUAUGUGUGUGUGUGUGUAUAUAUAUAUAUAAUGAGAGGGAGGUCCACAGUGGACCUCCCUCUCAUCCGGUCCACGAGGCCAAACCGCGCACACCCGCUGUUCCCCUCCGCGCGCAACACCGCGCCCUCUUGCUCCCGGCACGCGGAUAGCCUCUGGCGAGACGGGAUCGUCGCUGCAGCCCUCUUGCUCCCGGCGUCGGCCAAGGCGGCGGAGAAGGAGGACGACGACGACGAGAGUGGAGGAGGAGAACGACGAGAGCGGCGAGAGGGGUGGUGUUGGAGGUGGAGGUGUGGGAGGUGGUGGUGGUCUGGGAGGAGAUGAGGCGAGAUGGAGGAGGAGGAGCCGGCGCCGAGGUUGGCGGUGGCGGUGAGCUGCUGGCGACCAAGUUGGGAGAGAAAGAGAGAAUAACUUAAGGGAUUAGUAUAAUAAGGUAGGGGCAAAAUAGGUAUUUUAUUUAGGUUUUAACUCUAGUAUACAUUUAACCCAUGUUUAACCCGAGUAAAGCUAACAAGGGAUAACUGGGGGGUAUUUUGGAAUAACGGUUGAACAUAUGAGGGGUAUUUUAGAAAGAAAAAAAAAAGUAGGGGUAGAUCGGAUAUUUCCAAAUGUAUGAGGGGCAUAUAGGCAAUUAUCCCUAAAAAAUAUGGUUGGUCCAUGCGAUAAAAUUUUACACUCGGUGUAGGCAAAAAAAACAAAGGGUGUUGAGAGAAAAAAAACAAAAAAAGGGUGUGGGAUAUGUGUAAGAGAGUGAGAGAGAGAAAAAAGUGGACUGGGCCCCACCUCUUUGCUUGAGGUGGCUGCCGUACAUUAUCAACUAUUAGAAAUAGGGUUGGUCUAUACGCUAAAAUUUUAAAUUUGAUGUGGAAAAAAACAAAAAAGAGAAGUUGUGAGAAAAAAAAAUUAAAAAAAAGGGUCCAGGGUGUUUGAGAGAGUGUGAGAGAGAAAAAAAAAAAAGUAGGCCCCACCUCUUUCCUUGAAGAGACUAUUGAAAAAUAGGGCUGGUCCAUACGCUAAAAUUUUACACUUGGUGUAGGCAAACAAAAAAGAAUUCAAAUUAUAAAUUGUAUAUAAGUAUGUCUUAUACCAAGGUUUAAAGUCUCGAGCCGGUGCGGCACGUACCGUGCCCCUAAGAAAGAGGCACGGUACAGGGGGGGUCUCGGACCCCCCCUGUGUGCCGCGGCACCCAUAGCGUGCCGCUCGAGACAGAGCGGCACACGGCUAGGUGCCGCGGCAUCGUGCCGUGCCGAACAGUCUUUUUUUUUUUUUUUCCUUUAUGCANNNNNNNNNNNNNNNNNNNNNNNNNNNNNNNNNNNNNNNNNNNNNNNNNNNNNNNNNNNNNNNNNNNNNNNNNNNNNNNNNNNNNNNNNNNNNNNNNNNNNNNNNNNNNNNNNNNNNNNNNNNNNNNNNNNNNNNNNNNNNNNNNNNNNNNNNNNNNNNNNNNNNNNNNNNNNNNNNNNNNNNNNNNNNNNNNNNNNNNNNNNNNNNNNNNNNNNNNNNNNNNNNNNNNNNNNNNNNNNNNNNNNNNNNNNNNNNNNNNNNNNNNNNNNNNNNNNUUUUUUUUUUGUUUUAUCUUUUUGCAAGUGUUGGUUUUGUUUUGACUUACAGUAAGAUGCUUUUUGGUUUUCUUUUUGCAAGUGUUGUCUUUUUGGCUUGGUUUUCUUUUGACCUACUCCCCCCUUUGCUUUCUGAUACUUUUUCCUUUCUUUUUUUUUUUUUCUUUUUGCUUGCAUUUGUUUCUUUUGACUGUCAAUCAAUUUUUUUUUUUUUUGUCAUUAUUCCCCCUUCCCCCUGUGGUCAUGUUCCCCUCUGAUACUUUUUCCUUUCUUUUUUUUUUUUUUUGGCCUUUUUGCAUUUGAUUGGUUCUUUUGACUGUCAAUGCUUUUUUUUUUCUUUUUUCUUUUUUUGUCAUGUUCCCUCUCCCCCCUCGUCUACUUAAGGCAACGACCCUAUCUCUUUCUCAAGCAACUUCCCAAUCACUUUCUCAGGCAACUUCUCUCUCCCUUUCUCGGCUAUUCUCUCCUUCACUUUCUGUCUUUUUUUUCUUCUCAGUGCUAAUAUAUCUUCCUAAAAUUUAUUAAAAGGAAGCAAAGACGUUGCAUAUUGUAGAUUUGCGUAUUAGGUAAGUCAAAUAAAUUAUAAUUUAAUUGUUUUAUUUAUAAAUAUAGGAGUUAAUUUUUAUUGAUAUAUUCAAUCCACCACAAACAUCUAUUUUCUUUUCACAAUUUUUUCUUCUACAUCAGGUAUAAUUGUAUUUUACUUACAAAAAGCUUACAUGCAAGAGAGAGAGAGAGAGAGAGAGAGUAUGUGCAGGAUGUGGGAAAAAAAAUUAAAAAAAACAGAGUUGUAAAAAAAACAAAAACGGAUGUGGUACACAUUUUAAAAUAGCGUACCUGGUUGAGAUAAAAAAUUAUCAGCUAUAAUGUUUUAAUUUUAAAGUUUACCACAUUUUUUUUAACAUGUGGUUCACAUAUUCUGUUCCAAAUUUCACGGCACCGUGCCCCCGCACGGCCGUGCCGGGACCGUGCCAUGCCGUGCCCGUACGAACGCAGGGCUGUGCACCGUGCGAACGCACGGCUGUCUAUGCGUGCUGGAGGAUGACCGUGCGAAACCGUGCCUAAAAAAAGUCAAAAAAACUAAGGUUAUUUGAGAAUAUUACAAUAAAACUUUCUAAAUUUAUUUAUUAAUAAAUAUAAACGAUAUAUAUGGAAUAAUAUGAGUAGUUAAUUGUNNNNNNNNNNNNNNNNNNNNNNNNNAAAAAAAAAAAAAAAAAAAAACAGAGGUGGGCCCCACCACAAUUGCUGGAGAAGCCAGCCGUACCUUUUCCGAGUUCCGGAUUCAUGUAUGGAUAUAGAUGCUUCUAUGCAUAUAUAAAGUGAUUAUGACUGAAGAAGUACCUUCCAAUCCCAGUGCCACCAAUGUUCAAUUGGGAUGCAUUUAUUCCACGUUGGUUUCUCGCGACUUCACCAAAAUCCCACCCUUCACCAUAUCUGAGGUGAUACACAUUGGUUUGAAAUGUAGAAAAAAUUCUUUUAGUGUCAUCUCAAAGAAAAACUAAUUUACUAUCAAACCAUUGCAAUUAUUAUCUAUAAUGUUGAGAAUUAGUAAGACAGUCCCAACCCUUACAUGUAGAUCUUUGUACCAUCUACUCCAUUUUUAUCCUUUGUUAGGCUCUGAAGAAGAGACUUUGCUUUUACCUAGAUUCACAAAAAUAAUCAAGAUUCUGUGCAUAGGACAAUUGAUUAUAUAAAAUGAUUUAGUCAAGACAAUGUACUAACUAUUAAUAAUUUAACUUGAACCACAGGUAACUAAGUAAUGAAAAAGGAAAUAUACAAGUAGCACAUAUCUUUAACAACUCAAAAGACGUAAAAAAGGUCAACCUUAUGCUAGCAGCCAAGUUUACUCAGGGCUACUUACCAUUGUGCUCUUCAUGAUGUGUCCCAUGAGAUCAAAACGAAAUCCAUCAACCUAACCAUGCACACACACUGAAGUUUUAAUUUCCAGACUAGAUUAUAGAUGCAGAAAGAAGGUAAAAUUUACAUCCAUAGACUCACUUUAUAAGCCACCGCCCAGUAUAGAAGAUCGUCCAAAAUUAGGCGCUCUACCAUGAAGUGCUCACUGGCAGUAUUAUUCAUGCAAGUGCUAUUUUCGAUGCCACCAUCAGCAUUCCUUCGAAGGUAAUACCCAGGAACGACCUGUAAAAGAGUUUGAACUAUCACUAAGAAGCAAAAAUAGAUAUACAAAUAGAUAUUCCUUCAACAGCAUAUUAGACGUAAGAAGAUGUAAGAGAACAUAAGUAAAUGUAAGAAGAGAGCAUUGGUAAGCCCAUUUUCUAAAUCCUAAAGCACACAAUGGAAUCAGGACCCAUGUUAAUGGAUCAAAUCCACCGUCAAAAAAAACAACAUACUUUGACCAGUCUACCAAGGGAAGCAAAAAUUGCUCAUAAACAGUCCAAAUACAUUACUGUUUCCACAGUUCAACAUUAGUUUUCAUUACUCAAGUGUCAUGACAAGACCAAGUGCGAGGUCUGGCUACAAUUGGGAAUCUUGAAGGCUCCAGGUAAAAUAUAACUCAUUUGGCACCCAAUCAUUUCAGGUUAGUUUAAAUUUUGUUAUCGAAUAAGCCAAUUCUAUUUUAGAUUUAGUUCUAUCAACUUAACAUCAUGUUUGGGGUCGUCAUUGCUUUCAAACUUCAACAAAAAAAAAAAUUAAGACAUCAAACAUGUUAAUACUCUUCAGUAAAAUAGGAGUGGAAAGAGAGAAUCCUACACCAUGCAAAAGACAAAAAUCAAAUCUGCAACACUCAUAGAAGCGUUUCUUUGACUUCCAACAAAUUCAAUAUAACUAAAAGCAAUAUAUCAGUAGUGUUAUGAACACAAAAUUAAGGGCAACUGUCAAACAAGCUUCAAAUCUUAAAUUCUGUAAUUCUGAAAAUAGCAACAGAACACAGAAUAAAAAAUGAUGCUAACCUCACCCCCAGAUACAAGAUCAUACACUAUACUAUCUCAUGAACCAUCAGUAGCAUCAGGAAGGUUCAGCACUUUAGAUUUAAAGACAGCAGCAUAUGUUGAAUACUUGUGGUCGAGAUAUUCUAAUUUACUGAAAUAUAACUUUUAUUAAAAUUAAAAUUAUUAGAUGCAUGCCGACAUAUAAAAGGGUCUCUAUACAAGGUCCAUACCAACUCUACCUAGUGUUGGCACUUGAUAUGCCAAUGGCAAAUAGGCAUGCGGCCACACCGCAGCAAAUAAAUCCAUAGCCCACUGUACAUACAUCACAAUACCUACAUUCUGAAUCUUUUAUAUCAGAUCAUUUGUUUUUGUAUUUUCCUUCACCCAUAAGGAAAUGGCACAUAAAGCAUAUGGAAAAUAAAUAGUCACAGAACAUUUUAGGUAAGUGUCAUAUGGAAAAUAAAUAGUUACAAAACGUUUUGGUAAGUUUGCGCAAAAUUAAAAAGUUCUAACCUUGUCGAGAACAGAGUUAACAUUGAAGGGACCAUUCUCACUUAAGUGAUUGUAUACAACAUCCAGAACAACACGAAGACCAAUGCGAUUGAGGGCCUGUCAUGCACCAUUUUAGUUAGAUAAGUACCUAUUGUCUAAUCCAUUUCCAAUUUCCUCAACCAUGUUAGCCACCUAUCGUCCUUUUAAUCAAGGAUUUAAGUAUCCAUCAGCACGGGCCGUACCAUAUCGUGCCAAUAAGAUACCGGCACGAUCUAGCUCUCGUGCCAAUGGCACAGUUCAAAACCUUUUUUACUUUAAAUUAAUAAGUAAUUUUUUCAACAAAGUUCAAAAAAUUCGAUAAAGAUACAGAAUAAGCAACUACAAUUUUGUUGCUAAAGAAAAUAAAAUUUUCAUAUCAUUAUGUGUUGGCACACAUAUAUUUUUUUGUGACCGGCAUGCAUUGGUACAGCCGGCACGCACUAUGCCAUACCGUGCCAGCAAGUUUACAGCACGAUCCCAUGCCACGGAACUUAAAUCCUUGUUUUAAUAUUUGAGGUUCGUUGUCAAUAGGCACAAAACAAGAGCCCUCCAAGAGUGUUAAGAACAAUGGCCUAUGUUGAAUGAACAUCAAAGCAAAAAAUUACACCUGAAUCAUCUGCCGAUAUUCGAGAAUCCGACUAGGACCAUUUGGAUUGCUAGCAUAGCUUCCCUUUGGAACCCCCCAAAGCACAGGAUUGUACCUUUUGUUUGUUUGAAAUUGCCAAUUAUAAGCAUAUAUGGAAUGACGUUGAGAAAUUAGUUAGCAGUUGACAGUCGAGACUUGGAAGUAAAAAUAAGAAUAUUAUACCCCCAAUUGUAACCAUCUUCAUCCUGAACAGCUGUAACUUGCGCUUGUUGCUCAUCUGAAUCUGGAGGAAGUUUUGCCAUUGCAGCCUCAUCUGCUCGAGCGAUUCAGAUGACACAAAAAAACCAAGUUACGAAACAAGAGGGACAGUAAGCUUCAACUGCAAGCAUGUUCAAAGCUACACUCUGAUUCUCAUCUAUGUAAACAAAUGACAAGGUAAGAAAAAACAGCAAAAAUACACAAUAAACUUCCAGUAGCUUUAGCUGAAGCAAUUUUUAUCAUAUUUAUACUAUUGAGGGAAAACAUUUCCAACACAUAAACAAUUGUGAACUAUGAAUUGAUAUCCAUGACCAACAAUUUUUCAAAAGUAAAUCCAUUUUCCAAAAGUAAAAGCUGUUUAGGAAACAAUCCAUGCUAAAAAAAUAUACCAAAUAGGCUUCAGUUUUAGUCUCCCAUGAUCCAAUAGUCACAAAAUCCAAAGCAUAAUACAAUCCAAGACAAAAAGCUGCUUCAAAAGCAAUCCAAACACAAAAGACACAAAAUUGACUUCAAUUUCAGUCACCGAUGCUCUAAUAUGUACCAAUCCAAAGCAUAAUUCCUUGUUUUCAGUAUAAUUUGUUCAAGGUUGAAUUUCCUGUGCAUCAUUGGCUGUAGAAAACUAUUUGAACCUUUCUGCUAUUUUCUUAUCUUUUUCCUAAGCUUCUCAAAUGUUAAGGUGUCUUUAUCUUUAAAUCCUAAACAAUAAGAGCUGACUAAAAAAGUUUUAUGUGACUUUAGUACCAAAGAACAUUUAUGAUAGCCUACAUUAAAGCUUGAGGACAAUGCUUAUUAUAUAUGAUAUACACAAGAGAAAGCAAGGUGCAUUUAUACAACGAAAACCAAUGAAAAUACCCAGUUUCAGCCAUUUCAGCCAUUUCUAGCAAGAAGUUUCAUAGCAAACACACAUUUUAGUAGUCAUGGAUAUUAGGGAAACUUGUGCAUGCAGUCAAGGCUUCAGCUGAGUAAAGUAAAAGUGCAAAAAUGCAAGUCAUCCUGCAAAUUUCCGUAGCAUACAUCUUGUGCCUGAAUUGGCAUAAUGACGAUGCUCCACAUUUAUUACAUUACUAUAAGAUUGAUUAAAUUAGAAACCAUAAUAGACAUGGCACUUGUUUACAGUAUACAUAACAAAAAUUAAUACUUUUGUUGAUGCAUAUUGAGUCGAACAGCCAAGGAUUCAUGUCAAAGAGAUGAUGCUGAACAAAUUACCAAAAAAAAGGAAAGCUGAUGGACUUAAUUAUUCGCAACUUAACUAUUUACCAAGAUAUUUCCAGUUACUUUGAAUAUCAUCAACACCACCAAAAUGAAAACUUGGCAGAAGAUGCACAUGGGUUAAACCAGCAUCACUCAACUUCUUAAGAUGAGAUACACCAGCCGAAUCCUGUGUAAAGAUUUAAAUAAUAAUGUUUAUCUGCUCAUAUUAUGGCAUGCUUAGAUGAUGUUAUCAAUAACAAUAGUAUGACUUGAAACUUUGCUGCUUAGAAUGGGGUAUCUGCAAGAUUUAUCUAAUAAUUCAUCAAGUCAAUAUAUUAAGGGAAAAACAAAAAACAAAACAAAAGGUAGUAGGAUGUCGGGUUACAGACUGCUUAUGGUGUGAUUUUAGUAGAAUCUUAUCUUUAUUGGAAAACAAAGGGGCAAGGUAAACAUCCUAAUUCUCUUUAUUGAUGAAAUUAAUAGACGAAAACAAAGAGGGCUUGGCCUCUUAUGUAUAAGCAUCUAGAAACUCUGAUUUGAGUAGAAGUACUAAUCUAAUAUGAAUCAAAGUAAAAAACUAAUAAUAAUCCAAAAUAAAAAAGAAAUUAAAAUAAAAACUGCAAUUCUAAUAUGAAUAGGUGAUUGCAAUAAUUUCCUCUCCCUUAAGACACGCCUUGAUCGCAAGGUGCGAGGUUAGAGUAAUUCCAUAUCAUUUCAUCUUUCAUCCUCCCACAUAGCUUCAUCCUGCUGCCGCUUGUUCCAUCUUAUUAGAAUCUCUGUCUUCAUUCUCCCAUCAACUCGACGGCAUCGCCUAGUGUAACGACCCGACCUGCUAGCAACAAUAACUCGUUGGGCCCAAACCACCGGCCCAAAAUGCUUAAAUCCAGUUAUUAUUACUAGCGUGUAGACCUCAUAUAUUCUAAGCAGAAUCAUUUUCCCAUCCGAUGUGGGACUAGAAUCAUUUUCCUAUCCGAUGUGGGACUAAUGAGGCACUACAAACUCCCCAUUUUUAGAUCUUGACGUCCUCAUCGGUUCCAAACCAAACUAUUUAGACCCUGAUAUCCUCGUUGGGUCCAAACCAAAUCACAUAUGCAGACCAAAAUUACUAGACGAUGUGAGAUUCUAGAGGUGUCUCCUACAGGUUCAAGAGGUAGCUCCCACCAAAUCCGUUGGUAUAGCACUUUGUCCCACAUAGAACUUAACCUAUAGCACUUUGUCCCACAUAGAACUUAACCUAUAGCACUUUGUCCCACAUAGAACUUAACCUAUAGCACUUUGUCCCACAUAGCACUUAGCUCUCACACUUUCGGCUGGUAUUCAGAUCCGAUACCAAUUGUAACGACCCAACCAGCUAGCAACAAUAACUCGUUGGGCCCAAACCACCGGCCCAAAAUGAAUAAAUCCAGUUAUUAUUACUAGCGUGUAGGCCUCAUAUAUUCUAAGCAGAAUCAUUUCCCAUGCGAUGUGAGACUAGAAUCAUUUUCCCAUCCGAUGUGGGACUACUAGGGCGUUACACCUAGCCCAAAAGUUUGUUGAAAUUAGCAUAUUUUCCUCAAGCUCGUUGGGAAGCUCAAUAGUAGCAUCGGAUUCUCCAUUGUAUGGCUUAAGUUUUGAAACAUAAAAAAUGUUGUGAAUAGUCACCAUGGAAGGAAGUUCCAAUUGACAAGCUACUUUACCAAUUUUUUCAACAAACUAUAAUGGUCCGUAAAAUUUAAGAAAGCUUCCUAAAAUUUUUGUUGUUGGAUGCUCAACUGCCGGUAUGAGGGAAGUCGUAGGAGCAUCUAAUCUCCAAUCAUCUAAUCUCCAAUCUAAACCGUGCGCUCGCGAUACUUGUCGUCAUAAACUUGCUUCAUACGAUUUUGUGCCGCAUUAAGAUACUUUUUAAGCACUCUUAUUUGUUCAUCCCGCUCAACUAAUUCUGCAUACAUAGCAUCUACCGGAGUAAGUCGGAAAAGUCGGAGGUGGUCGACCAUAUAGAGCGUCAGACAAAGCAGUAUUUAUCGAUGAAUGGUGCAAGGCAUUGUAGAACCACUUUGCCUAUGGCGAAAAUUGAAUCUAUUUCUUAGGUUGCUCACCGAAGCUUCAAUUUAGCACCUCUAUUUGGCAACCAGUUUGAGGACGAUGAGAUGUGCUCAUGUGAAAUUUAGCUCCAUGCAAAGCAAAACACUUCUACCAAAAAGCACCGAGAAAUACUGGAUCACGAGUAGAUACAAUAGAUUUGGGCAUGCUAUAUAGCUUAGCAAUAUGGUCAACAAACACCUGUGCCACACUUCGCGUGGUGUAUGGAUGAGAGAGAGCCAUGAAGUGCGCAUAUUUGCUGAGCCGAUCAACUAUUACUAUAAUCACAGACAUUUCUUGAGAUUUCAAGAGUCAUCCAAUGAAGUCCAUAGAAAUAUCCUCUCCAACGCACUCUGAAAUCGGCAGGGGCUGAAGUAAGCCUUUGGGAUUGGGCGCCUCGUACUUAUUUUUCUAACAGACGGGAUACUUUGAAAUAUACUCCUUGAUGCCUCUAUAAAGAGAAGAAGUCGAAGGCUCUUGCUACAACAGCGUUCGGCUCAGAGAGCACUUUUUUCACACAUACCUAGCUAAUAGAAACUUGCUCCAAGUCGUUUGAAAGUCUUCAAAAAUCCACCAUUCGUGAAUGGUGUGUCAUGAAAGUUAUGUAGAACAUUAUUUUUUUCACACCAAGUCCUCGCCUAGUACUAUGUGACCACGAUAAUAUAUGAAUGUAUCUCGAAAUUCAUAUAUUUCAGGAGUACUAGCCGAAUCUUCUAACUAGCUUUUAAGCUUUUGAAGCUCCUCAUCCUGAAAAUAGUUAGUACCAAUGUCGUCCAAAAAAGAACAAGUUGGAAAACUUACAACCAUGAGCUCAACCAAACCAAUAUCACGCCUCGAGAGAGCAUCAAUAGCGGAGUUCUCAUGUUCCUUCUUAUACUGGAUUUCAUAGUCAUAUCCCAAUAGUUUGGAAAGCCAUCGAUAUUGUGCAAGAGUAGCAAUUUGCUGCUCCAAGAAGUAUCUAAGGCUCUGGUAGUCGAUGCGAAUAAUGAAAUGUCGACCUAGGAGAUACAGCUCCCACAACUCGACAGCAGAGAUGAUCGCUAGCAUUUCACAUUCAUAUGCUAAUAUGGGUCACAAUCGCCCCAUUCAGUGCUUGACUGUAAUAGGCCAAAGAAUGAUCAUUCUGCGAGAGCACUGCCCCUCAGCCUUUUUCCGACACGUCUGCCUCCACCAUAAAGGGGCUAUCAAAAUUUGGCAUGCAAGUUGUAACACCCCAACUUCCCAGGGGGUCACUCAUCCUAGGACUACUCCCGUCCUAGCAUGCUUAACUCUCUUAACCUCUGGGGCCUAGCCACCACCCAAAAUGCUUAAGCCGGGUUAAGAGUUUAGCCCUAUUAUAUCUCAUAUAUAGGACUAUCUGGGGUCUCACAAUCUCCCCUCCUUUAAGCCCUGAUGUCCUCGUCAGGCUCAGACUCACAAGUACCAGGCAAUGUGAGACUCAUCUCGCUAGCCCGUCAUCCAGACCCUGGCUCAGCCGAGACUCAUCUCACACUUCCGGCUGGUAAUUGGCUCUGAUACCAUCUGUGACGCCCCAACUUCCCAGGGGGUCAUCCAUCCUAGGACUACUCCCGUCCUAGCACGCUUAACUCUCUUAACCUCUUCGGCCUUGCCACCACCCAAAAUGCUUAAGCCAGGUUAAGAGUUUAGCCCUAUUAUAUCUCAUAUAUAGGACUAUCUGGGGUCUCACACAAGUACGUGCGUAAUCGUCAAUGCCGUCUUUAGUCCUUCAAAAGCUCUGGUAGCCUCCUUAGUUCAUUAAAAGGUGUUUUUCUUUAAUAGCGCUAUUAACGGAGCGGUAAAGGUGUCAUAGUUUCUAAAAAACCGGAGGGAGUAUCCGAUAAAAUUGAGAAAUCCCCGAAGAGCUCGUACCGAUAUCAGGACAUUCCGCUCCACCAUUGCCUUGACUUUCUCUGGAUCUACAGAAAUAAUGUCAGCUGAAAUAAUAUAACCAAGAUAAGAAACAAAAGCAACUCCGAAAGAGCACCUAGAUUGCUUGACAUAUAACUGGUGCUCACGCAGUAUCUGAAAAGUAGCUCGAAGAUGAUCCAGAUGCUCCUUCGAUGAUUGGCUAUAAACAAAAAUAUCAUCAAAGAAGACUAAGAAUUACUUUCACAAAUAGGGCCGGAAGACAUCAUUCAUGAGGCUUUAAAUGUCGAUAAAGUAUUAGUCAAGCCAAAAGGCAUGACUAAAAACUUAUUGCGCCCAGCAUAAAUCCAGAAGGCCAUUUUAUGCAUGUCAUCUGGAUGCGCUCGUAUAUAAUGAUAUCUAGCGUGCAAAUCAAGCUUGGAGAAAUAGGGAGCUCUGUUUAAUUCAUCCAAAAGUUCACCGAUAACCGGAAUCGGAUAUUUGUCUUUAACUAUAACCCCGUUCAAUUUUCAGAAGUCGAUAUAAAAUCGCCACGAUCCAUCCUUCUUCUUCGCUAGUAGCACCGGUUUUGCAUAUGGACUAUGGCUCGAUUGUAUAAUAUCAGAAGCAUCUCCUUCACUUCCUUUUCAAUCUCUAUCCUAUGAAUAUACGGGUAGCGAUAAGACUUAACAUUUGCCUGAGUCGUACCUAGCACAAUCGGAAUGCAGUGAUCGUGCAUUCGGGGUGAAGAAAGUCACUUUAGUUAAGAAAAAACAUUAGCAAAUUCUUGUAGAAGUUGUUGCAUUUCAGCAUUGGCCCUUCUUUUUCGCGCUGGAUGAGACUCCAUCGUCAGCUCGAGUUUAGACGUUAAGUUCAUGUAGAGGCCUUUUUUCUCAAUCUCUCCAAGACUUUGUUUAUCUGCUUGCAAUAGCAAGAAAGCAGCACUAGAAGAAGAAAGUCAAAAAAUUUCGUCAAGGUAUACCUUCAAUUUGCAUCGAUUCUUGAGCUUUUAACUCCAUCGGUCGGCCAUUAUGCCUGAAGAGUGAAGACCAUCUGAAUACUAUUGAAAUUCAACGAUACGUUAUCAAGGGAUUGAAGCCACACUAAUCCAAAGAUAACAUCAGUGCCUUUAAGAGGGAUUACGAAUAAGUCAGCGUUGAAUUUCUGGCCUUAAAGUUGAAAGUUAACUCCUUGGCACUUGGAUUCACAUUUUAAUUUUUCGCUCUUUCACCAUCAAAUCAAAAGAAGUAUUCGGUUCGGCUUCUAGUUUCAAGUUCUUGAGGAUGUCGGGAUUAAUAAAAUUGUACGUGGAACUAAUGUCGACUAAGACAGAGAUUGACCGAUUUUAACACUUCUCUGCACCAUCAUAGCCUAGGGAACAGUGAUAUUCGAGAGUGCAUGUAGUGAAAUUUUUGGUGGUGCUGAGUCAGACUCUUCAUCUGAUGUCUCCUCCUAUACGACUAGCUCAUUAUUGCCCUAGUCAUACUCAUAGCAAUUAUCAUCAUUGACCUUACUGUCUUCUAUGACAUAAAGGUGUAGUAUUUUACACUUGUGGCCUGAAGUCCACGGCUCAUCACAAUUGUAGCAUAGGUUUUUCCUUCGACGCUCAUGCAAUUGUUCUAUGUUAUCUUGCGUGACUGCACAAUUUGCCUCUUUGGUUUGGCAAUUGACAAUUUGUGUAAAUUUUGUCGCUUAGAUGUGCACCGAAAAGGGAGACUAUUGGUUACUUAAGUUGGAAGACAACUCCAACCAAUACGAUCGUUGUCGUGCAAACCACUCCUCUACUACCCAUGGCUCAUCAAAUGCGUCUAAUAAAAUUUCUAGCCAUUUUACUUAUACCUCAAUUUUAAUUUCCUCACGUAAACCACCAACAAAGGCUCCAAUGAGGGCACUUUGGGGCCAAUCUCUCACCGUGUUAUUCAAUCUUUCAAAUUCUACUUGAUAAUCCUGUAAUCAACCUUCCUGUUUAAUAUCAUGCAUUGCUAUAUCAAAAUUCUUAUACCUGGUAGUAGCAAAUCACUUAGUGAGGGCUUGCAAAAACUGUCGCCAAGACAGAGUUAUGUCUAAUUGAUUUUUAUACUACAUGUACAAGCAAACUGCAUCACCUUCCAAGUGAAUCGCUACUAAUCUGACCCAACCAUCAUCAAUUGCAUCAUGAUAGUAUUGCUCUGCUUAGAAUAUCCAACUGAUUGGAUCAUCACCGUUGAAUUUUGGAAAGUCAAUCAAGCAAUUCGGGCUUCGACGCCACUUCAACCUCCUACCUCCUAUUGUUGACGGCCUCGUAGCCUUCCGUGAAUCCUUUAGGUUCUUCAUCAUCAUUAUAUUUGAUGUCAAUUAAGUGCUCAUUGAAGGCCUCCCUCAUCGUGUCCAUAUUUAUAUCGAUUAAGCGCUCAUUGAUGGUCGCGUGGUGAGACUUGGUUUUCUAUUUAACGCUCAAUAGCUUGCAAGGUAAUUGGAUUGGCUCCGAGGCGAAUUUCGAACCCUUCAUCUAGGACUUGUUUGGAUUUGCUCGUUGUUGUAUUUCUGGUGCUGACAUCGAAGAGUCGUCUUUCGAUAGAAAGCUAGUGCUCCAGAUAUUGAAUUCUUGCAUUAUCUACAAAUCAAGGUAUGUCAUGCCAAAAUUUGUUAACUUUGACGUUGUUCCAUGUUGGGACUUAGGAUCGUCCUGCAUGUGCUGUCAACAAAAGUACACGAACAAAGAAAUAGCGAAAAAUAAUAGAAAAGAAAUGCACAAAAAAAGACAACGAUUUACAUGAUUCGACAAGUUGCCUACGACCACAGGAAGAGCGAGAGAGAUGUAUCUCUUAUAUCAAGGAUUUAAGUGCCUAUCAGCACGGACCAUAUAUACCGUGCCGUAUCGUGCAAAUAAAAUAUCGGCACGAUGCAACCCCUGUGCCGAUGGCACAACUCACAACCCUCUAUUCUUUAAAUUAGUAAAUAAUUUUCUCAAUAAAGUUCAAAAUAUUUGAUAAAAAUAUAUAAUAAACAGUUAGAAUAUAUUGUUGCUAAAUAAAAUAAAUAUUUCAUGCUAUUAUGUGUCGGCACACAUGAAAUUUUAAUGACCGGCACGCAUCGACACUGCCCGGCACCCAUCUUGCGACCGCGCCGGCAAGUUUCCGACACGACCCAAUGCCACGGCACUUAUUCUUGCCUCAUAUGAAGAAACCAAAGUACAACCCACACCUUUAUGUUUCUCUCAAUCAAAAUUCAAGAGUCUUAUGGUUAUUGCCACCCUUCCCUUGCUACAAGAAAAAAAAUUCCUAUCUUAACCUCAAAUCGAUUUUCCUAAAAAAUAGAGAAAAACUCAACAAGCUACUAAUUAAGUUCAUGGGCUUCACCCAAGGAUAGAAGUUCCGCCCGUGCCGUACGGCACGGGAGCAUGCCGUACCGUGCCCCCAAGAAGGGGGCACAGUACAGGGAGGGUCUCGGACCCCCCUGGGUGCCGCGGCACAUGGCCGCAUGCCACACAAGACAAAGCAGCACGCGCCCAUCUGCCGCGGCACUACCGUGCCGCUGCAUACCUUUUUUUUUUUUUUUUUUUUGCUUUUUUUUUGCUUUUGCUUUUUCCUCUUUGGAUCCCUCUCAAAGCAUAUGUCAUAUGCUCUUUGGAUCCCUCUCAAGUGCUCUUCACAUCAUGUCACAAGCUCACAGCAUCAUGUCUGAUGCUUUUUUCUUUUUGUCUUUUUGUAAUUUUGUUUUUGUUUUGUUUGGUUUGGCCUUUGGGUAACCUAAAGGCCCAUGAUCUCACAUAUAAAUUCAUACAAAUCCCCUCCCCCGACCCACGCACCCCAUCUUUCUUUCCUUCUUAUUCUUUCUUUCUUCCCCCUUUCUUUCUUUUGCCGAUGCUUAGCUAUCUUCUCUCUCUUUUUUUCUUUUCAGUUCUUACAUAUCUUCCUAAAAUUAUUUUUGUUCUCUUUUUUUCGUCGCUUGAAAAGGAAUCGCUUGAAAAGAAGGCAAAGACAUUUCAUAUCGCAGAUUUGCUUGUUAGGUAAGUCAAAAAAAUUAUAAUUUAAUUUUUUUAUUUAUAAAUAUAGGGGCUAAUGCACGGUGACUGUUAAGAAAAUUGAUACUGAGGACAAUCCGACGGAUAUGUUUACUAAAUCUCUUACUAUUGCCAAGUUCAAGCAUUGUUUGGACUAGGUGGCGGUUGGCAGCACUUGAGGCCCUAUGGGGCAUUUGGAGAAGACGGAGCACGGAGCACCAGGGAGCAUUAAGAAGUAUUGAGGAGAAUUUAAAUCAAGGUGGAGUUUUGUGACAAUCUCGACAUAGCAGCUAAACUAGAAAUCAAACCAAGGUGGAGAUUGUUAAAUUUGGUUUAGUAUCUAAAUUUGGAAUUAAAUCCUAAUGUAAUUGGGAUUAGAUAUAAUUUAUAUUUAAUUUGGCUUAUAUGGAUUAUGAGUAGGAGUCUAAUUCUAAUUGAAUUAGAAUUAGACUUGUGUUUGGAAGUUCAAUUAGAUUAGAGUUCUAAUUAGACUCUAAUUUGGAUGUUGGAGCCAUACAAUGUGGCUAUGUUAAUGAGGCCGGUGGGAUAAUUAAGAAGCCAUGCAUAAUUAAGCUCCUCAAAAUUAAGCCCAACCCGUCUGCAUUCUCUGAGGUUGGCGUCCGUACGGCAGUGGCGACGUGGUGCGCCUUGGUAAAAGGGACGAGCCACUUAAGUUUUUUGUGCGGAUGCGACUUUCGGCGUUUCGGAUCUAAUUAAGCUAUGGUCUUUUUGAGAGAUUAUCUUUGUACUCCGCCUUUUGACAUAAAUAAAGUCUUUGCUCCGUCUUCGCCCGUGGACUAGGCCGUUGGCCGAACCACGUUCAUUUUCAGUGUGCUCUUUCCUUAUGUUUUCUUUUCCUGCAUUAAGUAUUUUUUCUAUAUCUAUUUUUCGACGUUCCAAUUUUAACAAUUACAGCUUUGCCGUUGGGGUACAUAAACAAGGACAGAUCACAUGGUUUUGUACUGGUCAACUUUGAGCUGUCGAGUAAGGAUUGCAUUUCCUUGACCCCAGUGGAAAAAACGGAUAAUGAAUGUUCUAGUGGGCUAGACUGAUCAACUAGUCCAGGUCCAGAUGGGCAUUCACAACUUCAAACCAUAAACCAUGACAUCAGCCUGAGCCAACGAGAAAACCAGAGUGUGUGUAAUGUCUGUAACUUCCCUCUGUCCCUCAAUCCUCUCCUCUACCCUUUUUUUAUAUUAUGCUAUGUGUGCCAUCCCUCAUGUUCGUAUCUUAACUGGGCAACCUUCUCUUCCAAACAAUCCCUUCGUCGCUAACACUGGUAAUGUCCAAUAAAAAAAUAGUUUCUAAAAGAAAAAAGCCCGAUAAAAAAAGUUUCUAAAAUAAAAGAAUGAGGGAUCUUGUUGUUUACUUGUCUGUUAAAAAGCUAACUAAAUAAGUCAGGGUGAAGAGAAACUUGUCUCAAACAACAGCCCUACCUUCAGAAGCGUCAUUUCGGUGCCAUGCAAAAAUUUAAAAAAAAAAUUGACUAAAAUUAAAACAAGUCGAAAUUUCUUAUCUAGACUCAGAUUAGCUUGACUCAGGCUCAAAUAAGCCUAUUUAGCCGUAAACGGCUCGGUUUAAUUUAAUACAGUGCAACAAGUGGCUGAAAUCACUUCCGGAUAAGCUAGCUAGCUCACUGCAACCCGUACAGAGGUCUUGUUGGCUUGGAUGGGCCAAAGCGAGACCCCUCAAUACCAUAUAAAGCUACGUAAGAUAGGUUACAGCUUGGAGAAAUAAUUAAGCCGAUUCCUAAUCUUCUCAUUGUAAACAACCGCUACAAUCAAGAUAGAAUGAGUGGGGACGCAAGAGAAUGACGAAAACCCUAGGUUUUCGAUGCCACGGUGAAGAUAGAAUGAGGGACAACGAAUUGGAAGAACCCUAAUCCUAGAUCCAACGUGAACGUGUCUCUUCUUUAUCGGAGAAGAGAACCGGCAAGGUAAAAACCUUAAUUCUCUUUAUUGAUGAAAUUAAUAGAUGAAAACAAUAGGGAGGGUUUUAGCCUCUUAUUAUAAGCAUCUAGAAACCCGAAUUCGAGGAGUAAUAAUCUAACAUGAAUCAAAUUAAAUAACUAAUAAUAGUCUUAAAUAAAGAAGAAAUUAAAACAGAAGCCCUAAUUCUAAUACGAAUAGGUGACUGUAACAGAUUUAUUUGGAAUUGUUUCUCAAGUGAGGCCUAAUAAGUGUUUCCAUAGAUCACAAGUUGUAACAAUUGAUAUCCAAAAGCGUUAAAAGUUGUAUAAAAUGAAAUAAACUUUCUGCUGAGUGAAAUCUAAGCAAAUUUUGGUCGACCGAAAUUUUUGUAGGUUACAGUACAAAUCAACGAAUUUAACAAGAUCCAAACACAAUAAUAGUAGUACUAACUAAAAGACUUCAGUUCAAGGGCUUUUUGUAGAUAUUGCACAGGGAUCACUCUAAGGAACCCACCAAGUUUAUCAUACAACAAAAAAUAUAUUAAAAAAAUAUAUUAAACAAAAAAUAUAUUAAAAAAAUGUAAAAAAGAAAAAGCAUGGCGUAAAGUGGUAAGUAAAUACUAUGAUCUCUACCUGGGAGGUGAAGGCACGAUAACCUCCUCGAGAAUCAGGAUCCACAGUGUGGUCGCUGGCACUACAAGUAAAUCAAACUUACAGCGUAAGAUUUAGAGUCCAAACACAUAAAUGAGAAAGAGAACUGGAAGAAACAACGAUGAAUAUCAAAGGCAUUAAUAACCUAAAUGAACAUGAAAAAGGAAUUAUGAUCUCAUGAUACCCAUACAAGAAAUUGCUUGUCUUAGUAAGUUCAGCUAUAGCUUUGACGCGCCCCACAAGGGCAAGACCUCCACAUUAAACACAACUUCAGAAGGCUUUUGCUACCAAGAGCUGAUACAAAUUGCUCAUGGGACAAAAAAACAAUCAGCACAAUGAAACAACCGCAGCUGCUAGUUAACCAAGCCCACUUGUACAAAAUUUUCUGCUAGAAACGUUGCCAUUUCUGUUGUAUCCAUUAGCAGUGGUUUAAUUUGUAGCCUUGCUAGUAAAUUACAAAAUGGCUUCUGUUAGAUUUAUAAUGGCAGGAGUGGGGCUCUUAAGGCCCAUGAUAUUAAUUUAACAUGUAAUACAAGUAUCAACUAAGGAUUUCUUGGGCCUCCUGCGCCUAUAGGCACACAUCAUCCAUUAAGCAUCAAAGAGUAAGAUCAGCUGAUGGCUGCUCAAGCUAGCCCUGCUCGUCCGCAUGUUAUAGAUGGCACUAGGUUUUAGACCUCAUACGUAUCUUGGAAAGUUCAAGUCUCACGCUUGACUUGCUCUGAAUUCACAUAAGAAUUGAAAAAGAAAGCUGAUUCAGGAAUGACAACCUUCAAAUUCAAUCAUGUCGCACAGAAAAAAAUAUCCAUAUAUAGAUUUAGUCUGACACUUCAACUAUAAUUAAAGCUCUUCAAUUUAACAAAGAAAAUUGAAACAAUUUUAAUCCAGACUCUCUAAACUUAUUUAUUAAUUGAAAGGUUCUUUGAGAUUGGAAAGAUUCAUUCAAAUAAAACCCAAAAAACAAGACAUACUGCAGCAACGAUAAUGAUUGCCUUGAUGCUUAUCCAUCAGCUGAACCAUGGAUCUAUCGAUAAUUGACUUAUAUUAGUUCCACAAUUGAAGAUCCACGACUCAUUCUUAUGGUAUGCUAGAUUGAGAGGUGAUUGGCAUGGGCAUUUGAUCCAUCAGGUUUUUCUGCUGAAACUUAAACUAUCUCAAUAUAAUUGUAAGCUCGUACUUGUAUAAAAAGAAAAGGAAAGGUGCUGUUUAGUGUUCUGUGAAAACCUCAUCACUAUAGUUCCUCUUAAGUAAAAGGAAACAGCUUCAUGAUCAUGUAACAAGGUUUUUCAAGAAAUCUAAUAUAGCAUGGCAAAUUUCUCUGUAAAUACAUACAGUUUAAUCUUAAGAACGAAGCUACAACUACCGUGCCACUAGCACAGCACACCACUGGCACACUAGCAUGCAUUGUCAUGAGUUUUGUAAUGAAAUAUUCAUGAAAGUUUCGAUUUUAGAGUGUUUUAAAAUCUCUAACGGCUACAAAAAUAGCUUAUGUUAAAUUUCACACAACUUAGUAAGAAUAGAAAUACAUAGAUUUUAACAACCGAAAAAGAAAAUCAUAAUCUAUAUAUUAUUACAGUAUAUGUAUGGAAAAAUACUUUUAAGUCAUAGUUGGGUAUAAUUUUGUAGGAAAACAGUAUCAUGGGUAAACUCACUAGAUUUAAAAUGAUAAAAGAAAUUGAUGGAAAUCAUCUUAUUCAUGUUUUCUCAAUUAAAGUUGGUCUCAUUAUAUGCAAUGGAACUCACUAAUUUCUCCAAAUGUUUGUAGAUUUACAAGAUCUACAUACUCAAAUAUGGUAAAACAUUUCUAAAAUUUUUCACCUAAAAAAAAAAGAAAUUCAAAAAGGCCCCAAAAAACUUUUUAAAAAAUUAUCAGUUCAGUGUUGACAUGACCAUGUGCCACUUGUCGGCACGGUAAGACAAAAGUAUGGAACAGUUGGCACGGGCAAUCCUUGGUCUAAAGUUUAGAUUAAACGGAUUGAUCAGAAGUAACUAGAAAAUUACCUAAAAUCCCGAAUAUGCAACUCAUAUAUGCUGAUAUCAGAAAAAGAAUGAAGGCUUGGCUUUUGAUCUGCCAAUUCAUCCCAGCCAGCUGGUUUCAAAUCUUCACAAUCAAGAUCGACCAACCAAGUCCGCUUUCCAUCUGAAGAAAGCCUACUCCAACAAAAUGUUUAGAACAAUUAAACAAAUAAAAUAUGAAUAACUGUACAGAAGUUGACAUUUUACUAUAAUCAAUGAUUUGAACGAACCCUCUAGCAUAAGGAUCAUUUGAUUCACAUUUCUCAAUUCUUGAAGUACUUGGAUGAUACACGGAAAGUUCAUAAACAUAAUAGCGGCCUGCCCAACUUCUUGGACCAACAACACUCCAAACACCAUUUAGCUCCUUGAGUUGGAUGCACUCCAGUGGAACCCCACCUGAUGGAUCCUCAUAGAAACACGCACUCACAUCCUACUUUCAUAGAAUGUUCUUUUAGCAAAAUAGAACACACUAAAGUAUGAAAACAUAGUCAAUGUUUAACCGGAAAGAUGUACAUGUAUCAUACUUGUGCUGUAGGAGCCCAAAGAUAAAGUGCAAUUGCUUCCUUACUGAAUACUGCACCAAGUGGACCAUUAUAUGCAAACAUGUCAUCUAAGACUCCAGGCAAUUGGAGACCAGUAGCAUUCUUGCAUUUCCCAUUGGCUGCAUAUUAGGAAUUAAAUUAAUAUCAAAGAAACAAAUUUUCUCAAGCAUAGAGAAGCAUUCUAAUUAGCAAUUUAAUCGACAACUACAGGGAAAUUUUGGACAAUGAAAUAACCCUUUUUAUCCCUCUUUCCUAAAAUAUACUUUUUACCCUCUUUUGCAACAGAUCAUUGGAUGGAUUUUGGAACAGAUUUUAUCAAACUCGUUAAAGUUAGCUCUAACUGAUGUGCUGUUAAUCCUCAUUGAUUGAUGCCUGUUGCUUUGGAAGAAAGGCCAAAGAAGAUAGAAAUUUGAAGAAACAUAAAGUAUGAAAAGAUAGAAAAUCUGCAUUCCAAAAUCCAACGUAUAAAAACUAUUGAGUGCUAGGUUUGUCCCACCACGCAGUUUCUCACAUAGAUAGUUGUCCUAUGAAUCACUUCCUUGAAAUCAAUAGAAUUAAAAAACCAUAAAUAAUCCACAAUUUUAGGAAAAAGGAUUAAAACUUGCCAUAAAAAGAAGCAACAGCUAACUGGCUUUUCAGAAGGUUUUGAACAUCCGAGUUUGGAACCUUAAAAGCUCUGUAAUCUUUAAUAUGAGGAAACUUCUCGGUCACCUGAAAUACAAGUCAUUCGUGAGAAAUCUGACCUCACAGGCAUAAAUUCUACACUUUUCUGCAGACAUGCCAUGCUUUCAACACAACCAGGCUCAAGUAUAUCAGAAUAAUGGCAUGCAAAUGCUGAGCAUCUGUAUCAAGAGAUUGUAAGAUUUGGCAGAAAAUCAACAGCUUACGUUUGCCGGAAGCGCACAAUGAUCUGGUUCAAGCUGAAUUUUCACAUCAUAACCUAACAUGAAGAGAAAACAUGGUUCAGCACCAAGAGAAAUUUAUAUAAUCUCCGUAAAAACAAAGAAAAAUGACAAAAGGCAGUUGUAUCUGUUCCUACAAAUGGAAAUAUAUAUCACUACUACAUAUCUAGGUACUUAUGAUAAACAUACAAAGAGAGAGGAGGGUGAGAGGAGAAUUGAGCUAGCAUUUCGCUGAUAUGACUAAUCCUUGGUCCUAACAGCAGGAAACUAAUAUAGAGUUUCUCUAAAACAAGAACCAAUACUAGGGUACCAAUGAACUAAAGAUAAUAUAUUUGAUAAAAUAUUGCUCUUUGAACCGUUGCCAUAAUUGAGUGAUAUUAAUUAUGAUAAAUUUGACUCGAACAUGUUAUAAAUUUACAAAAGGUCAAUUCUUAAUCAACAUUCUUUAAUGUUCCAAGUUUAUUUAUUUAACAACUUUUUUUUUUGCAGGAAAUUUAAUUUUUUUGCAGGAAAUUUAACAACUAUUUGCAAUGUCGCAAUAUUGAGUUGAAUCAAAGCAUAUUUUGAGUUGACUACCUAAACUUUGGAAAUUGUAAUUUUACUAAAUCAGAUCUUGACAGUAUUCUCAACAUUUUUUGACAGAAUGUUCUGUAACCUUAAGGAAUUUUCCAUUACAUUACGGAACAUCCUAUACUUUCUUUAACAAUCAUUAAGUUCCAAAAAAACUUACUGAGAUAUGUAAAUGUAAACUAGUUACAAGGAUUAAAAUAGUUACAAGGUUAAGUAGUAAAUCAAAAUUUUAAAACUAACAUGCGCAUUUCAAAGUGCAUCACCUCUUACAUUUUUACCAAUUUAAAAAUGAAAAGAAAGCGUUAAGUAUGCAUUCUCCGACCUCCAACGCCGUCAUCUGAUAGGAACAUGUUAGCCUUUUUGCUAGCAUAGAGAUAGAUAGAAUUAUCAUCCUCAUCAACAUUCCAAGCAAUGAGCGAUCUUGCAACCCAAUAAGCCCUUGAAUAUGACAAUAAGUCCUGAAAAUACAAUCCCUGAUAAUAAGUUCACCAGUACAGUAGAGAAAGGUUGAAACACUAGAGAAAGGCUUGUUUGGCUAUGCUGGACCUUCUGUAGUAUUGUUGUUUAAUAGAACUAUUAGAAGCCCUUCAACGACUUCUCUUUUUUAAUGAAAAGUAGAAGUUUUAAAUUAAAACUUUUACUUUUGGAGCUCAGAAGCUCAUUUUCAAUCCCCGCCACAACAAAGCCUUAAGAAUUUUUUUUUUUUGUUUGCAGCACUCUUAUUGAGGCGAUUUCAGCUUUAAGCAAAAGCAGAAGCUAGUCUAAGCAGGCUAUUAACCAUUUGUCAGGAAUGUUUUUUUUUUGAGAGAUAGGUAGCACGCUACCCGCUUCGUUUAUUUCAUUUAAAAAUAAACUUAGCCAGAAAUGUGAAUCAACUAGGAUUCGAACUUGGGUCUCAGGUACCAACCACCAAGCCCUUUGCCACUUGCUCUAGAGACGGUCGGUCAUUUGUUAGGAAUGUUGAUUGAAGAGUUGCAAUCUUUCAUUUCUUUCUUGGCAAAUGAAAAGCGAAGCAUUGUCAGGAAUGUUGAUUGAAAAGUUGCAAUCUCUCAUUUCUUUCUCCACAAAUAUAAAGCGAAGCAGAGAAAGGUUGGCGAGAAUUUGGUUAAAACAAAACUUAAAGGGCAUCAUUUACAAAGUAAUUUGAACAAAUGCCACUCCAAAUUUGACACAAAAAAUGCAAAUUGCAAAUGGCAUUCUCAAUUACGCUUUCCCUGCAGAAACAUCACACUUGCAAAAUGCAAAAUCAAACUUUCUAUGCACAAUCAAAUCAACAUCGAAUCUCCAUGUAAAUUGGUGAAUUAAUGCCUCCCUCCUCGGUCCCUGUGAUUCUAAACUAAGCCAAUUGUGAAACAUAUGAAAGAGCGCGGCGCAGAGAGAACCUGAGAAAGGGGGGACUCGGGGAGAAGAGUGUUCUCCAUGGUUGCGGAGGCGGUAAGGCGACGACUCCGGUGCGAGAAGCGACCAAUGGAGAGAGAAGAGAGCGAAGAAGAAGAGGAAGAAGAAGAAGAAGAAGAAGAAGAAGAGGGGAGUGAGAGUGAUAAGGGGAGGGUCUUAAAUGGAGAAGAGAGGAGAGGUUGAGAGGUAGAAGAAGAAGAAGAAGAAGAAGAAGAAGAAGAAGAAGAAGGGGUUGGAGGGUUAAGGGGGAGAGGGAGGGGGGAUAAGGGCGAGGAGGCGACGGAGAAGAACAUGGCGUUCUCUUUUUUCGGUUGGGGGAUGACGACGGGAGGGAGGGAAGGAGUGACGCACCGGCGGUUUUGAGUGAGCUCGGCCGCAAGCCUGCAGGCUGCAGGCUGGUGUGUUGGUUUUAAAAGUUUCGGCUGGUAGCAGAAGACGUGUGGGCCGUGUGGCGUGAUCUCUGGCACUUCCGCACCUGGCUGCGCUACUGCGGUCAGUUCCCUCCUCCUCGUCCGUUUCUUGAAAUAUCUUUUCUUUAUUCAUGAAUAGUUUUUUCGAAAGAGAAAUGCUAGCUGUACACUAUAUAUAGACUUUGAAAUUCAGAUUGAAUAGAUUUUUGAAAAAAUUUGAGUUCAGAUAAAAAUAACUGUUUUUUUACUUCUACUUUUUAUUCGAUAGAAAAUAAAUAGCGUAAAAAAUAAAGAUAUGAAAAUAAUUAUUAUUUUUUUGUCCUCACUUUUUUUUUUCCAUAAUUAACUUUGGUCUCCGAUGGGCAGAAUUCAAUUACGCUAGCUAUUUUGAAAAUUUUUAGUUUCAGCUACAAAGGUAAAGUUACAAUGAAUCAAAUAAUGAAAAUAAAUAUUUAAGGCCGAUAAUCAUUUAACUUCUCUCUACUUUCAGUAAAACAAACACACCUAAAGGGGUAUACAUUUUAUUUCGUUCUAUCUUAAGGUUGAGAAAUUUUUUUAAAAUUUUUUAGUUCAAAAAUUGUCACGUCCCGGAUUACCACGUUUUUUCGGACACGCCAAUAGACCCACCAUAUAAAUAGAAAUUUUUCGUGUAUACGAAGCGACAGCUAUACUUGCAAACAAAUAGGAGCUACAACCAAAGAACAGAGCUACUAAGACUAAAAUAUGUAUAUAUAAAACAUAAAAGGGUUCACUGUACAUACAAAAGCGCUAAAACCACCUCGCUCCAGCGAGUACCAUUAGUAUAACAGUAUGUACAUAGAAAAACUAUCUCUACAUGGUACUCCUCUAGCACAACGACGAAGGAUGGUAGGGAUCUAGCUCGCGACUCCCUUACCACAGUCGGAAUCAGCAACAGCAGCAGCAGUGGACGGCUAUGCAAAAAGAUGGCAACAACUGGGUGUGAGAACUACUGCAAAACAGAGUAGUCCUCAGUGGGUACCGUCACCGACCUCAACGGCCCACCCACUAAGUCUACAGUAAGGUAAGACACAAAUAGGUAAAGGAUAGUAAGAAAGCCGGAAGAAACUCUACAGCUAUAUGCCGCUAUACUACCACUAUCCCAAACCAGGCUCACUGUAAAUAUAGAAAUGUAUCACUAGCUACACACUGACCCAAUCUCGAGGGACUGCCAACUGACCCGUCCAGCCUGUACCCGAACUACACCGCACACCACCCACGAGAUGGCCGAUCCAAGAACUGCCCGAACGGGACUGCUGCAACACCAACGCAAGUAAAGCCUCACUCCAUAGCGGCACUCGUGGGAGCGACCCAACCAAGUAUGUAAGCGUGUCUCUAUCGAGCUCAAUCAGGCUCACGCAGGCUAUAGCCAGUGUAAAUGGGUCAAACUGAUCUAACAACCAAAGCUCACGUUCUCUCGGCAUAAUCUGAAACAAUAUGUAAACAUCUAGAUCCACCGUCCGCCACGACGACAGCCGACAGUACGGAACAGUCCAAACGUUACUGUAAAACGAGCUCGGCCUCUCAGCACGAGCGUAAACUCAACCUACACUAAUCCGAGUAUUCACUACGCACUAACAACGGUGAUACAAAAAAACAACAGCUCCUGAAGCUAAAUCGGUUAACUUUUCGAAAAGUGACAGUGUAGGUUUAACAACUUUUAUCCUAAGUCAAAUCCCAAUUCAACAUGUAACAAAUAUUCAAAAAUUAAAGCUCCAAAUUCAUAUUUCAUAAAAGAUAUGCAAAUCGAUGAAUUCGAGCUACUAAACACGAUACUCCAUAUAAGACAAUACAUGCUGACACUUUACGACUUUGAAGGAAAUCCGACGAUUUCGGUAAACAUAAACCCACCUCGAACGCUCGUCCAACGUCGGCUAGAAUUAGGAGAAUCUCGCGCUAGCCCUACCUUAAACGGUUCAACCUCCACCGGAACCACCCAAGGUGCGCGAGCAACCUCCAAAGACCAAGCGAACGAAAACUAAGAUCGACUCUCCAAAAUCACAAAGAAACAAAGAAGAGAAGCUAGAGAGAGAAAGAGGGAAGCCAACCUGUGUUUUCCAACCUCAGGCACAAAGAGAGAAGGCUGGGGUCGGUUGGUACUUAUUUGCACAAAAAGACCAAAAUAUCCCUUACCAACUCAAUUUGCCUUUUGGAGUAUCGGUACUCAACUUGGGUACCGGUACUCAGCCCUCUUUCCGCAAACUCACGCACUGGGUACCAGUACUAGCCUGAUCUAGUAUCGGUACUCAGUACCAGUACCGGUUCUCACCAACAGGUACCAGUACUCAGCAUCAAACUGCGCAAACUCGAGAGCAUUCAGUUUUGUAAUCCCUCUAGGGUACCGGUACUCCUCCCAGGCACCAAUACUCAACACUGAAAUCUUGCACUUUCCAAAUUUUAGUGCCAGAACUCCACUCUCGCACUGCGCCGAGUCCGUUUUGAGUCCAAUUCGUGCUAAAACAACUCCGACUUGUCCUGACACCCAGUAGAUGUGUUAGCAAGCCAUAGAUGCUGAAGUCACUCGGACAGCUAAACCCCAGGGACACUACAUUUUCCCCCACUACAAAACGUUUCAUCCUCGAAACUUAGAAUCAUACCUCAACACGGUGCCUUAAAUAAGUAGGGGUAGGACUCCUGCAUCACAAUCUCAGACUCCGAAGUCACCUCACGCUCCUCGUGAUUACUCCACUGCACUUUUACAUACGGUAUGACCCGGUUGCGUAAUUCUUUCGUCUCACGAGCAAGAAUCAGCACCGGUCGUUCCUCGUACCUCAGGUCCUCGCCUAACUCAAGUAGACUGAAGUCAAUCAUGUGAGAGGGGUCAAACACAUAUCUCCCCAAAGCCGAGACAUGGAACACAUCGUGGAUACCGGCAAGUCGCGGAGGAAGUGCAAUCCAAAUAAAUCACUGGCCUGACUCGCUCCAAAACCUCAAAAAAACCAACAAAUCGUGGACUAAGCUUUCCACGAACUCCAAAUCUGCAAAUCCCUCGGAACGGCGAGACUUUCAGGAACACAUGGUUUCCAACCUGAAACUCCAAAUCUCGUCUCCUAGUAUCAGUAUAGCUCCUCUGUCGACUCUAGGCGGUCUCAAGAUGUCGUUGCACAACUCUGACCUUUUCCUCUGCUUUCAACAUAAUAUUAGGGCCCAAAUUCUUCCUCUCACCCAUAUCACUCCAAUGCAAAGGGGAUCAGCACUUUCGUCCAUACAAUGCUUCAAACGGAGCCAUUCGAAUGCUCGCUUGAUAGCUAUUGUUGUACGCAAACUCAACCAGUCUCAAUUGUUGAUACCACCCUCCUCUAAAAUCUAGGACACAAGCUCUCAACAUGUCCUUUAGAGUCUGAAUGGUUCGCUCCGACUGACCAUCUGUCUGUGGAUGAAAGGCUAUACUAAAACGAAGCUGUAUACCGAAAGCCGUCUGAAGGCUCCUCCAGAAACGCGAGACGAACCUUGGGUCCCUAUCUGAUACAAUCAAGGUAGGCACACCAUGCAACCUCACUACCUCAUCCAAAUAUAACUCGGCGAGUCGCUCCCUGGACCAAGUGGUCUGCACCGGUAGAAAGUGGGCAGACUUGGUCAGUCUAUCCACUAUCACCCAGAUAGCAUCAAAUCCACCCUGAGCUCUCGGUAAACCCACGACAAAGUCCACGGUGAUCUGAUCCCAUUUCCACUCCAGCGCUGAAAGAUUCUGAAGCUUGCCAGCAGGUACACGAUGCUCCGCCUUCACCUGUUGACAAAUCAGACAAUGAGCCACACAUCUUCCAAUGUCCCUCUUCAUUCCAAUAAAUCAGAAGUGUGCCUUCAAAUCCUUACACAUCUUGGUUCUACCAGGGUGAACCGUAUAAGGCGAGUAAUAAGCCUCUCUCAAAAUCUCCUAUCGGAUCUGUGAAUCCAUAGGCACACACAGUAUGUCCCUGUACCUCAGUACUUCUGAACUAUCGAUAGCGAAGUCCUCUAUCUGUCCCCUCUCUAUUUGCUCUCAAAUCCUCAACAAAUAAGAGUCUCCACUCUGUUUUUUCCUGAUCCUAUCCAAUAGAGUGAGCUACAAGACCAUAGAUAUCAGUCUCGCAGUGCUCCCAGGGGAUACCACCUCGAGUCUAAACCUCUACAACUCCUCAAGUAAUGGCCACUGCUGGGUGAUCAUCAUACUGAGGCUCUGCACCGACUUCUUGCUCAACGCAUCUGCCACGACAUUCGCCUUGCCGGGGUGAUACUGAAUGGUGAUAUCAUAAUCCUUCAAUAACUCCAACUACCGGCGUUGCCUCAGGUUCAAUUCCUUCUGAAUGAACAGAUACUUGAGACUUUUGUGAUCUGUAAAGAUCUCACAGUGCUUACUAUACAGAUAAUGUCGCCAAAAUUUUAGAGCAAAUACCACAACAGUAAGCUCCAAGUCAUGCGUAGGGUAAUUUUUGUCAUAAUCCUUUAACUGCCGGGAAGCAUGUAUAAUUACCCUACUAUGCUGCAUCAAAACACAACCCAAACAACUGUGUGAUGCAUCACUGUAGAUCACGAAUCCUUCCCCCAUCACAGAAAGAGCAAGAAUAGGAGCCGACAUCAGCCUCUGCCUCAACUCAGCUCCUCUGACAAUCUUCACUCCAGAUGAACUUGAUUCCUUUACGAGUCAAUCGUGUGAGGGGUGUGGAAAGCUUCGCAAAGCCUUCCACAAACAUACGGCAAUAACCAGCCAAUCCCAGAAAACUCCUCACCAUAGUAACCGUCGCCAGUCUGGGCCACUCCCGAAUCCCAUCAAUCUUCUUUGGGUCAACUGCCACUCCCGCUGCUGAAAUCACGUGGCCCAAGAAAGAAAUCUGCCGAAGCCAAAACUCGCACUUUUUCAACUUGGCAUACAACUUCUUCUCUCUCAGAAGCUGUAAUACCAUCCUCAAGUACUCCUUGUGCUCUGCAUUACUCCGGGAGUAAAUUAGAAUAUCAUCAAUGAAUACUACUAUAAAUCUAUCCAAGAAUGGCUUAAAUACUCGAUUCAUCAAAUCCAUAAAAGCGGCAGGGGCAUUAGUCAAUCCAAAAGGCAUCACUGUAAACUCAUAAUGCCCGUACCGUAUCCGAAAAGCUGUCUUGAGAACAUCCUCAGCUCUUACCCUCAGCUGGUGGUAACCUGACUGCAGAUCAAUUUUCGAGAAGACACAAGAUCCUUGCAGCUGAUCAAACAGAUCAUCAAUGUGCGGCAAAGGAUACUUGUUCUUGAUGGUCAUUUUAUUCAAUUCUCGGUAAUCCACACACAGUCUAAGUGAAUCAUCAUUCUUCUUUACGAAUAACACUGGCACUCCCCAAGGCGACACAUUAGGUCUCACAUACCUCUUAUCCAUCAGAUCCUGAAGCUGCGCCUUAAGUUCCCUCAGCUCUGCCGGUGCCAUUCGGUAAGGUGCCUUCGAGAUUGGCGUAGUUUUCGGAACCACAUCAAUCACAAAAUCAAUCUCUCUGUCCGGCGGCAUAGUCGUCAACUCAGGAGGAAAAAUAUCUGAGAACUCGCGAACUACAGGGAGAUCCUCGAGUCCCAGUGCCGCCGUAGGAACCUCUACUAUCGUUGCCGAGAAUGCGAUGCAUCCUCGACUCAUAAUCUGUCUAGCCUUCGCUGAAGAGAUCCAGGUGGCGAACAUCGUACUCCUACAACCUCUGUAAGUGAGCUCCUUCUGGCCUGGCUCGCGGAACGUCACUGUUCUAACUCCACAAUCGAUUGUCGCAUGGUAUCGAGUGAGCCAAUCUAUGCCAAGUGCUGCAUCAAAGUCUUGCAACUGCCCCAAAACCAACAGGUUUGCAAGCAUAAUUCAAGAUCCCAACUGCAUCGGACAAGCCCAACAAUACUCCGCCACCUGCAAAAUAUGGUCGGAAAUCUGCACCUCUCGUGCAUGUAACAGCGGCCCUAUCUCUAGUCCAUAUAAUGAUGCAAAUGCUCGACUAACAAAAGAAUGUGAUGCUUCACUAUCAAAUAAUGCACGAGCUCUAAUGCCAGAAAUCAAAAUAAUAUCUGUCACCACACGAUCUGCUGCCAUGAAGUCCUCAACCUGAGCCGCAUACACCCUGCCACUCGAUGCCUGCUGUAGCCGCUCACUCUGCUGUGGCACUGAAGUCCUAUCAGCCUGGCUAUAGCUCAAUGGGUCUCCAAAGGUCUGCUGAGGUACCGGCGGGGCCGACGCCAUCGAAGGUGCUGGUGAUGCUGCUCGGGGACAAGCUAUUAGCAGAUGCCCUGGUUGGCCACAUCCAAAACACAGGCCCUCUCUCUGCUUAUACUGUCGAGGCCAGUGUGGUCCCCCACAAAUGAUACAGCGCAGAUCUCUCUGCUAUUGUCGCUGUUGACGGGAUCCACCAGACCGCUAUCGCCCCGAAGACCCACGACCCUGAGAGCAUGAUCAUGGAGGCCUCGGGGGACGUCUGCCACUGGUCUGUCCUCCUCAUCUGGAACCGGGAGCUUUCUGUCCUGAACCUGCCCCGGUACCGUCGCCCGCUCACGGACCGAUACAGCUCCUCUUUCAACCCACAACACCUGCUCAAUCGACGCAUCCAAGGUCCGCAACCUUUGUGCCUGUACCAACACAAAGAUCUCUAGCCUCAAACCUCUCUCAUACAGAUAUACCUUAUGAGCUUCAUCCCUGGCUACAAAUGGCACACAAUUCAGAAGCCUGGUAAACUCUCGAGUAUACUCCUGUACUGACUGAUCCCUCUGCUACAGCUUCUUCAGAACCUCCUCGAGUUUCUAUUUUAUGCUGCUUGGAAAUAGGCCCUGUACAGCAUCCCACGAAACUCGUCCCACCUCAUUUGUAGUGCAUCCAAACCUCGAUUCUGCUGCAUCCUUCUCCAUCAGGCAUGUGCAUCACCUACCAAAUAGUGCACUGCCAGAUGUACAACACUCGGCUGCUGAGUGAACGCCUCACACAUCUUCUGUAGUAACGCACCCUGCUGCCUGGUCACCUCAGUCAAGGCAGCUAACUGCUCUCUCAAAUCCGAGGGUGCACUCGGUCCCGCCUGCUCUGGCAUCUCCGAUGGUGCGGACUGAUCUCGUGUCGACGGUCGACCUCGACGUCGAUAAGGCCUCAUGGCUAUCUAAAACCAAAACAAGGGUUAGAUACAAAAUACAAACAACUCUCGACCCAAUCAAGCGAAAGUCUAGAAGGCCCCCUGUUCCUCCUCAAAAUUAUACCGUCUGCAGCCGACAUAAUUUCCUUGGUAGAAAUAGGCACUCCUUCAAUCACUCCCUUUAUUCAUGAAGAAGUUAAACAACUCAAUCGCCGACUUUCGCGAUAAGUCACGCCUCUCGCGUCUUGCCUUUUAAAGGUCUGCCAAGCCUAGAAUUUUUUAGGUCCCAAUGAUCUAAUUCUAAGCUCUGAUACCAAGUUAAUCUAUCACGUCUCGGAUUAUCACGUUUCCCCGGGCAUGCUAACAAACCCGCUAUAUACAUAGAAAUUUUUCGUGUAUACGAAGCGAUAGCUGUACCCGCAAAUAAAUAGGAGAUACAACCAAAGUACAGAGCUGCUAAGACUAAAACACAUAUAUAUAAAAUAUAAAAGGGUCCACUGUACAUACAAAAGCUCUAAAACCUCAAAACUACCUCGAUGGGUGCUCCUCUAGCAAAAGACGAGGGACGGAAGGGAUCUAGCUUGCGACUCCAUUACCACGGUAGGAAUCAGCAACAGCAACAGCCGCAGACGAAGGCUCUGCAAAAAGAUAGCAACAACUGGGUGUAAGAACUAUUGCCAAAGAGAGUAGUCCUCAGUGGGUACCGUCACCAACCCCAACGGCCUACCCACUAAGUCUACAAUAUGUAAUGGAUAGUAAGGAAAGCUGGAGAGAACUCAACAGUUACAUACCACUAUACUAUUACUGACAAACACAGCCCAUCCGUAGACAUAGACAUGCAUCACAUUGACCCAAUCUCACAAGGGCUGCCCAAACGGACCCACCAUACAUGUAUCCAAGCUACACCGUACACCACCUAUGGGGGUGACCGGUCCAAGAAAACUGUCCAAACAGGACUGCUGCGACAUCAACGCAGGUAAAGCCUAACUCCAGAGCGGUACUCGUAGGCGUGACCCAACCAAGUAUGCAAGCGUGUCUCUGUCGAGCUUAAUCAGGCUCACAAAGACUAGAUAUAGUCAAUGCAAAUGGAUCAAACAUGUCUAACAAUCAAACUCACGUGCUCUCGGCACAAUCUGGAACAAGAUGUAAAUAUCAGAGUCCACCGUCAACCACGACGGUACCCAACAGUACGGAACAAUCCAAACACUACUGUAAAACGAGCUCGGCCCCUCAGCACGAGUGUAAAGUCAUUCUACACUAAUCUGAGUAUCCAAUACGCACUAACAACGAUGAUACAAACGAAUAGCAGCUUCUGAACCUAUUUCGGUUACUUUUUGAAAAAUGACAGUGUAGGUUUAACGAGUUUUCUCUUAAGUCAAUUCCAAGUUCAACAUAUAAACUUGUCUAAAAUUACUAGUUCAUGCUCCAAAACUCAGAUUUCAUAAAACAUGCAAAUUCCUGAAUUUGAGCUACUGACAUGAUAAUCAAAACAAGAACUACAUACUGACAACUCUACGACUUAUAAGAAAAUUCGAUGAUUUCGGUAACAUCAACCCAUCUCGAACGCUCGUCAAACGUCGGCUAGAAGUCGAUAGGAGAAACCUCGCGCUAGCUCGACCUCCAACGGCCUCAAUCGGACUCAACCACGGCACGCGCGCAAUCCUCCAAAGACAAGCGAACGAAAACUAAGAUCGACUCUCCAAAAUCACAAAAAAAAACGGAGAGAAGAAGCUAGAGAGAGAAAGAGGGAAGCCAACCUGUUUUCUCCAACCUUAGGCACAAAGAGAGAAUGCUGGGGGGUCGGUUUAGAUUUAUCGCCAACCAAAAUGACCAAAAGGCCCCUUGCCAACUCAAUUUGCUUUUUGGAGUACUGGUACUCAACUUGGUUAUCGGUACUUGGCCCUCUUUCCGCAUAUUCGCGCGCUAGGUACUGGUAUUAGCCUGAUGUAGUACUGGUACUCAGUCCCAGUACCGGUACUCACCAACAGGUAUCGGUACUCAACAUCAAACUGCGCAAACCCGAGAGCAUUCAGUUCUGUAAUCCCUCUGGGGUACCGGUACUCCUCCCAGGUACCGAUACUCAACACUGAAAUCCUGCAUUUUGCAGAUUUCAGUGUUAGAACUCCACUCUCGCACUGCGCCGAGUCUGUUUUGCGUCCAAUUCUUGCCAAAACGACUCCGACUUAUCCCGACACCCACAAAACGUGUUAACAAGCCACAGAUGUUGAAGUCUCUCAAACAGCUAAACAUCAGGGACACUAUAAUUUUAUAAUAAAUUAAAUUUUUCAAAAAUAAAUUAGUGAUAUUAGAUUAAAAUAUACUAAAUAUCAUCUUAUCUUCAAAUAUCGGUAGCGGUCAAAUUCAUUUGCUUUUUUCUUUUAUUUUUUUAAUAUCUUUUUAUUAGAACUCUCACUUUGACACAAUUAAAUACUCUUUUGUUAAAAAAAAGUUUGGAUAAUUUGUACUGUUACCCCUGAACAUUUGAUGGAUUUCACUUUAACCCCCGAAUUCCUAAAAUUGAUAUGUAACACCCUAAACUCUAAUAUUUAAUUCAUGUUACUCCUUUUGUCAAUUUUUCAUCAACCUCCGUUAAUCGAAAACUGACGGAAGGGUUAAUACAAACGAAAUAUUAGAGUUUAGAGUGUUAGAUGUCCAUUUUAGGGGUUCGGGUGUAAAAUAAAAUUUCGCGAAAAGUUCAGAAGGUAACAAUACAAUUUACCCUAUAAAAUAUAAUAGGGCUAAACUCUUAACCCGAUUAAGUAUUUUGGGUGGUGACUAGGCUCAAGAGGUUAAAGAGUUAAGCGUGUUAGGACAUAAAUAGUCCUAAAAUGGGUGAUCCCCGAAAAGUUGGGGCGUCACAAAAUCUAGUAUCAUAGUAAUUUGCGAAUUUAUAACAAAGAGUAAUACUGAAUUAAGGCAGCGAAUGGGCCAACAACCUAGCCUGAAGUGGGAUAGCUAUCAGAUCGGCACAAUUCACACUAUUCGAGCUAGGUUUGGCUUGGCGUGGAUUCCAAUUUGUGUUGAUGUUGCAGUCCAAUAUCCAGCAUAGCCCAAUCCAGGUAGCUCUAGGCCAUUUUACUUAGGGUUGCACUAUUUGUCAUUUUUUGCUUUUUUUUUUUUUUUUUUUUUGCCUAACAACAUACAGAAUUUAACUGAACUAUAAACUGACUAUUCAUAUCUUUCAAAAUUUUAAUUUUACUAUUUAAUUUUUUAAUUUAUUCAAUUUGAGUCGGUCAAAGGCAUAUUGACUUUAAAAUUUAAAUACAUUAUUUACUUUUAUACAUUUAGUUAGUAUAUUUCGUAUAAUUUUUGUAACUAUAAAUUUAUUAAAGUAAGUAAUUAGCUUGAAUCUCGAAGUCAAAGUAUUAUUGACUUAUUCAAAUCAAACAAAUUACAAGUUUAUAUAGUAAAAUCAAAAUUUUGAAAGAUUGAAUAGUCGAUUCAAAAUGAUUAAUAAUUCAGAUAAGUUCUGUACAUUUUUAGUUUUUUUUUAGAGAGAAAAAUAAUGAGCUAUCUACUUCAUUUUUUUUUUCAAUAAAAAUGAUAAAUUGAAUUAGAAAUGUAAAGCAAUUAGAGCCCGUUAGCUUACCAAUAUUAUUUAAGGAUGUCAACGAGGCGGAUUCGGGGUGGGUUUUCCAAAAAUCCGAACCCGAAUACGACUACCCAAUCUAAAACCCGAAUACGAAGGAUUUAAAAAAAUCCAUAUCUAAAUCUGAACCCGACUAUAAUUUGAAAUUCUAACUCAAACCCGAAAAUUCGAGCCCAAAAUAAUUAUUUCUCUUUACCAUAUUUUCAAACAUAUUACACUAAAUCUAAAUUUUUAAAAUACAAAAAUUUAAAUAUGAAAUCAAAUAAUUAUAUAUAUAUAUAUAUAUAUAUAUAUAUAUAAUCUAGCUGUGAUACUAUCGAUAGCACCAAGGAUUUAAUGCUAUAGAGUUUUCCACCUUUAGAUUUAACUAUUUAAUUAUUUUUACCCGUUAGAUUAUACUAUUCAACCAACCACUCACUCAACCCUAGGGGACCCAUAUUAUUCUAACCACACAUUUCUCAAUCCAAAAGUUAAAAAUCUAAUAGCACUAAUAACUUGGUGCUAUUGAUAAUAUUCCAGCCUAGUUCUAUAUAUACGUGUAUAUAUAUAUAUAUAUUAUAAUAUAAAAUUAGUUUGGAUUAGAAUCAGGUACAGACAAACUCAAUAUUCAAAUCCAAAUUCAAAUCUGUCUAGUACCGAAUAAAUUCAGAAUUCGAUCCAAUUUCGAGUUCAUUGCACCAAUCCACGAGAAAGUGUUUUUUUCUUUUUGGGUGACAUGCGUACCAGGUACAACAAUGACAUAAUAUUUAACGGCAAUUAAACGCGCUUAUAAAAGGCCAGCUAACACUUUUUUGUUCGUCCACAAGAAGCCCAACAGUCAUCUUCCAGCUCUCUUUUGUUCCCACUCGCCUGGCUUUAACUUCACUUAUCACACCUGCUUAGAAUGUGAGCUGUGAAAAGAGAGUCACGUUUCUGUGUUGUUACGGGCGCUGCUGCGGUGGUAAAGUAUUAUUUCCAAUAGUCUAAUAUUUGAUUAAAAUAAAAAUAUAUAUGGACAUAGAAAAACUAGAUCAUUAUUAACAUUAGAAAAAUAGUGUUUGCUAAAGUUUUUAUCCCUUAUUAGGGUUUCGUUUGGUUCGGGUAUAAGCAAGAACUAGUUAUUAUAGGGAUAGAUACAAAUAUGGGGAUAAAAAAAAUAAAAUUGGGUUAUUUCCGGAGAUAAGAAAAAUAACGUUUGGAUAUAUAAUAUAGAAUAAGAAAAAUAGUGAGUUUUUAUAUAUAGAAAAUGAAGGUGUUGGUGGGAAUAAUUAUACCAGCUUAUUUCAGAUAUUCGAGAAUUACUAUUCUCGGGUAAAAAUUUACGUUUGGGUAUAAAAGGGAAGAUAAGGAAUUAUCCCUCUCCUUAUAAAGGUGCAUAAGUUUUGUUAUUUCGUGGUGACACUAUUAUAGAUCCAAGAAUUAAAAAAUUGAUAGUAAAUGUAUAGUAGUCAUCUACUAUAUACCAAUAGUGUUCCAUUUGGACUCUUCCAAUAUUAAUGAAAUGAGUUUAUGUUUCUUUCUUUUUAAUGUUACUUGGCUUAUAUUAAAUGAAUGUUAUUUCAAAAUACGGUUCAUUCAGAACGUCAAUAUAAAAAUUAAUCAUCUAUCUCUGUUACUGUAUAAUUUAUUUUUAUUAAGAUCGGAUUAGAUAUUCUCUUCUACAUAAAUACUAGUUUUCUUAAUUUUUCUUAUAUGAGUAUGAGGUCUCUUCUAUAUUAUUCUAUUUUAAAACACGUUUGUUCAAGGUUAUAUAGCUAACAAAUUAUAUCUAGAAAAUUAAUCAAGCUAUUUUGAUACUUUUGAUUCACCACUAUAAUUUAGACUGAGAACCCACCAUGAUCCAAACUUAUAUCUUGUGCAUAGCAUGAGACCACUUGAUCUUCGGGGCAUGUUUGGUUCACGAUUGGAAUAAAAAUGAGAAAUGGAGUUGGAAUAUUGCUUUGGAAUAAAAAAUGGAAUAACAAAUCAUCUAAAAUUAUUUGAUUUAUUAUUAGAAUAAAAAUCGGAAUAAGAAUAUAGAAUUUUGAGAAAGGGUUUUGAUUAAGAGAGAGAAAAGUGAUGAAUGAAGUGGAGGAGUAGGUGUUUAUGGAAGAAGAUUUUGAGUAGUUUACUUUGGAAUUCAGCGCAUCAAUCAGUCGGAUUGGACCAUAAAUGGAUUUAGUCAUUCUCAUUCCAGAAUGGAAUAGAAAUCGAAAUCCAAAUUUUAUAAAACAAACAACAACUAUCAAAAUCAAUAAAUCUCAUUCCAAAUUUAUAGUCUAAAAUAGAUGAUAUACCAAACAUACCCUAAGUGCUUAUGCAGAUUCCACAUAGUCCAAAUCGAAUACCCAUAAUACUGUCAAACAACUGCUGUAUUCUAAAGGCUUAAGCUUUUAGAAAAUGGUGAUUAAACAUUUUUAUAUUUUAACACUCCCCUCACGUCUGGGCUCAAGACUUUUUAGUCGGCCCAUGACGUGGGUUUGAAUUAAAUGAGAGAAAAUUAAUAUGCUAGGAGCCUGACGUGACUCGAACUUAGGACCUCUUGCUCUGAUACCAUGUGAAACAACCAUUGUAUUCUAAAAGCUUAAGCUGUUAAAAAAUGAUGUUGAAAUAUUUUUAUAAUUUUAACAAAUAUGACAUGUUUAAUUUUUAUUCACUAGUGAUAAAAAGUGGAUAAGCUUACACAUCAACCCUAAAGAGAAAAGAAAAAAUAAAAUAAAAAUCCUGUGAUGGUCAAAUGGACACGCAACAACUUACACAAUUAAGCCCUUAAUAAAAGUUUUUAGCUUCCUAUGAGAGUGGCAAGAGAACUGAGUUGGGGAGUGGCAACAGGAACUUGACCAUUUGAUUCUACUUCAUUGAUUAGUGUACUACUACAUGGGAGUUGGAACUAAUACUUAUUGUUUGGUGUUGGUGAUGAAACCACAAAAAAAGGGGCCUUUUUGGUAUACAAUCCUUCCUAAUGACAAUGACCUCGUAGCUACUCCAAUCCAUAAAUUCAGAUCUACUCUUCACUUAACAUCUACUACUUGUUCCACUCUCUACUUUAGUGUAUAUGGUUGAGCAGUUUUGUCAAUUCAGUUGAUUUACUCGGUUUCACUAAAAAACUUUUGUUUAAACUAUAUACUUUAUCUUUAGAUUUUCAAUCUGAAGAUAAGGAUGAUUAGACAUUCCAAUUAUGUGGGAAAUUUAUUUAGACAUAUAAGGAAAAAAAAAACCUAAUUUCCUAUUUAGAUAUAUAGAAAAGUUAUAAUUAAAAUUAUAUUUACUAUUACAGGUUGUUGAUGCCAAAAUUAAAAUUAACACGCCCAUCUAACCCACAUAUGAGCUAAAGAAAUAAGGACAUGUGGUACACUAAGAGUCUACAAUAGGGCGCCUGAAGGUCAAGAGCGUUUAGGCGGGAACGGUUGAGAAGUGGGGCAUAACUUCCAUAUAAAGUGGAGCGUAACUUCCAUGUGAAGUGGAGCAUAACUUUCAUGAGAAGUGGGGUGUAACUUUCAUGAUCAUGGCUACAUUACUUCCCCCACUACUAUAACCAACCAAUAAUGUGGGCUGAUAAGAUAUUAUAAAUAGUAACUUUGAAGCCUGUAAUAAGGGUUUUUCUCUCUCCUGAACGAGAAGACCACCGCAUUUUCAAUACUUUCCUUUCCUGCAUUUAUCGCUUUCUAGGAGUAGUCUACAUGUAAUCUUUUUUGCCCGCAUUUAUUGCUUUCCUAGGAGUAGUUUUUAAGUUAGAUCUCUAGAGUCUGUAUGCCCCACGGGCACACUCUGUUGUAAUUUAGAUUUUCAGAGUCUGUAUGCCCUUCGGGCACACUCUGUUUUGUAUGAGUUCCCAACUUCAUUUUAAUAUAUAAAGACAUUCGGCUCUUUAAGCCGACCAGUCACUGUGUAUUCCAUCUAUUCGGCUCAUCAGCCGACCCAAAAUCCUGUGCAUUCUGUACAUUCGGCUCUUCCAGCCGAACCGAGUCUAUAGUAAAGGUCUUCGAACUCAGCAGUCAGUACAUUCGGCUCAUUACAGCUGAACCGAUUAUAUAAUAGAGCUUUUCGAACUCGGCUGAUUCGAUCCCUCGUCAGCCGAAUCGUUUGAUCCAGUCGAAGGGCGCAAACUUCGAGGGUCUUUAUCUGAAGUCGAUUUCAUCCCGACACGCUCCCCGAGGAGAAUAUUUGACCGGGUCAAGGAUCAGGGAAUUCGGCUAGCUAACAAAAUUGGCAUGCCCGGUGGGACACACUCAGGUUUUCCCAAUCUAGACUUUGUCCUAUGGUUGACGAUAAUGCUAUGAACCUCCGGAAUAGAGCCAUUCUCAGGCCUUCAGGGAAUGACCAAGCUAGUAGCGCCGAAAAUGUGAAUGAGAAUCAGGCGGUACUAACUGUUGGAGGAGAGACUAGUGAACAGUCGGCUCAUCAAGAGCCGAGUCUAACUCAGGCACUCGGCCAUAUGACCCGAGUCUUGCAAACUGUAGAUCAAAAUAUCCAUCAAAGUACCACUCAACUAGACACGGUGCUGGCCGCCAUCAUGGCCUACAAUGAAAUAUUGUUCGAAUCAGAUAGUUAUUUAUCCGAAAUGAGCAACCUUACGGGGGGCAACAGGGGCCCCUAAAUGUGCCAGUGCAACAAAAUCCCGUCACGCCGGCGGUUUCACAGGCGCAACCGCAAAUGGCACCUUUCCAGGCUGCUUAUAGGCCGGCGAAUAUAAACACCGGCCCACAGUCGGAGAUGGCAUCGGGUUUACCUCCUUUACCAGCUUACCAGCCCCAAAACGUGGGCGUAAGGACUGGGGGGCAGGCUCUGAAUAUGCAAGGAGUUAACCCUAUUAUACUGAAUUUCGGUCUACCGUAAGGACCAAAUAUAGUACAAACACAGAUUCCUUUGCAGGGAAACAAUAAUAAAAUAUACGCACGGAUUGAAGAAGCCAUCCGAAAUUCUUUCGGAGUUGGCACAAGGCCGGCAAUGCGGCCUGUGUUUAGAUCUCCUUAUCCCGCGAACAUCGACGUGGAGCAUCCGUAUCCGGCAAACUGAAAAAUGCAGAAGUUUGACAAGUUCUCGGGCGAUGAGACCGAGGAUACGGUCGAACAUAUAGCCCAGUUCACGGCCCAAUGUAGAGAAGCGGCCGUUGACUCAUUUUUGAAACUUUGAUUAUUUAACACGUCGUUAACUAAAACGGCGUUUACUUGGUAUACAAGUUUAUCAGCCAAUUCCGUCUAAGAUUUGGACGAAUUGGAAAGAAAAUUUCAUGAGCAAUUCUAUAGGUCGGAGCCACAAUUAUCGGUUGCCGAUUUGGCUUUAUACAGACAAAAGUCAGGUGAAACGAUCGAAGAAUAUUUGAACCAUUUCAAAAUAGCCAAAACCCGGUGCUUUAUGAGAAUGCCGGAAUUAGAGUUCGCCAAAAUGGCAUUAAAUGGUCUACAUUUUAAGCUAAAAGACCAUUUUGAAGAUAAGUAUUUUUCUAACCUAUUUGAUCUAGGUGUUCAAGUUGCCCAAUAUGAGCAAUUUCGGAAGGAAAGUGAGGACAAUCGGCUGCAAUGGAGCCGAUAUAAAAAGUAAAGCAAAGGCAAAGAGAAAUCCUUGAUAGAAGAACAGUCGGUUCAAGAAGAGUCGAGCCAAUCGAGUGAAAGUGAAUAAUCGGCUGAUAAAGCCGAGGUAUAUGCGGCUGAUAAAGAGCCACUUUCUUCAAGGAGAAAUUCUUGAUAAAAGAACAUUCGGUUCAAGAAGAGCCGAACCAAUCGAGUAAAAGUAAAGAAUCGGCUGAUGAAGCCGAGGCUUAUACGGCUAGGAUGGUAAAGAGUCGUUUUCUUUAAGCCGACCAAAACCAGUGAAACUAAAGCUUGGGUCUUGGCUGUGCCAUUGAGCAGUCGAUUUGGCACCAAUAGUCAUCCGACUGUUCAUUCGAAAGACUAUUGGGGGGGCAUUGUUGAUGCAAAAAUUAAAAUUAACACGCCGACCUAACCUACAUAUGAGCUAAAGAAAUAAGGACAUGUGGUACACCAAGAGUCGGCAAUAGGGCGCCUGAAGGUCAAGAGCGUUUAGGCGGGAAUGGUUGAGAAGUGGGGCGUAACUUCCAUGUGAAGUGGAGCGUAACUUCCAUGUGAAGUGGGGCAUAACUUUCAUGAGAAGUAGGGCGUAACUUCCAUGAUCAUGGCUACACCACUUCCCAACCAACCAAUAAUGUAGGCUGAUAAAAUAUUAUAAAUAGUAACUUUGAAGCCUGUAAUAAGGGUCUUUCUUUCCCCUGAACGAGAAGACCAUCGCAUUUUCAAUACUUUCCUUUCCUGCAUUUAUCGCUUUCUAGGAGUAGUCUACAUGUAAUCUUUUUUGCCCGCAUUUAUUGCUUUCCUAAGAGUAGUUUCUAAGUUAGAUCUCUGGAGUCUGUAUGCCCCACGGACACACUCUGUUGUAAUCUAGAUUUUCAGAGUCUGUAUGCCCUUCGGGCACACUCUGUUUUGUAUGAGUUUCCAACUUUAUUUUAAUAUAUAAAGGCAUUUAGCUUUUUAAGCCGACCAGUCACUAUGUAUUCCAUCUAUUCGGCUCAUCAGCCGACCUAAAACCUUGUGCAUUUUGUACAUUUGGCUCUUCCAGCCGAACCGAGUCUAUAGUAAAGGUCUUCGAACUCAGCAGUCAGUACAUUCGGUUCAUUACAGCCGAACCGAUUAUAUAAUAGAGCUUUUCGAACUCGGCUGAUUCGAUCCCUCGUCAGCCGAAUCGCUUGAUCCAGUCUAAGGGCGCAAACUUCGAGGGUCAUUAUCUAAAACCGAUUUCAUCCCGACACGCUCCCCGAGGAGGAUCUUUGACCGGGUCAAGGGUCAGGGAAUUCGGCCAGCUAACACAGGUGGCGAGCGAGGAUUUGACGGCUGAUAUAUAAGAUUUUAAGUUUAAAACCUAAUUGUUUCACAUUUCUACUUAGGAAACGGUUUGGUUUCUAGAAAAUGUUUGAAAAAAAUAUUUUUUGGAAAAAAAGAUUUUUAUGGAAAAUCAUGAAAAUCUUUUUAAGUUUUCACGUUUUGGUUCCAAGAAUUUUUUUUUGAAAAACUUUUUUCAGAUUUCAUAAAUAACUAGUAUUUUUAUUUUCCAAAAAAAAUUGCAAAUGAAAACAAUAAUUUUUCAGGAAAUCUGGAAAACAAAACAGUUUUUAAAAGAACUAGCUUGUCUUAGAACCAAACAGGCAAAAAAUUAGAAAAAAAUAAUUUUCAUGCAAAACUAUUUUUUCAAAUUUUUUUGUUUUUAUACUUUUCCUAGAAACAGAUAGUCUUUUAUACUUUUCCUAGAAACAGACAGUCUCUAAAUUCAUUUGUGAAAAAAAAAUAAAUGAGACGGAUGAUAUGCUACCUUUCAUGCUCAAAAAAAAAAAAGAAAAAGAAAUACGCAGUGUGUUGAUGCAUAUCAAAAUAACUUUUUUAACUAAUAUAAAUUUAGUUGUUCAAUUUUUUUUUCUUUUUUUGAUAUUACGAAUUAUGCCUAUCUUUUUAUGAUUAUUGCCUUCUUGCCAAACACUACAACAAAAUUAGGCUAUAAAAACACAUUUUUGAAACACUUUUGUAUAAGUAUUUCAUUUAUAUUAAAAUUUUUUUAAAAAUCUACUGAGGCCUAAAUAUAAAGCUUAAUCCAAUCAAAAACAAAAAGUUCCUCUACUCAACUAACCUCACCUAGCCCAUCAGCCUGAUUACAAAUAGAAAAGGAAAAAUAAAAAAAGAAAAAUUAAUCACCAUCGCCCCUUCUCCUCCGCCGCCGCUAUCGACGAGCUAGGGUUCUGGUGGCUGGAGUUUGGCCGCAAGGAUCUCGCAGGGAUCGUAGAGGGCUACGAUCGCUACGUAUCCCUCCGUCAUAGGUCGUUGAAGGAGUCGGUGUCAAAUAUCGAGGCGGCCCCACAUAUAGCGACCUCAUAUAUAGCAAUACUUUUAAAAAGUAUCAUUAAUUUAACCAGCAGUACUUUUUUAAUUUGUACCGACAUUUAAAGUGUCGCUAUAAACCGUUUUUGUUAUAGUGAAAUUAAUUAACUAUGAUCAUAUAUGUAUGUUGGCACGCACAACAUAUUAUAAUUUACAUAGCAUUGAUCAUCAAAGCACAGCGUUGUAAAAUUAUAUAUCAAAAAAUCCUUCAUCUGUUGUCCAAUUUGAAAUCCUUUUCUGCUUGACAUCUCUUUUAUGAAUCAGUAAUUGGCUUAAAUACAUAAGUCCUUUAUAUUUUUAAUUUCAAUUAUAUUCAUCAGAUGAAUUGAGGAGCUUGUUAAAGUAAGCAAAUUUGUUAGUUAACGUACUGCCAUUAAUUAUUAAUGAAACUUAGGCCUUGUUUGGCUUAUUUACUUUAGAUUAUAAAAUCAGAAUGAGAUAAUUCACAGAUUUCUAUAGUUAUUAUUUAUUUUACAGGAUUCGAAUUUCGAUUAUCUUUCCAUUCUGAAGUAGGAAUGAUCCAAUUCAUUUGUGGUCCAACUCGACUUUGAAUUCUGAAUUGGCUUAUUUCAGAGUAAACAACUCAAAGUCCUCUUUCACAAAUAGCUCUCCCACCUCUCCCUUGAUCACUCUUCUAUUUCUUUACCACAACCUCUCUCUCAAAAUUCUAGGUAUUCUAAUGAUCCAUUCUGAUUUUGAUUUCAAUAAUGAACCAAAUAUUUUUUUGAAUAAUUCAUUAUUUCAUUUUUUAUUCCAACGCAAUUUAAUUUCAAGAGUUAAUUUCAUACAGCUCUUUAUAAACAUAUCGAAUAAGAUAUAUAUAUUCCUACAAAGUUUAACUUUUCAUAUUUAUCCAUGUAAAGUCCAGUGAUAUUUGUAUUUGCCCCUCUGAUUUGUUACCGUUAGAGUACUCUUUGUUUUUUAAUAGAGAAUAAGUGAAAUUAUAUUUUUGUCAUCACAAACAUGUCACUUCAAAAAUCUUAACUGUUAGAAUUAUACAGAAAUAUCCUUCCAAAAUCCCUAACUGUCAUCUUCUUCCUUCCCUCCAUAAAAAAUAAUAUAAGAGGGGUAAUUUAUCUAAUUCACUAACUAGGGUUAACUAUAUUUUUCUAACGGAUCGUUAAAUAUGGGCAUAUUUGAAAAUAUUAGGACUUUUGCAGGGUUAAAUAUGAAAAGUUGAACUUUACAGAAAUAUAUUUGCUAUUCGAUAUGUUUACCGAGAAAGCUGUAUGCAAUUAACCCUAAUUUCAAUUUUCAUUUUCAUUCGAAGUAUGAACCAAGCAUGCUCUUAUAAUUUUGCUGUCUACAUGGUAAGAACCAUUAAAUUUAAGAAAAUAUCAAUUUCAACCAAAUAGAACCAAUCACAAAACAAAUUAAAAUCUAUAUCAAAAUGGACUAUAGUUUGAUGAUCUCCAUAUGUUUUUUCAUGCAUAUAUACUCCAUAAUAGGCAUAUAUGGAAUACCAGGUUCAUCUCAUUUAUCCAAUCCAAACUAAUACAACAUUUGCAAUAAAUUAGAAGAAUAUCCCAGUAUGACCUGCAUAUUAUCUUUUCCUUUUUUUUUUUUUUUUUGGUAAAAAUAUAUAAAACUUAUCUGAACUUUGGAUCAUUUUGAUUCGACUAUCGAAUAUUUCAAAAGUUUGAUAUUAAUAUCUAAUUUUUAAAUUUAUUUAAUUUGAGUCAGUUAACCAUACUUUAAUUUUAAAUUUUGAAAACGCCGUUUACUUUUACAUGUUUAGUUAGUAUAUUUUAUACAAUAUUCACAACUGUAAAUUCAUUAAGGUAGUAAUUAGUUGAAAUUCGAAAGUCAAAGCGUCGUUGACUGAAUCAAAUCAAAUAAGUUGAAAAAUUAGAUAACAAAAGAAAAAUUUUGAAAGAUUAGGUAACUAAUUCAGAUAUAUUCGGCAUAUUUUAACUUUCUCUCUUUCUCUCUCUCUUCUGACACAUUUUUCACCGACAAUUGUCUGAGUUCUCGUCCAUCUAGCUCAAAAAAAAAGAAAAAAAAAAAGAAAAAAGAAAAAGCAACCACCAGAUAGUCACUCGACAAUCAUCCACUUAAAAGUAUAAUAUGUGGGCUACUUCGAAGGGUGUGUUAUGUGCGGUUAAAAAGUACGAUGCAAAAGUAUCUUAAUACAUAGGUUUGGUUAAUGCAUGAAUUUUGGUGUUGCAUGAGAAAACAUAAUCUUUCUAUGUAUACUUUCUCCCUAGCUUCUGCUUAACCUAAUUAAUAAGGGCUUAUUUGGAUUGGACGCCUACAAAAGUGCUUACUCAGAACACUCUUUCUAUAAGCAGCAACUCAGAACACUCCUGCUGCAGGCUUUGUGGCUUCCCCUCUGCUUCGUGCCACCUGGGACAAAACAAAAGCGCUGCCGGAAACAAGUCCUUAUUAUUUAGGAUCUUUCAUAUUUGGACAAACUUGGGGACCCAACUUUUACAAAACCAAAGUUGGGAAAAACAAAAGUGCCAUCAAUUUAGUAAAACGGAAGCACUGCCAAACAAGUCCUUAAUGUUGGGUUUUUAUUUUUUCUUUUCAAAUUGAGACAAACUCUGGGACUCAAUUGUCCAAUCAGUGUGAAACAAAAUGAAUUUGAACUCUCAAUUCAGGCAUUUAUAUUUGUGGUUAGAGAAGUUUGGGAAAGUUCUACAUUUAAUAACAGUGCAAGAAAUUAACUUGGAAAAAAGCUUAGAGAACACAUAACAAACACAAUAUGAGCGAAUCUAGUACAUGUUAGGAUUUGAUUACAUUUGUAGUUAAAUUCUAAUUGGAUUAAGAUUAAUAUUUAAAUUUAUUGAAGAUAAAUUAAGAUUUAAAUGUUAAUUAGAAUAUAAAUCUAAUUGGAUUAGGAUUUUGGUAGCUUUUAAUGUAAGCUAUAAACAUAGUAUAGGCGUUAUUAUUUUGGUGGUGAUUGUACGGAUUAGUCACACUCAUAUGGCAUGGCCAAGGUGGUUAUGAUUUUUGGAUGCACCUUAUGCAUGGGUGCAAUAGGACGUGAGCGGCUUUCGUAGCCGUGGGUCUUUGGUAUACUUUGUGCAUGGGUGUACAGGAUGAGAGAGAUGUCUUCUGAGAUUAUAGAAGACGAGAGAAGGGUAGGAGAGAUUCAAAAAGAGGGCUCGGGUUGUAGCUACUCUAUUGCAGAAAAGGAGUAGUGUAAAUUUUUUUUUUAAUGAAUAUUAUUUUAUCCGCAUAUUUUUUUGUUUAGUUAUUUUCUCUCUUUUAUGAUUAUAUUAGUUUCUGCUGAGAAGACGAGUUUAUGGUAAAAAUCCGAUUUGAUGCUUUUGUUGUGGAAUUCCAACAAUCAGUACCGGAUCAACAGUAGUCGGUAUCGGAGCAGAUUGCGGAUUCUCAAAAUUUGGUACCGGGGUGAGUGCCGGAUUCCCAACAAUUGGUGUCAGAGACAAAGGUUACUGAUCAUUGGGAGAGAUCGACGUCAAAAUAUUGGAUUACCGAUCUUUGUAGAAGAUCGACGUCAUUGUACGGUAUUACUGAUUUGAAGCGAUCGAUGUUAAAGGACAAUUUGAUCUCAUUAGGCAUGUUGGAUUCGAAGGGUUGCGAUUUUCGGCUUCAGGUGGAGUUAUGAGGGUCCGAAAGCGGGAUGGGGUCGUGUGCGAGGCGAACAAGUAUGGAAACUUGUACGUUUUGAACGGGAGCACAGUCAGAACGAAAGCAAAGGCGGUUUGGGUUUCAAAAGUUCACUAAAGUGCAGUCGCUCGAGAUGGAGCGACGGAUGCGGCUACAUCGAGUGAAGGAGACAAAUUCAAGAUGAAGCUUGCAUGGUAAGUUCGAAGCAGCGGUUGAAGACUACAAAUCCAACCAAGGUGAAGAAUAUUAGGAUUUGGUUAGAUUUGUAGUUGAAUCCUAAUUGAAUUAGGAUUAAUAUUUAAAUCUAUUGGAGAUAAAUUAAGAUUUAAAUAUUAAUUAUAGUAUAAAUCUAAUUAGAUUAGGAUUUGGAUAGCUUUUAAUGUAAGCUAUAAAUAUAGCAUAGAUGUUAUUAUUUUGGUGGUGGUGGUACGGAUUAGCUACACCCAUAUGACAUGGCCAAUGUGGUCAUGAUUUUUGGAUGCACCUUGUGCUUGGAUGCUAUAGGAUGUGACGGCUUUCGUAGCCAUGGGUUAUUGGUAUACCUUGUGCAUGGAUGCACAUGAUGAGAGAGAUGUCUUCUGAGAUUAUAGAAGACGAGAGAAGGAUAUGAGAGAUUCAAAAAGAGGGCUCGGGUUGUAGCUACUCUGUUGCAGAAGAGGAGUGGUGUAAUAUUCUUUUAUUUAAUGAAUAUUAUUUUACUCGCAUAUUUUCUAUUUGGUUAUUUUCUCUCUUGUAUGAUUAUAUCAGCCUCUACUGAGUAGACGAGUUUAUGGUAAAAAACCGAUUCAACAUUUUCGUUGUGGAAUCCCAACAAUUGGUACCAGAUCAACAACAGUCGGUAUCGAAGCGGAUUGCAGAUUCUCAAAAUCCGGUACCGGGUGUCCAAUAUAUAUAUUAUAUAGAGAGAGAGAGAAAGAGAGAGAGAUUUGCUAGGCUAUUAUCAAUAGUGAACUACUCGGUUAACUACAGAUUUAUUUUUGAUAAUUGAGCUUUUAAAUAGACGAUCAAUUCUAUUGAAUAUGAUUUUAGCCUAUUUAAACUAUAUGGAAAUCAAACUUAAUACCUUUUUGAUAUCACUAACCGAACGAUCAAAGGGUCAAAAAAUUUAAAAUUUUAAUGGCAGUAUAGUGUGUUUGCUACUUUAACGGUAUAAAAGAGUUCAAAUCAACUGAAGUUUUAUUAGAAAUUUUUUAAAAACUAUUUAAAAUAAAAUCUAGACUCUAAAUUUUAAAUACAAAAAUUGUAUCAUCACUCAUUCAAAGAUAUUUAUUUUCAGCUAUUCCUUUUUAUGUCCUAUUGAUGGAUAAGAGAAAAAUAUUGAAAAAAAUAAAAUUUGAUUUUUAAAUAAUUUAAAUGAUCUAGAUCAUGUUCAAUGGUGUCGAUCGUCGAUUUAUAAACUCUGUGAUCGAAAAUAAAUCGAAAACAACUAUCCUUUACUGAGCGCUCCAUGGGAUAAUUAUUUUAUGAUAGUAUUCUAGUAAAGCUCCAUACAUACUAUACAUACUAUCUUUUACAAUACUAAUACUUUAUAUUUAUUUGAGAGAUACAUAAAAUACCCUAGCUCUUUAUUGUGUGACUAUUUUUUUCCUAGUCUUAGCCAUAAUUCAAUAUUUUUUCAUUGGAUGGUUAAACAAUGAAUUUGUAUUCUUAAAUUGUUUAAAAUUUUGUGUACAUCCAAAAUAUUGUAAAACUCAAAUAAAAGAUCAAGGCAAGCUUAAAACAUUAAUUUCAUCACUUUCACCUUGUAACUAUUGACGAAAGAAAUCAAAACGAUUAGUAACAUAAAUUAAUUAAAUUCCUUCCACAACCGAUAAGUUGUGAGUUGUUUAUAUAUUUGAGAAUUUAUAUGUCAGAUUAUAAUUAAGAUAACUGUUAGGAUUUAGUUAGAUUUGUAAUUGAAUUCCUAGUUAGAUUAGGAUCAAUAUUUAAAUUUAUUAGAGAUAAAUAAAGAUUUAAAUAUUAAUUAUAGUAACAAUUUAAUUGGACUGAGAUUUGGAUAGCUUUUGAUAUACGUUAUAAAUAUAGUAUAUGUGCUAUUAUUUUGGUGGUGUUGGUAUGACACAGCCACACCCAUAUGGUAUGGGCAAGAUGAUCAUGAUUUCAAAUGUACCUAAUAUAUGGGUGCAAGAGGACAUGUGCGGCUGUCGUGGCCGUGAGUCAUUAGAAUGAGAGAGAAGUUUUCUUUUUAAUUGAUAGAAUAAGAGAGAGAGAGAGAGAGGGUAAAGAGAUUCAGAAAGAGAGUUCGAAUUGAAGUUAUUCUAUUAUAAAAGAGAAAUUAGCUAGGUGUACUUUUCUCUUAAUUAGUGAAUCUUAUUUUAUUCAUAUAUUUUUUGUUUGGAUUUUUCCUCUUUUAUCAUUAUAUCAGUUUUAUCGAGGAGACUGAUUUAUGGUAAAAAUUUGAUUUGACGCUUUUGUUGCGGAAUCACACCAACUUGUACCAGAUCAACAGCUCUGGGUAUCAGGGCGAAUACCAUAUUCCCAACAAUAACAACAAAAUUGUCAACAGUUUUUCGUGAAUUGUUUGUCGUGAAUAAUGUGGUAAUAUUAAAUAAGAAAAAAAAAAGAUGAGCUAAUUAGUUAGUUUUAUUUGAGAACGGAAAGAGUCAAGAAGAGAUUAAGAUAAAUAAGGUGGUGAGUGAAGUAGAGAUUUAGGAUGCCUUUGUACUCACCAACUGGAUACAUCUAGUUGCUUCGAUCACCACAUACUAAUUGUCAACGUUUCGUGCUUCACACAACUACAACAACAACAGCAACAAUUAACAAAGGCCCCAUUAAUUCAAGAAUGGAUCUGAUCUCCUCUUAAUUACUAAAAAAAAAAAAAAGUAUGAAGACCCCUCCAACUGGCUAGGCCAUUACGUGAUAAUCGAAUCAACUUUAUUUUUUUGAUUAAAACUUCACAUAUAUACUUUUGACAUUUUUGCGUGACGUUGUUUUAGUCUAUGUUUUAUAAAUUGGCUAUGAUUGUGACUCGUAAAUAUUAUUGGGUCAAAAGUCACUGGUUCAACCAGUCUGUCACCACUAAGGGGCUGUUUGGUUGGAUGUAGUUGCAAAAACAAUAUAGUUGGAAGUAUAUGCAGUUGUAAAUGCUGCAGUCAUAAUUAUACCAAGUCUGUUUGGUUUUAUGCAGUUGCAACUGCUGUAGUUACCUUUCUUCUGUUUGAUAGUCUGCAGUUGAAAUUUGUAUUUAUAAAUUCUGUCAACUUUUAGAUAGAAAGGUGAGAUUAUCUCUACUGAGUAUAACGUAAUUAUAUUUUAAUUAUUAAUUAAGACUUUUAUAUUUAUAUAUAAUUUAUAUAUUAUAAAAUUAUAUAUUAAUUUAAUAAAUUUUAAUUGUAAAUAUAUUAUAAAUUUGGUCAAAAUAAAAAUUAAACUAGCAGGCUGAAAAAAAAAGAAAAGUAUGAAAAAAAUUUAUUGAUCUUAACAAACAUUACUAAAUCCUAUCAAAUUCAUAAAUAUGUAUUUUUGGAAAAAAAAAAUAAAAAAUAAGCGUAUGAAAAAAAAAUCACACUUUGUUUAUUUUUUUAAUUAGUGAGCAGACUUCGGCUCAACUGCUGCAGUUGGGCCUUCUCAUGCAGAUGCAACUACAGUAGUUGGGCCUAACUGUACCAAACCAAAUAAAAAAUUAAUUAAUAGAUGUAUGCAUUUUCAACUGCAAUGCAGUUGUAAAUACAUGCAACCAAACAGCCCCUAAUUGAAUCAGUAAUGUCAACAUGAUGUUAUAAAUAUUUAAUUAUUAUUUUAAUUUUAUUUUAUAUAUAUAUUAUUCUAGUAUAAUAUUUAAUUAUAAAAUACUGAUUUCUAGACCAAAUUAAGUUUAUGUUAAUUAUCAAGUUUCACUUUUUAUAAUACAACUACUCUAUGUUAACGGAAAAUAAAAUUAGCUAAGCCGAUUUUAAGCCGUUGGAUUUUAAUAUGACUGGAUGAAUAAAACUCGGCCGAUUUGAUUAAAAUCAGACCGGUUCACUAGUUUAAUAGGUGAACCACCAAUUCGAUCGGUUUAAAGUGAUUUUUUAACUUAUCAAGUUUAAAGAGUUGAAACGAACCACUUUAUAAACUUAGUCAUAGUCGUAUUGGUUGAACCGUCGGGCUGAACUCGAUUUUUAAAUCAUUGGUUUUAGUUAGUCAAUCAAAUAGAAGAUUUUUUGGGUUCAUUAAUCAAUUACUAUAUCAAAUUUAAUAAUUUUAACUAUUUUGUAGCAAAUAAAAUUAGAAUAAUUGUCUACCAAAAUGCUUAACUUGACUGAUUAAUACUAGAUUAACUAGAAUCGGAAAAUUAGAAUUUAAAAAGCUGUAAACCUAGCCUAUAUCAAAAUAACCUAUAGUUGAGGGAGUCUCAACUCAUGCAUGUCUACCCAAAAAAAAAAAAAAAAAAAAAAAAAAAAAAAAAAAAAAAAAAAAAAAGAAGAAGAGGGAAUCAGCCCCUUCUUAAUUAGUCCCACUCUUCAUCCUCUACCAUGCCAUUGACUUGUCAUAGGCCACAAUACUCACAAACCCUAGAAAAAAAAAUCUAUUUGAUACCAUUUUGUCCAAACCAUCCAAUGAAUAAAAGCCAUGAAACCAAUGGACAUUAUUAGUAUUUUACACUUUUUGGUGCUUAUCAUAUCAAACCAAAUACAAUAUGUGGUUGGGUUGUUUUGGUUUGGGUGGCAUGUAGAGUAACCAAUCAAAGUAGUGCAUCACAUUACCCAAGUCAAGCUCUCUCACAAACUUUAUACCUUGCUUGUACCAAAAACCCUAUAUAUAAAAGCCUGUAAUGUAUGAUUAAUCAAAGUCAACAAGUGGGUGUUCUUAUAAUUAAUGUUUCUAGCUAAUGCACUUGUCCUUGUACUCAACACUGUCUUAACACAAUGGAAUAGUAGAUCCAUCUAGUAGUUACAAAGUUUAUUAAGUAUUUUCCAUCACUAAGGUUAGAAAUAGAUUUGUACCCCUAUGAACUCAUCCAUUUACAUACAUGCAUGCCUUUUCAAUUGAGACUAUACUAUGUAAAUAUAUAUGCUUUUGAGUAAAAAGCUUUACUAUCAUAUCGAUCUUUUGUACAAUACAAAGCAUUAUCAAAGCUAAUUUUAAAUUCCUACAAUUUCUUGAGAUUGUAGCUCACUCAUUAAUUACACACGAUUUUCAUACGCGUGGCAGAUGUGUUAAAGAUAUUUUUUUAUUUAUUUUUCAAUUUGGUUGAUCUUUUGAGUGACACAAUAUACCCUUAUAAAAGGAAUAUAUAGCCAAAUAUUUUUGAUCUCUCUAGCUAUCCCUUGGUCUUACUCUCAGUCUAUGGUUGAAAGAUCUUCACGAUAAUUUCUCCCCCCAAUUACACUCAUCAUCAAGAGACCAAAUAGAAGAGAAAAGAAGAGUUAAAAGAAAGCAAAUUUUUCUAAAAAUUUUCUCUUAUUAUUUGGAUUAAGGGAGAAAAUAAAGAGAAAAUAAAUUUCUCUCUUCCUCUCUAUUAAAUAUACGAAAUGAAAAACACGAAGCAACUGCUGUUUUUCGAAAGCUUAACAAAAUAUUAAGCUGAGAGAGAAAAUCCUUUUAUAUUUUUAUACUUAAUACUCUCACUCAAGUCUAAUAUCGAGAUUUUUUUAUUGUGAUUCAAAUUCAGAACCUCCCGUUUUGAUAUUUUAUUAAAGAAUAUGAAACAUCUGUUAUUCUCUAAAAACUUAAGAUACCAAUACUCUCUAAUAUUAGAUAGAAGAUAAUUAACCGAUAUAAAAAAAAUCAUUUUCUUUCUUCAUUGCUUCAUUUCGUUUUCUUUUUUUUUUCUCUUAUCAUAUUUCAUUCCAAAUGAAAAAAAAAAAAAAUUUAUCUGCUAAUUUUUCUUUUCUUUUCUUUUCUUUUUCGUUCAAAUGAAGGGUAUAUAUGAAUCCUCUCAUGCACAAAAGAUACCAGGAUGUUUCCACCUUAUUUCGAAGCCAACCAAAUCUCCUCCUUAAUUCCAACCUCUCUCUCUCUCACCCAUCUCAUUUUCCCCCUCACAUUAUUACUGAGUCACCUCCCUUCUUUCUAUCUCCCCUUUUUUAUCUCAUGCACAAGAGGGAGGGAUCACGGAACAUACAUACAUACACACACCUUUAUCGUGUCCCCCUCACUUAUCUCUCUCUCUCCUAUUCCCUUCAAAUAAUAAAUAACAUAAAAUAUUUCAGAUAAUAUUCCAUAGUAUCAGAGCACGAGCUCGGAUUUUUAUUUGUUUUACUUGAUUAAAUUUUCUUUCCAUCUAGCAUUCCCAAUUAACCCACUUAAUUUGUCCAUAAAUUAUAAAUUGAAGUGUCCAUCGACACGGACCGUAUCCGCCGUGCCAUAUUGUACCAGCAAAAUAUCGGCACGAUAAAAUUUUCAUACCGAAGGCACAACUUAAAACUCUAUAUUCUUUAAAUUAAUUAGUAAUAAUUUUAUUAAUAAAAUUCAAAAUAUUUAAUAAAAAUAAAUAAUAAAUAAUUGAUAUAUUUUAUUGCUAAAGCAAAAUAAAUAUUUCAUGUCAUUAUAUUUUGGUGCGCAUAUAUUUUUUGUAAGCAGCACGCUCACGCACCGUGCCGACUAGUUUCUGGCACUACCCUGUGUGCCACGGCACUUAAAUUCUUGUUCCAAAUAUUCCCAACUCCUCCUAUAAUUAACCACCCUAAUUAGCUUAAUUAGUUGUUUUCACAAGUGCCCACUUUGGUUUUAUCCCUUGCUCUUCCACUCUGUCCCUUCUCUAUUUGUCCCACUCCCCACCCCUCCAUUCCCCACUAUUCACUCCCCACCUCUCCUGCGCAUAUACUCUCUCUCUCUCUCUCUCUCUCUCUCUCUCUCUCUCUCUCUCUCCCUCUCCCUAUUAUUUUAACCACCACCAUUCUCUUUUUUAGCUUUACUAUAUAUCCCUGUAUAUGUAAGCAUUAAGCAAAAGUGAUCGUAAUAAGCUCGGCGGACUUAUUCAUAAGCCUAGCUAAUUAGUAAUUACACCUCCUCACAAGAGGAAAAGGGCGGCUUUUGACUCCACUCCCCCCAUUUUUUUCUCUAUAUAUUAUUUUUAGUACUUAUUAUUAUUAGUAGUAGUAUUAGAAUUUGUAUUUGUUGUAUUUGUAUUUGUUCCACUCCAUCCACCUAGCUAUUUUCAUCAGUUACUCCUCUCUCUCGUUUUCUCCUCCUCCCCUUCUCCCUCUCUUCUCUCUCUCUCUCUCUCUCGAUUGAGAGUCAUGGAGAUCAAAGAAGAAACUAUGGGAUCCAAUUACAGUGGCAACGGUGUAGGCGGUGGUGGCGGCGGCGCCAUAGCGGCGUUCGCGAAGGGCAAGCGCACCAAGCGGCAGCGGCCCGGCCCGGCGGUGGGGGAUUCUUCGUCGGGGUCGUCGGCGGCGUCUGCGAGCGUCAUCACGGAAGAGGACGAGGACAUGGCCAAUUGCCUGAUCCUCCUCGCCCGCGGCCGCUGCGCAGCUCCUGCCGCGACCGACCAACAUCCGCCGCCGGGGACAGCCGUCACGGGCGUCUACGAGUGCAAGACGUGCAGCAAGUGCUUCCCCUCCUUCCAGGCGCUCGGCGGCCACCGCGCCAGCCACAAGAAACCGAAGCACGCGGCUGCCCUCGCAAACGCUAACGUUUACGAGGAGAUCAAUAGGAAGCCGCCCGCGCCGCCCAUGCACGACGAAGAGCCGGUGCAAGUCGUGAGGCCGACGGUCGGCGCCGUCAAAUCGGCGAGAGUCCACGAGUGCUCGAUUUGCGGGUCGGAGUUCAAUUCGGGGCAGGCGCUGGGCGGGCACAUGCGGCGGCACCGGCCGCUGAUCGCGGUGGCCGUCCCGGAAGAGCCGAAAAGCGAGAGGACAAGCGUUGUUCUCGAGCUGGACCUCAACCUCCCCGCCCCCGCCGACGACGACGACGACCACCACCACGACCAAAGCCUCGAUCUCGUCCACCGCGGCUUCGCCUUCGGCACCGCCGCCGCCGCAGCGAAGCGGCCUCUCAUCUUCUCCUCGUCAGGAUCGGCUUUGGUGGAUUGCCAUUACUAAAUGCCAAAGCAAACCUUCUCUGGUUCUCUUCUCUUUCAUUUGGUACAUUUCUUUUUUCUUUUUNUUUUUUUUUUUUUUUUUUUCUAUCUCUUUUUUUUGGAUACGAGUACAGAAUAUCAAUUUUUUUGUUAAAAAAAAAAAUAUUAACGUCUCUUGCCGAUACCAUUGAUUUUUGAAGCUGGAUGUUACCAAAAUUACUUUAGAACCUAAGAUUUCUUAUAUGUGGACUCUUUAGAUGUUGAGAAUCACAUUUAUCAGAUAAAGAAUUUGAUUUUAUAAUAUUAGACAUCAAGUAUCAUAUGUGGUAUAUAAAAUGUGCGAUACUUAUUUUAUUAUAUCGUAUAUCAAAUAUUAGAUGCAGUGCAUGAGAUAUACAGAUACACCAAUUUCUCACAUGCCAACCUUUGUAUACAUUAUUAUUAUUAUUAUUAUUAUUAUUAUAUUAUGUUGCUUGGUGUGGCACCAAGAAAAGGGGCGGGGAUUAGGAUGGUCCGCCCAUGAGUUCGUUCCGUUCGUGAGACGACUGUUGAUGAUGCUUGCUUGACCUCCAAACGCCAAAAAGGAAUACCAGAGAGACAGAGACAGAGAGCGAGCUGGACGGACAACUAAGGCAACUUCCUAACCGCCUCAAGCCCAACCAAUUGUCACCUACACCACUUGCACCGUUUCGCCGUCCUGCACCUGCGACACUUUUAAUUAUUCAUCUCAUCUCAUACUUUUCUAAAAAAAAUAAUUUACGCUCUGUUUAGGAGACUACAGAGAAAAUUAAAGAAGUGUAAGAAGAAAGAUUUUAUUUGUUUAUAUACAAAAAUUUACAUUUGAUAGAUUGUAAAAGACGUAUCAAUAUAUACUUUCUCUCCGUGUCAUUUUCACCAAAUAGUAGUAAACUAGUGUGGUGAUUCGUGCGAUACGACGGAUAAAAUAAUUAAAAAAACGGCGACAAAAAAAGGAAGCGUCGAUAAUGAGUGAAACUUAUUUUGUCGAUGAAGAAAGAUAACAAUAGAAGGAAGAGAAAGAUAAACAGUUACGCCCAAUGCAGAAGUAUAAUCCGAUUUGGUUCAAGUAAAGAAAGAGAAAAAUCAGGCUCAGCUCAAACAAAAAAAGAGAAAGAUGUGAAAGACUUGAGCCGGUUUUAGGAAGUCCACGCUCAACAAUGAUAGGUUCGAUUCAAAUAAAAAAAGAAAAAAAUUAUAUACGAUUCAAGCAAAAAAAAGGAAAACAUGUGAAGGAUUUGAAUUGAUUCGAGGUGAAGCUCACACUCAACAAUAAAGAAAAUAUUAUUAUGUGGCAAAUUUAGGAAGAAUAAUAAUAUAUAAGUAUAGAUUACUUUCAUAUCAAACGAAUUAACUCUUAUAAAAUAAUGGAGUACUAAUUCAAUACUUAAGACAGUAUAGCCUUUGAAGUUAAAACUCAUAAAUCGCUCAAUAUAAAUAUAUCUUAUAUUGAUUAAAAAUGUACUAAAAUAAUAAAAUAGUGACAUGAAUUUUAUAAAAAUGUAAUCAAAGAUCAAAAUUAAGCUUUUAAUCUAUAAUUGCUAGUGUGGCUUUUACAAGAGCAAAACUAAUUAGGAUGAGAAAGGGUGGCUUUGCAGGACUGGUGCAUAGGCUGAGCUGGUACACCUGGGUGCAGUCAAUAAUUUGUCCACUCGUGUUGUAAAGUCUAACCAUCACACACCUGUACCAUCCUGCACUUUCCACACACACACACAAUUCUAUUGAGAAAAUUCAAGAAUAAGUAGUUAUAAUAAUAAAACCAACUUCUAAAUCUCCUUGUUCUAGAAGCUCGAUCCUCACCCUAACACCCACAUCUUAUAAAUAAUUUACAUUUUACUACAUACCAAUUAUAUAUUAGUACAUAGUAAAAUAUAAUUAUUAUUAUUAUUAUUAUUAUUAUUUUAGCUGAAAUAUAAAUUUUUUAAAAUCUAAUUUUACCAAAUUGAGUUAUGCUAUGCCUGUGAAGUAAAAUAAAAAUUGACCUCUCUCCCUCAUUGGUUUCUCCCCUCAUCAGGAGGGGUGCUGAUAUACUCAAUUUAUUGGAGAAAUAGUUUUGGAAAAAUGUAAAAUUUGGUCAUUUUAAUCUUGCAAUUAGCCCAUAGAAUUCCUCUAGCUUUCUAUCACAUAUUUAUUUAUGUGAAUCUUUUCAAUGUAGCUAGCCUAAGUAAGGUGAUGAGCUGCAGGUAUACUAGUAUGAGUAUCUACAUGUGUAUCUUAAUUAUCACAACUUCACCAAACCAACCAUAUCAUUAAUACUGUGGAUGAGAAGCUAUAAUCAUGCCCUUGCAUCACCAUCAAUUUGAUGGACAAGAAGGUCUAGUGAGUGGAUAGUGAUAUUGCCACUGCUUUCAAUCACUACAUAGUAAUUAAAUACAAUGCAUCCAUAAUAAAUUUUAACAUGUUAAUGAUGUUAAAAAAAAAUGUUUAUCGAUCCUUAAAGAUUAAGUGGGUAAAAAAUUUUGUAUCUACAUAUUAUAUUCAACAUUAGCCCUUUCAUCUGGGUUCGAAGCUUUUUAAUAGUUGCAAUGUGUGGACCAAAAAUACAAUAAGAGAUAAUUAAAUAAAAUUAGGUGUUUACUGGUAUUUGAAGUCAAAACGUUAAACAUUUUAGUAAACCCUUUCAGUUCUUAGUUAGAGAUCUUGAGUUGAACACCUCUCCAUCUACCAUUUAAUGACACAAUUUUUCGUUUCUUUUUCAUCUCUCUUUUGUUAUUUUUUUGGUCAACACACGUAAGUGGCAUAAUUUAACUGAUCUUUAUAUAUAAUGCACGUAAACAAAAGUGUUAAGACUGUUUUUCUACUAUUUUCUAUAAAUUUACUCUUUUAGGUAACAAAUUAGACCAUCCCUUGUCAAAUCUAUCACAUGACUUGUAAGCACCAAAGUUCACAAGAUAUGUUAUUUGAACGCCUAAAAGAAUUAUGUAAAUCACUUAAGCCAGGAUUCUACGCUUUCGAAAGUACGAAGGCCAUUGUACUUAUAAGUUGUUUUCAAUAAUGAAAAAUCUGAUUUAACGAUCGAUUCUGUUAGACACGAUCUACGCUAUUGGAACUAUAUAGAAACCAAAAUUUAUAAUUUUUUUUUAAAUUCAUUUGCCUAGUAAACGAGCAUGAAUGACUGAAAAUUGAUGUUAAGUCGAAUUUUUAUUAAAGUUCCAUAUAAUUUGGAUUGUUCUACACUGUUGGACUUAAAAACAUGCCACAUUGAUUGUUAAUUAAGAUAGUCAUUUGUGAGAUCUUUUGAUCACAAGAUAAAUAAUGUUGAAAACUUAUAAAAUUUGGUAUAUAGAUAAUUUCAAUAGAGUAGAUUAUGUCUAAUGGAGCCAAUCGUCAAAUCGGAUAUCCUAUCAUCAUAGGAGACAUACUCAAUCAUUUAUCUAAAGGUUUUCUAAACCCUUUUGUAUUUAUGAAAAUAUUGAAAAAAGAUAGUUGAUAAAACUUGUGAGAAAACAUUGGCCCUAAUUAGAUGAAUAAAACAUAAAAUUUAUACGCACUUUUGAAUGUACGGAUAGCAAUAUUGGUCAAUGUUUAAUUGAUCCUAACUUAUAUACUCCCUCUAUCUUUAGGACCAUUAAUUACGUAGAAACUGCUUUUACUAAAGUCACUCCUCAUCUAAAUCUCAUGAAGUAGUGCAAACUAGGUGACUUAGACAUAAUCUAACCUGUGGGUGGCAAGCGCACGUUAUGCGAAUGAGGGGAGGAUUGACAACUACCAAUUUAGACCAAGAGUAGGUUAGUGAGCUCCAUGCAUAAACCCCCACUCAUUCAAUCAUUGAAAAUUAUUCUACUUUGUACUAGGGCUGGCAAUCCAGUUCGUUGUUCACGAGUCAGCCCACAUUCGGCUCGAAAUGAGCUCGCGAUCAGUCGCUCGUUUAAUAAUUAAGUCAAACACGAGUUAAAUUUUUCAGCUCGAAAGCUUAAUGAGCCGAAUAUGAGCUGGAGUCAGUUCGCUUAUGUUCGGCUUGAAAUAAGCUCGAGAUCCCUCGUUUAAUAAAUAAGUCGAACACGAGUUAAAUUUUUUAGUUUGAAAUCUUAACGAGCCGAACAGGAGCCAGGAUAAUGUUCACUCCUGUUCAGCUCAAUAUAGCUUGAAAUAUAUAUAUAUAUAGAGUUUGACUAGACUACUAUCGAUAGUAAACUGCUCGGUUAACUACCGAUUUGUUUUUUAUGAUAGAGCUUCCAAAUCGACAAUUGACACCGUUGAACAUGAUCUAGACCAUUUAAAUUAUCUUGAAAUCAAAUUUCAUGAUUUUUUGGCAUCACUAACUGAACGAUCAAAGGGUCACAAAAUCUAUAAUUUUAAUGGCCAAUAUGGUGCGUUUGCUCAUUUAACGGUAUAGAAGAGUUCAAAUCAACUAAAUUUUUGUUAAAAAAUUCUUUAAACUAUUUAAAAUAAGAUCUAGACUCUAGAUCUCAAAUAUAAAAAUUGUAUCAUCACUUUUUGAAGGAUAUUCAUUUCCAGCCAUUCAUUUUUCUGUUCACUCGAUGGACAAGAUAACAAUAUUGAAAAUGUAUGAAAUUUGAUUUCCAGAUAGUUUAAAUAGUUUAGAUCAUAUUUAACGGUGCCGAUCAUCAAUUUGGAAGCUCUAUCAUCGAAACAAAUCAUGAGAUAGUAGACCAGCCAGCCUUUUACUACCGAUAGUUGUUAGCAAAAUCUCUCUCUCUCUCUCUCCUCUCUCUCUCUGCUCUCUCUGCUCUCUCGUCUUCUCCUCUCUCUCUCUUCUCUAUAUUAUAUAUAUGAUAUAUAUUAUAGUCCGGCUACUAUACUAUUGAUAGUACAAAUCCUUAGGUACUAUUGAGUUUUCUACGUUAGAUUUACCCUUUGAUCAUUUCCACCCGUUAGAUUAUACUAUUAAACAACAACCACAUCAACCCUAGGGAACCACUAUCAAUUUAACCGGAAACCACUAUCAUCCUAACUGCACAUCCUUUCAUCCAACUGCCAAAAAUUCAAUAUACAAAGGGCUUAGUACUAUUGAUAGUACAGUAGCUAAUCUAUAUUAAUAUAUAUUAUAUAUUAUAUUUAAUAUAUAUAUAUAUAUAUAUAAUAUUAUAUAUAUAUAAUAUAUAUUAUAUAUAUAUAUAGUCUAGCUGGUAUGCUAUCGAUAGCACGAAGAAUUCGGUGCUAUUAAGUUUUCUGCCGUUAGAUUUAUCUCUUUUAUCAUUUUCAUCCGUUCGAUUAUACUAUUCAACUAACCACCUAUUCAACCGUAGAGAGCCCAUAUCAUCCCAACCGUACAUCUUUUAAUCUAAUGGUAGAAAACUUAAUAGCACCAAGUCAUUGGUGCUAUUAAUAAUAUUCCAGCCUAGUUCUAUAUAUAUAGAGUAGGGCUACUAUACUCUUAUGAGUAUUGGGCCCUUCGUAGUCAUAAGUUGUUUUCGAUGAUAGAGUUUCCGAAUCAACGAUCCACUCUGUUAAAUAUGAUCUAGAGUAUUUGAAACUUCUAAAAAAUAAAUUUCGUAAUUUUUCGAAAUCAUAAUAAAGUCUAUCAAAUGGGCAUAAAAUGAACGGUCAAAAUUGAACGACGUCCUAUAUAUAUAUAUAUAAUUGUGCUGGAAUAUUAUUAAUAGUAUUUAGGUCCUUUUACUACUAAGUUUUAUAACCGUUGGAUGAAAAAUUAUAGAGUUGGAUGAUAGUACUCUCCUAAAAUUUAGCAAAUAGUUGGUGAAAUAACAUGUAGAAAUUAAUAAUCUAAGGAAAAAAUCUAACGGCUAAAAACUAGAUAGCAUCCACAACUGAAUAUUACAUAUAUUACAAAUUUCUACUAUUUGGAUUUAGGCAAACCCAAGUGUAAAGAGACCUUUAUUUUAUGAAUUUUAAUUAUUAGAUUAAGAUUCUAAUUUUCUAAUUUUCUUUGAACCUUUCACCCGGUAGUCAGACUAAUAAUCUAAUUUGCUAGCUAUUCAUGAGUCAGGUCAUGUUCGAUUUUUUAACAAAUAAGCCGAACACAAAAUGAAUUAUUUAUCUCAAUACUUUCACGAGCCAUCUCUUAUUCGGCUCAUUUAAUAAACGAGCGAACAUGAGUCAGCCCCCUCAUGUUUGGCUCGUUGACGGCCCUACUUUGUACUAGUUGUUUCUUGAUCAUUCUGAGUAGCUUAUGCUUUCAUUUUUUUUAGUACAUAAAAUUAACUAAAAGUUUUUAAAGAAGAGCAACCCCAUUCAACUGAUUCUUGGUAAUUCUUGAUAAAUCAUGAUGAAUGGUGCGCGUACCAACAGCAGAAUUAACAGAAGAGAUAAAAAAAAUCAAAAGCAUACAACCCAUUAAAUUGUGUGGGGAAUUGAAUCCAUAAUUAACUUUUUUGUACUGAAUUACUGAUGCAAUGUUUAAGAUCAGAUUGGAUACCAUAUUGUUACGACAAACGCACAAACGAAAACAAAAUGACGAACACAAAAUUAUCAAACCACAAGCAAAAAUAAAAGAAUACACAGAUUUACGUGGAAAACUCUUUGCAGAGAAAAAAAUCACGGGCGAGAGAGGAGAGAACUUUACUCUUGAAACUCAGAAGGGAAUACAAUGUUCUUCAUAUUACAACCAACCACGAUCAUACGCCUCUAGGGCAAAAACGAAAAGAAAAUUCAUAACGGGUUUCGGAUCCGAGCCCUCCGCUACCUACCACAGACAUUCAUUUUUCCUCCAUAAUUUUUUUUUCCAAUUUAGUCGCACCGCGAAAUAGUCGGCGAGUCGAAAAUCCAAACUUGAGUCGAAUAUCAAUUUCAAGUCACAUCUAACACAUAUUAAUCUUAAGAAAAAUAUAGUAAAAUUAGGAACACCACAUUCCUACAAAUUAGAAAAGAAAAUUUGGGUUCUUUAAUUGUUUUGUUAGUAAGCAAAAAACAAAAGGGUUAAACUUUUUCAUAUGUUGUUUGGCAAGCAAAAAAGGAUAAAAGGAUAUGGUAGUUUUAAUGUUUUUUUUUUUCAGUAUUUUAUUUUAUUUUUCCAUAUGUGGGAGGAGGAAAAUAUAUAUUCUUUGAUUCUAUUAUGGAUUCCAUAUGUUGACAGAUUAUUUGAAAUACAAGCAUUAAUAUAUAAUAUAAGUAAAUGUAUAAGAAUCAAUUUUUUCUAUAUUCUUUUUUCAAUCAUUUGAAUAAGUGCGUGUUGCAUACCUAAUUGCGCACUCUACUAUAUUUCACCAAGAGAAUAAACUCUUCCCUUGGCCCUACAUCUCAAAAUUCUCAAUUCAUAAAGCCAUAUACAGUUGGGAUGCGUGAAUAUAUAGUUCUGUAUAUAUCUUAUUUAUCGAAAAAAAAUUUAUAAUUUGAUAGAUGAGUAGUUGUAGAACAAGAUACAUCUAUCAUAUUCGGCCUUUAAAUUAUUUUUUAAAAUAAAAUAAAUUAUAUUGAAGGUGAAAUACACUAAUUUUUAAAAUCAUGGAUCUCAAUAUCUUAUGAGUAACUAAUUAAAAACUGUAGUUCUAACUUGCAAUGCCAAUCAUAUAAAAAAAAUGUUAUGUACCAUAUAAGCUGUCAAUAGAUGACUUAUUAUUCCAACAACCAAACAAAAUCAUAAUAAAAUAUUUUUCAUACCUCAGAAACAAAUUAUUACAAAUAGAUUUUUUUUUGGUUAGGAAUCCGCGACUUACAUUGAUACAAGAUUUUUUCUAAUACCAUUUAUUAUGACAAAAGAAGAAAAGAUUUAAUUCGUCGGGCGCAAAAAUACCCAAAGAGAAUCAAGAAAGAGAGAAGAAAAAUAAAGCACAUAAAUAUUUACGUGGUUCGGCUACUGGUCCAUUGAAGACGCAGUAUAAUUUUUCAUUAUAGUCAAAGUUGUGCACAAAAUAUACCUCUCUAACAAACUUCUAGUCCCAAAAAUAUUCUCAUAUUCCUUCGCAUCCGCCCGCAUCAAACUAAUUGAAUAAAAGAUAUAUUUAUAAUAAUGGCUAUAUAAAUACAUUAGGUCAAUAUUCUCAUAUUCCUUCUCAUAUUAUUCCUUCACUAAGAAUAGGAAUAAUCUUACUAAAAUUGAACAUAAUUUAGACUUAACUUAAUGGGAUAACAAAAUAGAAUAAUGUUAGAAAAUCUGGCGAUUCUCAAAUUUGAGACAUAUGUAACAUUUUUCUCACAUUCAAACAGCACCAUAAUUGUUAAAUGUAUAGAAUUCCCUUUUAGAUAUAUAGUGAUAUUCUUCCUCUAUAUAUCCACCAACCAGAUGGUAUAUAUGAGCUUGUGGAGUGUCUCACACUCAGCAAAGUGAGCUUCACUUGCAGUGCUACCAUCAAAACUCAAGUGCCUACCAACUCCAGUAGUUGCAGGCCAUUAAUUGGAAAGCUACACUUGCAUGAACCCACAUUACAUGUUGCUGCUGCAUGCCCCAUGGCUUUUUGUUAUUAACUAUCAACUUUAAUUUGGUGAUUUGAUUAAUUAAAUGAGGUCAUAGUUGAUAAGUACAUAUUGGUUUAAUUAAAGAUAAUCAAUCGCAUACGAAAUCAUCCUUAUCGUUCUCUAAUGGCGUAAUCUUUGGUAAAACUGCAGCAUUAUUCCUAAAAAUUUUGGACUCUAGAGGAGAGAUCCAUGGAAUUUUGUUUGGCCAGACUAACAUCAUGCGCAUAGAAUGUGUUCAAAUAUGUCAGAUUUGUUUAUAAAGGCUUCUUUUGUAUUUAGCCUUCUUAAUUUUUUUUUUUUUAAUAAAUAGUUAUAAUAAAUUUAUAUUUGCAUAAAUAACUCUCUUCUUGCCACACGAGCGUCUAGAUGGUAUUUUUAAGUUGAACAAGAUGAUUUAAUCGUUAUGUUUAAACACGGUGAUUGGAUCACUGUCUUCCAUUUUAUGUUUUUUAUUAUCCCUAAGUUAAAAAAGAUGGAUUAGAGUGCAGAUAUGAAUACGGUAAUUCAAUCACCGUGUUUAACUUAAAAAUGUCAACAUGAUGCUCGCAUGGUAAGAAAAAUAUGCAAAUAUAAAUUUAUUAAGACCAUUUAUAAAAAUUUUUUUACGGGGACUAAAUAUAAACAAAACCCUUUUUUAAUUGUAUCAGAACCUACGUAGUCAUGAUUUUAUAGAAAAAAAAUAAUUUAAUAAUAUUAAAAAUUGUAAAAUAAGUUUUUGUUAGGAUAAACUUUGAUUUGUACACCGUGAAUUUUUAUUUUUAUUAUUAUUAUUUUUUUUUACUUUAUCACCCCAUAGUUCACAUGGUAGCACUUAAUUAACUAUUCAGUCAUUUUAAUUUUUUUUUCAACAAAAUAAUUUUUCACCAAACAAAAUAGGAAAGUAAAAUUUAAAAAAAAAUCACGUAAUAGCACUUAUUUAAUGAUAGGUUCUUAUAAUGAAACUAAAAAUAAAAUUACAUAUCAGUUUUAGUGUGAACUUUUAAACCACGGAAUGACAAAAUAAAAAUAUACUAUUCCACAGGUUAGUUAAAUACAAUUUUUUGAACUACAUGGUGACAAAGUAAAAAUGCACGAUAAUGCAUAGGGGCAAAUUGAAGUUUACCCUUUUUAUUAGUUAGCUCUUUGCCAUAUGAUAUUGUUUAUUGGGAUCGUUCCAACAUGAUCUAGGAAUGUAAAACGGGUUGAACGGCACAUGGCACGACAAAGGGCCGAGCCGUGGCAAGGCGCGGACACUGUAACAUCCGUGUCGAGCCGGGCAGGCCCGCUGCAUUGAGUCGUGAUCGGCCAAGCCCUCUAGGCCGGUCGGCCCGACAUGACACGGCCUGUACUUGGGAGCCCAAGAUUUGCCACCUUGGGUUUCUCCCAUAUUUGAUAGAGGGGAGGGAGUUUUGGUCGAUUUGGACCAAAUACCCUCCCCACCACUAAAUUUGAUUGUUAGCGAGGGUAUUUUGGUCCGAUUCGGAAGGAACGAGAAAAAAAAUUGCAUGCACCUGGUUCAGGGGUGCGUAUAAAAGCAUCCCUAAUUAUUUAGGGAAUUGGACUUAUCUCCUGCAUGAGUUGUAUAACAUCAUAAAAUGUUAGGAUAAUACAGUUGCUGAUUUAGGAUGGGCGCCGAGCAAGGGUGAAAGUGGUUAGGAUAAACUCUGAUCCAACUUAAUUGACAGCCAAUUCGAUUGAAUGUGAAUAUGAAUAUUAAAUUAUGCAUUUGAUCGAAUUGGAAUUCGGAUUCAGAUGUCAUAUUUCAAUAUUUUCAAAUUCAAAUUCGGAUUCAGAUGCGGCUUCAAAUUCAGAUUUGGAUAUCCAAUAUAUUAUUAAUUUAUAUAUUUUAGAAAAAUACAAAGGAGGGUGAUGUAGCUUAGAGAGUAGAGAGCCUUCUCAUACGUGGGAGGUGUAGGAUUUAAUUUAAUAACAAUUAUUAAAUUAAAAAUAAUAACUAUUUAAAUUUAGAUAUAUAUUUAAAUUUAAUUAAGAUUAAAUUAUAAUUAUAAAUUUGGAUUUGGUUACUUUUUGUAGGGAGAUGAAGGCGAUGUUUGAUUCGCUAGUAAAAUAACUCGUUCAGCUUAAACCACCGACCCAAAAUGCUUAAACUUUGUUAUUUUUACUGAUAUCCAUAGUCUAUUAUAUAUUUAAUCACAGCCCCAUUCUGAUCCGAUAUAGGACUAUUGGGCGUUACAAGCUCCCCCCGUUUAGGCCCUAACAUCUCAUUAAUUCAAUCACACACAGAGCCCAAAAUCAUCAGGCGAUGUGAGACUUAUCUCGCUAGCCUUGUCAGUUCGCCAGCUGAGACUCAUUUCAUACUUUCGACGGGUGAUUGACUAUAAUAUCAAAUAUAAUGACCCGAUCCGUUAGUAAUAAUAAUUCGUUAGGCCCAAACUAUCUACCCAAAAUGCUUAAGCUCAGUUAUUAUUAUUAAUGUCUAUGAUAUCUUAUAUAUCUAAUCACAAUUCCAUUAUCAUCCAAUAUCGGACUAUUGAGGCAUCACAAUGUUAAUAGAGAUAAUUGUCUAUAUACCCCUCAUACGUUUAAAAAUAUCCGAUUUACCCCUACUUUUUUUUCUUUCUAAAAUACCCCUUAUAUGUUCCACCGUUAUUGUAAAAUACUUCCGCAGUUAUCUUCUGUUAAGUUAACUUGAGUUAAACGUGAGUUAAAUAUCUACCACAGUUAGGGGUGGAAACGAGCUGAGCUCGAGCCCUAAACGAGCCGCUUGAAAUUCCCAACAUCAUACAAUCAAUAGUUUAAUUUGUAUAGAACAUUAUCUAUAAUUUGAUACAAAAAUAUGUCUAAUAGUUCAAAGUACAAAUAAUUAUAUAAAAUAUAGUAUUAUAAUAUAAAAAAAAUAAUUUAUGAGUUGAAUAUCUAAUCUUUUCAGCCUCAUAUGUCUUCUCUUUCGCCUUCAAUCUCCAUAUUAUUCAUUUUCAUUUAUGCGGUCAAAAAUAAAUAAAUUAUAUAGAUAAAUAUUGGAUUAAACUAUCCAAUCAUAUAUAACUAAAAUUAAAAUUUUAUAUGAAUAAUAAUUUUUUAUUUUAAAAAUAUUCUGUAUAUUUUCUCAAGCAUACAAUUAAUAGCAAGGUAGGCAAUGGCGGGCAUAUGCUGUUACUUGGUAACUUGGAGGGCUUUCAGCUUGGCUGCUUAGGGUGACAGGCAGAAAAAGAAAAAGAGAUAAACAUAUUGAAAAUUUAGAGCUCUGUGAAAGAAAGAAAGAAAGGAAAAAUGUAUAAAUUUAGUGAAAUUUUGCUCUUUUAUUUGUCUAUUGGAUUUGUUUUUAUGGGCCAACAAUAUUGGCCAAAUUUUAACUAAACUGAGAUUAUUCACUCAGCCUAUAUAUAAUUAUAUUUAUAUAUUUUUAAUAUAUAUAUAUAGUGUAGAACUACUAUGCUAUCGAAAAUAUAGAGGAUUUGAUAUUUUCGAAUUUUUGAACUUUUGAUUAAGAAUUGUUUGGUUGGGGAUGAUUGCGGUCCCCCCUAGGAUUAAAUAAUACUCAUAGGAUUGAGUGGUCCCUAUAAGAUAAUAAUAGUAUUAAUCCAAAGAUAAGAAAUAAUUAAAAGGUAAAAAUCCAAAAAAUUGAAAGCACCAGAUCUUUUUAUACUUUCGAUAGUAUAUAGUUCCUAGUGUACAUAUAUAUAUAUAUAUUAUAUAUAAUAUAUAUAUAUAUAUAUAUAUUCGAGCUAUUCGAGCCUAAUUCGAACGAGUCGAGUAAUGCUCAAGCUCGGCUCAUUUAAUUUCGAGUCGAGCUCGAGCGAGCCAAAUAUCGAGUCGAACGUGAGUCGAACGUGAGCCGGCUCGCUCAUUUGCCAGCCCUAACCACAGUUAAAAAAAUUAAAAUGCCAAUUUUGUCCUUAACUUAAGGGCAAAUAAGAAAUGUUAGUGACAGUAGAGGGGUAUAUUGGAAAAAAUUAAAAAUCAAAAUACUUUUGGUGCCCCUGACUUUAAGGGCAAAUAAGAAAGUCAGUGAGGGUGGAAGGGUAUAUUUAAAAGGGCAAAAUAGUAAUUAUCUAGAGAUAACAUAGUUAAUUAAUAUAUUUUAACUCUUAGGGUAUAUUAGAAAUAGGUUGGAACGUAGAAAUGGUAUUUUCAAUAUUAGCCUCCUAAGAGGGUAAAUCGAAAAGUCGGGAACUUUUCAGGAGUAUAUAAGCAAUUGCCUCAUAUUAAUAUAUCUGUGAGGGAAUACAAUGUUUUAUUAUAUUUUUCGUUUAUUUUAUUAUGAGUUUCGUAUUAAAAUUGCAUUUUAUAUUUACUAAAUCUAGAUAUUAUUCAAUAAGCAAUAGGUACAUAAAAAUUUGAAUAUGAUUGCAAAAUUUUAGUUGCAUUGUUACUAAUUCUAAUAUAUAUAUAUAUAUAUAUAUAUAGUUGAGCUAGAAUGCUAUCAGUAGCAAACGCGCUCCGUUGCCACACAUUUGUUUUCGAUGAUGGAGCUUUCAAAUCGACGAUCGGCACCGUUGAGCAUGAUCUAUAUCACUUGAAGUAUCUAGAAAUCAAAUUUCAAAUCUUUUCGACAUCAUUUACCUAAUGAUCAAAGUGUUUCAAAAUUAGUAAUUUUAAUGGUUGAUAUGAGGGGUUUUCUUGUUUAACGGUGUAAAGCUAUCCAAAUCAAUUGAAUUUUGGUUAGAAAAUUCUUUAAAUUAUUUAGAACAAGAUCUAUACUCUCGAUCAUAAUUACAAAAUUUCUAUCAUCACUUCAUUUUCAGUCAUUCAUUUUUACGCCCACUUGAUAGACAAGAAAACAAUAUCGGAAAAAUAUGAAAUUUGAUUUUUAGAUACUUCAAGUGGUAUAGAUUAUUUUUAACGAUGCCGAUCGCCGAUUUGAAGGCUCCAUCAUCGAAAACAAAUGGGUGGCAACGAAGUCCGUUUGCUACCGAUAGUAUUCCAGCUCAACUAUAUAUAUAUAUAUAUAUAUGCGUGUGUGUGUAUUAGUAUAUAUUAUUAUUCGAAUAAUAGUCGAAUAUAUACAAAUAUAAUUUAUAUCGUAAUCCGACGCAAUAUCUGAUCAUAUUUGAAUAAUCUUUUAGCGAUAUAUUAAUAAAAAUUUAACAUCUGACAUAUAUCUAUAUCUGAAUAAGUAUUCAAAAUGAAAUAUAUAUGUGAGUAUAAUUUCGUCAAAUAUUCGAUGUGCAGCUCCCAAAGCACUUGAUUUAGGGAUUUUCCUUGUGUACUUUUUGUCCGAGAUCUAGAAGAGAUGGAUAUGCAUGCAUUAAUUAGAGGGAGAAGACAAAGGUGGACAGAUCUGGAGGAUUUAAUGUGACUGACCCUAGAAGCUGCAGGCUCUUUGACUUUUUUAUUAUUACUAUUAUUAUUAUCAUCUUGUCACCAGGAUUUUUAAUCAAUAAAAAUUAAUAAAAAAAAAAAGAGGCGGAAGCUGAUAGCAUGUUAUCUAUCUCUUAAAAAAUAUAAAAAAAAUCAACAAGAAAAUUUUUCCACAUUAUUAAAUUUACUGUCUAUUAUAUGAAAUGCACGAAUCUCAAAGUAAUAGAAAGAGGGAUGAUUGAAAAUUUCAAAUACCUUUGUUCUUCAUAAAUUUUUGUAUAAAAAUUAAUUAAUAUUGCUUUGGUAAUAUACUAAUUUAUUUAGUUGAAGCUAAAGAGUAGUCUUAUAAAUCUAAGAAUCAAAUUGUUUGAUCUCUUCACCAGUCAUUCUGGCAAUGUAACAACUAAAAUAACAAAGUAGGCACUAUCUUAUUCUUUUUAAUUAUUGCAAAGAUUUUGUAUAAAAAUUCACCUUUUCAUGCAUAAAUAAAUAACUUUCUACUAAAGACAUAUGAAUAAACUAUAGUAUAGGACAAAUAAUUUGAAACGAAAGAAAAAGAAAGAUUUAAACUAAAGAGUUGUAGAAUUUGUUGGUAAGAAACAGGAUAAUUUUUGUAUAAUUAUUAAUACGAUAAGUACAAAAUAUGAGCUUGCCUUUGCACAAAAUUACUAUUCAAAUGAUCAAGUAAAUUCAAGUUAACCUAAUCUAAUUAACAGAAAAAAAAGUAGAGAAAUAAAACAGCUGCUAUUCUAAACCACAUAGAUGAAGGAAAAAAGAAACAAAGAAAAAUACUAUAUACAUAUCUAUGUACAUCCCUUGUAGAGUGUAUGGAUAUUAUACCUUACAUCCUAGGGUUUAGAAAAAUUAUUGGAUUUUAGUCCAAAAAAUAAUAACAAUAAGGGAGAAAAUUAGAUUUUUUUUGUUUGCAAAUAGUCCCUGCAAAUUAUAUUUAUAGAAAUGACUCUUUUUACCACGAAAGUGUUAUAUAUGCUGGACUGACAAGUUAAACCAGUAAUCUAAUUACUGUGUUUAAAUACAAUAAACAAGUUACCGUAUUAUCUUGGACUUAGUUCACACAUCGCUAGGGUAUAAAUAGAAUACAAUACCGCAGUUAAAUACAAUAAAAAAAUUAUUGUUUUCAACUUAAAAUUCUAACUAGAUACUCGCAUAGCAAGAAGAGGAUAAUUACUGCAAAUAUAAAUUUGCAUGAGUUAUUUUUGAAACACUCCACACCUGAGACUCAACGGUAUAUCUCAAGUUUCGGUAUAACUCAAGUUACGAUUGUAUCUUUAUUCCAGCGAUUCAAACAGCGAAAGUGAUUGUUUACGAUAAAAAACGACUUCACCUCUCUCCACUUUCGUACAAACAAACAGACUCUUAGUUAAACCUCACGCUACAUUAAAUCCACGACCAUUUGAUCAACAGAACUAGUUACUAUUAUAUGGUGAUCAACUGCACGGCGCGAGCGGCGGCCCGCAGAGGCACUUGUUGUGGUCGAAGUGCGAGGCGCCAAACUGCUGGAUGUACUUGCUCUGCGGUAUGGGGCCGCAGAGUCGGUUGUAGCUCACGUCGAACUGGAGCCACUUGCGGUGCGCCGCCUCCGCGGGGAUGCGGCCGUAGAUCAUGUUGUGGGCGAUCUUCAGGAUGUCCAUCACCUUCGGUAGCUGCACCCGCGAUAGGUCGAACUCGAACCGGUUCCGUUCCAGGUUUAACGCGUUCAGCUUCUUCUUGUGCCCGAAGAGGAACGACGCGUCGCCCGUGAGCCGGUUGUCGCCGAGGUCCACGUCUCCGAAGGUCGCACCGGCGAACGAGGGCGGGAGCGGGCCGGAGAGUCUAUUAUUAUAGUAUAAAAUAUUUACACACUCUCCUAAAUUGAUACGUCAAGUUAAGGUAAAUUAUAGAAAAUUUUCUUAUAAAUAUUUAUUUUUUUAUUUUUCCUUUCGAACUUUUAAAAUAUCUAUAUUUUACACCCUGGAGUUUUUAAGUUGUUGUAUUUAAUCUCUCCCUCCGACGGGGUUCCAUUACUGUUCCGUUCAUUUUUUAUAAUUUAUACCAAAAAUAGUUUUCAAAAUAACAGAAAUAUAUAAUAAAAAUUAUUUUUUUUUCUUAUAAAAGAAGUAAGAACAAUUUAAUCAUUUUAUCCUCUCCAUUUACGCCAUAUCCUUCCGAAAAUAUUUUUAAAAUUUUAAGAGAAUAAAAUAUAAAUUUUUAAAAGUUAGAAAAAAAAAAAUAAAAAAAGGAUAUUAUUGGGAUGUUUUCUGUAAUUUAACAUUUAAGUUAUGGAGAAAAACAAUACUAUCAACAAAGCUGAUUUCCAUUCUGAUAAAAUUAAUUCAUUAAAUCCCAUCCCUUAUUAAAAAAAAAAAACUUUAUCAGAUGUAUUAUCAUCUUUUAGUGAAAAAUGUAUAGAGCUAAUCUCAACUAUUGACCACUUUGAAUUUAAUCUUUAAAAAAGAAAAAUUUACUCUUCAAUCUUUAAAUUUGUUUGAUUUAAAUCGGUCAACGGUAUAUUUAUAUUUAGUAAAAUUGUACAACCUAAUUUGCUAAUUUUUUAUUUUUUAAAUUUAUUUGAGAUGGUGACAAAGCGUAAGACAAGCAUUUUUAGUGCCAUGAGCUAAUUGAGAUUGAAGCUAAAGUGCCAGGAAUUUUUUUUUAAUAUAUAAUUUAGCUAGUUUUGUUUUAGCAGUGCUGCGUGCCAGGAGUCUUUUUUAUAAUUUAGCUAAUUUUAUUUUAGCACAUUACAACAGAAUUAGAUUAUAGGGACAUAUGUUUGAGACACUUUUGAGUAAAUAUCCCAUGCAUUUAUGCUAAAACUUAAAAACACAUCUACUAAUGCCUAAAUAUAAAGUCCAAUCCAACCAAAAAUAAAAGAUUAUUCUACUCAACCCACCACACCCAGUCCAUUUGGCCCGAUUACAAACAGAAAAGAAAAAAAAAAGAAAAAUCAAUUACCUUAUUUUCUUCUCUCUUCACUUAAUCCACUGAAAUUCUAGACGAAAAGCCUUUACUGUCGUCCUCUUCCGCCACCGCAGCCAACGAGAUAGAGUUUCGGCGGUUGCUAAAUGCUUAAAUAAGUGUUGGUAAAUUAGCAGCACUCUUUUAGGUUAUAACGACACUUUUUAACUGUCACUAUAUAGCUAGCGACCCCACAUAUAGCAACACUUUUUAAAAGUGUCGGUAAUUUUAGCUAGCAGCACUCUUUUGAUAUGUAACUAUAUUUAAAAGUGCCGUUAUAGACCGUUUUUUUUGUAGUGGCAGUGCUGUAUGUACAUCCGAAAAAAUAGUGUAAAUUUUAUAUCUUUUCAUCCACGGUCCAAAUCUCUCCCUUGCCUUGCCAACUUUUUUAAAAAAAAAUUAAAAUUUUUUAAAAAAUCUAAACCUUAAGAUAAGGGAGGUAAGUUUACACCCCGUUCGGAGUGUAUAAGUAGCAUUUCUCCCUGUCUCUCAAAUUUGGAGAUUAUCUAAUUAUGAAUAGUUGCUUUUUAAAAGAAUAACCUGUUGUUCUGCAUACUUAAGGAAAUUAAGUUUUUUAUCUACCUAAUUCUUAAUGGGCAAAGUAGGAAGCAAUUUUAACAAUUUUCAUAUAUAAAAAGUAAUUGUUUUAUAUAUAAUUAUAUAUUAGCUAUAACCAUUCUUAUUAGACUUUGUUAAUAUAUACACCUUUAUGAUAAUAAAAAAUAAUAUGUAAUAAAAUGUCAUUAAUCCUCCAAAUUACUCGUAAAAUUUUCUAGAAUUUCUUCUAAAAAAACCUUCGACGAUAGAUUUUCAACUAGUGAUUCAAAUGAAGGCGGAUCUGGAGUGGGAGAAGUUCCCCAACUCCCAUCCUGUUUUCUCGAUGGGUUAGGAUGUGUUGGGCCAAUAAGGCGCAGCCACGUGGCACACUGGUACUCCGCUCAGCUUUAUUUAUCAAGGGUAGUAAUUUUGCUAUGCACCGGGAGUAUCGGAAGAAGUUUUAAACAACCACCGCACGAAUUGAGGGGAGUUACAGUAACAGCGAGUGGUUACAAGCGGUUCCAAUCAGCUAAAAGUGGUCCGAAAAAAUAGGAUUAGUGGCCGAUCAUGGAUGAGGAGCAACUAAUCAACAUGGGCGAUCUAUAAAUAGGCCAAUAAUAUCCUGAAAAGAAGUCUUUUUCCCGAAAACGGAAGACCACCUUUAUUUUCUCUACAAUUUCUUCGCAUUUCCUACGAGUAGUUUACUUGUAAUCCUUUUCUUUUUCGUACUUACUGUUUUUCCUUAGGAGUAGAAUUAAGACAGAUCAAUCGAGUCUGUAUGCCUUCAGGCACACUCGAUCCUUGUACUUUUUUUACAAUUCAUAUUCAAUAUAUAUAAAGGCAUUCGGCUCUUUCGUCCGACCAGUUACUGUGUAUUCUAUCCAUUCGGCUCUUCGGCCGAUCUUAGUGUGCAGUCCAUACAUUCGGCUCAUACAUUCGGCUCAUCUAGCCGAAUUAGUUUUAUAGUGAAGGUUUUCGAACUCGGCUGAUCUGAUCCCUCGUCAGCCGAAUUGCUUGAUCCAGUCGAAGGGCGCAAACUUCGAAGGUCACUAAUCGUAACCGCUCCACAUCCCUACAUUCUUCCCGAGGGAGAUUUUUGACCAGAUCAAGGAUCGGGACGUUCGGCUCCUAACAGGAUGGAAUCAGUAUGGAUUGAAUUUUAUCCUAUUUUUUGCCCUCUUGUCAUUCCAUUUGAAGCAUCAGGACAAAAACUAAUUUACAGUGAACUUGUAGCGGAUCCGGACGGAACAAGAAAAGGAAAGGGUUUCCUAACUCCAGCUCUUUUUUCUCAAUAGAUUGGGACGAAGGUUUUACUAAUUGGAAUCCAUUUGCAUCCCUACUUGCUGCAUCACAUGGUUGUGAUUUUUUGUGCAGUGAUAUGUUAAAUAUAAAAAUAUAUAAAUAUCGUUAUCUAACCGCUUAAAUUUUUAGAGUAUAAUUAUUAUUUCACAUGGUAUCAGAACAGGAGGUUCUGAGUUGGACUCACGUCAGACUUCAGUAUUAUUAAUUUACUCUCAUUUAAUUCAAACAUUAUUAAUUUCCUUCCGUUUAAUUCAAAGUCUACGUCAUGAAUUUUAUAAAAAAUCUCAGAGUUCAGACGUAAAGAGAAAAAUUAAAUAUAAAAAUAUAAUUUAAGUUUUUUUAAAAGUAUAAUAAUUGUUUAAUAUUGUAGGAAUUAAAAAUAAGAGCCUUUUUUGUAUAUAUCGCAGUGAAUAGUGUACUCCUAUUUUGUCUGCUCAUGGGGAUAUGGACAACUAGAAACGGAAUAUUUGGUACUGAUACAGAUGUUCCAUCAAUUAGGUCGGUAGCUUGAUGCCAACGCACAAUAAAAUAGCCAUCGUCUUAAUUAUCGGCAAGUUUGAUUGAAGAGCAAUACAGAACGUCAUGUAGUUAAGAGGGUUUUUCUACAUAAUUUUAUUUUAGGGUGUGUUUGAUUUUACGUAAAAUUGUGAAAAAAAAAUUUUCGGUAGAAAAAAAUUUUAAGUCGUUUGUAUUUGGUUUAUAGGAAAAGAAAAGCAAUUUUCAUGACGAUUAUUUGGUUGAAAGACAAAAAAUAAAUAAAUAAAAAACUAUUUACUAUAUUUUUUAUUAUAUAUAUUAUUAGUAUAUUAUAAUUAUUAUAUAUAUUUUCUCUAAUUAUAUAUAUUAUAUUAUAUAUUAUUAAUAUAUAAUAAUUAUCCUCAUAUAUUUAUUUAUUAUAAUUUAUAUAUUAUAUAUUAUAUAAUAAAUAUAUAAUAUAAUAUAUAAUAANUAUAUAUAUAAUUAAAAAGGGAGAGAGAGCUAGGUACGCUACUCUCUCUCUCUCUCUUGGUCCACGAGGUGAAGCACACCGCGUGGACUGCGUGCAAAAGGAUGUGAGCCGCGCCGCACCUGUGAGCCACGACUUUUUUUCUGUAGCUUUUUGUUUUCCGCUUGGACAGAGCGGAAAACGAAAACGUGAUUUUUCCGCGUAUUCAUAAAAAAAAAAUUUUCAGAAAAUUUUUUUUACAUAGAACCAAACAAAGGAAAAAUAUAUUUCAACUAAAAAAAAAUUUUUGAACUAGUUUUACAUGGAUCCAAACACGCCCUUUGACAGCGCAAAAUUUUUUAAAAGUUAGCCCAUGCCUAACCAUUUAUUAACCAGGGUAAAUUUAGCGUGGUAACCUCGGGAGACAUUUAUGAUAAUUAUUUAUUAUGAUUACAUAAGCAUAUGCGAUAUUUUAGAUUUUAUAUAAUAUCUAUACCUUAACAUUAUUUCCCCUAAUCUUGCCACGUGGCAGCCUAUCUUUCACCCUCAAUUGCCUCUCUUUUGAACCAAAUGGCUAAGCGGUUUCUUCGGCUUUCCUUCCCUGUAACGUCUAACUCUUCGGCUUCCCGUCUUAUUAAUUUUUUUUUUAUAACGUAUGUCUCUUCGGCUUCCUAUCUCAUAAUUCUUUCUUUGUAACGUCGCUACUUCGACUUCCCUCUCAUUAGUUUAUAUUUUCUAAGAAUCGUUGCCCGAGAAGCCUGUGGGCACGACAAAUGGCAUUCUCGACAGCGACCUCGCCUACUACGUCCGCUCCUCUCGAGCUCGCAAGUGCACCGCCCUCGCUCUCACCGUCAACAUCGAGUGAGUCGAACUCUAACCUUAGCCUCGAACCUUUCUCCCUCGAUGUCGACCACUUAUAUUUGUAAUGUAUAGAACUUGUCGAAAAAGGAUUGAAGGCGCUAUAAUAUUUCACGAAAGCAUCGGUGUUAGUAGAGAAUGCCCUAAAUGAGGAUACAAAGGAAUCCGAUUUCUAUGUAACACAAUUUUUUCUUCUAUAAUUUUUUUUAUCUUUCGUUAUUUUUUAUUAAAUUAUAAUUUUAUUCUAAGAGUUUUAAAGUAUUUUUUAUAUUAUUAAAUUUAAUCAAAUAUGAUUAUAUCCGCCGCAUCGCGCGGGUUCCUACACUAGUAUAAGUAUGAAUUUGAGAGGGACGGACGUCCAUGAGAUUGCCUCCAUUAUAUAUUAUUUUAUAACAAAUCAAUGGUAUAAAAAAAUUGAUAAUUAUUUCAAUAUAUAAAAUAUAUUUAAUAUUGCUAAUUAAAUUUAGUGGAUUCAUAAUUUUAGUUAUCUUCUAAGCUAAAACAUAUAAUAAUCAUCUUAAUUAUUAAACCGGACUUUCAAAAAUUUAUAUAUUUAUCUGUUUAAAAUUUCAAAAAUAUUUUAAGAAAGAAAGAACAUUAAUGAAGCGAAAAAAAUAGUUAAAUUAUUAUUAAUUCUUUUAUAGAAAUUAAACAACUUUUUAAUAUAUUAUUUUUAUAAUUUUAAGUGAUAUUUUUUAAUAUAAAUUAUAAAAAAAUAAACAAAAUAAUAAUAGAACGCUGACGAAACAAGACUACAUGCAAUAACUUGAAAUAAUUUUUCUUUUGAAAGAAAGAUAACAUGCUAUCCGAUUCGAAAGUUUUCUUUUAAAAAUAAACUUAGCUAUAAAUGUCAAUUAAUUAAUAUUCGAACUUAAAAUUUCAGAUAUUAACCACCAAAGCUUUUGCCAUUAGCGCUAGCGACCGACGGUCCGUCGGUCGGUCAAUAUCUUGAAAUAUUGAUAAGGUAAAUAUAUAAUUUUAAAAGUUUGAAAGAAAAAGUAAAAAAAAGAAAAGAAAAAAAGUGAGUAUAUAUUUAGAAAAGAAAGAAUUUCUAUAAUUUAGCCUAUUCCACUAUAUAGAUUAAAUUUAAAAAUUGAAAAUAAAUGGAGGAAUUGCGCACCUGUUGCCGACAAGUGAGAGGUCGAAGACGGUGAGCGUGGCGGGAAUGCGGCCGGAGAGGCGGUUGCCGUCGAGGCGGAGGAAGGAGAGGUCGGGGAGGUGCGGGGGGCCGAGGAAGGCCGGGAGGGGCCCGUAGAGGCGGUUGUAGGCGAGGUUGAGGGACUGGAGGGCGGAGAGGUUGGCGAUGGCCGGAGGGACGCGGGCCGAGACGUUGAGGGCGAAGACGGUGAGGGAGGUGACGCGGCCGGUGGUCGAGUCGCACUCCACGCCCGACCAGGCGGAGCAGCAGGGGCUGCCGGACGUCCAGGAGGAGAGCCCGGCCGGGUUGCCGAAGGCCGCCUUGAUCUCGAUCAGCGCCGCCUUGUCGCCCCCGUCGCAGGCGGCGGCAAAGGCGAGGAAGGCUGCGGAGGAGAAGAGGAGGAGGGAGGAGAGGAUCGCCGAGGGUGUGAGAGGAGCGUACGGCAUUGUUUGAGAUUGAAAUUAACUACGGGGCGUGCUGCGUGGUAGUAUCAUGUCGGUGGAUGUGAAGAGUGGAAUAGAGGAGAGAGAUCAGGGUGGUCUUGUUAUAUACGGAAAAAAAAACUAUGUGCCCCACCAACAAUCAAUCACUGGGUGUCUAUCUAUCUAUUUAUCUAUCUAUCUAAUCUAAGAGCUAGAAAUCAUUCACUAAUUAUAUGAGAGUGAGGCUACUAUGCUAUCGGAAGCACGGAGCCUUCCGUGCUUCCAGCUCGUUUUUAAUGUUGCAACUUUCGAAUCGUCGAUCGGCUCCGUUAAACUUGAUCUAGAGUAUUUGGAGUACCUAGAAAAUAAAUUUUAUUAUUUUUCGAUAUUAUUUGCCUAGUGAUCGAAUGGGCUCAAAAUCAACAAAUUUCAAUGACCGUAGUGAGCCGUUUGCAAGUUAUCCAAAUCACGUGAAAUUUUGAUAGAAAAUUCUUUAUACUAUAUAAAACAAGAUUAAUAUCUUUGAUUUAAAAUUUUAAUGUCAUAUUAUUUCAUUUUGUAAGAUUUUUAUUUUCAGCCGUUGAUUUUGAGCCCCUUCGUUCACUAGGCAAAUGAUAUCGUAAAAUCAUAAAAUUUAUUUUCUAAAUACCUCAAAUACUCUAGAUCAAGUUUAACGGAGCCUAUCGACGAUUCAAAAGUCGCAAUAUCGAAAACGAGCUGGAAGCACGGAAGGCUCCGUACUUUCGAUAGCAUAGUAGCCGCACUCAUUAUCUAUUACUCUCUAUGAAUCCCCAAUGUUUUAAGCUGAUGUGUCAUAACCUCCUAAUUUUAAAAUUUUUUUAAUUUAGAAUGAUCCAUUUUAUUCUCUCUCUCAACAUACGUCUCUUCAUCUCCCCUAUUUAAUUUUUAUUUAGAAUGAGCCAUUUUACUUUCUCUCUCAACAUACGUCUCUUCAUCUCCCCUAUUCAAUUUUUAUUUAGAAUUAGUCAUUUUACUCUCUCUCUCUCUCAACAUUCGUCUCCUUAUCUCCUUCAUUUUAUUCUCUCUUUCUCAACAUACGUCUCUUCAUCUCUCCCAUUUAAUUUUUAUUUAGAAUGAGCUAUUUUACUCUCUCUCUCUCUCCAUCGUUGGUAGAUGUACCAAGUGAGAUAUAUAAAAAAAAUUUAAUAUUUUAUCAUUAUUAAUUACUACUAUAGUUUCUACCCGCUGCAAAGCGCGGGACUCUUCACUAGUAUGAUAUGGAUUGUAGAG